CCAGAUUGCUUCAUGGUUUUGAAUUGGGCGUGGUUGCAGAUUCACCCCUGGAUAUGACUGAAGGUGUUGGGCUCGCUUUGCCUAAAGCAACUCCGCUGGAGGUCACCCUAGUCCCAAGGCUACCCUCCGAGCUCUACCACUAAAGUAGUAUCCUAAUGUGUGCCACAAAAUCCCCUGGUUAGCCCAGGAAGGGUCUACUCCACUGGAGGUCACUCGGGAUGCGUAUCCGCCUAAAUAAACCUCGAUGAAAAGCCUCACAUACAUCACUUGCCGUCCUUGCAUAUCUACUCAAGCUUUCUUAAUCAGGAUACUUUCUAGGUACCUUGUGUUUGUAAUUUAACUGGAACAUGUUAAAAUUAAGAGUCUUGGGUCUAUUUUGGGAAUGUUUUUAAAAAUAAUUCUUAAAAAUAUAUAUAUUUUUAAACUAUUUUCAAAUUUUGUUUUAUCAUAUUUUCUAAAAUAAAAAUAUGUUUGAAAUUUUAGAAAUUUCUUAACAUGUUUUUUUCUUUUUUAAUUUUCAAAUAUUUUUUUAAAAAUGACCUUCUAUCUCCAAUGCUUUAUUUUCAACCAUUUCUAAAAAUUAAUUAAAUACGUUUUUAUUUUUUUUUAAUUCUCAAAAAUAAAAAUAAUUAUUCUUAAUAACAAUUUGUGAACAUAACUUAAGCUUUUUUUGGAAAAAAAAAAUAGAAAUGUUGAAUUUAAAGUGUUCAAGAAUAACAGGUGAGUGAAUGGAAUGAGUGCGGCCUUUAAAACUCAUCAUUUGUAACAUGAUUUAAGAACUUGUUUGAUAGAGGUUUUAAAAAGCGUUUAUAAUUUUUUUAGAAGUUAAAAAUAUUUCUUUUGAAAAAAAUUUUUAAAUACUAAAAAAAUUAAAAAUACAUUCUAAAAUUAUUAUCAAAUGAAUUUUAAAAAUGUGUUUAUCCAUGUUUUUACUAAACAUGAUUUUUGUGAAAGUAUUUUCUUUAAUAGUCUUUUUCAGAUAAUAAUUUAUUAAGAGUUAUUUUGGUAGUGAUCCUAGAAAGUGCUUUUAUCGUAAAAAGAAGUUUAAAAAAAACCAUUAAAUGUUUAACAGAAUUUAGGAAAUACUAUUCAAAAUUCUAAAACUGCGUCAACGUGAUUUUUGUAAAAGUAUUUUCUCUAAUAGUUUUUUUUUAGAGAAUCAUUUAUUAAGACUUAUCUUGGUGGUGAUUCUAAGAAGUGCUUUUACUUUAAAAAGAUGUUUUUUUAAAAAAACAUUGAAUUUAAGAAAUACUAUUCAAAUUUUGAAAAAUCACUUUUUAGAAAAACACUUGAUUGAUGAUUUUUCAAAAAAUAAUAUUUUAUGAGAAAACAUUGUCAUUAAAAUUUUUUUGAAUAAAAACACUUUUAAGCGCACUCUUAGUGCUAUUUUAAGAGUAUGUUUGAGAGUAAUUAUUGAAAAUAUUUUUAGCAUAUUUAAUGUUUGAAAGAUAAAAAAUUUUAAAUAUUAAAAACAUUUUUUAAAAUCACUGUAAAUGCAAUCUAUGAAGUAUAUUACAAUUGAUUUUUUUAACUUUUUAAAACCCUUGUCUAAAUUUUAUCUAGUUUUUUUUUUUUUUUUGUCAAAACUAUUUUUUUAAGCUAGAACUAGAAGUACUCUGUAACUUUAAAGAAUCCUUACCCAGCCGUUAACGUUUUAAACACCGUAGUUACUAGGCCCUACUCUCAUGCUAUUGUUUAUAUAAACAUGAACACUUUUGUUACUUAGUGCUGGAACGCAUUAGAACUAUAGACAAAACAGAAGAUUCCUUGGUUUUAUUUAGGCACCAAACCCACUCAUUCAAGCAUAUUUAAAUUUAAAUGCAGCCGUCCACGAAUAAACAACAGACCCAUUACCAAGAAGGUGAUCAUCCUUUUUCAGGGUUGGUUCUUCAAAAUUCAAAAUCAGUUAGCUGAAGGAACAGAAAGGAAAAGAACAGAGCUGAAUUUACAGAAAAGAAUUUUUUUUUUUUCUUUUUCUUUUCUAAGGAUCUUGGAAUCCUUUUCCUGGUAUAGGCAGAACAUUAGAGAUAUAUAUAUGGUAGUGGGAAGUGAUUCUUCUGUUGAAACUCCAUUUUUCUUGUAUCCAAUUAUUAGACAGGAAUUGCAUGUUGAAUCAUACGAAGAAAUUAUGCCAAACAUUUCUAUAGAAAGGGAACAUACUGAACUAACUUGAUUCCAUUUUGAGUGUUGAAUGAACAAGGUAUGGAUCUUCUAAGGCUGUGGAGGGCACCAUCUCUUUCUGGAUUCUCUCUGACGAUGGGAGUGGGAGAGAAAACAAGUCUGUUUUUAUUUCAAAUUAUGUGAUUCGAUUGAACAGACACUUAGCCUUUGAUUUUAUACCCUCCUGCAUAGGACCAUACCCUUUGGCUAUUGGGCCUCACGAGUCUUAGGCCCAUCAUCUAAGGCUCGUGAUGGCAAUGGGCUCUACACAUAAGGUGGCCCAUACUAUGGAAAACUGAUACAAAAUAAAUAUCAAAAGGCGAAUAGCUUAGUCAUGUAACAUUGUUAAAUAUGUGUGAGUCCAUAUCUUAACAUCUUCCCCCUAAAACAUUUUCUUUUCUAUUGAGUCAUGGCUUCAGUUUCGAGGGAUCAUCGUUUUUGGCCUUCUGUUUGUGGUUGAUUAAAGCCGAAGGGAACAAGAACAAAGGCAAAAGGGCACCAGAACCAUCCAGGGCAUGGCCUUGAAUCGGACACCUUCAUCUUCUAUGAGCAGGCAAGCCCCAACAUCAAGCAUUUGGAGCAUGGCAGAUAAGUAUGGACCAAUCUUUUGCUUUCAUAUUGGCCCGCGCAAAACUUUUUUGGUUAGCAGCUGGGACGCAGCAAAAGAAUGUUUCACUACCAUGGACAGAGCAUUUGCCACUCGACCCAGAUCCUUGGCAUGAAAGCUCAUGGGCUAUGACCAUGCCAUGUUUGGUUUCUCUCCUUACGGGCCAUACUGGCGUGAUGUAAGGAAGUUGGCCUCGGUUGAGCUCCUCUCAAACCUCCAGCUUGAGUUACUCAACCAUGUCCGGGACUCAGAAGUUAAGCUUUUCAUCAAAGAGCUCUAUGGGCAAUGGAUACAAAAUGGGGACAGGCCUCUUUUGGUCGAGAUGAAGGAGAAGUGUUGGCACAUGGCAACAAAUGUAAUGGUGAGCGUAGUAGCUGGGAAACAGCAUUUUGGCACCAUUACAAACGACUAUGAAUCAAGACAGUGCCGGAAGGCCCUUGGCGAUUUGUUAUAUCUUUCGGGGAUAUUUAUGGUUUUUGAUGCAAAUCCCCUUCCUUGGCUGGUCAGACACUGUGAGAGGAUAUACGACAAAAAUGAAGAGAACAACUAGGGAGAUGGAUCAGGUGCUGGGUGUAGGAAGAGUGUAAAUAAUUUUUACUUUUAUUUUUGGGAAGUGUCCUAUUGAGAAUUAUUUUAUUAUUUUAUUUUAUUUUAUUCUAUUAAUGUUAUAUUUUUGGGAAGAGUCCUAUUGGGAUUGUGCUAGUGGAGUCUCAUUCUUUUUAUAAGUAGAUUCCCCUUCCACUUUGUGUCAUCUUCUAAUUACAAGUAGAUUCUCAUUGGAUCGUGUUAGUGGCCUAUAAAAGCAAGUCACCCUUCUCUCUAUAUGAAUACCAAUUUUUCAGAGAAUUUUUUAGAGUUUUUCAGGAAGUUUUUUUCACACAUCCUUCUGGAGGAAUUUAUUCAAAACCCAAGUUGUACACAUCUCGCUUACAGAGUGCACCCAAGGCGGGAUCUGAUUGUUGAAUACUAGAGGUAGAUCACCGGUACCCUAGUGCACCGAGUUCGUCUUCAAGGAGGGUGGAUCUAUUUCAAAGACAGUGGUUGUCACGAUAAAUUUUUCUUCUUAUUUAUUAUGUUCUUUGUUUGUCUUUUGGGCUAGUCUUUUGUUUUCAUACCCUUAAAUCCAACAAUCUUGAAAUAAAUCUAAAUGGAAGCUUCCCUGGUUCACACCUGUCCUAACACCUUUAAAAUUGAUCCCUUCAAAGGAACAUUCUUUAAGAGAUGGUAAGAAAGGGUUUUCUAUGCAAUUGAUGUAGUGAACUUGGGACACUUUUUGACUGACUUAAAACCUUUGAUGCAGUGUUGGUAAGUUCAGGAGUAUCCUUGAACUUGUGGGGGGAAGCUCUCCUAUCCAUUUGUCAUAUUCAAAAUAGAAGACCUUACAAGAAAUUCCUAGGUUCUAAGUUUGAUAUGAAAGUCCUAGGAGAGGUAGAGGUGAUUCUAGGAAUUAAAAUAACUAGAACAUCUAAUGGGCUUAAACUUUCUCAAGAUCAACACUAUGUUGAGAAGAUCCUAAGGAAGUUUGAACACUUUGAUUGUAAACCAAUGUCAACUCCUUAUGAUCCCAGCUCACAGCUAAAGAAAAUAGAGAACAUAGUAUUACCCAAAUAGAGUAUGCUCAGAUCAUAGGAAGCCUAAUGUACUUAAUGAACUGUACCAAACUUGCUUAUGUAGUAGAUAGAUUGAGUCGGUACACCCAAAGUUCUAAUUAGGACCAUUAGACUAUUGUUCGUAGAGUCCUUAAGUAUUUGAGAGGCACCAUUAACUAUGGUUAGUGCUUUAAUGAAUUUCCAAGUGUCCUUGAAGGAUUUAGUGAUGCAAAUUGGAUCUUAGAUUCAGAUGAGAUGAAAUCCACUAGUGGAUAUGUUUUCAUCCUUGGUGGAAGUGUUGUUUCUUGGAAGUCUGGCAAGCAAACUUGCAUUACUCGAUCUACUAUGGAGGUCGAGUUUAUUGCCUUAUAAAAGACAAGUUCUAAGAUUGAGUGGCUUAGAAACCUCUUAGCAAAUAUCCCUUUAUGGACGAGACCAACCCCGUCUGUGUCUAUGCGUUGUGAUAGCCAAGCUGCAAUUGCUAAGGCUAAGAGUAAAAUAUUUAAUGGGAAGAAUAGACAUAUACGCCUAAGGCACAAUAUUGUGCGACAGCUGCUUGAAACAGGGGUUAUAUCCCUAGAAUUUGUGAGGUCAGAGUUGAAUUUGGUUGAUCCUUUAACCAAACCACUAAGUAAGAAACUAGCGGAAGAAACAUCAAGGGGGAUGGGGCUUUUGCCUAUUACAGAAGUCAAGAGUGGUGGUAACCCAACCUAUUAAAAUGGAAAUUCCAUGAAACAGGUUCAUAUGGGUAAUAACAAAUCACUCGUUGACUUGAGGGGCUCUAUCAAUUCUAAUUGUAUGAGAGUUCAUCCCUAUGGUGUAGAUAGAGCGUAUUCUGCAUUGACUAAGGUUGAGUGUUUAUGAGAAUAUGUUUUAGUCUUUUUCAUUUAGUUUUAAAAACCAUUUUAAAAAAUAAUUAUACAAAUAUGAAAAAGUAUUAAAAAUAAAGCACUAAGAUAAAAAUUUAAAAACAUUAAAAAUGGUCUAAAAACAUUUCUAUGUCCAAAACAGACUUUUAUUCACAAAAUAUCAAUAACGAUUUUUUUUUAAAUAAAAAAUAAAAACUAUUUUUGAAAACUAUUUUCAAAAACACUUUUCAAACAAAACUGUAAUUUUUGAACUUCUUCCAAAGUCAAUAUCUGUUGUUGCUGCAAUAGAUGUUUCUUCAUCAAGUAAAGUUUAUUUUGAAUGUCUGCUAUUGACUUGUUAACAUAUUAUAAAACAAUUCAUCUUGGCUUUCAUAGUGAAAUCACAAGGAUUAAUUAGAAACCAAUCAUUUGUAUAAGGUUGCAAGCCCUUAUGAUUGAUCCAAAAUUUGCAUUUUUCUUUCCCACAAGGUGAAUAUAGCUUUGGCAACAAGCAUAUGAUCGUGAAUGAACCAUCCAACUUCAUAUUAAAAUAUCUUAUAUUAAUAGAGCAUCCAAACUGAUGAGGGCACGACUAAAAAAUGGAAUACAAAUCCUAUCCAAGUUCCAAUUGGUCUAGUUACAAAGGCUCAAGCUAAAAAGUUAAAGGAAACUCUUAAUGGAUUGAUUCAAAACAUUUGGGUUGAGUUGAAUUUGUGGAGAACCAAGGAAGAUGUUCCACGUGUUCCACAAGGUUGGAUUUCCAUGAUUCAAGCUUUUGAAUAAUCUAGAAGAAUCUCACAAAAAGAACAGCUCACAAAUUCCGUGGAUUGAGUGGAGUUUUCUAAAUUGGUGAUUACCCAAUUACCUUUUCUAGCUAUUUGUGAAUCCUAGGCAAUAUAUUUAGGGAUUUUCUAGCUACCUAAUUCGUGGACCUCUUUGUACUUAAAUAUCCAUUAGCUUAUUGAAAAACAAUGUAGAUUUCAUUCAUAAUUUUGUGAGAGAAAAUUAUCUUUGGUUCUUUUAGAACUCUUUGAACUUAUCGGAACAAUUUCUGCAUAUGCAACAACCAUAGAACAUAUAUGGAUACUUAUUCAUGAUCUACAAUAUGAAAAGAGAGUUUAUCUUUCUUUACUUUUUAGCAAUGUGACACUAUGUGGACCUAAUCAAAUUGAUGAUUGUUCCCAUAUUGCAUUAAAAAACUAAAUAUUUCUCUAAAAUAGUUAUGGCUUAUUAAUCUCCUAUACCCUUUGAAAUUAUCAUAUGUAGCACUUUAAUGCUAAUGGGCUUGCCCUAGUAAAAAAGAAAGCUUGAAGGAUCUUAUCAUGCAUCUCAAUGGUGGUUGGAGUCAAAGGCUUGUUAAGAAGAAAUUGAAAUGCAAUAAGUACCCCAUUUUGUUUAUUUAAUAGAUGAAGUCAAAUAAGAAUAAUUGGGAAAGUCAAAUAGUUGAGCUUGGAGAUGAAGCAUAGAUAUUGCUUUUAAUUGCUUGAAGAUGAAUUCAAAAAAGUGUUUGAUGUUUCAUCAAUGAAAUGACUUGAUUUCAUCAUCAAGAGAGGGAUUGAAAUAGACCUAGUAAACGUUAAGUCAUAUUGGUCAAUAAGAAAAAUCAAAGAAUUGAGAGGUUUCAUCGAACAAUUCCAAUUUAUAUGAUGGUUCAUAUUUAAAUAUUCCUAUUGGUGUGAACUUUUCUAUGAACUCUUGAAAGGAGGUUGGUUUUAGAUGAGGGUGGGGAAAGGUGAUGUCAAUAUACAUUUUUAUAUUUAAAGGUAGAAGAAGAAAUUUUCCACUUUCCUAAAUUCUCUCCUUGGCUUUAUUAUGACUCCCUCUAAACCCUUCAUCCUCUAACAUCUCAUUUGGCUUUAUUGGUGAAGUGAGGAUUCAAAGGUUUAAGAGUAGUUGCUUAGCCCUUGUCAAGAAAUGUUUUUAAAAACAAUGUUUGAGAAUAGUUCUUAAAAAAUCUAUUUAAUUAUUUUCAAAAACAAAAUUCUAUUUGAAAACCUAUGUAUAACACAAAAAUUCUCAAAAAGAUUUUUAUAUUUUCAAUUGUUUCUGGUAAUACUUCACAAAAAAAUAUCUCAAUUUUUUACUAUUUCUUUUAAAUAACAUGUUUUUAAAAAUAAAUUAUCAAAAAACUGUUUGGUAAAGCAGUUAUCAACCAUACUUUUCUAAGUUAAAACACUAUCUUAAAAAAAAAAGAACAAUUCUAAAACAAGCCUUACAUUUCUUUUGUGUCUAUUUUUUAAUUUAACACUAGAAACUUUGAUUGUGUGAGGGUUUCUUUCUUCAAAUUGGAUUCAUAUUUUUCUUCCUCGCUUGACAAUGAUGAAUGGUGUCUUUGACACAUUUCCUUCUUAACAAUGACAAAUGUCUUCUCCCCACUUCUAGCUAAUCAGAGAGACUAGAGGAAAAAUAGUUUGUUUCAGGGAAACCUUAGUCAUCCUAAUGUUACUAAAGUCAUCCAAAAGAAAAUGUAGCGUAUGAUUAGGCAAAUUUGUUCCUCACUCGAACUGUAAUAUGAUCAUCCUUAGCCCUCAAUAGAUUUGGAUUUGAAUGGAUUACGUUUAGAUUAUGAAUAUCUACUUCUCAGAGUGUUCUAGUGUAGAUAGUUUUGUGUCAUCAUGGAAUCCUUUUCCUAGUAGACUAAUGGUGCAAUAGAAGUAUUAUGUGUGGUAGCAAGGGAAGUAAUUCUUUCAACUAACCUAUUUUCUAUGCUAACAAAUAGUAUGGCAUUCUUCUUUCAACUUCAAGAUAUGAGAGUUUUUGGUCCUCUUUUUGCUAUGAAUUUCCUGUCUCUAGUUGUUUAAUUCCAAAGCAAACAAAAACAAAGGCAAAAGGCCACCAGACCUGUCUAGAGCAUCACAUUUAAUAUUUAUUGGUCACCUUCAUCUCUUAGGAGCAAACAAGUCGUUACAUCAGACAUUUGGAGCCAUAAAUGAUAAGUAUGAACCAUUUGUGUUUGUCUAAGCUUUAUGUCAUGACUCACCAUAAAUAAUGUCCAAUGUACAUAUAAUCAUAUAUACAUUAAUGCUCUUACCAUGAGAAACCCAUCCCGAUGACUAAGACCAAUCAUGUCUCUAUAACAAAAUAAGGUUUAGAACUAAUGAUUAUAUUUCAGGUAUGAUUAGACAAGACGAUUUCCAAGGUGGCAAUCAUAAAAAUAAAUCAAGCCAAAGAGAAAUCAUUAAGAAGAAGAAGACCUCAAAGAGAAGUGUUUUUCAAGACCCAACCUUCAUAAGAUCUCUUUGUAAAGUUGUUGGCGCACUAAGAUUUUCAUGCAUUACAUUCUUUACUUAUGCACUAAAAUCAUUCAAGAGUUAUUUUAUUUUAAAUAUUUUAAAAUUGGAUGAUUUCAUGUUUUCAACUAAAACCUUGUGUCAAAUGUUUUCCCAACUUGUUUAAAAGAUUUUAAGUUGAAAAAAUUGGUUGUUGAGCCAAAAAUGGCUCAACCGAUUGAACCAGAUGAGGAAUCGAUCGACUCCCAACUCAACUGGUUGAGGGGUACAAAAAAACAUUCUCUCUCUUCCAAAACGGUUGUGCAACCGGUUGAGGUCCGGUCAAUGGGCGAUCGAGGUCCAACGGUCACCUGCCAAACAUUAAAUGCUAACGACUAGUCAAUCGAUCUACCCCCAGCUCAACCAGUCGAACCCCUAAUGGCUAGUUUGGUUUUUUUCCUCUAUAAAAAGGCUCCAAUCUUCAUUGUUUUAAGAGCUUAACCUUUAUUAAUCUUUCUUGAAUAUAUUUGAGCCUUAGGAGAGUGUUUUUGAGUGCACCAUUGUUCUAAAACUUGCAUAUCAUUAGUGCCUCAUUCAAUCCUAGUUUUCUUGUAACAUUUAAACCUUAAAGUUUUGUACUAGGAUUUUGUGAGAUUCUUUAUUAUCUUCAUUUGUAAAUCUUUGAGAGAAAGAAUCUAAGUAUGAGGUAUCACUUAGGAAUUCUCAAGUGUGGGGUAUCACUUGAGAGAUUGUUCAAGAGUGGGGUAUUUUUUUACGUUUGAAAAUGGUGGAUUGGAAUCAUAAUCUAAUUGUAUUGCUUGAAGGCUUGGUUUAGAAGCCUUGAAAUAGUAGAACCUCAAACUUGGGAUUGAAGCUAGAGGAGAGUGAACGUAGGCCGGGUUGCGUUGAACCAUUAUAAAAAUCUUAUGUUUGCAUUUUCUCUUCCCUACUCUCUUAAUUUAUAUGCAAUUUUUUUUAUAUUGUUUUAUUAUAUAUUUACAUAUAAUUAUAUCUUGUAUUCACAUAAUUUAAAUUUACAAAAAGAGACCAUCACCCUAUUCAUCCCCCUCUAGGCUGAUUACUAUAGGUUGGAUUAACCUAAUUUUUCUAACACAUUAUCCAAAGCAACCAUGACGUUAUUAUCUUUUGAACUCUACUUCUAUUAGCAGCAGCAUUAAAAGUAAUAGCCUAAUGUGUGCAACAAAGUCUUCAGGUUAGUUCAGGCACUAUCUACUCCAACAUAGAAAGUGGGAAAAAAUGUGUGCUACAACCUUCCCACUUAGUUGAGGCACUGUCUACUCCUUAAUUCUGAACCAUUCAGUCCAAACGGGCAUCCACCUUACACUUAGGUAAGGCAAAGCUUCUCAAUAUUAUCUAUGUAAUGUGUGGUGUGUGGUAAAGAGCAUGCCAAACUUAAUAGCUAAAUCAACCCCAUUUUCAUGGGGCUAGAUUUACUCCCGCGUGAUUUUCAAUGAACAAAUAUGCAUCAUAACAACUGGCCAAAGAGAUGGGUUUUUUCAUACUCAGAACUAUCAUAUAUAAGACUUCGAAGGAGCUUUCACAUUUUAUAUCAUCGACAACUGUCUAUAGUUUCCAUAUUAGGAUGGCACAUGUAUGGAACAUGAAUUCGACCUGUGAGUGUUCUAGUGUGUGUAGUUUUGAGCCCUUUUGGAGAAGUGAUUCUUAGUUAUAAGAAGCACUCACAGAAAGUGUGACCAGGGUAUGUAUAAAUAUCCAUGUUCUGAACAGAGAAAACUGUGAAAACAGAAUAGAAAACCAUUUUUCUCUCUCCGACCCUCUUUCUUUUCACUCUGGUACUAUCCAGUCAUGGGAUUCUCCCUUCGCCCUCAAGAUAUCAUAGUUUUUGGGCUUCUUCUGUCUACAAUCUGUCUGUUGUUGGCAACAGUACUUAAUGCCAAAGGGAACAAGAAGAAAGGCGAAAGGCCACCAGAGCCGUCCGGGCGAUGGCCUCUUAUCAGUCACCUUCAUCUUCUAGAAGCAGACAAGCUGCUACAUCGAACACUUGGAGACAUGGCUGAUAAGUAUGGACCCAUCUUUUGCGUUCAUCUUGGCCUCAAAAAAGCAUUGGUGGUUAGUGGCUGGGAAGUAGCGAAGGAAGGUUACACUAUAAAUGACAAGGUAUUCGCCACUCGACCAAGACCCUUAGCAAUAAAGCUUAUGGGCUAUGAUCAUGGCUCGUUUGUCUUUGCUUCUUGUGGACCAUACUGGCGUGAUGUGCGGAAGCUAGCCAUGGCUGAGCUGCUGUCAAACCGCCAGCUUGAGAUGCACAAGCAUGUCCAGGACUCAGAAGUCAAGAUCUUAAUAAAAGAGCUUUAUGGGCAAUGGGCAAGCAACAAGGACGGCCCCGCUUUAGUGGAGAUGAAGGAAAGAUUUGGGAACUUGGCACUGAACGUAGUGGUGAGAGCAAUUGCUGGGAAACGGUAUUUUGGGACCCAUGCCUGUGGUGAUGAGCCAAAACGGGGCAAAAAGGCCUUUGAGGAUUUCAUUAUUCUAGUGGGGCUGUUCAUGGUCUCGGAUGCCAUCCAUUUUCUCGGCUGGUUGGACACGGUGAAAGGGUUUACCGCUGAAAUGAAGAGAGUAGCUAAGGAGGUGGAUUAUGUGCUUGGAAGCUGGGUGGAGGACCAUCGCCAGAAUAGGCUUUCUGCGAACGACAAUGGGGCUGAGCAAGACUUCAUACAUGCCAUGCUUUCUGUCAUAGAUGAUGGCCAAUUCUCUCGUCGUGAUCCUGACACCAUCAUUAAGGGCACUUGCUUGGUAUGUCCCUGCUACUUCCAUAACCUGAGCAUGAAAUGAAAAGAAAGAAAAAAAAAAAGCACCAUCUACUAUCAUAAUUUCUACAACUUUUUCCGCCCAAUUUCCUAAACCCUCCUCACAUUUCUAUAAGGAUUCAUCAAAUCCGGUAUAGCUUUAUCAUCUGUAUUUAUCAUGACAAACCAGGCGGGGUGAUCAAAUUUCACUUAGAUUCCUUAUUCACGGUUUGUUUUAUCAUUCUGCUAAACAUGAUAUUUCACUACUGAUAAGUAAACUUUGCCUGAUCACAUAUUGAAGUCGACAUCAUAUGUUGAUUGCAGAACCUCAUAUUAGCUGGCUAUGGAUCAACAUUUAUCACUCUUACAUGGGCCCUCUCUCUCCUAUUGAACAACCAUCAUGCGCUAAAAAAAGCAUAAGCAGAGCUGGAAAUCCAUGUGGGAAAGCAUCGCCAAGUGGAUGGAUCAGAUAUAAAGAACCUAGUCUACUUGCAAGCCAUCGUCAAGGAAACAUUACGACUGUACCGUCCUAGGCCACUUUCCCUGCCACGUGAGGCCAUGGAAGAUUGCAUUGUGGCUGGCUUUCACAUCCAAGCUGGGACGCGCCUUUUGGUUAAUCUCUGGAAGUUGCAUCGUGACCCCAGAGUCUGGUUAAACCCUUUGGAGUUCCAACCAGAGAGGUUCCUGACAAAGCAUGCAGGUUUGGAUGUUAGGGGUAGAAAUUAUGAACUUCUACCCUUUGGUUCAGGUAGAAGGGUAUGCCCAGGAAUCUCAUUUGCACUGGAGUUGACGCAUCUGACGCUAGCCAGACUGCUUCAUGGUUUUGAAUUGGGAGCGGUUGUAGAUUCACGGGUGGAUAUGACUGAAAGUCCUGGGUUGACUGCCCUCAAAGCAACCCCACUGGAGGUCACAAUUGUUCCAAGGCUACCUUUCGAGCUCUAUAGUUAUGAAGUAGCAUAGAAAGCAAAUAAUACUCUUAUGUGAGCCGGAGAGUCCCCUAAUUAGCCCAGUGCUUUAGUUUAGGGUAUAUUUAUGUUGGUGUGACUGACUUUGAAUUGUCGCGGUGUAAUGGGUGUUCUCCUUUCUCAUCUUCUCCUCAAUUUUCAUCCACUUGGAUAGUAAUAAAUUUCCAUCUAUGAGUAUUUCUUUUUGCAUACUUAAAAUAUCUUAAGCCUGUUUUUGAGGGGGAAAAAACCAUGUUUGAGACAAAAGAAAUAGAAAAUGCAUGGUUUUAUGUUCUACGUAUUUUAACUAUUUUUAUUUAUUUUUAAAAAUAAAUAUAAAAAUGACAAAAUAAAUAAAUAAAUAAAGUACUAACAUAAAAGUUAUUUAAAAAACAUAAAAAAAUAUUUCAAGUUCUAAAAUAAAAUUUUAAUCAUAAAACAUCAAAAACAAUUUUGAAAAACAAUUUUGAAAAACAAUUUUGAAAAACAAUUCUCAAAUAUCAUUUUUCAUAACUAUUUUUUAAAACAUUUCUCAAAUACAACCUUAAAUUUUGAACUCCUUCCAAAACGAAGUUUCCAUGAUGCUGCAACUUAUGCUUCUUCAUCAUUUGGAGUGCCUACUGUUGAGGCCUCGCGUCCUUGGUGAUCCACGUAGUUGCCAAAUGGGUGAACGCACGAUCUCAACCAAUAUAGAUUCUUGAUUCAAUCGUACUACCUGCAAAAGGCGUCCGGACGAGGUGUCCGGACGCACCCUCCGAUGGUUUUGUCAGCCAUGAUUAGAGAAAUAGAGAUAAAUCAGUUGGUCUUUUACCAAGUAUAGCAAGCUUACUUUCCUCUUUGUGUGAAGGUUCAUAUAUAUAGUAUCAGAAGCUUUGUUUCUCUCUUUAAUCGUAGGGAGAUAUUUUGUGUUGUCAUGAUGACACUAGGUGGUGGCAGGGUCAUCAUCACCCUACGGGCGGCUGACAGAUAUCGUGGUAGUUGCUGCAAUUGUUUGAAAUAGUGGGAAGUGAUCGUAGGAAGUGACUUGCCGUCACUUCAUUCUUGUCCUUUCACCCUGCAGAUGGCGGAAUGUGGGUCAUGGCAGGCUGUUGUGAUAACGUGUAAGACUUGCUUACUUCAGUCAAUGAUCCGGACAAACACACCCGGAUAGUGUAUGUCGGUCGUCCGGAUGUGCUGUGGCAGUCGUCCGGAUGUUAUGUUUGUGAGUGUCGUGUGCCUUUCCUUGAGAGAGUCCGGAUAGGAGAAGCGCGCCACGUGUACUCUUGGGGAAAUCCGGAUGAGGCUGAUCCAGAUGAGAAUGUGUGCCACGUGUUAUUAUGAGAUGUGUGCCACGUGUGGGGAGGGGUCCCUACACCUACUCUUGACUUAUUAACACAUGAUAAAACAAUUGAUCCUGAUUUUCAUAGAAAAAUCAUAUGGAUUAAUUGGGAAAUAGUUAACUGUACAAAGUUGCAGCCUGCAGGCCCUCAUGAUCGACCUACACUUAGCAUUUUCUUUCCCACAAGAUGAAUACAACAUUUGGCAGCAAGCAUAGGAUCAUCAUGAAUGACCUAUUGAACUCAAUAUUAUAAUAUCUUAUAUUAACUGAGCAUCCAACCCACCACCACAACUUAGACAACUUUAAAAAAAUUAGAAUCCAAUUACUAUAUUAUUGGUAGAAGACUGGAAUCAAAUGCUCUAAAUUAAUUUCCCUUAAGCGGACAAGAGGUUUUACAUGUUCACAUAUAUGCCAUACAAUCUCAUGGAACACUUUCUAAUAUAACUAUCAGAUUCCAAAAAUACAUUUGGCAAUGUUUUUACUAAAAGUGGUUUUUGUAAAAGUAUUUUUUCUAAUAGUCUUUUUCAGUGAAUCAUUUAUUAAGAAUCAUCUUGGCAACCGUCCUAGGAAAUGCUUUUAGCAUAAAAAAAAAGUUUUUAAAAAAACAUCACAUAACCAUAAUGGGCCAAAAUGGGCUUCUUUAGAAACUUAAUAUUAAAAGUGGGCUUCUUCCCAAACUAUUGUUCAAACUAGUCCCCAUCAAUUCACAUAACCAUAAAAACCAUCUUUUUUUAUACUAUUUUUGUUUACUUUCUCAGCUUUCCAUCCCAUUCUCUAUUCCCUGUGUAAUUUUUUUCUUCAAAACCCUAGCCCCACCAAUGGGCCACUGUGAAAGAGACAUUGUUGGAGCUAUAAAGUAUCAAGGUUGAGGUUGGUCCCAAUCUUCUUUUUGGUUUGUUUUAUGUAAAGUUUUUGGCACUUUCCCAUUUUUUUCCCCAUCUCAAAAUCUCGGUUUUCAGAAAAUUUAUUUAUUGUUUCCCAUUGCUUUUGUUUUUCUCUUUUGUUUACGUCCUUCACGACUAUUUUAGCAUACAGAUUCGUGAUUCUAAUAUAGAGGUUAUGUAAGAUAAAAUGGACAGAUCCUUCGUAGAAGGAUGAGUCCAUAUCACCCGAGGUUUGCUUUACCACAAGCUAAAAUAAAUGCCUGGUGUGGACCCGCAUCUUUCACGUGCGCCCCCACUCGAUCGGCGAGACUCGCUUUUUAUUUGUGAAAAAUUAAUUUUAGAAAAGUUGGAGUCGCCACUUAUUUUAUUUUUAUUUUAAAGGGAAAAUAAAACAAGAAAGAAAAACCCUAAAAAUGUGACUCCAUAAUUUUUGGAAAAAGCAUGUCUUUGAAAAACCCGAGUCUAAGUCCGGGGAUCAGGUUACCUAUUGGGAAGGUACCUCUAGGAGGUAGCACCCCUCUAAGCCCUAAAGAGGUCUCUACUGACUAAGUUAAGGGAAGCGUAGCAAUUAAAUGGUUGAUCAUGGAUACUUAAGUAGGCUAGGUGAUUCCAAAAACAUAGCAUAUCAAACAAGAUCAAAUCACAAUUAAGGAGAGUUAAAAAUGCGUACCUGGACAGCUUCCUAAACGCUAUCAUAAAACAUAAGAGAUUAAUUUGGAGAUACAUCAUACAACAUUUGUUUUAUUCAAGCAAAUCAGGCAUAUAUCAAGACAUCCAAGAAUCACGUCAAAUAUGGAUAGGGUCAUCAAUGACAUACAAGUAUAUAGAGUUCUAAAAAAAAAUAGAUGAGAAGAGAGCAUACCUGGAUAGCAAGCUAGUACUCCUCUAUGGGAAUCAAAAGCAUCUCAACAAUAAAUACGAAACGAAUUCAUGUAUAUCAUCAAGAAGAAUAAAAAAUCAACAUAUCAAACAAACAAUAUUGAAGAAGGUAUCAUGAAUGUCGGGCCCCCACCAAAGCCCUAAUUAAUUUCGCAUGAGUUGAUUCCAUGAAUUCCAUGACUUGGAAUUAUGGAGUUUGUUCAUGCUUAAGAAAAUUGAGAAAAAUCAAGAAAAUCAUUUGAAAAUCAAAUAAAAUAGUGAAAAUGCAUGCUAGAAGGAAAAUGGCAGCAAGAGUGUGUUAGAAUAUGGAUUUUAUACCUAGAAAGGACCUAAGAUGAAUUUUUCAAAGCCGGGAAUGUUUAGUUGAACAAUGGUUCAAAAAUUCAAUUUAAAACAGUAAAUUCCCAAGCAAAGAAGCAAGAAAAGGGGAAAGUGUGUGUAGCAAGGUAGCCAUAAUGGACUGGAGCCUAGGAAUGAGAUUUGAGACUAUCUUGCUGGUGUUGAAUCCCCAAAUACAUUCUGCCAUUUCUCUCUCUUGGCACUUUCUAGGGCUUCUUGGCGCAACCAACUUUCCCUAUCCAUGUUUUCCUUGGAUCCAUGAGCUCAAAUUGAAGCAGUUAUUGAAUGGAGAUUCUGGUGGGCAUUUGAUGUCAAAGAUAUUGCUGGAAGAGAGCUUGAGGGCUUCAUUUAAUCAUGGGCAACAGUGGGAACUGACAGGAAAUGACAAUUCCAGCUCUUGCUUAAUUUGGGGCGACUGCAAGUAUUAGUACUCAAGUGCCUGCUACAAUUUUCUCCUUGAUCAUCAAAAGCAAUGCUGAGCUUAGUACGACUUUCAGGAUCUAAGCUUGCAAUUCCUUAAAGAACCUCGGUCCCCUUUCUCUUCUCCAAAUAACAUAGAGAGCACCAUGUACUGUUUUGUGGGAUUUCUGUAGAGCUUUCUUGUCUUCAUCAUCAUUUGAAACUGCUGUUCGAAUCAUGAUCUUACACCUAAUUGCUGAAUAUGUAAAAAAAAGUAGCAAUACUCUUUGAAACUGCAACCAACAUGAAAACUGAGGGGGGAGAAAGGGUUUAUGGGGAUGAGCCUUUAAGUGAAACCUCUGAAUUUGAAACUUGUAUCUGCUCCUUUAUUCUUUUCUCUGUUUCAGAAUUUUGUUUAUCAUUCUCCUUAGUGAGGUGUUCUUUUUGUGCCAUAACUCCUUCAACAUCAGGUUCAUUUUGAGUGAUGUUCUUGUCAAUCUGGUCAAAUGUUGCAGGUCCCAAUGCCUAGGCAGUUCCUUUCUCAAACUCAGAAAAAUAUCCAUAUUAAUCUGCAUUCUCAUCGUCCACAUUAUCCAGAGACUCUGUGUUAUCUUCCUGCAGAUCAGAAGACAACUCCGGCUCCUUCUCUCCACUCUUCAAUCGCAUCCUCAACAUUAUGGUAAAGGUUGGCUUGGGUUUUCCGGAUGGAUGAAGAAUCUUGCUAAGGCAAUUGAGUUUUGGAUUGAUCAUUGAUGAGUUUCCCGUCCAUAGAUGAGUCACCCACCAAUAUCUCCAUCUCAGAAGUAUCAUUGGGAGGUAAGCCAUUUACAGGUGCAAGGUUAUUGUGAAUAUUACUGCUAUUAGAGUUCUGGUGCCGUUGUUUCUUAAAUCUGCAGCCUGCAUGUCAUCCUUUAGUUGUGUCACAAAUUCUGUAUUGAGCACAUGAUCACUAGUGAAGUCAAAAUUUCCAGAUCUCAAGACAUCUUCCCCUGGUGCCUCUAAAUCCAUGUCAGCUUUCUCUUCAUUACUCUUCCCAGAUCACCCCUCUCAGAAUUUCCAUCCACUUGUCCAGAUUCUGCCUCUUCUAGAUUUUCAUUCCUGGGAGAAGUUUUACCACGGUUUGAAUUGGUGCUCAUACUCUGAAGUUGGAAUUAUAGGUUGAGCAUCUCUGAUUUCAUCUUUUCUACCUACAGAUUAUGAUGACAUUUCUGCUCUCUAGAUUCAAGGAUAAACAGCGACUGUACAGUCUUCCAAGCAGCUCUUUUCUCCUUCAUUAAUGCCAAGCAACCAAUGAGUGACCUCAAAAAGCUCUCCAAUCUGCCAGUCCAUCUCUUGCAUGGAUUAAAUUAUCUGUAGUGGGCAAAUACAUCCCCAUCUCUCUGACAAGUGCCUCUAAAAUCAAAGAAGAAGUUUGACCGGUCAAUCAUAAAUAAUUUUAGUGCACUUCUUCUCAGGAAAUAUCUUCUGCUAAAUAUUUGGUGAAGGGAAGACAUCAGCCAGCUUCUAUCAUUUUCUUUGAUCUCUAAUUUCUGAACUGCAAUCCAACCCAUCCCCAUUGCACUCAGUAUUAUCAACUAUGAAAUUGAUUCGUCUUGUUGUUAUUUGAGAGAUUCUUCGUACAACCCUUAGUGGUCGGACCAUUCAUGAAUGAAGCUUAAGAACAAUUCUUUCAUCAAGUUCACUUAGAACAUAUCUAGGGGCGACUGCUGAUGGACCUUGGACCACAUCUUGGUUAUUAGCAAUUGGAGUAUCUAUUUAUUCUGUUGAUGCUUGCGGGGGCUGAUCAGUCAUUCCAGAUGACUUUGGUUGAUUCUUCCUAUUCUGCUCCAUAUCAAUUGCCUCACUCUCUGCCAAAUUAUCAAUAUUUUCUCGUUCAUUCUCUUCAUUUAUUCCUUCCAUUAAGAUUGCUUCUGCUGCAAGUCCAAGCUUCCUGCAGGGGGAAAACCACUGGCUUAAGUUAUCCCUUCCUCUUCCACUGACAAUAAAAACUAUAUUUUUCUUGUCCCAGCAAAGUGUGUUUAGAAUUGAAAUAACCUCCUGACUUGGAGCCUUGUUGAUGGAAUUUUGGGGCAUCACAGUGCCAUCAUAGUCCAACAGUAUGGCCCUACUCUUAGCCCUACAGUAGGCCGAAACAAUAGCCUCUAUUGAAAGCUUUCUAAAAUUAGGAUCAAGUGCUACAACUCUGAACCCAAAACUUAAACCAAUUCCCCAGCAUCUUCUCCUAAAGAGCUCUGAGCAGGUUCUCUCCAUAUCUUGCAAGAAGCUUCGUGACCAAUAAGCCACAUCAUGGGUGCUAACAUACCGAAAAUGCUUCUCAUGUCGCAGGAGUUGCUCUGAUUGAGACAUUGAAAUAGCUUCAUUCAUUGCCUCAGCAGUUGCUUCGACAUUCCAUGGAUUCACACAGAUAGCCCCACUAAGUGAAGGAGAGCAUCCAAUAAAUUCUGAUAGCACUAGCAUGCUCUUCUUGGGCCCACUCAAAUCCGAACUUGAUUCAGAAUCAUCUGUUCCUUGUCUACAAACAAUGUAUUCAUACGGCGUAAGGUUCAUCCCAUCCCUGACAGCCGUGACAACAACACACUCAGCAAUACUGUAAUAGGCAAUUCUCUCACUGAUUGAAACUGGUCUGUCAACAAAAACUAUUGGUUCAUACCCGGGCUCCCCAAAUUCUUCAUUGAUUCUUCUGCAGCUUUCCCUUAUUUCAGCUUGUAUUUCCUCUAAAUCUGCUCCUUUACCUCUUGCAGGGUUUGCAAUCUGAACCAACACGGUCUUUCCUUGCCACUUUGAGUGUUGCUGAAGCAACUGUUCCAUUGCCAAUAGCUUCAAAUUAAUACCUUUAAAAAUGUCCAUAUCAUUAACACCAAGCAACACCGUUUUCCCUUCAAACUGCUGCUUGAGCUCUCCUACCUUCUUCUCCUUAUCUGCAAGCUUCAUCACUGAAGCAAUCCGGCCCAUAUGAAUCCCAACAGGCAUAAUCUUGAUCCCCACAGUCCUUCCAUAAUAUUCCAACCCUAUAUAGCCCCUCUUUGACUGAUACUCCAAACCCAACAUCCGACUGCAACAAGAAAGGAAAUGCCGAGCAUAAUCAAAUGUGUGGAAACCAAUAAGGUCUGAGUUAAGCAAAGCCUUAAGAAUUUCUUCUCUGACAGGAAGAGUCCUGUAGAUCUCUGAAGAUGGAAAUGGACUAUGAAGAAAAAACCCCAUUCUUAACUGGUUAAAGUGCCUCCUCAAGAAAGUUGGCAAUACCAUCAAAUGGUAAUCAUGAAUCCAAACAUAAUCAUCAUCUGGGUUUAUCGCCUCAAUAACCUUUUGUGAGAAUAACUUAUUUGCCCACACAUAUGCUUCCCACAUAGACCGAUCAAACCGACCUCCAUGAUCAGCUGAAAAUGGCAACAUGUAAUGGAAAAGCGGCCAUAACAACUUCUUGCAGAAUCCAUGAUAGAAUUUCUCUAAAACAUCAUGAGGCAGAAAAGUAGGGACACAUUUGAAUGUCUCCAACAGAAUCUGGGAUACUUCCUCUUGUUCCGUCAAGUCAACAUCAACCCUCAAUGACCCAACAUACAGAACUUCCAUGUCUUCUGGCAAACCCUCCUUAAGUUGCAGAAGCAAUGAGUCUUCAUUCCAACUAAAAACCCAGCCUCUAUCAUCUGCUCUUCGGUUAGCUUUCACAGGCAACUGGUUUGCCACUAUAAUCAACCGAUCUUGAGCAACUGAAGAGGGGUUAUCAGACGACACACUAUUAGCCUGAUCAUCAUCAAGUUCAUACACAUUGCCCGGAACCGUCAUUACCCUCGGAAGCCGCUUCCGUUCUCGACCGAUUGCCGGAAAAUUCCCAGUAGCUAAAUCUAAAAGAUUGGUAUACGAUCUUGACAUCAUUUUUACACCAGCCUCAAAAGCCCAAGAUUCUUUUUCUUUUUAAAUGGACAAUUUCACCCAAUCUGCAGAACCACAAAACAAUCAAAACCCUAACCCUCUGUUUCUGAAUCAAUGAACAAUUGAAUCUUCUCUUGUUAAAGCUUUGAUCUUUAGAGUCAAAUGCAUGUCAAUUCUUGGGCUUAGAACUUUUCUGAAGAAGCAAAGAUUGCUUCUCUUUUCUGAUUCCACUCUGUUCUCAGUGCAUGCUGAAAGUCCCCUCUUCUCUAUGCCUCUCCUCCAAACCCAAUGGAUUUUAAAUUUUGGGCAGUCUUGGCUGCAAUCGCUGGGCUUCCGGCUUUCCUCUCACCUCUAAAGACAACUCCCCAGAUAAAAAUCCUCUUUUGCCCGGUCACUCCUUCUUCCUCCUUCCUUCCGAAAUCCUCCCAUGCCUUUUUUUCUCCCCACUUUUUUUUAUAUGGCAGCCCACUCUUGUAGAAUAUUUUACUUCCUUUUUUUGUUAUACGCGUGGAUAUGGGAAGUCUACAUAUGUGCAGCUUACUUGGAGAUUUUCCAAGGAUGCAGCCCCUCUCUCAUUUGGUAAGUAAUCAGAUUCUCUUUAAUCUUCUUUCCAUAUGCUCCCGGAUGUGCCUCAGCCGUGAUGUGCCCACUUUCUAUAUGCAGCCGUGUACGUCAAAGAUCUUCUCCACUGUGUGCAUUCAAAUCUCAUGCCAAAAUAAAAUAAGAAUUAAAAGCAGUAGAGGUUAUGAAAUUGAGAAUUAAAACUAAUAAAAAAAUAUAUGCAAUCAAAAACAAUAUAUCUAUCAUAGCUACACACAAACAAAUUAAGACAUCAGUUUACGCAAUUAAUGACAUCAAUCUCAUGCAAUAUUCUAUAAAAUAAAUAAAUAAAACAAAUAACUAACUAAAUGUUAAUAAAAUAAGUAGAUAAAUAAAUGAAUAGGAAAUCAAGUACAUACAAGUGUUAAAAAAAUGCAAAUCAUGCAAAUUAUGUAAGUCAUGUAGGAAUUACCGCAACGGUGACAUGAGAGGGCUAAGAUACCUAAGUGGAUCUAGUGAACCUAAAUGGGCCUAGAUGUGCCUGAAUGAGCCUAGGUGAAUCUAAGUGGGCCUAGGGUGGUGCCUAAUGGGUCAAGUGUAUCUAAAAGCUAUCCCAAAAAAAGCAAGAAAAGCCUAAGUCUAAGUUAGGGCUGCCAAGGGUCACAAUAAGGGGUAAGAUAAUCCCCUAACCAAAGUCCCCGAGGUGACUCAGAAAAAGGUAAGUUGUACGAGUAGUAAUGGACCACCAAGGAACUAUUUUGAAGCACUGAAAACGAACUUAAAGUCAUGUGCUAAAAGGACAAAAUUGAGGGUCUACACCUGGGUGUUGGAGGAAAUAGCCUAAAAAAAAUAAUGGGUAAAUAUUAGUGCGAGUAAAUUUCAUCAAAAAAAUAUUUUUUUCUUCCUCCCUAUUUUUAAACAAACAACAACUUUCUAAUGAGCAAGCAGACUAGAAUCAAAGAUGAAUGAUAUUCUCAUUGACUAUUUAGAUAUAUACCAUGUACCAUUCCUAGAACCCCCACAUACAUUUUUAUUCUCACGAUUAGUACAGUCACCCAUCUCUUUAGACCUACCAUUAGUGCAACACCCUACUUUUUCAGACCUACCAUCAGUGCAACCCUCUACCUCUUUAAACCCACCAUCAGUACAACCCUCUAUUUCUUUAGACUUACCUUCAGUUCAGGCCCCUACUUCUUUAGACCCACCAUCAACACAACCCUCUACUUCUUCAGACCCACCAUCAGUACAACCCCCUACCUCUUUAGACCUACCUCCAUUACAACCCCCUAGUUCUUCAAACCCACCAUUAGUGGAGAUUGACACAUCUACUCAGUUAGAUUUACUGUCAGCCAUUCCAAGGGGUAGGCAAGGCCUACAUCAACCUAGAUUGCUACCUCCACCACCACCUCUAUUUCCAGCUCCAGCCCCAUCACAGACAGAUGUUCUUCAUGUGUCACAUGUAGUACCUGCUAUAGUUAGAGAAGAGUGUCCAAGAAAGAGAGUACCAGUUACACAUAGGUUUUCUCCUUGUGGAGACAUGUGAGAUUAUAUAUGUUUUUUUUUUCCCACUAUAAUAAUGUUUACUGGGUAUUUUUUAUGACUUUGAUUAAAUUACUAAAAAUUACAUUUUGUAGUAGACUUCUUCUAAUUAAUUUCAUUAGCUAAUUUUGUCAAAAAAUCUAUAUAUGACAAAUGUGGAAUUUGUCAUAAUACAAAUAAAUUAAUAUCUUAAAAAACAACAAAUUAAAUAUCUUAAAUUAAUAAAUUAUACAAUUUUAUAUAUUAUUUAUAUGUUAUAUAAGUUUAUUAUUUUAAUAUUAUUAAUUUAUUAAUAAAUAAAAUAUUCAUUUAUAAUAUCUUCUAUUUAUCAAUUUAUAUUUGUUGAAGUAAUACUAUAUUCUUAAGUUUAAAUAUAAAUAAUUUAUUAUUAAAGUAUAUAUUUUUAAUUUUAAUAAUAAAUUGUAAUUUAAUAGUUUUUAAUUAAAUUUGAAAGUAAAAACAAAUUAUAAUUGAAAUCUUAGUUAGCAACUACUGCUUAAAAGUAUGUUAUUAUUUCGAUAAAGAUAAAUUUUUCAUAAUACAAAUAAAUUAAUGUCUUAAAAAAAACAAAUUAAAUAUCUUAAAUUAAUAAAUGAUACAAUUUUAUAUAUUAUUUAUAUGUUAUAUAAAUUUAUUAUUUUAAUAUUAUUAAUUUAUUAAUAAAUAAAAUAUUUAUUUAUAAUAUCUUCUAUUUAUUAAUUUAUGUUUGUUGAAGUAAUACUAGAUUCUUAAGUUUAAAUAUAAAUAAUUUAUUAUUUAAGUAUAUUUUUUUUAAUUUCAAUAAUAAAUUGUAAUUUAAUAAUUUUUAAUUAAAUUUUAAAUUAAAAAAAUUAAUUGAAGUCUCAAUUGACAAUUGCAAUUUUAGUUCAAAAAUGAAGCCGUAGUUGUCAAUUGAGACUUCAAUUUAAAAAUGAAUCAUCAAUUGACAACUGCAGCUUUAGUUCAAAAAUGAAAUCUUAGUUGCCAAUUGAGGCUUCAGUUUAAAAAUGAAGUCUCAAUUGGCAACUACGGAUUUAGUUCAAAAAUGAAGUCUCAAUUGUCAAUUGAUGUUUCAGUUCAACAAUGAAACCUCAAUUGAAAACUGUGGUUUUAAUUCAAAAACUAAAGCCUUAGUUGAUAACUGCGGCUUUAGUUCAAAAAUAAAGUCUUAGUUGUCAAUUGAGGCUUUAACUAAAAUGAUGAAAAAAAAUAUUUUUUAUAACAUGGCAUCUACGUGGGACCAAAGAGACCAAUUUGAACAUAAAUUUCAUAAAGUUGUUAGAUCCUUUUUUAAAAAAAAUAAAAUUGGUCAAUUUGACCCAAAACUCCUUUUUCAGGGUUGUUCAAAAUUCAAAAUCAGUUAGCUGAAGAACAGUAAGGAAAAGAACAUAGCUGAAUUUGCAGAAAAGUUUUUUUUUUUUCAUUUUCCUUUUUCUUCUAAGGAUCUUGGAAUCCUUUUCCUAGUAUAGACAGAACAUUAGAGGUAUAUAUAUGGUAGUGGGAAGUGAUUCUUCCCCAUAAAACAUUUUCUUUUCUAUUAAGUCAUGGGAUUCUAUCUUCAGCUUCAAGGGAUCAUAGUUUUCUAGCCUUCUGUUGCUAUCAUCUGUUUGUGGUUGAUUAAGGGCAAAGGGAACAGAAACAGAGGCAAAAGGGCACCAGAACCAUCACCGGCAUGGCUUUAAUCGGACACCUUCAUCUUGUACGAGCAGGCAAGCCCCAACAUCAAGCAUUUGGAGCCAUGGCAGAUAAGUAUGGACCAAUCUUUUGCUUUCACAUUGGCCUGCGCAAAACUUUGGUGGUUAGCAGCUAUGAAGUAGCAACAGAAUGUUUAACUACCAUGGACAAAGCAUUUUCCACUCGACCUGAUCCUUGGCAGGAAAGCUCAUGGGCUAUGGCCAUGCCAUGUUUGGCUUCUCUCCCUGCGGGCCAUACUGGCGUGAUGUAAGGAAGCUGGCCUCGGUUGAGCUCCUCUCAAACCGCCAGCUUGAGUUACUCAACCAUGUCCGGGACUCAGAAGUUAAGCUUUUCAUCAAAGAGCUCUACGGGCAAUGGAUACAAAAUGGGGACAGGCCUGUCUUGGUCGAGAUGAAGGAGAAGUGUUGGCACCUGGCAGCAAAUGUAAUGGUGAGCGCAGUAGCUGGGAAAUUUUGGCACCGUUACAAAUGACUAUGAGUCAAGACGGUGCCGGAAGGCCCUUGGCGAUUUGUUAUAUCUUUCGGGGAUAUUUAUGGUUUCUGAUGCAAUCCCCUUCCUUGGCUGGUUGGGCACUGUGAGAGGAUAUACGGCAAAAAUGAAGAGAACAGUUAGGGAGGUGGAUCAGGUGCUGGGAAGCUGGGUGGAGGAGCAUUGCCGGAAGAGGUUCUCUGGAAGCAUGAACGAGGCUGAGCAAGACUUCAACCAUGUCAUGCUGUCUGUUAUUGAGGAUGGUCAGUUCUCUGAUCAUGACCAUGACACUGUCAUUAAGGCUACUUGCUUGGUAUGUUUCUUCUUCUUUCCUUGGUCAAAUUCCAUGAACCUCCACACACUUAACAGCAAACCUCCAUCAUGAUUGGUUUUGUCCAGCUGUUACACUUGCUAUUUCAGGACUGAUGAUUAACUCUCAACUUUCUUUGAAAAAAUUUCUGGGAAUAAUGAAAACUAUGAUAAACUUUUAAAUUGUUCUACUAACAGCCAGACAUACGGUUUUUUAACACACGCUGAUCAAAGAAGCCAUAUCACCAGCUCAAAAGACCAGCAUGGAUGUAAUGUUGAUGCAAACUCUUAUAAUAGGCGGCUCUAAUUCUACGGUGAUCACACUGACCUGGGGCCCUCUCUCUGCUAAUGAACAAUCCCAGCACUCUAAAAAGAGCACAAGAUGAGUUAGACAUCAAAGUGGGAAAGCAUCGCCAAGGGGAUGGAUCAGAUAUAAAGAACCUAGUCUACUUUCAAGCCAUCGUCAAGGAAACAUUACGACUGUACCCUCCUGGGCCACUUUCCCUGCCACGUGAGGCCAUGGAAGAUUGCACUGUGGCUGGCUUUCACAUCCAAGCUGGGACGCGCCUUUUGGGUAAUCUCUGGAAGUUGCACAAGGACCCCAGAAUUUGGUCGGAUCCUUUGGAGUUCCAACCUGAGAGGUUCCUAACGAAGCAUGUGUAUUUGGAUGUUAGGGGUCAAAAUUUGGAAUUUCUGCCAUUUGGGUCAGGCAGAAGGGUAUGCCCAGGAAUCUCAUUUGCGCUUGAGGUCGUGCAUCCGACUUAUUUAAGAUCAUACAUCAGUUGAUUAUGAUCAUCUUCAUCGAUCAAAUAGAGUUCAUAUGUUGAUGCCUAUGUCGUUAUUUGAUUUGAUAAUUUUUCUUGCUUCUGCUUCAAAGUUUCUUGUUUGUGUUGAGCCUAGCUCAUAUUUUUUAGUCAACUCAGGGUAAGGGAAAAACACAAAUGGGAUUUGUGUUUUUUUUUUUUUUUUUCCACCAGCAGAAUGGUCUUAUUUGGAAGCUUGUACAAACAUAGCUUUUUUAUAUAACUAUGGGGCUAGCCACACUCCACAUGAUUUUCAAUGUACAAAUAGGCAUAAUAACAACUAGCCAAAGAGAUGGUUUUUUUCAUACUCAGAACUAUCUUAUUUUAGACUUCAAAGGUGCUUCAUAUUUUCUACCAUGCAUUGAGAGCCGUCUAUGGUUUUCAUAUUAGGAUGGCACAUGUGUGGAACAUGAAUUCCUACUUGUGAGUGUUCUAGUGUAUGUAGUUUUGAGCCAUUUUGGAGAAGUGAUUCUUCCCCCUGAUCCAUUCUCUCUGGUACUAACUAGUCAUGGGAUUCUCCCUUCAGCCUCAAGAGAUCUCAGUUUUUGGGCUUCUUGCUACAAUCUGUCUGUUGUUGGAAACAGCACUUAAUGCCAAAAGAAACAAGAUCAAGGAAGGCAAAAGGCCACCAGAGCCGUCCGGACAAUGACCAAUGGCUGACAGAUUUUUUUUCCUUUUUUUUUUUAAAUUUAAGCAAUAAGCUUUGAUGAUCUGAAAGUUUUUUGCUUCUUCAAAUUGGAAUUAUAUGUUUUUACAUUGCAUUCAUAUCUGAUACUCGUAAAGUGCAUCUUCUUCUUUUUCUUCUUGUUUGUUGUUUGAUUAUACUUUAAUCUUCAUAGAAAUCGACAUUUUCUCCCCCAUCAACUCUAGAGCUAAUCAGGAAGGUAGAACAGUUCUUGGUUUGCAGACCUCAGAAAAUCAAUUAGCUAAACAAAAACAUAGAGAAGAAAAAGAGGAGCUAAAUUUGUUGAUGUUGUGACAAACUCUCCCACCUUCUAUUUAGCGAGAAGUGAUAUGGGAAGUGAUACUGAAUCAAGUUUACAUUGCUGGUUUGUCGUGUGGUUGUGCACGAGAUUACUAGUCAUCGUCCUCCAUGCAGAGUGAGGUGUGCAUGAGAGAAUGCUCUAAUAUCUUCCUUCAUCAGGCGAUUGUGCCUACAUAUGGUUCCUUUUUAUGCCUGGAACUGGUACUUUUAGUCCACUGAACCUGUGUUAGUACCAGAAAUAACAACAUGACGAUACCUAUCAAGAAAAAUAUAAGUGACCAAGUGAGUAGACCGGCUCCCUAAGGAUUCCUCGUAGGUCUGGCAUACUUAUAUUAGACUUUCAGAGAUAAAUAAGUAAAGAGAACUUGAAACACUACGUAACAUCGAUCAAAUCAUAUUGGAGAUGAGCUUGUAAGUCUAUGUAUUGUGUGGUAGGUAAAGAGGAGGCACAACUUGGGCUGAAAGCACCCGAACUGAACUUUCCACUAACUCAUUUUCUCUUGAGCGGCUAAAAAUUGGAUCAUCAAGAGACUGCCUCAAAACCUGACCUUAACCAGUAUUAAAAUAUCAUGAUAUUUUGACAAUAUAUCGUUAAAAAUCGUGUAUAGGUGGAUCUCGACACGAAAUAUAGGGAAGAAAUAUUGGCACCUCGAUAUUUCGAUAAUUUAUUGAUUUUUCACCAAUAUUUUGAUUGGUCAAACUUCAAAAAAAUUCAAAUUUUCUACUGCUACUGAGGGGAAUCCAACCCUAGCCAAAAUGUUCACCAACCACUGAGACAUCUUCCAUUAAUAUAUUAAUUAAAUAUUAAAAAUCAUAUAUAUAUAUAUAUAUCAUUAUUUAUUUUAUAUUAUUUAAUACAAUUAAAUAAAAUGGAUUAUAAAUUUAAUUUUAAUAUUAAAUAUAUUUUUUAAUAAUCAAAUAUCACAAUAAUAUUCAAUAUAAUUUAAUAAUAAAUAUACACUUAUAAAAUAUAUAUUUAUUUAUUCUUAUAUAUAAUAUAAUUAUCAAAUAUGAUAAAUUAUAUUAUGUAUAAAAAAAUUUAAUAAAAUAAUUUUAAAAUAUCUAUUAUACUUUUAAUAUUUUUAUUUUUGAAAAAAAUCACUUUAAUCAAUUUUAUGUUUAUCAAAUAUUUUAUAUUUUAUAUUAAAAUAUCUAUCAAAAUAUAUUCAUAAAAUAAAAUUAUCAAUAUAUUUGUUAUUAUGAUACUUUCAUCCUUAUCCUCAAUCAGACUUCCAAAAAAGGUACCUCAGUGCGAAUCUACCUUAAGAUCGGGCAAAAUGGGAAACGUGGGUAAAAUGCGAAUCUACCAACCCAUGGGCCAUGGCACUUGCGGAAAAGGCUGUCAGCCCGGGACCACGCUUGUCAGCAACGUCAACGACAAAAUGAAAAGUUAAAAAGGCAAUGAACUAAAAAAGGAAAGGAGGAGGAUGGUAAUCCUUCAUUGACAAGAAAGGAAACGGAGAAGAACUAGAUUUUUGUAUCUCCAUCUUCUAAUGGGAUUCUCUCUUCAGCUUCAAGAUGUCACAGUUUUCGGCAUUCUUUUUGCAAUUAUCUGUCUGUGGUUGGUUAAUGCCAAAGGUAACAAGAACAAAGGCAGAAGCCCACCAGAGCCCUCCGGGGCAUGGCCUGUAAUGGGUCACCUUCAUCUUCUAGGAGCAGAUAAGCAAAUACAUAGGACAUUCGGAGCCAUGGCUGAUGAGUAUGGACCAAUCUUCUCCAUUCGUCUUGGCCUUCGAACUGCUCUGGUGGUUAGUAGCUCGGAAGUAGCAAAAGAAUGUUACACUACCAAGGACAAGGCACUCGCCACUCGACCAAGAUCCUUAGCAGUAAAGCUCAUGGGCUAUGACCAUGCCAUGUUUGCGUUUGAACGUCACGGUCCAUACUGGCGUGAUGUGCGGAGGCUAGCCAUGGUUAAUCUCCUCUCCAACCGCCAGCACGAGAUGCUCAAGCAUGUCCGGGACUCAGAAGUCAAGUUUUUCAUCCAAGAGCUCUAUGGGCAAUGGGUAGAAAAUGGAGGCAGCCCUGUUUUGGUGGACAUGAAGAAAAAGUUUGAGCACCUGGUAGCAAAUUUGACGAUGAGAACAGUUGCUGGGAAACGGUGUGAAAAUGGCGAGUCAAGAUGGUGCCAAGCCCUAGGUGAUUUCAUGAAUCUAAUGGGGCAAUUUAUGGUUUCUGAUGCAGUACCCUUCCUUGGAUGGUUAGACACAGUGAGGGGAUAUACAGCAAAAAUGAAGGGAACAGCUAGGCAGUUGGAUCAGGUUCUUGGAAGAUGGGUGGAGGAGCAUCGUCAGAAGAGGCUUUCCGGAAGCAUCAAUGAGGCUGAGCAAGACUUCAUUCAUGCCAUGCUGUCUGUUAUAGAUGAUGCUCAGUUAUCUGCUCAUGACCAUGACCAUGAUACUGUCAUCAAAGCCACUUGCUUGGUAUGUUUCUACUACUUCAUAACACCACCAUCCUCAUGAGCAUCUGCAACUUCAUCAAUACCUUGAUAAUACUCGUAUUACUCCAUCAUGAUCUAUUUUUUCCUUCUGCUAUACAGUAUUUCAGGACUAUUGAAGUAACUCUGUUUCUUUCUUUGACAAAAAUUGCCGAGACCAUUCCCUAAGGAAACAGCAGACAGAAUUCAUAAAUUAGGCAGGGAUAACAGGAACUGGGAUAAUUUUUUUUUACCCGGAUUCCCCAGUCAUGAUUCUUCUGCCGACACGCUAGACAUACUAUUUCACAAAUGAUGUAUGGACUUUUUUCUUUAAUCACAAGUUCAACAUGGGUGUAAUAUGUUGAUGCAGACUGUCAUGUUGGCGGGCAAUGAUACAAUAGCGAUCACACUCACCUGGGCCCUCUCUCUGCUAAUGAACAACCCUCGUGCACUAAAAAAGGCACAAGAAGAGUUGGACUUCCAUGUGGGAAGGAAUCAGCAAGUGUACGAAUCAGAUAUAAAGAAGCUAGUCUACUUGCAAGCCAUUAUCAAGGAGACCUUACGACUAUACCCUGCUGGGCCGCUUGCACUGCCACAUGAGGCCAUGGAGGACUGCACUAUUGCAGGCUUCCACAUCCAAGCUGGGACUCGCCUUCUGGUUAACCUCUGGAAGUUACACCGCGAUCCCACAAUUUGGUCGGAUCCUUUGGAGUUCCAACCUGAGAGGUUCCUGACAAAGCAUGUGGGUUUGGACGUUAGGGGUCAACAUUUUGAACUUCUACCAUUUGGGUCAGGCAGAAGGAUGUGCCCAGGAAUCUCACUUGCUCUGGAGAUCCUGCAGCUGACACUAGCCAGAUUACUUCAUGGUUUUGAAUUGGGAGUGGUUGCAGAUUCACCCCUGGAUAUGACUGAAGGUGUUGGGCUCGCUAUGCCUAAAGCAACUCCGCUGGAGGUCACCCUAGUCCCAAGGCUACCCUCCGAGCUAUACCACUAAAGUAGUAUCCUAAUGUGUGCAACAAAAUCCCCUGGUUAGCCCAGGAAGGGUCUACUCCACUGGAGGUCACUCGGGAUGCAUAUCUGCCUAAAUAAACCUCGAUGAAAAGCCUCACAUCUUAGGAUGUUACAUCACUUGCCGUCCUUGCAUAUCUACUCAAGCUUUCUUAAUCAGGAUACUUUCUAGGUACCUUGUGUUUGUAAUUUAACUGGAACAUGUUAAAAUUAGGAGUCUUGGGUCUAUUUUGGGAAGGUUUUUAAAAAUAAUUCUUAAAAAUAUAUAUAUAUUUUUAAACUAUUUUCAAAAAUUGUUUUAUCAUAUUUUCUAAAAUAAAAAUAUGUUUGAAAUUUUAGAAAGUUUUUAACAUGUUUUUUUCUUUUUUUAAUUUUCAAAUAUUUUUUUUUAAAUGAAGUUUCAUCUCCAAUGCUUUAUUUUCAACCAUUUCUAAAAAUUAAUUAAAUACGUUUUUAUGUUUUUUUAAUUCUCAAAAAUAAAAUAAUUAUUCUUAAUAACAAUUUGUAAACAUAACUUAAGCUUUUUAAAAAAAAAAAUAGAAAUGUUGAAUUUAAAGUGUUCAAGAAUAAUAGGUGAGUGAAUGGAAUGAGUGUGGCCUUUAAAACUCAUCAUUUGUGACAUGAUUUAAGAAAUUGUUUGAUAGAGGUUUCAAAAAGCGUUUAUAAUCUUUUUAGAACUUAAAAAUAUUUUUUUUGAUAAAAAAUUUUAAAUAUUAAAAAUAUUAAAAAUACAUUUUAAAAUUACUAUCAAACGAAUUUUAAAAAUGUGUUUGUCAAUGUUUUUACUAAACAUGAUUUUUGUGAAAGUAUUUUCUCUAAUAGUCUUUUUCAGAUAAUCAUUUAUUAAGAGUUAUUUUGACAGUAAUCCUAGAAAGUGCUUUUACAGUAAAAAAGAGUUUAAAAAAAACAUGGAAUGUUUAAUAGAAUUUAGGAAAUACUAAUCAAAAUUCUAAAAAUGCGUCAACAUGAUUUUUGUGAAAGCAUUUUCUCUAAUAGUUUUUUUUUCAGAGAAUCAUUUAUUAAGAGUUAUCUUUGCAGUGAUUCUAAGAAGUGUUUUUACCCUAAAAAGAUGUUUUUUAAAAAAAACAUUGAAUGUUUAACAGAAUUUAAGAAAUACUAUUCAGAUUUUGAAAAAUCAUUUUUUAGAAAAACACUUGAGAUGAUUUUCUGAAAAAUAAUAUUUUAUAAGAAAACAUUAUUAUUAAAGAAAUUUUGAAUAUAAAUACUUUCAAGCGCAUUUUCACUAUUGUUUUAAGAGUGUUUGAAAGUAAUUAUAGAAAGUAUUUCUAAUAUCUUUAAUACUUGAAAGAUAAAAAAUUUUAAAUGUUAAAAAUAUUAAAAAUACUUUCUAAAAACACUAUAAACAUGUCCAAAGAAUUACAGGUGAUUUUUUAACUUUUUAAAACCCUUGUCUAAAUUUUAUCUAGUUUUAUUUUUUUUUUUUUGGUCAAAAAUAUUUUUUUAAGCUAGAACAAGAAGUACUCUAACUUUAAAGAAUCCUUACCCAGCCGUUAACGUUUUAAACACAGUAGUUACUAGGCCCUACUCUCAUGCUAUUGUCUAAAUAAACAGGAGCACUUUUGUUACUUAGUGCUGGAACGCAUUAGAACUAUAGACAAAACAGAAGAUUCCAUGGUUUUAUUUAGGCACCAAACCCACUCAUUCAAGCAUAUUUAAAUUUAAAUGCAGCCGUCCAUGAAUAAACAACAGACCCAUUACCAAGAAGGUGAUCAUCCUUUUUCAGGGUUGGUUCUUCAAAAUUCAAAAUCAGUUAGCUGAAGAACAGAAAGGAAAAGAACAGAGCUGAAUUUACAGAAAAGAAAUUUUUUUUUUCUUUUUCUUUUCUAAGGAUCUUGGAAUCCUUUUCCUAGUAUAGGCAGAACAUUAGAGAUAUAUAUAUGGUAGUGGGAAGUGAUUCUUAUGUUGAAACUCCAUUUUGCUUGUAUCCAAUUAUUAGACAGAAAUUGCAUGUUGAAUCAUAUGAAGAAAUUAUGUCAAACAUUUCUAUAGAAAGGAACAUACUGAACUAACCUGAUUCCAUUUUGAGUGUUGAAUGAACAAGGUAUGGAUCUUCUAAGGCUGUGGAGGGCAUCACCUCCUUCUGGAUUCUCUCUGACGAUGGGAGUGGGAGAGAAAACAAGUCUGUUCUUAUUUCAAAUUAUGUGAUUCGAUUGAACAGACACUUAGCCUUUGGUUUUAUACCCUCCUGCCUUAGGACCAUACCCUUUGGCUAUUAGGCCUCACGAGUCUUAGGCCCAUCAUCUAAGGCUCGUGAUGGCAAUGGACUCUACACAUAAGGUGACCCAUACUAUGUAAAACUGAUACAAAAUAAAUAUCAAAAGGGGAAUAGCUUAGUCAUAUAACAUUGUUAAAUAUGUGUGAGUCCAUAUCUUAACAUCUUCUCCCUAAAACAUUUUCAUUUCUAUUGAGUCAUGGCUUCAGUUUCGAGGGAUCAUCGUUUUUGGCCUUCUGUUUGUGGUUGAUUAAAGCCGAAGGGAACAAGAACAAAGGCAAAAGGGCACCAGAACCAUCCAAGGCAUGGCCUUUAAUCGGACACCUUCAUCUUCUAUGAGCAGGCAAGCCCUAACAUCAAUCAUUUGGAGCCAUGGCAGAUAAGUAUGGACCAAUCUUUUGCUUUCAUAUUGGCCUGCGCAAAACUUUUUUGGUUAGCAGCUAGGACCCAGCAAAAGAAUGUUUCACUACCAUGGACAAAGCAUUUGACACUCGACCCAGAUCCUUCGCAGGAAAGCUCAUGGGCUAUGACCAUGCCAUGUUUGGCUUCUCUCAUUACGGGCCAUACUGGCAUGAGGUAAGGAAGCUGGUCUCGGUUGAGCUCCUCUUAAACCGCCAGCUUGAGUUACUCAACCAUGUCCGGGACUCAGAAGUCAAGCUUUUCAUCAAAGAGCUCUACGGGCAAUGGAUACAAAAUGGGGACAGGCCUGCCUUGGUCGUGAUGAAGGAGAAAUGUUGGCACCUGGCAAUGAAAAGAAGAAGAAUUGGCUGAAUUAAUAUUAUUGAUGUUGAAGUGUGUAUUUAUACAAGGAGGUUUGAGAUCUUUUUCUACAAGUCAGACAUCAGCUUACCAUAUUCUAAACUAUCCAGCUAUAAGUCAAGAAUUACAAUAGGAAAACUAACAUAUACAGAUCAUCUAUUCUUAAUAUGGAAGAUUUAGGAAGAUUGACUUUCCAACACUCCCCCUCAAGUUGGAGAGUGGAUAUCCUACACUCCCAACUUGCGAAUCAUAGGAGCAAAAAUCUCCUUUCCCAAUGGUUUAGUCAGAAUGUCUGCAAGUUGGUGCGCUGAGCUCACAUGUCUUGUAAUAAUGGAACCAUCUUGGAUCUUGUCCCUAAUAUAGUGACAAUCCAUCUCAAUGUGUCUAGUACGCUCAUGGAAAAUAGGGUUGGCUACAAUGUGCAACGCUGCCUUGUUGUCACAAUACAGCAAGGCAAGUUCCUGAUGUAAAACACCCAAAUCUUUCAAAAGGUACCGAAGCCAUGUCAACUCACAACAAUCUCCUGUCAUUGCACGAUACUCUGCUUCGGCUGAAGAGAGUGACACUGUUUUCUGUCGCUUUGAUCUCCAAGAAAUCAAUGAAAGUCCAAGGAAUACAUAGUAGCCUGUAGUGGACCUUCUAGUAAGUGGACAACCUGCCCAAUCAGAAUCACAGUAGGCUCUCAAUCUGAAAUCAUUAUUCGAAGAGAAGAACAUACCCUGACCAGGUGCAUUCUUGAGAUAACGUACAACUCUGAACGCUGCUUCCAUAUGAGCCUUUCUCGGUUGAUGCAUAAACCGGCUUAACACAUGAACUGCAUAAGUGAUAUCUGGCCUCGACACAGUUAGAUAUAUUAACCUUCCAACCAAUCUCCUAUAACGACCUUGAUCCUUGAGCAAAUCGCUCUUAUCAGACAAUUUCAAUCCUCGUUCCAUAGGUGUAUCAAUAGGGGCAGCGCCCAAUAAUCCUGCAUCCUCAAUAAUCUCUAAUGCAUACUUACGUUGGAAAAUAAAAAUACCAUUUUUAGAAGCAGAAACUUCAAUGCCAAGAAAGUAUUUUAAAUCACCCAGAUCUUUGAGAUGAAAAUGACUAUGCAGAAAUUUUUUUUGUUGUAGCAAUGCUCACAGGAUCAUUUCCAGUAAUCAGAAUAUCAUCAACAUAUAUCAAGAGGGCAGUAAAGGACUUGCCUUAUUUUCUAGUGAACAAAGAAUAAUCGGCUCGAGAUUGUGCAUAACCGGCAGAUUGAAUAGCUUCUGAGAACUUGGCGAACCACUGGCGAGAAGCUUGUUUCAGACCGUAGAGUGAUUUAUGAAGGCGACAUACCAAGUUUUCCUCCCCCUGUUGCCGAAGCCCUAGCGGCGGAGACAUAUAUAUUUCCUCAUGUAAGUCGCCAUGAAGAAAAGUGUUGUUAACAUCCAUUUGAUGAAGAGACCAGCCAUGGGCUGCGGCCAAUGCAAGCAAGCAGCAGACAGAUAUGAUCUUGGCGGUGGGGGAAAAGGUAUCCUGAUAAUCGACACCUUCUAAUUGAGUAAAGCCUUUCGCUACCAAUCGUGCUUUGUAACGCUCAAUAGACCCAUCUGAACGGUGUUUAAUUUUAUACACCCAUCGACAGCCAAUUGGUGUCUUGCCAGCCGGAAGUGGAGUGAGAGACCAAGUGCCAUUAGCUUGGAGAGCCUGCAAUUCAGAACGCAUUGCCUCCUGCCACUCAGGAUGAGUGGCUGCUUCCGAAUAAGACCUAGGUUCAGUGACAGCACUAUGUUGAGCAACAAAAGAUCUAUAUGCAGGCUUAUAUCUGUGAUAAGAAACAUAAUUGGCCAGUGGAUAUCUUGUACCUUUAGUUGGACCUGGAAUCAAGGAAGACGAUUGAUUGGAGGAAACGUGGGAGCAAACAUAAUCGUGGAGCUUGAUUGGCAGGGCGAUAUGGCGGUUGGAGCGACGGAGCGGAGUGGCUGGUUUGGGUGAGUGUGUUUCUGGUGAAAAGAUGGGUGUCUCAGCUGGAGGAGCGGACGAGAUGGAUGCAAACGGUGGCACCGGAGAAGGCGAUACUAGAGUUGUAGAAGGCGGUGGUGAAGGGUUUGGAUCAAUCUGAGAAGAAGGUUCGAUAAUGAGUUCGGAAGGUCGAGAAGGAGAGGAAAAGUUGUCAUUUUUUGUGGUGGGAAACGGUGUGCUUGUGUGGUUGGAAAGAAGAGGGGAAAGUGCAUGAGAAGUAGAGUCAAGGGAGGAAGAGAUGUCAUGGGCCACCAAGGGGAUUGGACCAGAAUUAUGGGUCAACGAAGGGAGAGUAGAGUUGGGCUUGAGAGAGACAUAAGGAAAAAUAUCUUCAUGAAAUUUGACAUCUCGGCUAGUAAAGACCUUUUUGGUUGAUAAAUCAGAUAAUUUGUAUGCUUUCUGACCAACAGGAUAACCGAUGAAAAUGGAUGGCAUGGCACGGUAAUCAAAUUUGUGAGAGGUGUGAACAUUGGUGGCAUAGGCUAAACAUCCGAAAACACGGAGAUGGGAGUAAGAAGGUGGUUUUGAGUAAAGCAAUUCAAAAUGAGUUUUGAAAGACAAUACUGGUGAAGGUAACCGAUUGAUGAUGUGUACGGCAAUGAGAGCACACUCCCUCCAAAAUUGAGUGGGAACUUGAGCAUGGAAUUUCAAAGCUCGGGCUACUUGUAAAAUAUGACGAUGUUUGCGUUCCACAACCCCAUUUUGUUGAGGCGUGUAAACACAAGAAUGUUGAAAGAUGACACCAUUAUCUUGAAAAAAGGAACGAAGUGAGGUAAAUUCUCUACCAUUGUCACUUCGAAAAGUUUUAAUGCGAAAUUCAAAUUGUGUGAACACAUAGCUGAAGAAACGUUUUAAAAGUGAUUGUGCUUCAUCUUUAUGUCGCAUUAAAAAUAUCCAAGUGAAACGUGUAUAAUCAUCGACAAUAGUGAGAAAGUAAUAGGCACCAAACAGAGAAGGGUGUCGAUAACGACCCCAAAUGUCACAAUGAAUAAUCUCAAAAGGUUUUGUAGAAGAAAUAGCACUAGUACCAAAAGGUAAACGACUUUGCUUAGCCAAGUGACAUAUAGAGCAAUCAUUAUUGGACUGAACAGAAAAAUUCAAAAAAUUCUUGGCAAUGAAACUCAAACGAGAAGGUGAUACAUGGCCUAAGCGACUGUGCCAGAGAUCGGUGGAAGAGAUGGCGAGAUUGCAAGCUGGUUGGUUUAUGGAUGAGGAAUGGUUGGUUAAAGAUUUCUCCGUCACUAGUGCCACCAAAUAGUAUAGUCCGUCACGUUGUUUACCCAAACCAAUCGUCCUUCUCGUAGCCAGAUCCUGCAAAAUACACCAAUAAGGGAAAAACGUCACUGAACAAUUUAGACCUCUUGUCAAACGACUAACUGAUAUUAAAUCAACUUUGAAUGUAGGCACAGAUAAAACAUCAUGCAGAUAAUAAACGGAAUUCAAAGGCAAAGUCCAUUUCGUAACAAUAUUCGUUUUUUCUCCACUAGGCAACAAUACGGGCGGUAACGAGCAAUUUUUAUCUUUAUGCAAUAGCUUAGAGGAUGAAGUAAUAUGAUUCGUCGCCCCACUAUCAAUAAUCCAAUUGUGGGAAGCGACUUUGGACAAACCUGGCUUUGUUACCGCAUUCACUUUGGAACUAGAGUUUUCAUCUUGGUUAUUAAGAAGUGACAAAAGUUGCUUGAGUUGGGCUUCUGACAAUGCAACUGCAGGUUUCCCUUCAUCUGCCUCAGAAACUUGGUUAGCCGCAGAAAAACUUUUAUUCCGAUUUGAGUUUGAGCCUAAGUUCAUUCUUGUUUUAGGAUGGUCUGGUGGGUAUCCAUGUAGUUGAAAACACUUUUGGACCCAAUGACCCAUAUCUCCACAAUACGAGCACUGGAGGCAUCCUCUUCUAGAACCCAUGCGGCGCCGAUCUUGAUCAAAAAAUGGUCUACCAUCUUGUCCUUGAGAAGAUCGAUUCAGCCGAAAAUUUUGAGAACCAGAGGGGCGAUCAGUCGGUUCCAUCCUUCCUGUGUUCGAUCGAUCUAUUCCGUCCUUCCAAGUUGCCGAAGACUUGCCGUUGCUGCGCACGGCCAUAGCAGCACUUGCGGCAGAUUCCGCUGCUGCGUUCGUCGAAGUGAGAAGGCGUUGCUUUUCUUCUUGAGAGACAGAGGAGUAUGCUUGGCGAACAGAAGGGAGAGAAUUCAUCAGGAGGAUUUGCCCGCGAAUAACACUGUAAGAUUCAUUCAAACCCAUCAGAAAUUGCAUCAAUUUUUGUUGAUCUUGUUGUGCCCCAUGUGAUGCAGCGUUGUAGGAAGCCAGUUCAUCCCACAAGCCUUUCAAUUUUGUGUAAUAGGCAGAGACAGAGAGUUGCUCUUGUCGAAGACAAGCAAUAUCUCGCUGAAUUUCAAAGAUGCGAGGCGCAUUGCUCUGAGAGAAUCGCUCACAGAGAUCUUCCCAAACUUCAUGAGCAGUAGAAUAAUAGAUUACACUGUCCGCAAUUUCUGGAUUGAGAGUAUUGACGAUCCAGGAGUGAACCAUGUCAUUACACCGUGACCAAGUCGCAUAACCUUCAGGAUCAAUUUCUUCUGAAGGAGCCUUGAUCGAGCCAUUAACAAAACCCAAUUUGUUCUUGGAAUUUAAAGCUAAAAUCAUAGCCCUUUUCCAAGCCGAAUAAUUGUCUCCAUUCAAAGAUUUGGAAAUCAAAACCAAACCUAGGUGAUUUGAAUGGUGAGUGAAAUAGGGAUUGGAGAGAUCUGCCUUUGAGAAAUCCGUAGGAAUCUCUGAUUUUGCUAUGAUGAUUGAAGAAAAGAGAUGCUACACGAGAGAUUAGAGUGCAGCAAUGAAUCAGGAUUUUAGUCCUGCUCUGAUACCAUGAAAAGAAGAAGAAUUGGCUGAAUUAAUAUUAUUGAUGUUGAAGUGUGUAUUUAUAUAAGGAGGUUUGAGAUCUUUUUCUACAAGUCAGGAAUCAGCUUACCAUAUUCUAGACUAUCCAGCUAUAAGUCAGGAAUUACAAUAGGAAAACUAACACAUACAGAUCAUCUAUUCUUAAUAUGGAAGAUUUAGGAAGAUUGACUUUCCAACAGGCAACAAAUGUAAUGGUGAGCGAAGUAGGUGGGAAACGGUAUUUUGGCACCGUUACAAAUGACUAUGAGUCAAGACGGUGCCGGAAGGCCCUUGAAGAUUUGUUAUAUCUGUCGAGGAUAUUUAUGGUUUCUGAUGCAAUUCCCUCCCUUGGCUGGUUGGAGACUGUGAGAGGAUAUACGGCAAAAAUGAAGAGAAUAGCUAGGGAGGUGGAUCAGGUGCUGGGAAGCUGGGUGGAGGAGCAUCGCCGGAAGAGGUUCUCUGGAAGCGUGAACGAGGCUGUGCAAGACUUCAUCCAUGUCAUGCUGUCUGUUAUUGAGGAUGGUCAGUUCUCUGAUCAUGACCAUGACACCGUCAUUAAGGCUACUUGCUUGGUAUGUUUCUUCUACUUUCCUUGGUCAAAUUCCAUAAACCUCCACACACUUCUGUAUGGAAACAGCAAACCUCCAUCAUGAUUUGUUUUGUCCUGUUAUACUUGCUAUUUCAGGACUGAUUAUUAACUCUCAACUUUCUUUGACAAAUUUUCUGGGAAUAAUGAAAACUAUGAUAAACUUUUAAAUUGUUCUACCGACAGCUAGACUCACUAUUUUUUAACACAUACUGAUCAAAGGAGCCAUAUCACCGGCUCAAAAGACCAACAUGGAUGUAAUGUUGAUGUAGACUCUUAUAUAGGCGGCUUUGAUUCAACAGUGAUCACACUGACCUGUGCCCUCUGUCCGCUAAUGAACAAUCCCAGCACUCUAAAAAGAGCACAAGAUGAGUUAGACAUCAAAGUGGGAAAGCAUCGCCAAGUGGAUGAGUCAGACAUAAAGAACCUAGUCUACUUGCAAGCCAUCAUCAAGGAAACCUUAAUUACGACUGUACCCUGCUGCACCGCUUUCAGUGCCACGUGAGGCCAUGGAGGAUUGCACCGUGGCAGGCUUCCACAUCCAAGCUGGGACGCGCCUUUUGGUUAACCUCUGGAAGUUGCACAGGGACCCCAGAAUUUGGUCGGAUCCUUUGGAGUUCCAACCUGAGAGGUUUCUAACGAAGCAUGUGGAUUUGGAUGUUAGGGGUCGAAAUUUUGAAUUUCUGCCAUUUGGGUCAGGCAGAAGGGUAUGCCCAGGAAUCUCAUUUGCGCUUGAGGUCGUGCAUCUGACACUAGCCAGACUGCUUCAUGGUUUUGAAUUGGGAGUGGUUGCGGAUUUACCAGUGGAUAGGACUGAGGGGGGUGUUUGGUACACAGGAAUAGGGAGUGGGAAUAGACAUCUCAUUCCUUUUCUCCCUUAUUCCUAUGUUUGGAUAAAUGUUAAGAAGGCAGAAAUGAAAUAAAAAAUUAUUCCGGCAGAAAUCAAAUCCAACUUAUGAGUCGGAUUUGCAUUCAUUAAAAGUAGGUGGUAUUCUGAUUUAUUAAACCUAUUUGAUAAUAUAAAAUAACCUAAAUUACUAUUUUACCCUCUUAUCUUGUUUUUCAAACCCGAUGUUUAUCUUCUUUGUAAAGGUAGAAAUCCAUUCAUCAUCCACUUCUUAUCUUCUUUGCAAAGCUAGAGACCCACUCAUCAUCCAAUUCUCUGCAAGAAGUGAUUCUUCCAAAUUGAAUCAAUUAAACCUUCCACGAUAUUUAAAAAAAAAAAAAUCAAUUUCUAAUUUAUAGGGUUUUGGAUGUUCAUUUUGAUUGUUGGAUCUAAGAUUCUUCAUUGUUUGCUACAACUAGGUUCUAAAAACUCCCUUCUACAUCUUCGAUCAGGUUUACUUUAUUUUCUCUUUCUUCUUCUACUUCUUUAUAUGUGUUUAUUCUUUCUCUAUAAAUCGAUUAAUUUUUUAUUUAUUAAUUUAUGUUUGGAAUCUUUGAUGUUUCUUUAUCUUGUAUUAAUGGAAACUGGAGAGAAAAAUUGAAAUGGUUGGAAAAAGAUUUUUCGAUUUCACGUGUUUAUAAUAUUGAAAAAUUUUAAUGGUUAGGAAAAAAAUAAAAAGAAAAAAACAAAACUUUUGGUUUUUUAAUAAUAAAUUUGAAUUCUUUUAUUUCCUCUUUUGAAAAUAGGAAAAACAUUUGCUAGCUUUGAGAAUUUAAAUAUUAUAAUAAAUAAUUUUUUUUUGAAAAAUAUAAUUUUAGAACUACUUAAGCAUGACAAAUUAUUCAAAUUUUUAAUAAAAAUAAUAAUUGAAUAUUUGUGCAUUAGGGUUAUACAAUUUUUUAUGGUUAAUUUUUUAUUUAUUGUAUUAAUGGAAACUGGAGAGAAAAUUGAAAUGGUUGGAAAAGAUUUUUCGAUUUCACGUGUUUAUAUAUUGAAAAUUUUUAUNNAGGAAAAAAUAAAANNNNNNNNNNNNNNNNNNNNNNNNNNNNNNNNNNNNNNNNNNNNNNNNNNNNNNNNNNNNNNNNNNNNNNNNNNNNNNNNNNNNNNNNNNNNNNNNNNNNUGAAUAUUGUGCAUUAGGGUAUACGAAUUUUUAUGGUUAAUUUUUUUAUUUAUUGUAUUAAGGGAAACUGGAGAGAAAAAAUUGAAAUGGUUGAAAAAAGAUUUUCGAUUUCACGUGUUUAUAAUAUUGAAAAUUUUUAAUGGUUAGGAAAAAAAUAAAAAGAAAAAAACAAAACUUUUGGUUUUUUAAUAAUAAAUUUGAAUUCUUUUAUUUCCUCUUUUGAAAAUAGGAAAAACAUUUGCUAGCUUUGAGAAUUUAAAUAUUAUAAUAAAUAAUUUUUUUUUUGAAAAAUAUAAUUUUAGAACUACUUAAGCAUGACAAAUUAUUCAAAUUUUUAAUAAAAAUAAUAAUUGAAUAUUUGUGCAUUAGGGUUAUACAAUUUUUUAUGGUUAAUUUUUUAUUUAUUGUAUUAAUGGAAACUGGAGAGAAAAAUUGAAAUGGUUGGAAAAAGAUUUUUCGAUUUCACGUGUUUAUAAUAUUGAAAAUUUUUAAUGGUUAGGAAAAAAAUAAAAAGAAAAAAACAAAACUUUUGGUUUUUUAAUAAUAAAUUUGAAUUCUUUUAUUUCCUCUUUUGAAAAUAGGAAAAACAUUUGCUAGCUUUGAGAAUUUAAAUAUUAUAAUAAAUAAUUUUUUUUUUGAAAAAUAUAAUUUUAGAACUACUUAAGCAUGACAAAUUAUUCAAAUUUUUAAUAAAAAUAAUAAUUGAAUAUUUGUGCAUUAGGGUUAUACAAUUUUUUAUGGUUAAUUUUUUAUUUAUUGUAUUAAUGGAAACUGGAGAGAAAAAUUGAAAUGGUUGGAAAAAGAUUUUUCGAUUUCACGUGUUUAUAAUAUUGAAAAUUUUUAAUGGUUAGGAAAAAAAUAAAAAGAAAAAAACAAAACUUUUGGUUUUUUAAUAAUAAAUUUGAAUUCUUUUAUUUCCUCUUUUGAAAAUAGGAAAAACAUUUGCUAGCUUUGAGAAUUUAAAUAUUAUAAUAAAUAAUUUUUUUUUUGAAAAAUAUCACUUUUAGAACUACUUAGCCAGACCAAUUACUCCAAAUUUUUAAUAAAAAUANNNNNNNNNNNNNNNNNNNNNNNNNNNNNNNNNNNNNNNNNNNNNNNNNNNNNNNNNNNNNNNNNNNNNNNNNNNNNNNNNNNNNNNNNNNNNNNNNNNNNNNNNNNNNNNNNNNNNNNNNNNNNNNNNNNNNNNNNNUUUGAAAAAUAUAAUUUUAGACUACUUAAGCAUGACAAUUUAUUCAAAUUUUUAAUAAAAUAAUAAUUGAAUAUUUGUGCAUUAGGGUUAUACAAUUUUUUAUGGUUAAUUUUUUAUUUAUUGUAUUAAUGGAAACUGGAGAGAAAAAUUGAAAUGGUUGGAAAAAGAUUUUUCGAUUUCACGUGUUUAUAAUAUUGAAAAUUUUUAAUGGUUAGGAAAAAAAUAAAAAGAAAAAAACAAAACUUUUGGUUUUUUAAUAAUAAAUUUGAAUUCUUUUAUUUCCUCUUUUGAAAAUAGGAAAAACAUUUGCUAGCUUUGAGAAUUUAAAUAUUAUAAUAAAUAAUUUUUUUUUGAAAAAUAUAAUUUUAGAACUACUUAAGCAUGACAAAUUAUUCAAAUUUUUAAUAAAAAUAAUAAUUGAAUAUUUGUGCAUUAGGGUUAUACGAUUUUUUAUGGUUAAUUUUUUAUUUAUUGUACUAAUGGAAACUGGAGAGAAAAAUUGAAAUGGUUGGAAAAAGAUUUUUCGAUUUCACGUGUUUAUAAUAUUGAAAAUUUUUAAUGGUUAGGAAAAAAAUAAAAAGAAAAAAACAAAACUUUUGGUUUUUUAAUAAUAAAUUUGAAUUCUUUUAUUUCCUCUUUUGAAAAUAGGAAAAACAUUUGCUAGCUUUGAGAAUUUAAAUAUUAUAAUAAAUAAUUUUUUUUUUGAAAAAUAUAAUUUUAGAACUACUUAAGCAUGACAAAUUAUUCAAAUUUUUAAUAAAAAUAAUAAUUGAAUAUUUGUGCAUUAGGGUUAUACGAUUUUUUAUGGUUAAUUUUUUAUUUAUUGAGUAUAUAAUAGAAACUGUAGUCUUAAAAUUUAAUGGGAAAAAAACUUUCAAAUUUUAUUUUUUUUAAAUAAAAUUUUAAAUAAAAAAAAUAUUUUAAAUUAUAUGUAAGGAUAUUAUUGUAAAUUUAUUUCUUUUUCAUUUCCAUUCCUAUCAUUAUCAAAUAUUUGAAUGGAAACAAAUAAUCAUUCCAAUCUUGCAUUCCUAAGUUUAUCCAAAUGCUAGAAAUGGAAUCAUCAAAUUCAUUCCAUUCCACUAAGAAAUAGGAAAGGAAACAAAAUAUUAUUCUCAUUCUCUAUUCCGACGUGCCAAACACUCCCUGAAGGUUCAGGGGUGACUCUUCCCAGAGCAACCCCGUUAGAUGUCACCGUUUUCCCAAGGCUACCUUCCGAGCUCUACGGUUAUUAAGCAAGCAUGCAUGAAGACGGAAAAGUCUACUCCAAAUGUUAUCUUCUAAGCUGUAUUGUGAUUAAUUAGGCAUAAGAAGUUACAGCCCAAUUCACAAACUCCCCUCACAAGCCCAGGCGGUGUCGUCUACAAAUGUUUGGACUCAGGAGAAUAUGAUUAAAUCUGCUCUUGUUAUGCAUGUGUAGCUCAUUCUGAAUGAUUUGUCAACUCAAAACCUUCAAUAUCUUUCUACUGCUGCUUCAUGCAGAGUCUACUUGGUUGCCUAUACCCCGACUUAUUUAAGAUUAUACAUCAGUUGAUUAUGAUCAUCUUCAUCGAUCAAAUAGAGUUCAUAUGUUGAUGCUUGUGUUGUUAUUUGAUUUGAUAAUUUUUCUUGCUUCUGCUUCAAAGUUUCUUGUUUGGGUUGGGCCUAGCUCAUGUUUUAAGUCAACUCAGUGUAGGGGGAAACACAAUUGGGAUUUGUAUAUAUAUAUAUAUAUAUAUUUUUUCCACCAGCAGAAUGGUCUUAUUUGGAAGCUUGUACAAACUUAGCUUUUUUAUAUAAAUAUUUGUGUUUGCAGUUUCCUGAUAUGGAUAAGUAUGACACGAAAGAGAGAGGAUUUUCCCACCCAAUCUCAUGCACAUUUCUGAUAAGACUUUGAAUGGCCACGACGUUCGCAACUUGCCAUCAAAAUAAAUCCAAAAUUUCAUGCAUGAACACAUGGAUGCAUUCAAGCCGUUGUGGGAUCAUUUCAUAGUUAAGUUGCUAUUCUCUUCUAGCCAAAGAAUUAGGAGGAAUUAAUAACCACGUGUUUGGAAUGAGUCAUAAGUAGUGGUAGAAGAAUAAAAGUUGAUGUAUUGAUUUUUGCUUUCGCUAGUGUUAAGGACCUUUAGUUUCAACGACAUAUGCUGAAAGUUUGUUAGAUUGAUUUGUAUUUAUUGCUCAUGAACAUGGAUAAAGGAUAUGACAUUUUUUUAACCCAAAUACUUUUAAUCAAUUGUUGUAAAACACGAAUCUUUGACUGGACCUAUCAAUUUCUGUGGGGCUAGAUACACUCCCACGUGAUUUUCAAUGAACAAAUAUGCAUCAUAACAACUGGCCAAAGAGAUGGGUUUUUUCAUACUCAGAACUAUCAUAUAUAAGACUUCGAAGGAGCUUUCACAUUUUAUAUCAUCGACAGCUGUCUACAGUUUCCGUAUUAGGAUGGCACAUGUGUGGAACAUGAAUUCGACCUGUCAAUUUUCUCAAUGUAAUCACCUUUUAUUUAUAUUUUUUCUCUAUGUAAUCCCGUUUUAUAUAUUUUUUUUACAUCUAAGAAGCACUCACAGAAAGUGUGACCUGGUAUGUAUAAAUAUCUCUGUUCUGAACAGAGAAAACUGUGAAAACAGAAUAUAUAGAAAACCAUUUUUCUCUCUCCGACCCUCUUUCUCUUCACUCUGGUACAAUCUAGUCAUGGGAUUCUCCCUUCGCCCUCAAGAUAUCACAGUUUUUGGGCUUCUUCUUGCUACAAUCUGUCUGUUGUUGGCAACAGUACUUAAUGCCAAAGGGAACAAGAAGAGAGGCAAAAGGCCACCAGAGCCGUCCGGGCGAUGGCCUCUUAUCGGUCACCUUCAUCUUCUAGGAGCAGACAAGCUGCUACAUCGGACACUUGGAGACAUGGCUGAUAAGUAUGGACCCAUCUUUUGCGUUCGUCUUGGCCUCAAAAAAACAUUGGUGGUUAGUAGCUGGGAAGUAGCAAAGGAAUGUUACACUACAAGUGACAAGGUAUUCGCAACUCGACCAAGAUCCUUAGCAAUAAAGCUCAUAGGCUAUGAUCAUGGCUCGUUUGUCUUUGCUCCUUAUGGACCAUACUGGCGUGAUGUGCGGAAGUUAGCCAUGGUUGAGCUGCUGUCAAACCGCCAGCUUGAGAUGCACAAGCAUGUCCAGGACUCAGAAGUCAAGAUCUUAAUAAAAGAGCUUUAUGGGCAAUGGGCAAGCAACAAGGACGGCCCCGCUUUGGUGGAGAUGAAGGAAAGAUUUGGGAACUUGGCACUGAACGUAGUGGUGAGAGCAAUUGCUGGGAAACGGUAUUUUGGGACCCAUGCCUGUGGUGAUGAGCCAAAACGGGCCAAGAAGGCCUUUGAGGAUUUCAUUAUUCUACUGGGGCUGUUCAUGGUCUCGGAUGUCAUCCCUUUUCUCGGCUGGUUGGACACGAUGAAAGGGUUUACCGCUGAAAUGAAGAGAGUAGCUAAGGAGGUGGAUUAUGUGCUUGGAAGCUGGGUGGAGGAGCAUCGCCAGAAUAGGCUUUCUGCGAACGACAAUGGGGCUGAGCAAGACUUCAUACAUGCCAUGCUUUCUGUCAUAGAUGAUGGCCAAUUCUCUGGUCGUGAUCCUGACACCAUCAUUAAGGGCACUUGCUCGGUAUGUCCCUGCUACUUCCAUAACCUGAGCAUGAAACGAAAAGAAAAAAAACCACCAUCUACUAUCAUAAUUUCUGCAACUUUUUCUGCCCAAUUUCCUAAACCCUCCUCGCAUUUCUACAAGCAUUCAUCAAAUCCAGUAUAGCUUUAUCAUCUGUAUUUAUCAUGACAAACCAGGUGGGGUGAUCAAAUUUCACUUAGAUUCCUUAUUCACGGUUUGUUUUAUCAUUCUGCUAAACAUGGUAUUUCACUACUGAUAAGUAAACUUUUCCUGAUCACAUAUUGAAGUCGACAUCAUUUGUUGAUUGCAGAACCUCAUAUUAGCUGGCAAUGACACAACAUCUAUCACUCUUACAUGGGCCCUCUCUCUUCUACUGAACAACCGCCAUGCGCUAAAAAAAGCACAAGCAGAGCUGGAAAUCCAUGUGGGAAAGCAUCGCCAAGUGGAUGGAUCAGAUAUAAAAAACCUCGUCUACUUGCAAGCCAUCGUCAAGGAAACAUUACGAUUGUACCCUCCUGGGCCACUUUCCCUGCCACAUGAGGCCAUGGAAGAUUGCACUGUGGCUGGCUUUCACAUCCAAGCUGGGACGCGCCUUUUGGUUAAUCUCUGGAAGUUGCAUCGUGACCCCAGAGUCUGGUUGGACCCUUUGGAGUUCCAACCAGAGAGGUUCCUGACAAAGCAUGCAGGUUUGGAUGUUAGGGGUAAAAAUUAUGAACUUCUACCCUUUGGUUCAGGUAGAAGGGUAUGCCCAGGAAUCUCAUUUGCACUGGAGUUGACGCAUCUGACGCUAGCCAGACUGCUUCAUGGUUUUGAAUUGGGAGCGGUUGCAGAUUCACCGGUGGAUAUGACUGAAAGUCCUGGGUUGACUGCCCCCAAAGCAACCCCACUGGAGGUCACCAUUGUUCCAAGGCUACCUUUCGAGCUCUAUAGUUAUGAAGCAGCAUAGAAAGUAAAUAAUACUCUAUGUGAGCCAGAGAGUCCCCUAAUUAGCCCAAUGCUUUAGGGUAUAUUUAUGUUGUGUAACUCACUUUGAAUGGCCUGUGUAGUGGGUGUUCUCCUUUCUCAGCUUCUCAUCUCAAAUUUCAUCCUCUUGGGUAGUAAUAAAUUUCUAUCUAUGAGUAAUUCUUUUUGCAUUACUUAAAAUAUAGACGACAACUGCACUGCACCAACAACAGAAGGCUGUUGAACCAAGAUCACUCAAGAAUUGUGCAACUAGUUAGGAAGUGUAGUUUGAACUGUGCAAAUAGUUAGGAAUCUGAUAGUGGACGCUAUUUGCCUUUUAACUUCUUGUUGAGGGUAUUUGUUGACUUUUAUUUUUGAGAAAAAAAAAAUAAUUUGGCAAUCAAAAAAUGGGAAAUGGUAUUUGUGUUUUGAAAAAUAGAAAUUAGGAAAUUGUUUAUGAGAAUAUCUUUUAGUCGAUUUUAUUUAUUUUAAAAAAUUAUUUUAAAAAAUAAUUAUACAAGUAUGAAAAAUUAUUAAAAAUGAAGCACUAAUUAAAAAAUUAAAAAUGGUUUUAAAACAUUUCAAUGUCUAAAACAUACUUUUAUUCUCAAAAUAUCAAUACUGAUUUUUAAAAAAUUAAGAACUAUUUUCAAAAACACUUUUCAAACAAAAUUGUAAUUUAUCAACCCUUCCAAAGUCAACAUAUGUUGCUGCUGCAGUAUAUGCUUCUUCAUCAAGUAAAGUUUAUUUUGAAUAUCUGCUAUUGACUUGUUAACAUAUUAUAAAACAAUUCAUCCUAAUUUUCAUAGUGAAAUCACAAAGAUUAAUUAGAAACUAAUCAUCUGUAUAAGGUUGCAAGCCCUUAUGAUCGAUCCAAACUUCGCAUUUUUCUUUCCCACAAGGUGAAUAUAGCUUGUGGCAAUAAACAUAUGAUCGUGAAUGAACCAUCGAAUUUCAUAUUAAAAUAUCUUAUAUUAAUAGAGCAUCCAAACUGAUGAGGGCAUAACUAACCAACGAAAUGCAGAUCCUAUUCAAGUUCCAAUUGGUCUGGUUACAAGGGCUCGAGCUAAAAAGUCCGAGGAAAAUUUCAAUAGACUGAUUCAAAACAUUUGGGCUGAGGUAAAUUUGUGGAGGCCUAAGGAAGCUACUCCAAGUGUUCCACAAGGUUGGAUUUCCAUGAUUCAAGCUUUUGAAUAAGCUAGAAGAAUCCCUCAAAGAGAACAGCUCACAAAUUGCGUGGAUUUAGUGGAGUUUUCUAAAUUGGUGAUUACCCAAUUUUGAUUCAUCAAGGAGAAUGGCUAGCUAAAUUUAAAGCAAUCAUUUUAAGAUAGCUAAAUUAUCUUUUUUAUUUAUUAUUAUAUUUUAUUGCUGAGUUGUAUGGUUUGCAUGCCAAUUUAGAUACUUUCCUUAUUGGCCUUCAAUUUUCAGAAUUAAACUUAGGAUGUUUUAGUUUCCUUUUUCUAGCUAUCUACGAAUCCUAGGCAGGAUAUUUGGAGAUUUUCUAGUUGCCUAAUUCGUGGACCUCUUUGUACAUAAAUAUCCAUUAGCUUAUUGAAAAACAAUACAAAUUCCAUUCAUAAUUUUGUGACAGAAAAUUCGUUUGGUUGUUUUAGAACUCUAUGAAUUUAUCAAAACAAUUUUCGUGGCGUUCUUCUUCGACUUAUUAAUCAAUCCUUCCAUAAUUGAUUAUGACAUCUUCAUUAUAUCAAGGUUAUUGCUUCCAUAUGAGCAACGGGUCGCAGUUUCAUAUAAAUCGAUUUCUAGACGAUCUUGGAGUCAUUCUUGAUCCACAAGUUUCACAAUUUCUUGGUGUGGAUUGUAUCACAAACCAUCACAACUUAGAAAGCUUAAAAGCAGUUAGAAGCCUAUCUACAUGUUAUUGGUGAAAGAUUGGAAUCAAAUGCUCUAAAUGCCCUUUAAGUGGCCAUGAGGUUUUACAUAUUCACAUACUAUAGAAUAUUUCAUGGAUGAGCUUGCUUGAAGUCAUCAAUGGAUUCCUUCUAUGAGAUGAGAUAAGAAGAGCUCAAUUUGAUGGUAUCCAACAUAGGACAGGUGGACAUCAUUGUGAUUUGUCCUAUCUUUUAAGUAAAUAUCUGCAUAUGCAAACCAUAGAACAUAUAUGGAUACUUAUUCACAAUGUACAGUAUGUAAAGAGAGUUUAUCCCUCUUUACCUUUUAGCAAUGUAACACUAUGUGGACCUGAUCAAAGAGAUUAUUGUUCCACCCAUAUUGCACAAAAAAAAUCAAUAUUUUUCUAAAAUAGUUAUGGCUUAUUAAUCUCCUAUACCCUUCAAAAUUAUCUUAUGUAGCACUUUAAUGCUAAUGUGCUUUCCCUAGUAAACAAAAGCUUGAAGGAUCUGAUCACACAUCUCAAUGGUGGUUGGAGUCAAAGGCUUGUCAAGAAAGGGAUUGAAAUAGACCUAGUAAAAGUUAAGUCAUAUUGGUCAAUAAAAAAAAAAAUCAAAGAAUUGAGAGAUUUCAUUGAACAGUUGCAAUUUAUAUGAUGGUUCAGAUUUAAAUAUUUCAAUCGGUAUGAACUUUUCUAUGAGCUCUUGAAAGGAGGUUGGUUUUAGAUGAGGGUGGGGAGAGGUGAUGUCAAUAUACAUUUUUAUAUUUAAAGGUAGAAGAAGAAAUUUUCCACUUUCCUAAAUUCUCUCCUUUGGCUCUAUUAUGACUCCCUCUAAACCCUUCAUCCUCUAACAUCUCAUUUGGCUGCACCAACUUCCACUUGCUUUUAUUCUCCCUUUAAACUCUCGACACCCCAAUAUCUCACAUAAUUGUCUCUUAAAAUCGAUAUCACCUCAAUUGCUUUUAUUACAUCCAGGCACGAGUUCUAUCAAGUGGUGAAACAGAUGGAACAUACAGCAAAGUGAGGAUUCAGAGGUUUAAGAGUAGUUGUUUAGCCCUAGUCAAGAAAUGUUUUUAAAAACAAUGUUUGAGAAUAGUUCUUAAAAAAUCUGUUUAAUUAUUUUCAAAAAUAAAAUUUUAUUUGAAAAACAAAAAUUCUCAAAAACAUUUUUAUAUUUUCAAUUAUUUCUCAUAAUACUUCACAAAAAAAUAUAGAAAAGUAGCUCAAUUUUUUACUUUUUUUUUUUAAAUAACAUGUUUUUAGAAAAAAUUUAAAAAAAAACUGUUUGGUAAAACAGUUAUCAACCAUAUUUUUUUAAAAUUAAAACACAAUUUUAUUUUUUCUUUUUUUAAAUGAACAAUUCUGAAACAGGCCUAACAUUUUUAUUUUUAUUUUUAUUUUUUUGUCUAUUUUUUAAUUUGACACUAGAAACAUCGAUUGUGUGAGGGUUUCUUUCUUCAAAUUGGAUUCGUAUUUUUCUUCAUAGCUUGACAAUGAUGAAUGGUGUCUUUGACACACUUCCUUCUUAACAAUGACAAAUUCCUUCUCCCCACUUCUAGCUAAUCAGAGAGACUAGAGGAAAAACAGUUUGCUUCAGGGAAACCUUACUCAUCCUAAUGCUACUAAAGUCAUCCAAAAGAAAGUGUAGCGUAUGAUCAGCUGGCAGAUUUGUUCCUUACUCGAAGUCUAAUAUGAUCAUCCUUAGCCCUCAACGGAUUCGGAUUUGAAUGGAUUACGUUUUUCUACUUCUGAGAGUGUUCUAAUUUAGAUAGUUUUGUGUCAUCAUGGAAGCCUUUUUCUUGUAGAUUAAUGGUGCAAUAGAAGUAUUAUGUGUGGUAGUGAGGGAAGUAAUUCUUUUAACUAACCCGUUUUCUAUGCUAACAAAUAGUAUGGCAUUCUCCUUUCAACUUCAAGAGAUGAGAGUUUUUGGUCCUCUUUUUGCUAUGCAUUUUCUGUCUCUGGUUGUUUAAUUCCAAAGCAAACAAGAACAAAGGCAAAAGGCCACCAGACCUGUCUGGAGCAUCACCUUUAAUAUUUAAUUGGUCACCUUCAUCUCUUAGGAGCAGAUAAGUCGUUACAUCAGACAUUUGGAGCCAUAAAUGAUAAAUAUGAAUCGUUUGUGUUUGUCUAAGCUUUAAGUCAUGACUCACCAUAAGCUAUGUCCAAUGUGCAUAUAAUCAUAUACAUUAAUGCACUUAUCAUGAGAAACCCACCCCGAUGACUAAGAACAAUUGUCUUUAACUAGAAAAUAGUGUACUAUAGCCUUCAAUAGAUUGCCUAAGUUCAUAAUUAAACCAAUUAUAAAUAAGUCAUCUACUUGUAAGAAACUCAUAACUUAGAUCUUCUAUAUAAAUACAUUCAAUUCAUAUACAAUGUUAGAUAUUCUAGACAAUAAUGCUUAUAAAAUAUAAUAUAUGGAGUAAGGAUAGAUAAAAGUGAAAUUAGAAUAUCAUUAAAUAAAUUAUGAAUUUCAAAUUUGUUAUAUCAUAUCAUACUUUUAAGGGUUUUAUCCUAACAUCACUUGUCUUAUUGAUAAGUUCAUUAUGAUAGUAAGGUUCUUGGAUUAAUACUUCGUUUAUCACAUGUUGAUUGUUGAAAUAAUAACGUCUAUUGACAAAGCACAAUCUUCCUGCUCAUGAAGGCAACAUGCCAUGCAUGUGACGUUGAUUGUACAGUCUUAUAUUUGGCAGGAUUGAGACAACAGUGAUCACGCCUACAUGGGCCCUUUCUCUUCUGUUGAACAAAAGCUGGCAGGAUUGAGACAACAGUGAUCACGCCUACAUGGGCCCUUUCUCUUAUGUUGAACAAAAGCUGCGUGCUGAAAAAAUAAACACAAGAUGAGUUGGACGUCCAAUUGGGAAAGCAUCGCCUAGUGGAGGAAUCAGCUAUGAAGACAACUUAAUCUACCUACAAGCCAUUGUCAAGUGGAAACAUUACGAGUAUAGCCUGCAAGCUAUUGUCUACUCCAAAUGUUUGGUAGUGUUUAUAGAACCUAAGGAGGUAUGAUCUUCUUAGCUUUUCUGUCAUUAAGCAGAAUGGAAAGUAAGAAAAAAUGUGUGGCACAAACUUCCCCAAUUAGCUCAGGCAGGUUCCCAAUUUUUGGACUUGGAGAACGUGGGAAGCAAAUCUGCUCACCCUCAUUGAUUUGUUUUGUAGGUGGUCUCCUUGCUUAAAUUGAAUUUUGAAUUUCUUAAAUCAUAUCUUAUCUGAUCUGGAAAGUAUUUUAAAUUAUUGAGGUUGUAGUUUAUUUUAUUAUCUACAGAUUAAAAAGAAAGAAAAUUCUCCUCUAACUCCAACCUCCUCUCUAUCUUUUCUACAAGCUAGUUUCUCUACAAUAUAGUGAGUUACACAGGUUCUUUGCCUAACAACUCAAGAUCCCUUAAGCCGAGACAAACUAAAACAUCAAAAGCCCAAGAAACCGGAUAAUAUUAUAACCAUAUAUAAUUUUUCAAAAUAAUUUUCAUUACAUUCUAAUUAAAAAAACUAUCAAGAUAAUCAAUUGGUGAAUGAGACGGCAAAGUGGGAAUUGGAUUGUUUUGAUGCAUGCACUUGAUGGUUAAACAGAAGUUGUUUAGUUAGAAUUUUAUUUUUUUCCUUAAAAUUUGACACAAUAAAUUUUGUAUCUUUGGCUGCCAGUUCCUUCUCCAAAUUGGAGACAUAGUUUGCACAUUGCAUUCAUAGCUAGAUGCUACACUCAUACUCCCUGCAAUUGCCUUACCAAUAGCUUGACUUUGGCUUAUGAUUAGGAAGAAGAUGUGGAUUUUUCGGAAGUGGACAAUCUCUUGACUUUUUCGGCUGAUAACUAUAGGUUUUUGUUUUUAGUCUCCUAAUUUUGAAUGAUUGAAUCCACAGGGGGCUCCACCUCCACCUUUAAAGCACACUUCUCUAAAAUAUGUGUACUAUGUGGUUCUCUAAAAUAUCUAUGUACCAUGUGCUGUGUGGUGUGUAAUUAAAGAGAAGUAAAACUUGAUACCAAAAUCAACACACCACUUGAUUUUCAAUGAACAAAUCGUGUUAUAUAGGACUUGGAAGGAGCUUCAUAUUAUUUAUUAUCAUCUAGAGCUGUCUACACUAAAUUAGGAUGGCACAUGUGUAGAGCAUGAAUUCCUACUUGUGAGUGUUCUAGCGCAUGUAGUUUUGAACCAUUUUCGAAGCCUUUUCCCAUUUAUGGUACCUGAGAAAGGUGAUUCUUUCCACGAACCCAUUUGCUCUGGUACUAACUAGUCAUUAUUGACGUGAGUUGUUGAAGGAGCAAUUAUAGAAAUAAAAAUAUUCUAGUUACCAAGUUAGUUUUAUUUGAUUGCAAAUCAUCCAAGAUUGUAGCCUAGAUUAGUAUGAUUAGUUUCUUCCAAAUUAACUUCAUGUACAGGUUAUAUAUAGCCCUCAUCUGUUGUAUCUUUUGCAUAUAGAAGAAUACCAUUUUUCUUCUCCUCAACAUGGUAUCAAAGUAGAGAUUCUAAGGCCGGCCUUAGAAUUUCUGAAGAAAAAAAAAACAGAAAGAGGAAAAUGGAAACACCUCCCACUGGGGUGGAAAAACACGAAGGGGAGAAUUCAAUUCUCGCAGAUCUUACGACAAGAAUGACUCAAGUACUAAACCACAAUCAAACUCAGAACCAAGUCACAAGUCAUGAACCUGCUACACACAUUGGAAUCAAGUUAGAUGGUACCAAUUAUGCAUUAUGGUCCCAAAUUGUCGAGAUGUAUAUCUCAGGUAAAGACAAGUUGGGAUACAUAAAUGGAGAUCUUCCAUAGCCUCUGCAAACAGAUCCUUCAUUCAAAAAAUGGAUAACCGAAAACGCAGUGGUGAAGGGAUGGCUAAUCAAUUCUAUGGAUCCAAUGUUAGUCAAUAACUUUAUUAGAUUCUCAAUGGCUAAGGCUGUUUGGGAUAAUAUUGCUAUUACGUACUUUGAUGGCACUGAUACAUCAUAAGUAUAUGAUCUCAAAAAAAGAGUAACCAGACUCAAACAAGGAGGAGGAUCUAUCGAGACAUACUACAACAAUUUGCAAGGCUUGUAGAGAGAAAUUGACUUUCGUCGACCAAAUCCUACGAAAUGUGAUAUUGAUAUAUAAAAAUAUAACUCUGUUUUGUAGGAGGAUAGAGUCUACACCUUUUUAGACGGAAUUGAUGAUCAGCUUGACAAGAUCCGAGCAGAUGUGCUGCAGAUACAACCAUUUCCAAUAGUGGAACAAGCUUAUGCACAAGUUCGAAGAGAGGAUUUGAGGCAAUCCGUAAUGAUGAUGAAUGAAGAUACCAUAUCUGGUGGUGUUAUGCUUUCAAGAGGAGGACAGAAACCUCAACACCAUUUAUCUUUUCAAACGCCAUCAAAUGGAAAGCCUAACACAGCCACAAAACCAAAGUCACAAGGAGAAGGAGGAGGCUGCACAGAUUAUGGGAAUACAAAACACACCAAAGAAACAUGUUUCAAACUACAUGGUUAUCCAAAUUGGUGGCAUGAACUCAAGGCAAAGAAAAAACGUGAAGCAAGUGGAGGCGACAAUCCUGGUCAUGUAGCUCUUAUGAGCCUAGAGCCUCAACUAUCUCUUGUACCACAACAAGAAUCUUCUAUCUCCACUAGUGAACAGAUUGCUCAGAAUGACUCAGGUAACCAAGGUUAUGUUUUUUCUUGCUCGAAAACGGGGAACCAUGAUGGCUGGAUCAUUGACUCUGGGGCAACAGACCACAUGACCUUUGACCCUUGUGACUUCUCUAAAGCCACCCAACCGAAACGAAUAUGCAUUGCCAAUGCUAAUGGAAUAACAUAUCCCAUAACAAGGGCUAGAACAGUGGCUCUUUCUCCUUCUUUUUCAUUACCAAAUACCUUAUUAGUUCCAUCACUUUCCAAUAAAUUGUUAUCUAUUGGACAAGUGACUGAGGAAUUGAAUUAUUGUGCUCUAAUGUAUCCUAACUUCUAUUUGUUUUAGGAUAUUCUCACCAAGGAGAUUAUUGGUCGUGGCACUAAAAGGGAAGGGUUGUAUUACAUGGAUGAUUUCAGUUAUGGUCGAGCAAAUAAUAUGCAUUCUGCUGGAAUUAAGGAAAGACAGAUUUGAUUAUGGCACAAUCGGUUGGGGCAUCCCUCAUUUCAGUAUUUGAGAUGUUUAUUUCCAGAUUUAUUUAUGAAGUUUAAUGAGUCAGAUUUUAAGUGUGAAGCUUGUAUUCAAGCUAAGAGUCAUCGGGUACCUUAUUCAAUCAGUUUGAAUAAAUGUGACACUCCUUUUUUUAUUGUUCAUUCUGACGUUUGGGGCCCUGCUCCUAUUACUAUUUAUUAUGGUGUUUGUUGGUUUGUAACCUUUGUCGAUGAUUAUACACAAAUGACUUAGCUUUAUGUGUUGAAGAAUAAACAUGAAGUGUUUGAAAUAUUUCGAUCAUUUCAUAAUAUGAUUCAAACACAAUUUUCUGCUAAACUUCAAAUUCUUCGAUCUGAUAAUGACGGGGAAUAUGAUAAUGCACAAUUUCACAGAUAUUUUCAGGAACAUGGUUUGCAUCAUAAGGCAUCUUAUUCUCAAACACUGCAAUAGAACGGUGUUGCAAAGCGUAAGAAUAGACACAUUUUCGAAAUCACUCGAGCUCUCUUGACUGUUGCUUAUGUCCCUAAAUGAUUUUGGCCAGAUGCAGUAAUGACUGCUGUAUACUUAAUGAACCGACUGUCAUCACGAGUUUUGCACUACAAAACCCCUCUUCAAGUUCUCGCACAACAUGUGACAUUACCAUCAGUUUUAAUGCUUCCUCCAAGAAAGUUUGGUUGUGUUACAUAUGUUCAUAUACACAAGAAUCAACGGACAAAACUUGAUCCAUGUGAUGUCCGUUGUGUUUUUCUUGGCUAUGCAGCUCACAAGAAAGGAUAUCGAUGUUACGAUCCAGUUACAAGGCGACUCUAUACCACCAUGGAUGUCACCUUUAUUGAAUCAGAGAAUUUCUUCACUUCUCAAUCUUCCCGCUCCUCUCUUCAGGGGGAAAUGAUGAGUGAAGAGCAAAAUUGGGAAAAUUGGCCAGGCUUUGAAGAAACUUCAAAUGAUGUAGGGGAGGUUCAGCCAAGAGAACCAAUGGUAACACUGAUAGAUCAAAGAGAAGAAGAUGAAAAUGUUGAGCAUGUCGAAGCAAAAAAACCAGCAAGAGUAGAUCAAAAUGGAGAAGUUACGGAAAUUGAAAGUGAGCAACUCUUUCAUGACCUGACAGUACCACAAUCAGACCAAUCUCCUGAGAAUAUUCAUGAGGUACAAGUUCUAAACUCUCCUCACAAUAUUUCUGUUGGCUAUUAACUACCUUUCAGGUAUAACCGCGGGCAACCACCAAACCGCUAUUCACACGAUCAUGGAACGAGCAAGUCAAAGUACCCAAUUGCCAACCAUAUCUCAACUCAAAAAUUGUUUGAACCUCUCAAGGCAUUGGUUCAUAAAUUAUUUGUAGAUGGUGAUCUUGAUACAGUGAGUGAAGCCAUGAAUAAUCCCAAAUGGAUCCAAGCGAUAGAGGAAGAGAUGAAAGAAAUACAGAAAAUGAUACUUGGGUGCUUGUGCCAUUGCCUGAGGGGAAGAAAACUGUGGGAUGUCGAUGGGUGUUCUCUGUCAAACACAAAGCAGAUGGAUCGGUUGAAAGAUAUAAAGCAAGGCUUGUUGCGAAGGGAUAUACUCAGACAUAUGGGGUAGAUUAUCAAGAAACUUUCUCACUUAUAGAAAAAUUAAAUACUGUGAGAGUACUAAUCUCUCUUGCUACAAACUUGGACUGGCUGUUGCACCAAUUCGACGUCAAAAAUUCCUUUCUCCAUGGGGAUCUUGAAGAGGAGGUGUACUUGGACAUUCCACCUAGUUUUGUUUCUUCGACACAAGAGAAGAUAGUUUGUAAGUUACAAAAGGCAUUAUACGGAUUGAAACAGUCUCCUAGAGCAUGGUUUGGACGAUUUCGCCUUGUCAUGAGAAAACACGGUUUCAAGCAAAGUAAUUCAGAUCAUACUCUCUUCUUAAAGCACCAACGGGGGAAGGUAACAGCUCUAAUAAUCUAUGUUGAUGAUAUGAUAACUACAGGAAAUGACAAGGAAGAAAUCUCUAAAUUACAAGAGCAUUUAGCAACUGAAUUUGAGAUGAAAAAUCUUUGAGGGUUGAAGUAUUUUUUGGGGAUUGAAGUAGCUCGAUCAAAAUGAGGCAUAUUUCUAUCCCAAAUGAAGUACGUGCUUGACUUGUUGUCUGAAAUAGAAAUGCUUGAUUGUAGACCUGCUGAUACACCAAUUGUUCAAAACCAUGGCUUGGGAGAAUUUCCUAACCAGACCCCUACCAAUAAAGAAAGGUAUCAACGCCUUGUGGGAAAGCUGGUAUACUUAUCUCACACACGACCUGAUAUUGCUUAUGCGAUGAGCUUGGUGAGUCAAUUCAUGCAUUGUCCUAGCGAAGAUCAUAUGAGUGAAGUGGUUCGUAUUUUACAGUACUUGAAGUCUUCUCCAGGAAGAAGACUGAUGUUCACGAGAAACCAACAUCUGCACAUUGACGGCUAUAUAGACGUAGACUGGGCAGGGAACAUUACUGACAGAAAAUCUACAUUAGGCUACUUCACAUUUGUGGGAGGCAAUCUGGUCACUUGGAGGAGUAAAAAACAGAAGGUAGUUGCUUUAUCUAGUGCAGAGGCUAAAUUUAGAGGCAUGGCUAAAGGAUUGUGUGAGCUACUUUGGUUAAAAAAAUUAUUAGAGGAAAUUGAUUGUUCAUCUCAUGAAACAAUGAACCUGUUUUGUGAUAAUAAGGCAUCCAUAGCAAUCGCGCACAACCCAGUUCAACAUAACCGCACCAAACAUGUUGAAGUGGAUCAGCAUUUCAUCAAGCAGAAGCUCAAAGACAAGGUCAUUCAGUUUCCUUUUGUGAAGUCAGAAGAUCAACUAGCAGAUAUUCUUACAAAGGCUGCCUCUAGCAAAAUAUUUCACAACUCACUUGACAAAUUGGGCAUUGAUGAUAUCUAUGCACCAACUUGAGGGGGAGUAUUCAAGUGAGUUGUUGAAGGAGCAAUUAUAGAAAUAAAAAUAUUCUAGUUACCAAGUUAGUUUUAUUUGAUUGUAAAUCAUCCAAGAUUGUAGCCUAGAUUAGUGUGAUUAGUUUCUUCCAAAUUAACUUCAUGUACAGGUUAUAUAUAGCCCUCAUCUAUUGUAUCUUUUACAUAUAGAAGAAUACCAUUUUUCUUCUCCUCAACAAUCAUAGGAUUCUCCCUUCAGCCACAAGAUAUCAUAGUUUUUGGGCUUCUUCUUGCUACAAUAUGUUUGUUGUUGGCAACGGUAUUUAAUGCCAAAUGGAACAAGAAGAAAGGCAAAAGGCCACAGGAGCCGUCCGAGCGAUGGCCUAUUAUCGGUCACCUUCAUCUUCUAAGAGCAGACAAGCUGCUAUAUCGGACACUUGGAGACAUGGCCGAUAAGUAUGGACCAAUCUUUUGCAUUCAUCUUGGCCUUCGUAAAGCUUUGGUGGUUAGUAACUGGGAAGUAGCAAAGGAAUGCUACACUACCAAUGACAAGGUAUUCGCCACUCGACCAAGAUCCUUAGCAGUAAAGCUCAUGGGCUAUGAUCAUGCCAUGUUUGGAUUUGCUCCCUAUGGACCAUACUGGCGUGAUGUGCAGAAGCUAGCCAUGGUUGAGCUCCUCUCAAACUGCCAGCUUGAGAUGCUCAAACAUGUCCAGGACUCAAAGGUUGAGUUCUUAAUAAAAGAGAUCUAUGGGAUGGGCACGAAACAAGGAAAGCCCCACUUUGGUGGAGAUGAAGGAAAGAUUUGGGAACUUGGUAAUGAAUGUAAUGGUGAGCGCAACUGCAGGGAAACGGUAUUUUGGGACCCAUGCCUGUGGUGAUGAGCCAAAACGGGGCAAAAAGGCCUUGGACGAUUUUAUGCUUCUAGUGGGGCUGUUCAUGGUCUUGGAUGCCAUCCCUUUUCUCGGCUGGUUGGACACGGUGAAAGGGUAUACCACUGAUAUGAAGAAAAUAGCUAAGAAGGUGGAUUAUUUGCUUAGAAGGUGGGUGGAGGAGCAUCGCCAACAAAGGCUUUCCGCAAAGAAUAACAGAGUUGAGGUAGACUUCCUCCAUGUCAUGCUUUCUGUCAUAGAUGAUGGCCAAUUCUCUGGUCGUGAUCCUGAUACCGUCAUUAAGGCCACUUGCUUGGUAUGUCCCUGCUACUUCCAUAACUUGACCAUGAAAUGAAAAGAGAAAAAAAAUUAAAAAACACCAUCUACUAUCAUAAUUUCUGCAACUUUUUCUGCCCAAUUUCCUAAACCCUCGUAUUUCUACAAGGAUUCAUCAAAUCCAGUAUAGCUUUAUCAUCUGUAUUUAUAAUGACAAACCAGGCGGGGUGAUCAAAUUUCACUUGGAUUCUUAUUCACGGUUUGUUUUAUCAUUCUGAUAAACAUGGUAUUUCACUACUGAUAAGUAAACUUUUUCUGAUCACAUAUUGAAGAUAACACCAUAUGUUGAUUGUAGAACCUUAUAUUAGCUAGCUAUGACACAACCGCUAUCACUCUUACAUGGGCCCUCUCUCUUCUACUGAACAACCGCCACGCGCUAAAAAAAUCACAAGCAGGGAUGGAAAUCCAUGUGGGUAAGCAUCGCCAAGUGGAUGGAUCAGAUAUAAAGAACCUAGUCUACCUACAAGCCAUCGUCAAGGAAACAUUACGAUUGUACCCUCCUGGGCCACUUUCCGUGCCGCAUGAGGCCAUAGAAGAUUGCACUGUGGCAGGCUUUCACAUCCAAGCUGGGACGCGCCUUUUGGUUAAUCUUUGGAAGUUGCAUCGUGACCCCAGAGUCUAGUUGGACCCUUUGGAGUUCCAACCAGAGAGGUUCCUGACAAAGCAUGCAGGUUUGGAUGUUAGGGGUAAAAAUUAUGAAUUGACCCUUUGGUUCAGGUAGAAGGGUAUGCCUAAGAAUCUCAUUUGCACUGGAGAUGACGCAUCUGACACUAGCCAGACUGCUUCAUGGUUUUGAAUUGGGAGUAGUUGCAGAUUCACCAGUGGAUAUGACUGAAGGUCCUGGGUUGACUGCCCCCAAAGCAACCCCGCUGGAGGUCACCAUUGUUUCAAGGCUACCUUUCGAGCUCUAUAGUUAUGAAGCAUCAUAGAAACUAAAUAAUACUCUAUGAGCCAGAGAGUCCCCUAAUUAGCCCAAUGCUUUAGGGUAUAUUUAUGUUGUGUAACUCACUUUGAAUGGCCUGUGUAGUGGGUGUUCUUCUUUCUUGUCUUCUCGUCUCAAAUUUCAUCCACUUGGAUAGUAAUAAAUUUCCAUCUAUGAGUAAUUCUUUUUGUGUUACUUAAAAUAUAGACCACAACUGCACCAGCAACAAAAGGUUGUUGCAACAACAGAACUCAACAAAACCAAGAUCACUCAAGAAUUGUGCAAGUAGUUAGCAAUAUGGUAGUGUAGUUUGAACUGUGCAAAUAGUUAGGAAUCUGAUUGUGUAGUUUGUUAUAGCUGAAACUAUAAGUAGCAUAGUAGAGAACCUCUCCUGAACAUGUAAUUCUUCAUCUCAAUAUACAGAAACUAAAUUUGCAUUCUCCUGAUACAAACUUACAUGGUAUCAGAGCCACCCCUCUUCAUAUUUCCCUUAGUCUUCUCGGAUACAAGCUAAAGCUGCAAAUUCGUCCUCAACCAUAGCUCAAUCAAUGCAGAUGUUGAAUCAGGCACUGCCCAUUAAACUUGAUAAAGAUAAACUACCUGCAUUGGAAAACACAAUUGGAGAAUGUGAUCUUGGCAAACGGCUUUGAAAACCACAUUGAAGGUUUGACAGUCUAUCUUUCAAAAACAACAAGCAAUGGUGAAACGAAUCCAAAGUUUAUUCUUUGGCGAAGAUUUGACCAAAUGAUCCUCAGUUGGAUCUACUCCUCACUUACUCCAGAAAUUAUGGGUCAAAUAAAAGUGUAUCAAACCUCCCAUGAUGCAUGGUCCGCUUUGGAAAAGAUCUUCUCGACUUCAUCCAAAGCUUGGGUGAUGCAAUUACAACUAGAAUUGCAAACCACGAAGAAAUGAUCUCUCUCAAUGAUGGAUUACAUUCUCAAGUUGAAGAAUCUGACUGACCACUUAGCUGCCAUUGGAGAACUGGUACACAACAGAGAUCAUAUUCUGAAACUGCUUGGAGGGCUUGGUGUAGAAUACAAUUCCAUUGUGGCGUCUCUUAUAGCAAGAGAAGAUGAAGUUUCACUGCAUACGGUGCACAAUAUUCUGUUAACCUAUGAACAGUGCCUGAAUCUUUAGAAGUCAACAGAAAACAAUGUAAUCUCUACAAAUCUCACUACCACAUCGUCAAAUCACCACAACAACAGAAGGAAUUCCAAUUGAAAUUCCUCAAGAAACAAUAGCAGAAUAGUCAACUCUGAACGCAACUCUCAUGGCAAUAGAAACUUGGUCUCUCAUAAUCGCCCACAAUGUAAACUUUGUAAAAAGUCUGGACAUACUAUGGUCCAAUGUUAUUAUCGUUUCGAAUAAACUUCCAAGGGGUAAAUACCCACUCUGAAUCUAAGCCCCAUUCAACUAACAGAAAUCGAGAUUAAGCCCAUGUCAUGAUUGCAUCUUCUAUUAACAUAAAGAGUAAGGAAUGGUUCUUUGACACUCGCGCCACCCAUCAUCUUUCUCAAACUACCACCUCUCUGGACAAUAUACAAUCAUAUAAUGGCAAUGACAAGGUGACAAUCGGGAAUGGUACACAAUUUCCCAUUCUUCAUACGGGUACUAAAAUUUUUCAGUUUCCUUUUAAAGUGUUUCAAUUAAAAAGAGUUCUUCAUGCUCCUCAUCUUGCAACCAAUCUUGUUAGUGUCGCUCAUUUCUGUGCUGACAACAAUACAUUUGUUGAGUUUCAUCCUCGGUUCUUUCUUGUCAAAGAACAGGUUACCAAGAAAGUUCUUCUCAAAGGUCAUCUCGAACGAGGAUUGUAUAAAUUUCCUACCAAUUUUAGCUCCACUGCAGGCUUGUUCUCUAGCCUCAGCAACUUUUCAUCUUUAAAUUCCACGAUUGAGCUUUAGCAUUCUCAACUUGGUCAUCCUGCUGAAGAUAUAAUGAAACAUGUUCUGAACAACUGUAAUAUUUCUUAUCAAUGUAAUAAACACCAAAUCUAUUAUGUCUAUCAAUAUGCCAAAAGUCACAAGUUGCCAUUUUCGUUGUCCAUGUCAAGAGCAUCUCAUCCUUUAGCACUUGUUCAUGCUAAUUUUUGGUUGUAGUUUCACCCUUAAAACAGAGAUUGGCUAUAAAAAAGAAAAAAUGGAAGAGUAACACCUAGGAAUAGAGGAGUUAAAAACAGUCCACCAAAAACAGAGGACCUUUUUUCUUUUCUUCACUUUGUAUUCUCAGUUAUGUUGUUUUUGUUGUACAGUAUGUAGUUUUGAAACCAAAUGCAAAGAGAUUUAACUUGAGUAAACCUCUCCACAUGGAAGCAUGACAACCACUCAAAACAUAAAAACAAAAAACUUAUUUUUUACAUAUAUAACCUAAACACAGCAUAGGCACAUUAUGUUACAUUCUCCCCCCUAAUGUGAUGUUCCUCCAUACCAAAAAGCUUUCGGAAGUGAACCCAAAAGUUUCUCAACAAUUCUUUUAUCACUAAUUUCUUCGCCAUAUGACUUCAUCUGAUUUACUAAUCUAAAAGAAAACUCAUUUAGAAUUUCAUUCUCCUUCAUUUUCAUAUUUUCCAACUCUCUUCUUAAAGCUUGAAGCUUAAUUUUUACAUAAAAAACAAAAAACUUAAUUUUUACAUAUAUAUAUAUAACCUAAACACAGCAUAGGCACAUUAUGUUACACUAAUAUCUAGGCUCCUGCACCCACUUUGUCUACUUCCGAUGCAUGAUUUUUUCUGCUACUCAUAGAUGAGUUCUCAAGAUUUUCUUGGCUUUAUCCACUGCACACCAAAGAUUAAGUACUUACAAUGUUUAUAAAAUUUCUCACUUUAGUGGAAAAACAACUUAACUUCAAAAUUAAGAGCCUACAAUCAAAUAACGAUGGUGAAUUCAAAGAAUUUUCUUCCUAUCUUGCUGCUCAUAGCAUUGAACACAAGUUCUCCUACCCAUACACACCUGAACAGAAUGGGAGAGUCAAGCAGAAAUUGAGACAUGUUAUAGAAACUAGUCUUGCUUUUCUAGCCAAAGCCUCCUUACCUCUCUCUUUCUGGUUGUAUGUUUUUCAUACUGCCAUAUUCCUCAUCAACUAUCUACCUACCAAGGUACUUAAAUAUCAAUCUCCAUUUCAAACUCUUUUUGGGAAAAUUCCUAAUUAUCAUUAUCUCAAGACAUUCGGUUGUCUUUGCUACCCAUACAUUAGACCAUACAACAAGCAAAAACUGCAAUAUUGUUCUACUCCAUGCAUCUUUCUUGGCUAUAGAAACAAUCACAAAGGAUACUUAUAUUUUGAUCCAAAAACUACCAGACUUUAAAUAACUAGACAUGUUAUUUCUCAUGAAUCAAUCUUUCCAGCUCUAUCACCUUCAACUUCUUCUAAUCCUAGUUCUUCCAUUUACACUCAUGCAUUUCUUCCCAUAAACAUGUCCUAUUCUCUUGCUUUAUCUUCUCCUGACGUUCCACAGCAUAAUCCCACACCUUUGUCUUCACCACUUCACUCAUCUUCUGACCACACCCUUCAAACUAUACUUAACAAUGCUCCUCAGCAUCCUCCUAUUAUGAAUAAUUAUCAUAUGAUAACGCGUGCCAAGGAUGGCAUUGUAAAAAAGAAAGCUUUUUUGUCUCACAUGCCCACUAAACCAGCAACAUUUUCUCAAGCUAUCAAAAGUUUCUACUAGUCCAAGGCUAUGUAACAAGAGUAUGAUAUUCUACUCAAAAACAAAACAUGGAAUCUAGUUCCUGGUCCUUCAAAUGCCAAUAUUAUCGACUGCAAAUGUUUGGUCAAAAUUUAUCCAAACAUGAUGGAGAUCUUUCCAUGAUGUCACACUAUAUUGGCACAGUUGGUGCUCUUCAAUACCUCACAUUCACGAGACCUAAUAUUUCAUUUGUUGUCAACAUAUCAUGCCAGUUUAUGAGUAGUCCCUCCAACACACAUUGGCUUGUUGUAAAGCGCAUCUUACGUUAUCUUAAAGGCACUACAUCUUAUGGUCUUUCCAUGCAACUGUCUCUCUUUGGACAUUUAAGCAUACACUGAUGCAGAUUGGGCUUUUUGUACAAAUGACAAAAGAAGCACCAGUGGCUAUUGUAUUUUCACUAGGCCAAAAUUGGCAGCAAGUAGAAAGUUGUUUCAAGAAGUAGUGUGGAAUCUGAGUAUCAUGGCAUAACUGUUGUCACUUCCAAAAUUGCUUGGAUUCAAUCUCUACUCACCGAGUUAUGUCUUUCUCCUUCAGCACCACCACUUCUGUGGUGUGACAACCAAAGUGUUGCACAUCUUGCUGCCAAUCCCAUAUUUCAUGCUCAAGCAAAGCAAAUUGAACUCGACCUUCAUUUUAUUCGUAAUAAAGUCCUUCAAAACCAACUUAGUAUUCGGUAUCUUCUCUCUUUCAACCAAAUCAUUGAUAUCUUCACUAAACAUAUCUCAAGCUCUCGGUUUUUUUAGCUUUCAAACCAAACUCUUUAUUGUUCUCAAACCUUUGUUCCCAAACCUGCGAGCUUGUGGGGGGAUGAUAGGCCACAACUGCACCAGCAACAAAAGGCUGUUGCAACAACAGAACCAAGAUCACUCAAGAACUAUGCAAGUAGUUAGGAAUUUGGUAGUGUAGUUUGAAUUGUGAAAAUAGUUAGGAAUUUGGCAGUGUAGUUUGUUACAACUGAAACUAUAAAUAGUAGAGAAGAGAACCUCUCCUGAACAUGUAAUUCUUCCAAUCAAUAUACAUAAACUAAAUUUGCAUUCUCCUUAUACAAACUUAUACUCCUUUCUCAUCUUCUCAUCUCAAAUUUCAUCCACUUGGAUGGUAUAUCUAUGAGUAAUUCUUUUUGUGUUACUUAAAAUAUCUUAAGUUUGUUUUUUAUAAAAACAAAAACAGGUUUGACACUAAAAAAAAAAAUAGAAAAUGGUUUUAAAAUAUCUACCUCUUUCAACUAUUCUCACUUAUUUUAAAAAAUAAAUAUAAAAAUAUGUAAAAUGAUAAUAAAUAAAUAAAUAAAGUACUGACAUAAAAUUUAUUUUUAAAAAUAUAUAUAUAUUUAAAAACAUAAAAAAUAAAUUAAUAAUAUUUCAAAUUCUAAAAUAGAAUUUUAUUCACAAAACAUCAAAGAACAAUUAUUAGAAACAAUUCUCAAAUAUCAUUUUCAUAAUUGUUUUUUAAAACACUUCCCAUUUCUCUAUAGUUUUUUUUUUAGAGAAUUAUUUAUUAAGAGUCAUCUUGCCAGUGAUCCUAACAAGUGUUUUUAGUUCAAAAAAAGUUUUUGAUGACAGAAUUUAGGAAAUACUUUUCAAAUUUUGAAAAAUCAUUUUUUAGAUAAAUGCUUAAUAGAUGAUUUUACGAAAAAACAAUUUAUAAGAAAACACUGUCAAUAAAAAAAAUUGAGUAGAAACACUUUCAAAUACACUUAAAAUGUUUUUUUAAUAAGUAUUACAAGUGAUUUUUUAACUUUUUAAAACCAUUGUUUAAAUUUUAUCUAAUUUUUUUUUCUCAAAAAUAUUUUUGUACGUAAGCUAGAACUAGAAGUACUUCUAACUUCAAAGAAUCUUUACCCAGCCGUUAACGUUUUAGACACCGUGGUUACCAGGCCCUUCUCUCAUGCAAUUGCUUAUAUAAAAACAAACACUUUUGUUACUUGGUACUAAAGCGCAUUAGAACUUUAGACAAAACAGAAGAUUCCUUACUUUUAUUUAGGCAUCAAACCCACUCAUUCAAGCAUAUUUAAAUUUAAAUGCAGUCGUCCAUGUAUACACAAAAGACCCAUUACCAAGAAGGUGAUCAUCCUUUUUCAGGGUUGGUUGUUCAAAAUUCAAAAUCAGUUAGCUGAAGAACAGAAAGGAAAAGAACAGAGCUGAAUUUGCAGAAAAGUAUUUUUUUUCUUUUUCCUUUUCUAAGGAUCUUGGAAUCCUUCUCCUAGUAUAGACAGAACAUUAGACGUAUAUAUAUGGUAGUGGGAAGUGAUUCUUCCCCAUAAAACAUUUUCUUUUCUAUUGAGUCAUGGGAUUCUAUCUUCAGCUUCAAGGGAUCAUAGUUUUUAGCCUUCUGUUUGCUAUCAUCUGUUUGUGAUUGAUUAAGGGCAAAGGGAACAGAAACAGAGGAAAAAGGGCACCAGAACCAUCACGGGCAUGACCUUUAAUCGGACACCUUCAUCUUCUACGAGCAGGCAAGCCCCAACAUCAAGCAUUUGGAGCCAUGGCAGAUAAGUAUGGACCAAUCUUUUGCUUUCAUAUUGGCCUGCGCAAAACUUCGGUGGUUAGCAGCUGGGAAGUAGCAAAAGAAUAUCUCACUUGAUGUUAAAAAUUGGAUACAAUAGAGAAAAGAAACACUCUCAAACACUCUCUUGAUACAAUAAAACUCUCAAAGUUACAAAAUAAGAACAAGAAGAAGAAGAACACAAGAAAGGCUCAAACAAGUUCUUGGAAUUUUGUCCAAAGACUCUAUUUCCUCCCACCACUAGAAAUCUUUAGGGAACUAAUGGAAAUAGUCUUGGGAUUGAUCAAGCCUUUUCACUUUUCUGCAUAAGAUUUCAAAAAGAAGAAAAGUCAUAUAUAGCACUCUUAGGGUUGAAAAAUGGUUACAAGGAUGAGAAAAAACUCAUUGUCUUCCUCAAUCUCUUCAUCUUUGUAACAUUCAAAAAUUAAAUCAUAUGUUUAAUUCACACAUUAAACAUGAUUUAAUCUCAAAUGUGUAACUCUCUUACACUUAACCUCUUAAGUUUUAUAAAGUUACAAAGAUGAGAAGACUCAUUGUCUUCCUUAACCUUUCAAGUUUUGUAACAUUUCAAAACUUAAUCAUGUGUUUAAUUCACACAUUAAAAGUGUAACCCUUCUUACACUUUAUUUUCAAAAGUUAUUUUUCAAAAGUGUAACUCUUCUUACACUUUAUUUUUAACCAACAAUAUAUAUAUAUAUAUAUAUAUAACAAUCCCCCACUUGGUUAAAAAUAAACAUCAACCCUUAUAACCUCAACAAUGAAAAUGCAUAAAAUAAAAUAUCUUUCGAUUUGAAUUUUACCUUAGUGUAAUUGUCACAAAGCUCCGUUGAAAUCCCAGGUUGCUUGUAGCAUUAAACCAGUUAUUCCUUGUAACGAAACCGGUAACAACACACACACUUCCACUAACCACAUGAGUGCCCAUUAUUUUCUUGCUUAGCACUUUUAUGGCCAUGUGCUCAAUCCAUUCAUGAACUUUCUUGAAAGAAACUCCAACUCUCAUGAGAGGCGGCACCACCCCUAAGUUCACAUAGGUGAAAUUCUUCCAGCAUCCUUGUUACCUUUAAGAUGCUUGUCACACAUAGACUGAAUUUCAUUAAAAGCUUUAAGCUUAACCCUCCAACGGUAACAACCAGCAUUAAUCAUCACAGAUGGAACUCACAUGUUCUAAUGCUGCCACAACCCACUUAUCAAUGACUUGUUUUUACCUAUUGAACUUAAGACUAGUCAUUUCGUAGUAUUAAGUUAGGUUACCAUCAUUGGUGAAUUUUAUUUAAGGAGUUUUAGUCACAUCCCUCUAGAUGUUAUCCUUACUAAAUCUCUUGUAAGAGGCUUAGUAAAAGGAUCCGCCAAGUUUCCACUUGACCUCACAAAUGAGAUUGAGAUGAUUCCAUAUUGAAUCAAUUGUCUCACAUACUCAUGUCUAAUGCUUAUAUGUCUAGACUUCCCAUUGUACACUCCACUGUACGCACGAGCUAGAGUGGCUUGACUGUCACAAUGUAUCGACACUGUUGACACAUUAUUUGCAGUAAAAGGGAUGUCCAUCAUGAGAUCCCUAAGCCACUCAGCUUCUUUUCCAAUUGCAGCUAGAGCUAUAAACUCUGCCUCCAUGGUUGAGUGUGAUAUACAAGUCUGUUUCUUGGAUCCCCAAGAGACAACCCCACCACCAAGUGUAAACACCCAACCUGUGGUAGAUAAAUUAUCUCCCACACUCGAUAUCCAGCUUGCAUCUGAAUACCCUUCAAGUAUAGCAGGAAACUUUGAAUAUUGGAGGCUUAGUUCUUUGGUAUUCUUUAGGUAACCAAGAACUCUACCAAUAGCUUUCCAAUGUUCCACGCUUGGAUUGCUAAUAAACCUACUUAGUUUACUAACUGCAAAUGAAAUGUCAGCCCUAGUACACUGAGCAGCAUACAUAAGACUUCCAAUUGCACUUGCAUACUCAAGUUGAGCCACAGAUCUACCAUCAUUCUUUUCAAGUUUUAUACUUGAAUCAAAUGGAGUAUUAGCAUCUUUAAUCUUGAGAUGAUUAAAUUUGCUAACUACUUUCUCAAUAUAGUGGGUUUGGUUCAAAGCAUAACCCCCACUAUUUCUUUUCACUUUGAUACCCAAUAUAGUAUCAACUUCUCCAAGAUCUUUCAUCUUGAAGGUUGAGGAUAGAAACCUUUUCGUUUCUAUUAUUCCUUUCAUGUCAUCACUCAAGAUUAACAUGUCAUCCACAUAUAGACACACUAUGACCAUAUAGUCAUCACAAGUCUUAGAAUAUAAGCACUUGUCCACAUUGUUGUGUCUAAAUCCAUCCGAAAGAAUAGCAUGAUCAAAUUUUUCGUGCCAUUGUUUGAGAGUUUGUUUUAAACCAUAUAAUGAUUUGACAAGUUUACACACUUUGUUUUCAUUCCCCAGUGGAACAAAACCUUCCGGUUGUUCCAUGUAGACUUCCUCAUUGAGAUCCCCAUUCAAGAAUGCCGUUUUGACAUCCAUUUGAUGAACAAAUAGAUUAUGAAUUGAUGCCAAAACAAACAAUAUCCUAAUUGAUGUUGUUCUAGCCACCGGCAUAGGUAUCAAAAUAAUCAAUACCUUCUCUUUGUUUAAACCCCUUAGCUACUAAUCUAGCCUUAAAGGUUUGAAUCAUGCCAUCGUUGUGAUAUUUCCUUCGAAAUACCCACUUGCACCCUAUUGGUUUAGAUCCUGGUGGAAGGUCUACCAAUUCCCAUGUUUGGUUGGACAUAAUUGAAUCCAUUUCAUCAUUGAUAACCUCUUUCCAAAAAGCAACAUCUCUAGAAGCCAUAGUUUCUUUGUAUGUUUUGGGAUCCUCCUCUAUUUGAAGUACUAUAGGAAUUUUUCUUAUAAUAUCUUCUCUAUUUCCUUCUACUAAGUAAAAGGAAAUUCUUUGAGAGUCAAUCUCAUCUGAUCCCAACACUUUCUCUUUUCUAGCUCUUUGGCUUUUCCAAGGCACAAUGGGUUGCUCAACAACCUUUGAAGGUGUCUCCUCUAGAGACUCUCCAACACUAGUAGGUACUUGAGAAUUGCUAUCACUCAACAAAUUCUCAAAGAACUCUACCUCUCUUGAUUCAAUUAUCACAUUAGACUCCAAGUCUAAUAGCCUAUAAGCUUUGCUAUUUGAGGCAUAGCCUACAAAUGCACACUUAAUGGCUCUUGGACCCAAUUUUGUUUCAUGUGGAUCCGUUUUCUUGCAAUAAGCAAGACACCCCCACACUUUGAAGUAACCUAUAUUAGGCUUCCUUCCUUUCCAUAACUCAUAUGGAGAUAUCUCAUUUUUCUUCAUAGGAAUUCUAUUAAAAUAUGACCCCUACAUAUGAGCUCAUCCUCCUCUCUCUUCUUCCUUGCCGCCACCACUUGAGGUGUGUCAUUUUCCUUUGGUUCCGGUAACGGUGCCAAGGUAGGAUCAAGGAUGUAGAAAAUCUUGAGUGCUGUGAGAAGGAAUCUCACCUUGUCUUGCCACCUAGUGAAGUUGGAACCAUCAAAACGAUCCAACCUCACAAGGUCUUGGUUCAUAAUCUUGAUAAUCUCUCCUUCCAUUGAAAAAUAGAGUCUUUGAUUGAUGUUAAAAAUUGGAUACAAUGGAGAAAAGAAACACUCUCAAACACUCUCUUGAUACAAUAAAACUCUCAAAGUUACAAAAUAAGAACAAGAAGAAGAAGAACACAAGAAAGGCUCAAACAAGUUCUUGGAACUUUGUCCAAAGACUCUAUUUCCUCCCACCACUAGAAAUCUUUAGGGAACUAAUGGAAAUAGUCUUGGGAUUGAUCAAGCCUUUUCACUUUUCUACAUAAGAUUUCAAAAAGAAGAAAAGUCAUAUAUAGCACUCUUAGGGUUGAAAAAUGGUUACAAGGAUGAGAAAAAACUCAUUGUCUUUCUCAAUCUCUUCAUCUUUGUAACAUUCAAAAAUUAAAUCAUAUGUUUAAUUCACACAUUAAACAUGAUUUAAUCUCAAAUGUGUAACUCUCUUACACUUAACCUCUUAAGUUUUAUAAAGUUACAAAGAUGAGAAGACUCAUUGUCUUCCUUAACCUUUCAAGUUUUGUAACAUUUCAAAACUUAAUCAUGUGUUUAAUUCACACAUUAAAAGUGUAACCCUUCUUACACUUUAUUUUCAAAAGUUAUUUUUCAAAAGUGUAACUCUUCUUACACUUUAUUUUUAACCAACAAUAUAUAUAUAUAUAUAUAUAUAUAUAUAUAUAUAUAUAUAUAUAUAUAUAUAUAUAUAUAUAUAUAUAUAUAUAUAUAAAUAUAACAUCACUACCAUGGACAAAGCAUUUGCCACUCAACCCAGAUCCUUGGCAGGAAAGCUCAUGGGCUAUAACCAUGCCAUGUUUGGCUUCUCUCCUUGCAGGGCAUACUAGCAUGAUGUAAGGAAGUUGGCCUCGAUUGUGUUGGAUUGUGAAGCUUGAACCAGUUUUAUUGCUCUUCGCUCGGGAUGUCGGGAGUCGAACUGCCCGAUCAACUCAUGAGGGUCAAAUGGUUGCAAAGUUUGUUGACAAAGGUGAGAUUCAAACAUGUGAUGAAUGUUUUGUAUAGUGAUAGCCAAAGUGCAAUACAUUUUGCUAAGAAUUCAGCAUUUCAUUCUAGGACUAGACAUAUAACAAUUCUUUAUCACUUUAUCAGGCCUUUGCUUGAAGAUGGAAUGUUAACACUUGUGAAAAUACACAAUAACAAGAAUCCAACUUACAUGUUGACCAAAGCACUGAUAGUAGAGAAUCUAGAGCAUAUAACGCUUUCUGUAGCUUACAAACAUGUUGGGGAUGAGAUGUGCUAACAAAUCCAGCUGGUUGGGAAAGAUAAACAGUUUCUACAAUUUCUCCAUUGAGGAAGGCAUUGUUGAAAUCAAUUUGUCGAAUCUCCCAAUUAUAUGUUACAGCCAAUGUAAAUACAACUCGCAUAGUAGAGGAUUUGAUCACUGGACUGAAAGUAUUAGUAAAUUCCACACCUACAUAUUGUUGAAAUCCUUUGGCUACUAGUCUGGCCUUGAAGCGUUGGAUGGUACCAUCAAAAUUAUAUUUGACACAAAAAAUCCAUUUUCUAUCUAUGACAUUCAUGGAUGGAUGAAAGAGAACCAAGGUCCAAGUAUUUUUUACUAAGGCUUGAUAUUCUUCAACCAUAGCUGUGUGGCAGUUGGGAUUUUUCAAUGCUUGACUAACAGUGGUAGGAAGUUGGUCUGGGGGUGAAAUGGAAGUAGACAGGUAUGUAAUAUGGUCUGGGAGUAGUUUGGGUUUAAAUUUACCCACUUUUGAACGAGUAGUCAUGGGAUGAAGAGAAGAAGCUGAAAUAGGAGGUGAGGGAAUAGAAGGGGACACUGGUCUUGAUGCAGCGGGACACAUGGAAGGAUGAGAAAAGGUAUGUGACAUGGUUUGUAAAAGGGGUAUAGAGAAAGAUGUGGAGGAAGUGUGUAGGGUAGGACUAGAAUCAUUCAUUGGUAGAGAUGAAUAGGGAAAUGUUUUUUCAUAAAAAAAUAAUGCUUCUUGAAAUGUAAACUUUCCUGGAAUGAUGUAAAUAUAGGUAUCCUUUAUGGGAGAGACUAUAUCCAAUAAAUAUGCAUUGAGUUGACUGAUAUUCUAGUUUAUGGUUUUUGUAAGGUCGGAGAUACGGAUAGCAAGCACAGCCAAAAGUCUUCAAGAAUAAAAAAUUAGGUGAGGACUUAAACAAGAGUUCAUAGGGAGUCUUACAAUGGAAAACCGGAGUUGGUAGUCUAUUGAGAAGGUAAGUUGUUGUAGAGAAGGCAUGCCACCAGAAAGUAAAUGGCAAUUGAGACUUAGCCAAUAAAGUCAAUCCAAUUUCUACAAUGCUUCUAUGCUUUCGUUCCACCUUCCCAUUUUGUUGAUGAACAUGAGGACAAGGAUGACGGAAGAGGAUGUCUUUCUUCUACAGAAGAUAUUGAAGGGGACGAAACUCUCCACCCCAGUCUGUUUGUAGACACUUAAGUUUGGUGGGAAAUUGUCGAUCUACCAAUGCUAUGAACUGCAAGACAAUUGAUGUUGCUUGGGACUUUUGUUGCAUGGGAUAAAUCCAAGUACAGUUUGUAAAAGCAUCUACAAAUGCAAUGUAAUAUUUGUACCCAUCACAUGAAGUUGUAUGUACAGGACCCUACACGUCCGAAAAAACUAGUUCGAAUGGAACUUGUGUUUUAUUAAUAGUGGUAGAGAAUGAAAGCUGUUUUGCCUUGCCUAAAGGACAAGUAGUACAAAAACCGAGUUCGUUUUGGAGCUUGGAAUUAAUGCCUAAUCUGUCAAGUACUAGAGACACAGUUUUGUUGCAUGGAUGACCCAAUCUUUGAUGCCACAAGUGUCCAACACCCAUGUUGCUGUCUUCUACACAUCUUGUAGACUCAAUUUUAUUUAUUUGCAGGCUAUAUCCAACAGAUGGAGCAGCUGGUUGUUUGUUGAUAGUAGAUGGAGUAGUAGCUAGAUGAGGUAGGAACACAUUUGUAUCUUCAGAGAAACCUGCAAACUGCCGGUUAGAUGAGACCUUGGAAAUAUCCAACUGAUAUAGGCCUUCCUUAAGGUUGCCUUGGAGUAAUAUCUCUCUGGACUUCUUGUCCUUAACAAAACAGCAAUGAGAGUCAAACUCAAGGAUAACAUCAUUAUCUUGAGUGAAUUUAGCUACAUUGAUCAGAUUUUUAGUGAUCUGAGGUACAUGAAGUACAUUGGUAAGAUGCAAUGACUUGGAAGAUUUACAUGAAGGAAAAGAAGUAUGACCAACACUAGAUAUAUCUAGUGUUUGUCCAUUGCCCACCACAACAUUACCUGUGCCAGAGUAGUGAUCAAAGACAUCAUGAGUAUUGGAAUCAGUGGUCAUGUGGUGAGUAGCACCAUUGUCAACAAACCAUGAAGUGUUUGAAUCAAGAUCCGGAGUAAGAAUAUAGGCACGAGGAGAAGUGUUUGUUGAAUCCUGUUGUUGGUGUGAAUUUUAAAUUGGAAGUGAUGGUAUCAGUGGCCUUGUGGAAUAAUAUUGAGGCUGACUUUGAGGCUGUAUUUGUGGUUGUAGUGGAGGUGGCCGAAGUUGAGGUUGUUGCGGUUGAUGAAGAGAUGGAAACUGUUGAUUUUAUGCACAUGGUGGAGAUUGGAAGUACACAUCAAAACGGUGGAAGCACUUCAUAGCAGUGUGUCCCAUUUUUCCACACAAUUGACAAACAAUUCUUAAAGUUUGUGGAUUAUGUACAUUUCUAUGACGAAAAUUCCUGUUGCUUGAGCCUCUAAACUGUCCAUCAUUAGUGUUAGAAUUUUGAACACCUCCAACUGUAAUAUGUGCUGCUGGUGAACGUCAAUAACAAAGGCUGUUGAAAGUUGCUCAAGACAAAUUUCAUGACUUUGUAGCAGAUAAUGGACUUCUUGUAGAGAGAUUGCCUCAGAUCUAGAUGUAAUAUUCACAACAAUUGUUUCAAAUUCUAGUCCUAAUCCACCUAAAAUGUAAAGAAUUAAAUCUUCAUCUGGUAUAGGUUUUCCAGAGGCAGAGAGCAUAUCUGCUAUGUUUCUCAUUUUUAGCACAUAAUCCUUUAUGCUUAGAGCACAUUUCUUUAAUGAUUGUAGCAUGAAACGUAGUUGAAGAGUUCUUGCCUUUGAAUUAGAGACAAAAAGUUUUUAAAAGAACACUCCAUACUUUGGCUUAUGUUUGACAAUUAACCACAUGACCAUACAUGGCUUCAUAUGGAAGCAAGAAUCCAACUCAAAAAGAAUUGAUCUAAAAUCACCCAUUGAUCAUAUUCUGGAUUGGAUGCAGGUUGAGAUGAAUUAACUGAUGUUGAUUGAGAGAAUCUUGGAGGUUUUGGUAGCUUACCAAUGAGAAUUUGAUCCAAUUGAUGUGCUCUAGCUGCUGGUAAUACCUAAGAUCGCCAUAUUGUGUAAUUGUUCAUCUCUAGCUUCACCGAGAUCGGAUGAAGCAUAGAAGAACUUUGUCCCUUAAGAAUUGAGGAAACUUCCAACGAGUUUCUUGCCGGAGAUUGGAGUCCUUGUGAGGACAUCUCUGGUGCAGAGAAAUCGAUGUGAUCAAUCACCAUUUUGGAUGUGUGUCAAUGGAGCUCUGAUACCAUGUCUGGUUGAAGAAAAAUAAAGAAAACAGGAUUGUAGCAGAAAACAGAGUAUGAAGAAGAGAAAAAACAGAGUAUUAGAAAUUCUGGAACUAAAAAACGUGUUCUUGCAUUCCACUCUUCAUCUGAUUGAUUUACAUAUGUUUUUAUAUCAAAACUUAUAGACUUUAACUCUGGUUACCAAUUAACCGUAGUUACUAACUGACCAUAGUUAUAGUUACAGGGGUUAGCUAACUUCCUAACUGAAUUUGGUUAGCUUAACAGGCUAUGAUGAUGGCUCGUUUGUCUUUGCUCCUUGUGGACCAUAUUGGCGUGAUGUGCAGAAGCUAGCCAUGGCUGAGCUGCUUUCAAACCGCCAACUUGAGAUGCACAAGCAUGUCCAGGACUCAGAAGUCAAGAUCUUAAUAAAAGAGCUUUAUGGGCAAUGGGCAAUGGGCAAUGGGCAAGCAACAAGGACUCCCCGCUUUGGUGGAGAUGAAGGAAAGAUUUGGGAACUUGGCACUGAACGUAGUGGUGAGAGCAAUUGCUGGGAAACGGUAUUUUGGGACCCAUGCCUGUGGUGAUGAGCCAAAACGGUGCAAAAAGGCCUUUGAGGAUUUCAUUAUUCUAGUGGGGCUGUUCAUGGUCUCGGAUGCCAUCCCUUUUCUCGGCUGGUUGGACACGGUGAGAGGGUUUACCCCUGAAAUGAAGAGAGUAGCUAAGGAGGUGGAUUAUGUGCUUGGAAGCUGGGUGGAGGAGCAUCGCCAGAAUAGGCUUUCUGCGAACGACAAUAGGGCUGAGCAAGACUUCAUACAUGCCAUGCUUUCUGUCAUAGAUGAUGGCCAAUUCUCUGGCCGUGAUCCUGACACCAUCAUUAAGGGCACUUGCUCGGUAUGUCCCUGCUACUUCCAUAACCUGAGCAUGAAACGAAAAGAAAAAAAAGCACCAUCUACUAUCAUAAUUUCUACAACUUUUUUCGCCCAUUUCCUAAACCCUCCUCACAUUUCUACAAGGAUUCAUCAAAUCCAGUAUAGCUUUAUCAUCUGUACUUAUCAUGACAAACCAGGCGGGGUGAUCAAAUUUCACUUCGAUUCCUUAUUCACGGUUUGUUUUACCAUUCUGCUAAACAUGGUAUUUCACUACUGAUAAGUAAACUUUGCCUGAUCGCAUAUUGAAGUCGACAUCAUAUGUUGAUUGCAGAACCUCAUAUUAGCUGGCUAUGAAUCAACAUUUAUCACUCUUACAUGGGCCCUCUCUCUUCUACUGAACAACCGCCAUGCGCUAAAAAAUGCACAAGAAGAGCUGGAAAUCCAUGUGGGAAAGCAUCGCCAAGUGGAUGGAUCAGAUAUAAAGAACCUAGUCUACUUGCAAGCCAUCGUCAAGGAAACAUUACGACUGUACCCUCCUGGGCCACUUUCCCUGCCACAUGAGGCCAUUGAAAAUUGCACUGUGGCUGGCUUUCACAUCCAAGCUGGGACGCGCCUUUUGGUUAAUCUCUGGAAGUUGCAUCGUGACCCCAGAGUCUGGUUGGACCCUUUGGAGUUCCAACCAGAGAGGUUCCUGACAAAGCAUGCAGGUUUGGAUGUUAGGGGUAAAAAUUAUGAACUUCUACCCUUUGGUUCAGGUAGAAAGGUAUGCCCAGGAAUCUCAUUUGCACUGGAGUUGACGCAUCUGACGCUAGCAAGACUGCUUCAUGGUUUUGAAUUGGGAGCGGUUGCAGAUUCACGGGUGGAUAUGACUGAAAGUCCUGGGUUGACUGCCCUCAAAGCAACUCCACUGGAGGUCACAAUUGUUCCAAGGCUACCUUUCGAGCUCUAUAGUUAUGAAGCAGCAUAGAAAGUAAAUAAGACUCUUACGUGAGCCGGAGAGUCCCCUAAUUAGCCCAGUGCUUUAGUUUAGGGUAUAUUUAUGUUGGUGUGACUGACUUUGAAUUGCCGGUGGAGUGGGUGUUCUCCUCAAAUUUCAUCCACUUGGAUGGUAAUAAAUUUCCAUCUAUGAGUAAUUCUUUUUGCAUUACUUAAAAUAUCUUAAACCUGUUUUUGAGAAAAAGUAAAAAAUAAAAAGCCAUGCCUGAAACAAAAAAAAAAAAAAAAAGAAAAAAAGAAAAAGAAAAAGCAUGGCUUUAUUUUAACUAUUUUCAUUUAUUUUAAAAAAAUAAAUAUAAAAAUAUACAUGAUAAUAAAAUAAAUAAAUAAAUAAAGAACUAACAUGAAAGUUAUUUAAAAAAAAUUAAAAAUAUUUCAAGUUCUAAAAUAAAAUUUUAUUCAUAAAACAUCAAAAAACAAUUUUAAAAAACAAUUCUCAACUAUCAUUUUUCAUAACUAUUUUUAAAACACUUCUCAAAUACAACCUUAAAUUUUGAACUCCUUCCAAAACCAAGUUUCGAUGAUGCUGCACCUUAUGCUUCUUCAUCAUUUGGAGUGCCUACUCUUGACUUAUUAACACAUCAUAAAAAAUUGAUCCUGAUUUUCAUAGUAAAAUCAUAUGGAUUAAUUGGGAAAUAGUUAACUGUACAAAGUUGCAGCCUGCAGGCCCUCAUGAUCGACCUGCACUUAGCAUUUUCUUUCCCACAAGAUGAAUACAACAUUUGGCAGCAAUCAUAGGAUCAUCAUGAACGACCUAUUGAACUCAAUAUUAAAAUAUCUUAUAUUAACUGAGCAUCCAACCCACCACCACAACUCAGACAACUUUAAAGAAAUUAGAAUCCAAUUACUAUAUUAUUGGUAGAAGAUUGGAAUCAAAUGCUCUAAAUUAAUUUCCCUUAAGCGGACAAGAGUUUUACAUGUUCACAUAUAUGCCAUACAAUCUCAUGGAACACUUUCUAAUAUUACUAUCCAACGGAUUCCAAAAAUGCAUUUGUCAAUGUUUUUACUAAAAAUGGUUUUUGUAAAAGUAUUUUCUCUAAUAGUCUUUUUCGGUGAAUCAUUUAUUAAGAAUCAUCUUGACAGUGAUCUUAGGAAAUGCUUUUAGCCUAAAAAAUGUUUUUAAAAAAACAUCACAUAUUUGAGAAUUUAAGAAAUAUUUUCAAAAUUUUCAAAUUAAUUUUUAAAGAAAUACUUCAUAAAUGAUUUUCCGUAAAACAAUUUAUGAAAAAACAGUCAUUAAAGAAACUAUGAGUAGAAACACUUUCAUACGACCCUCGGUGUUUUUCUAAAAAUUAUUAUAUCUGACUUUUUUAAAAUCGUUGUCUAAAAGUAUUAUAGCUGAAGAACAGUAAGGAAAAGAACAGAGCUGAAUUUGCAGAAAAGUUUUUUUUUUUUUCAUUUUCCUUUUCUAAGGAUCUUGGAAUCCUUUUCCUUGUAUGGACAGAACAUUAGAGGUAUAUAUAUGGUAGUGGGAAGUGAUUCUUCCCCAUAAAACAUUUUCUUUUCUAUUGAGUCAUGGGAUUCUAUCUUCAGCUUCAAGGGAUCAUAGUUUUUAACCUUCUGUUUGCUAUCAUCUGUUUGUGGUUGAUUAAGGGAAAGGGAACAGAAACAGAGGCAAAAGGGCACCAGAACCAUCACGGGCAUGGCCUUUAAUCGGACACCUUCAUCUUCUACGAACAGGCAAGCCCCAACAUCAAUCAUUUGGAGCCAUGGCAGAUAAGUAUGGACCAACCUUUUGCUUUCAUAUUGGCCUGCGCAAAACUUUGGUGGUUAGCAGCUGUGAAGUAGCAACAGAAUGUUUAACUACCAUGGACAAAGCAUUUUCCAUUCGACCAGAUCCUUGGCAGGAAAGCUCAUGGGCUAUGACCAUGCCAUGUUUGGCUUCUCUCCUUACGGGCCAUACUGGCGUGAUGUAAGGAAGCUGGCCUCAGUUGAGCUCCUCUCAAACCGCCAGCUUGAGUUACUCAACCAUGUCCGGGACUCAGAAGUUAAGCUUUUCAUCAUAGAGCUCUACGGGCAAUGGAUACAAAAUGGGGACAGGCCUCUCUUGGUCGAGAUGAAGGAGAAGUGUUGGCACCUGGCAGCAAAUGUAAUGGUGAGCGCAGUAGCUGGGAAAUUUUGGCACCGUUACAAAUGACUAUGAGUCAAGACGGUGCCGGAAGGCCCUUGGCGAUUUGUUAUAUCUCUCGGGGGUAUUUAUGGUUUCUGAUGCAAUCCCCUUCCUUGGCUGGUUGGACACUGUGAGAGGAUAUACGGCAAAAAUGAAGAGAACAGCUAGGGAGGUGGAUCAGGUGCAGGGAAGCUGGGUGGAGGAGCAUCGCCGGAAGAGGUUCUCUGGAAGCAUGAACGAGGCUGAGCAAGACUUCAACCAUGUCAUGCUGUCUGUUAUUGAGGAUGGUCAGUUCUCUGAUCAUGACCAUGACACUGUCAUUAACGCUACUUGCUUGGUAUGUUUCUUCUUCUUUCCUUGGUCAAAUUCCAUAAACCUCCACACACUUAACAGCAAACCUCCAUCAUGAUUGGUUUUGUCCAGCUGUUACACUUGCUAUUUCAGGACUGAUGAUUAACUCUCAACUUUCUUUGACAAAAUUUCUGGGAAUAAUGAAAACUAUGAUAAACUUUUAAAUUGUUCUACUAACAGCCAGACAUACUGUUUUUUAACACACACUGAUCAAAGAAGCCAUAUCACCAGCUCAAAAGACCAACAUGGAUGUAAUGUUGAUGCAGACUCUAAUAAUAGGCGGCUCUGAUUCAACGGUGAUCACACUGACCUGGGCCCUCUGUCCGCUAAUGAACAAUCCCAGCACUCUAAAAAGAGCACAAGAUGAGUUAGACAUCAAAGUGGGAAAGCAUCGCCAAGUGGAUGAGUCAGACAUAAAGAACCUAGUCUACUUGCAAGCCAUCAUCAAGGAAACCUUACGACUGUACCCUGCUGCACCGCUUUCAGUGCCACGUGAGGCCAUGGAGGAUUGCACCAUGGCAGGCUUCCACAUCCAAGCUGGGACGCGCCUUUUGGUUAACCUCUGGAAGUUGUACAAGAACCCCAGAAUUUGGUCGGAUCCUUUGGAGUUCCAACCUGAGAGGUUCCUAACGAAGCAUGUGGAUUUGGAUGUUAGGGGUCAAAAUUUUGAAUUUCUGCCAUUUGGGUCAGGCAGAAGGGUAUGCCCAGGAAUCUCAUUUGCGCUUGAGGUCGUGCAUCCGACUUAUUUAAGAUCAUACAUCAGUUGAUUAUGAUCAUCUUCAUCGAUCAAAUAGAGUUCAUAUGUUGAUGCUUGUGUUGUUAUUUGAUUUGAUAAUUUUUCUUGCUUCUGCUUCAAAGUUUCUUGUUUGUGUUGAGCCUAGCUCAUAUUUUUAAGUCAACUCAGCGUAAGGGAAAAACACAAAUGGGAUUUGUGUUUUUUUUUUUUUCCACCAGCAGAAUGGUCUUAUUUGGAAGCUUGUACAAGCAUAGCUUUUUUAUAUAACUAUGGGGCUAGCCACACUCCACAUGAUUUAAAAUGUACAAAUAGGCAUAAUAACAACUGGCCAAAGAGAUGGUUUUUUUCAUACUCAGAACUAUCUUAUAUUAGACUUCAAAGGUGCUUCAUAUUUUCUAUCAUGCAUUGAGAGCCGUCUAUGGUUUUCAUAUUAGGAUGGCACAUGUGUGGAACAUGAAUUCCUACUUGUGAGUGUUCUAGUGUAUGUAGUUUUGAGCCAUUUUGGAGAAGUGAUUCUUUCCCCUGAUCCAUUCUCUCUGGUACUAACUAGUCAUGGGAUUCUCCCUUCAGCCUCAAGAGAUCACAGUUUUUGGGCUUCUUGCUACAAUCUGUCUGUUGUUGGAAACAGCACUUAAUGCCAAAAGGAACAAGAUCAAGGAAGGCAAAAGGCCACCAGAGCCGUCCUGACAAUGGCCUCUUAUCGGUCAUCUCCAUCUUCUAGGAGCAGACAAGCUGCUACAUCGGAAACUUGGAGACAUGGCUGACAAGUAUGGACCAAUCUUUUGCAUUCAUCUUGGCUUUCGUAAAGCUCUGGUGGCUAGUAGAUGGGAAGUAGCAAAGGAAUGCUACACUACCAAUGACAAGGUAUUCGCCACUCAACCAAUGGCUGACAGUUCUUUUUUUUUUUUCUUUUUUUUUUUUUUUUGAAAUUUAAACAGUAAGCUUUGAUGAUCUGAAAGUUUUUUUCUUCUUCAAAUUGGAAUUAUGUAUUUUUACAUUGCAGUCAUAUCUGAUACUCGUAAAGUGCAUCUUCUUCAUUUUCUUCUUGUUUGUUGUUUGAUUACACUUUAAUCUUCAUAGAAAUUGACAUUUUCUCCCCCAUCAACUCUAGAGCUAAUCAGGAAGGUAGAACAGUUCUUGGUUUGCAGACCUCAGAAAAUCAAUUAGCUAAACAAAAACAUAGAGAAGAAAAAGAGGAGCUAAAUUUGUUGAUGUUGUGACAAACUCUCCCACCUUUUAUUUAGCGAGAAGCUAUGAGAAGUGAUACUGAAUCAAGUUUACAUUGCUGGUUUGUCGUGUGGCUGUGCACGAGAUUACUAGUCAUCGUCCUCCAUGCAGAUGAGGUGUGCAUGAGAGAAUGCUCUAAUUAAUAUCUUCCUUCAUCAGGCGAUUGCGCGUGCAUGUUGGGGCUCUUUGCUUACAUAUGGUUCCUUUUUAUGCCUGGAACUGGUACUUUUAGUCCACUGAACCUGUGUUAGCACCAGAAAUAACAACAUGAAGAUACCUAUCAAGAAAAAUAUAAGUGACCAAGAGAGUAGACCGGCUUCCUAAGGAUUCCUCGUAGGUCUGGCAUACUUAUAUUAGACUUUCAGAGAUAAAUAAGUAAAGAGAACUUGAAACACUAAGUAACAUUGAUCAAAUCAUAUUGGAGAUGAGCUUGUAAGUCUAUGUAUUGUGUGGUAGGUAAAGAGGAGGCACAACUUGGGCUGAAAGCACCUGAACUGAACUUUCCACUAACUCAUUUUCUCUUGAGCGGCUAAAAAUUGGAUCAUCAAGAGACUGCCCUACCUCAAAACCUGACCUCAACCAGUAUUAAAAUACGUGAUAUUUUGACAAUAUAUCGUUAAAAUAUCGUGUAUAGGUGGAUCUCGACACGAAAUAUAGGAAAGAAAUAUUGGCACCUCGAUAUUUCGACAAUUUAUUGAAAAUUUCACCGAUUUUUCACAAUUUAUCGGUAAUUUAUUGAUUUUUCACCAAUAUUUUGACUAGUCAAUAUUUUUCACAAUUUAUCGAUAAUUUAUUGAUUUUUCACCAAUAUUUUGACAGGUCAAACUUCAAAAAAAUUCAAAAUUUCUACUGGUGCUGAAGGGAAUCCAACCCUAGCCAAAUGUUCACCAACCACGGAGACAAGUUUGCCCAUUGUUAUAUGUUUAGUACUAAAUAUAUAUAUACUAAAACUUAUUAUAUAAACAUAAUAUUUAAAGAAUGUUUUAAAGAAUAAAUUAAUUAUAAUUAUUUCAUAAUUAAAUGAAAAAAAAUUAAUUAAUUACCAAAAAUAUAAGAUUUAUCUUGAUAAUUUUCUUCCAUUAAUAUAUUAAUUAAAUAUUAAAAAUCAUAUAUAUAUAUCAUUAUUUAUUUUAUAUUAUUUAAUUUAUAUUAUUUAAUACAAUUGAAUAAAAUGGAUUAUAAAUUUGAUUUUAAUAUUAAAUAUAUUUUUUAAUAAUCAAAUAUCAUAAUAUUACCUCCAAUAAUAUUUAAUAAUAAAUGUACACUUAUAAAAGGGAGAAUUGUGUUUUGGGCCCAGCUAGGCCCAAAAAUUAACAUUUGGUCCUCCAACCACCCAUAUUUAAACCCAAGACCCAAACAAAGUAUGAAAAUUAAGAUGAAGGAUAUUGUCUUUCAUUAAUUCCUAAAAUACCCUUAUCCCUUAUAUGCCUACAAGUGAGUGUGAAUUUUAAUUUUUUUUGUUUUUUGUUUUCCUUUUCUAUUCCCUAUUAAAUAUUACUCAUUUCUAACUUUUUUUUUCCUUUUUAUUCCAAUAUAUAUUUCUAUUUUAUGUCAAAUAAAAAACAAUAAUAUUUUUUUAUUUUUCAUUUUUAAAGAUAUUGAAUCUUUUUGCUCUUAUUAAAAGCAAUGAUAAAAAUUUUGGGAUUUUUCAUCCAAAUAUUUUUUAUCUUUAUGUAUUUAUCUUUUACUUUAAUUUUCAUUUUUUAUUUUAAAUUUAUAUUACCCUUUCAUCUAUAUUUUUCUCUUAUUUUUUAUAUUUUCUACAUUAACCAUAUUUUAAAAAAUUUUAAAAUUAACUAUCACUUCACUUUAUUAUAUAUAUAUAUCUUUUUAGCUUUUUAAUUUUUAAUGUUUUUAUUUUAAAAUUUUUAAAAAGAUAAAUUUGUUGAAAAAAAAUAACUAAGAUAUGAAAUUCUAAUAUUAUAUUAAUAAUUUUUUCUUAUCUAGAUAGACUAAUGCAAAGUAUUUUGACCCCCAACAAGGAAAUUGUCAAUACAAUUUUUUAGUUAAACUUUAAAAAUUAAGUUUCAAAUAAAAUAUAUUAUAUAAAAUUUUAUCUAAAAAUUAUUGAAAGUGGUAUUUAAUUUUUUUAUUUAUUGACUUUGAAACUUAUCUAGUUUUUUACUUGAAAGGUAAUAGAACAUGUUUAUAAAAAAAAUUAGUUUUUCAUUUUUUAAAUAAAUGAGUAUAAAUAUAUUAAAAAAAAUUAAAGAUAAUCUUAGUAAAAAAUUUGAUAAAUAUGAUUAUAAUUUUAAAUAUAGAUUCAUGUGGAUAAAAUUUCACAAAAAAAAAAAAAAAUAGUGAAAAGAAAGAACAUUGUUAAAACUACAAAAACAAAAUAUGCAAUUACAAAAAUUUGAUGAUGAAAUUUAAAAAUAAAAUUCGAAACAAUUCUUGAGUGAGAGAAUUUGAGUGGGGAAAAAAUAUUUGAGUGGAAAAAAAUGGGAAAGUUUUUCGAAAUCACUUUAAAUCUUUAACAAAAAGUAGUCUUGUACACCCUUGUACAAUUAGUAAAUUUGUCUUGUACAGUUAGUAUAAUACCCUUGUACAGUUAGUGUAAUACCCUUGUACAAUAACUCAAAUUUCAUACAUCAUUUUAUGAAUAUCUAACAAUAGGUCGGUUAACCAUGUUUGCAUCGGUUUGGUUUUAAAAAAGAAAAAAAAUUGUUGUAUAAUUUUGUUUUACAAUCAUCAUAAGUGAGGUACCUAUUAAAAUGACCAUAUACAAAUUAGAUAAAAUACAUGAGAUGAAUGUAUGUUUAACCAAUGUGUGUAAGAAAUGUCAUUUAUCAUUGGUUAAGGGAAAUAAACAAACAAGUUUUUUAGAAUCACUUAAAAUCUUUCACAAAUAAUAGUUUUGUACACCCUUGUACAAUUAGUAUAUUUGUCAUGUACACUUAGUGUAAAUACCUUGUACAGUGACUAAAAAAACGUUAUUUUAUUUUAUUUUCAAUGCAAAAUGUAAUUAAAAAUAAGACAAAGAAAUUACUUAAAAACUAUUAUUUAAGCCAAAUUUAUUUAUUUAUUUCCUUUUAUUUUUGGAAAUAAAGAAAAAAGAAUAAAAAAUUUAUUUAACCAUAAGAAAUAUGAAUAUAAGAUCAGUUGGAAAAUUCUAAAUUUAUUUAUUUAUUUCAUUUUAUUUUUGGAAUUAAAGAAAUAAAAAAUAAAAAAUUUAUUUAAUCAUAAAAAAUAUUGAUAUAAGAUAUAUUAAAAAAUAGAAAUAACCCCAAAUUUAUUUACUUAUUUCAUUUUAUUUAUUAAAUUAGAAAUUAAUUUAUUUUAAUAGAUUAAAAUGUGCACAAUUGAUUUAUUACUUUGUUAAUUAUGGAUAUAUUAAAAUUUUUGAUAAAAAAUAAAUAAAGAAAAUAAAAUUAAAAAGAGUAAUAAAUAUAUAUAAUUUAGUUAUUAAAUUAUUUUUCAUGUAAAAGAUAGUCCCACAAAAAACACAUAAUUGAUCAAUUUCUUUGUUUAAUCGUAAACAUACUAUAUUUUUUUUUAUUAUUAAAAUAACUAAUGAAAAAAAAAUAAAAAUGGAUAAUCAAUGAAUGAAAUUUAGUUCUUUUUAUUAUUUUCAUAUAAAAAAUAGUACUAAGGUUUUCAAUUUUUAUUUUUUAAAAUAGUUUUCAUUUUUUAAAUAAAUGUUUUUUCAAAAAGAAAAUAUAAAAAAUAUAAAUCAUAUUACUAUUUUUUAGAAAGUAUUUUUUAAAAUAGCUUUCGAACAUAAUUUUUCUUUAUUUAUAAUUUAAAAUAGAAAAUAAUGUUGAUUUUCAAUUAUUUAUAAAAAAAAAAUUAAAAUAAUGAAAAAUCCAAAUUGUUAAAAUAUAAUUAUUAUGGUUGCAUGAAUAAUGGUGCAAUAAAGACAAAAAAAAAAAAAAAAAAGUUUAUGUGAAAGGUCAUGGGGUAUUUUAGUCCAUCACUAUUUUAUGUCCUUAAAAGGUAAUAUAUAAAAAUUUGAAGGAUAUAUUGGUCUUUUAACAUCUCAUAUCCUUUUCAUCAAUUAUGGAAGUUAUAUGGACCAAAUGUUAAUUUUUAGGCCCAACUGGGCCCAAAACACAAUUCUCCCCUUAUAAAAUACAUAUUUGUUUAUUCUUGCAUAUAAUAUUAUUAUCAAAUAUGAUAAAUUAUAUCACAUAUGUAUUUUUAUUUUUUAACAAAAUAUCUAUUAUACUUUUAAUUUUAUUUUUAAAUUUUUUUCUAUAUAUUUAUAAGUUUUAAUCAAUUUUAGAUUUAUCAAUAUUUUAUAUUAAAAUAUGGAGAUAUAUCAUAAAAUGAAGGGUUGUUCCAUGGUACCCACUUUUCAUUUUGGGGGUACCUACCCACAUUUGACCCCAAUAAAAAGAUGACAUGUGUUAAGUAUAUAUCAUUAAAAAAUUUAUAAAAACUUAUCAAACUGGUAAAGAUGACUUGUUGGUGAAAAAUAAUCACAUGCAUUUCAUAUAUAUCCAAAUAUUACAACUUUUUUAUAAUUUAUUAUUAAAUAUCAAAUAUAAUUUGUUAUUUAAUGCAUUACCUAACUCUAUCUAAAAAAAGAAAAUCCUACCAACUACUCUUAUACUCUCAUUAUUCAUAUAUAAAAAAAGGGAUAUUAAUUUAAUAUGAAAAUGAAAUAAUUUCAACUACCAAAUUACAAAAUAUGUAAGAUGUAUUUUGAUGAAUCAAAUUUCAAGAUCAAGUUUAAAACUUUUUGAGAGAGAAAAUCUAAAUUUUGUAUUAUAUGAAGAAGAUGAAGGAUUUUAAGUGAUUACAAGUGUCAAAGGUAAUAUUUGAUAUUUUUUUAUCCAAAUAUAAUUAUUGUAGGAAGAAAUGUGAUGUUAAAUAACGAUUUUAGAAUUUUUUAUAAGUUUAUUAUAAAAUUUUGUUAUCAAAUUGUUAUUAAUAUUUUUAUAUAUAUAUAUAUAUAUAUAUAUAUUUUUUUUGUUCAUAGAUUAAAUUUGAAUAUGAAGUUUUAUAUGUCUUGAAGGAUGUCAAGUGAUUACAAGUGUUAAAAGGUAACAUUUGAUUUUUUUUUUUCCCAUUUACAUAUAACUAUUGUAGGUAGAAAUGUCAUGUUAAAUGACAUUUAAAUAUGUAAUGAUUUAUAACAUCUAGAUUUUUUAAUUUUUUUUCUCAGUUAUUAUUAAUCAAAUUGAGAGCAUUUAGUCAUUUGUUAUGAAAUUGUCAUCAAUAUUUUGUAAGAGAUGGUACGAACUUUCUAAGAGAAUGUACGAACAUUGUAAGAGAUGAUACGAACUUUCUAAGAGAUAGUACGAACUUUCUAAGAGAUGGUACAAAUUUUCUAAGAAAUGGUACGAACUUUGUAAGAGAUGUACGAACUUUCUAAGAGAUGGUACGAACUUUCUAAGAGAGGGUACGAACUUUCUAAAAAAGGGUACGAACUUUCUAAGAGAUGAUACGAAUUUUCUAAGAUAUGGUACGAACUUUCUAAGACAGGAUACGAACUUUCUAAGACAGGGUACGAACUUUCUAAGAGAUGAUACGAACUUUCUAAGACAUGGUACGAACUUUGUAAGAGAUGGUACAAACUUUGUAAGAGAGGGUAUGAACUUUGUAAGAGAGGGUACGAACUUUUUAAGAGAGUGUACGAACUUUAUGAGAGAUGGUACGAACUUUGUGAGAUGAGGUACGAACUUCCAUCAUUUCUUUAAGAUUAAUUUUUUUAAUUUCUUUUAAGAGUAAUUUCCAUCAUUUUUAAGCUUAAUUAGUAUCAAUAAAUAAUAUUAUUGUAUUUCCAUGUGGAAAAAAUUUUAAAAAGUUUGAAAAUUUGUAAAAUUUUCGAGGGUAAAGAGAAUGUGACGAAGGGUGCUAAGAAUGUAAGGAUUCCUUACAUUUUUUGUACCAUUCCUCACAUUAUUCGUACAUUCUAUAAUUACUUAGUGUUUUAAUUUUUUUAUUUUCUUAAAAAUAAUAUUCACCAUUUCUAAGCUUGAUUAGUAUCAAUAAACAAUAUUAUUUGUAUUUUUAAGUGGAAAAAAAAAAUCAAAAAAUUGUUAAAUUUCAGGAUAUGGAGAAUGUGAGGUAAGGUAUGAAGAAUGUGAGGAUUUCUCAUAAUCUUCAUACAUUUUCUCACAUUUUUCAUAUCCUCUCUAAUUUUUUAGUGUUUUAAUUUUCUAAUUUUUUAGGAUAAUUUACAUUAUUUCCAAUUUUAAAUUUUUUUAAUUCUUUUUUUUUUUUUAACAAUUCUAUCAAUAAUAACUCAAAAUAAUAUUAUUAAACUAUGUUAUUGUUAUUUCAAGUUAAAAAGUAAAUUUUAAAUUUUAAAAAUAUAAAUAAUUUAGGGUACGAAAAAUAUGAGAACAGUAUGAAAAAUGUGAUAAAUACAUGAUUGGUACCUUUAUCACAUUUUUCAUAUUGAUUUUUAGUUUAAAAUUUUUUUAAAUUACAAAUUUAUUUUCGAAAAUACUAUCAUUAGUAACUUAAAAGAGUAUUAGUAAUUUAUUUUAUUGUAAUUUAACUUUAAAAACCUUAAAUUCAAAAAAUGUAAAAUUUGGAGAGUACGGAAAAAAAUUAGGACAAUCUAAUUACAUAAGUUUUACAUAUGAUUAUCAAAAUGUUGAAUUUUUAUGAAAAUACUCAUUUCAUAUUAAAAUAUUAUCAUGUUAAUUUUUAUGUUGAAUUUAAAUGUUUAAUAAUUUGUUAAAAAUAAAAUAAUGUGAUUAUGAUAUAUGAUGAUUUUUUUUUGUUAAUAAAUAUGUUUUCAAAUUUUAUAUCAUUUUUAUUUUUAUUUUUUUCUAAUUCUAUUUUUAUCUAAUAUUUAUUUUAUUUAAAUCCAAAAUUGUUAAGAAUGGAGGAAGAAAGAAUGUCAUAACCGAUUCUUCCCUUAAUUAGUUAAGUGAAAUUUUUAUUUCAAAUUUAAAGUGGAUGAUCAAGAUAUAAUCUUUGACAUUCAAUGACUUAAAAAACUUUUUUUUCGUAAGUACGAAGAGGUAACUUAGAAUUUUCCUAAAAUGAAUUAUCAAUAUAUAUGUGAGCAUGGAUACUUUCAUCCUUAUCCUCGAUCAGCACUUCCCAGAUAAGGUAGCUCAGUGCGAAUCUACCUCGAGAUCGGGCAAAAAAGGUGCCUCGGUGCGAAUCUUCCUUGAGAUCGGGCAACAUGGGAAACGUGGCCUCCAAAAGGAAACGUGGGCAAAAUGCGAAUCUACCAACCCCUGGGCCAUGGCACUUGCGGAAAAAGCUGUCAGCCCGUGACUACGCUUGUCAGCAACGUCAACGACAAAAUGAAAAGUCAAAAGGGAAAUGACCUUAAAAAAGGAAAGGAGGAGGAUGGUAAUCCUUCAUUGACAAGCAAAGGAAACGGAGAAGAACUAGAUUUUUGUAUCUCCAUCUUCUAAUGGGAUUCUCUCUUCAGCUUCAAGAUGUCACAGUUUUCGGCAUUCUUUUUGCAAUUAUCUGUCUGUGGUUGGUUAAUGCCAAAGGUAACAAGAACAAAGGCAGAAGCCCACCAGAGCCCUCCGGGGCAUGGCCUGUAAUGGGUCACCUUCAUCUUCUAGGAGCAGAUAAGCCACUACAUAGGACAUUCGGAGCCAUGGCUGAUGAGUAUGGACCAAUCUUCUCCAUUCGUGUUGGCCUUCGAACAGCUCUGGUGGUUAGUAGCUCGGAAGUAGCAAAAGAAUGUUACACUACCAAGGACAAGGCACUCGCCACUCGACCAAGAUCCUUAGCAGUAAAGCUCAUGGGCUAUGACCAUGCCAUGUUUGCGUUUGAACGUCACGGUCCAUACUGGCGUGAUGUGCGGAGGCUAGCCAUGGUUAAUCUCCUCUCCAACCGCCAGCACGAGAUGCUCAAGCAUGUCCGGGACUCAGAAGUCAAGUUUUUCAUCCAAGAGCUCUAUGGGCAAUGGGUAGAAAAUGGAGGCAGUCCUGUUUUGGUGGACAUGAAGAAAAAGUUUGAGCACCUGGUAGCAAAUUUGACGAUGAGAACAGUUGCUGGGAAACGGUGUGAAAAUGGCGAGUCAAGAUGGUGCCAAUCCCUAGGUGAUUUCAUGAAUCUAAUGGGGCAAUUUAUGGUUUCUGAUGCACUACCCUUCCUUGGAUGGUUAGACACAGUGAGGGGAUAUACAGCGAAAAUGAAGGGAACAGCUAGGCAGUUGGAUCGGGUUAUUGGAAGAUGGGUGGAGGAGCAUCGUCAGAAGAGGCUUUCCGGAAGCAUCAAUGACGCUGAGCAAGACUUCAUUCAUGCCAUGCUGUCUGUUAUAGAUGAUGCUCAGUUAUCUGGUCAUGACCAUGACCAUGAUACUGUCAUCAAAGCCACUUGCUUGGUAUGUUUCUACUACUUCAUAACACCACCAUCCUCAUGAGCAUCUGCAACUUCAUCAAGACCUUGAUAAUACUCGUAUUACUCCGUCAUGAUCUAUUUUUUCCUUCUGCUAUACAGUAUUUCAGGACUAUUGAAGUAACUCUGUUUCUUUCUUUGACAAAAAUUGCCGAGACCAUUCCGUAAGGUUAUGUUUGGUUCUCAGAAAAUUUGAGGGAAAAUACAAGGGAAAGAAAAUACAAAAGAAAAAUAGAAGGAAAGAAAAAGUGAAAGAAAAUAAAAAAUGGAUUAAAAAUUGAUAAGUUAUUUUUAUUUUUUACUUCAAACUCAUUUUAUUUAUUUUAACUCAUCAAUAUAAAGAUUAAAUAAUUUUAAAAUACAUAAGUUUUUAAUUAGUUUUAAUUAUAUUUGAUUUUCUUUUAUAUUUUUUAUAGGACAACCAAACAUGAAAAAAUCAUUUUCCUUUGCAUUUUUUUUCUUUCUUUAGUAUUUUCCGGAACCAAACAUAACCUAAGGAAACAGCAGACAGAAUUCAUAAAUUAGGCUGGAAUAACAGGAACUGGGAUAAUUUUUUUUUUACCCGGAUUCCCCAGUCAUAAUUCUUCUGCCGCUAGACAUACUAUUUCACAAAUGAUGUAUGGACUUUUUUCUUUAAUCACAAGUUCAACAUGGGCGUAAUAUGUUGAUGCAGACUGUCAUGUUGGCGGGCAAUGAUACAAUAGCGGUCACACUCACCUGGGCCCUCUCUCUGCUAAUGAACAACCCUCGUGCACUAAAAAAGGCACAAGAAGAGUUGGACUUUCAUGUGGGAAGGAAUCAGCAAGUGUACGAAUCAGAUAUAAAGAAGCUAGUCUACUUGCAAGCCAUUAUCAAGGAGACCUUACGACUAUACCCUGCUGGGCCGCUUGCACUGCCACAUGAGGCCAUGGAGGACUGCACUAUUGCAGGCUUCCACAUCCAAGCUGGGACUCGCCUUCUGGUUAACCUCUGGAAGUUACACCGCGAUCCCACAAUUUGGUCGGAUCCUUUGGAGUUCCAACCUGAGAGGUUCCUGACAAAGCAUGUGGGUUUGGACGUUGGGGGUCAACAUUUUGAACUUCUACCAUUUGGGUCAGGCAGAAGGAUGUGCCCAGGAAUCUCACUUGCUCUGGAGAUCCUGCAGCUGACACUAGCCAGAUUGCUUCAUGGUUUUGAAUUGGGAGUAGUUUCAGAUUCACCCCUGGAUAUGACUGAAGGUGUUGGGCUCGCUAUGCCUAAAGCAACUCCACUGGAGGUCACCCUAGUCCCAAGGCUACCCUCCGAGCUCUACCACUAAAGUAGUAUCCUUAUGUGUGCCACAAAAUCCCCUGGUUAGCCCUGGAAGGGUCUACUCCAAAGGUUUGGUCUUCAUAGGACAUAAGGAGCAACCUUCUGAGCUCUCCUGCUACAGAAGUAGCAGAAAAAAUAAUAAACAAUGAGUGCCACAAAAUCCCCUAAUUAGUCCAUGAAGAUGAUGAAUAAAUUAUGCUCAUUUUAUGUAUAUUUAUGUAGCUCACUCCGAAUGCAUAUCCACCUAAAUGAACCUCGAUGAAGAGCCUCACAUCUUGGGAUGUUACAUCACUUGCCGUCCUUGCAUAUCUACUCAAGCUUUCUUAAUCAGGAUACUUUCUAGGUACCUUGUGUUUGUAAUUUAACUGGAACAUGUUAAAAUUAGGAGUCUUGGGUCUAUUUUGGGAAGGUUUUUAAAAAUAAUUCUUAAAAAUAUAUAUACAUUUUUAAACUAUUUUCAAAAAUUGUUUUAUCAUAUUUUCUAAAAUAAAAAUAUGUUUGAAAUUUUAGAAAGUUUUUAACAUGUUUUUUUCUUUUUUAAUUUUCAAAUUUUUUUUAAAAAAUGACCUUCUAUCUCCAAUGCUUUAUUUUCAACCAUUUCUAAAAAUUAAUUAAAUACGUUUUUUAUGUUUUUUUUAUUCUCAAAAAUAAAAAUAAUUAUUCUUAAUAACAAUUUGUAAACAUAACUUAAGCUUUUUUUAAAAAAAUAAAAAUAAAAAUGUUGAAUUUAAAGUGUUCAAGAAUAACAGGUGAGUGAAUGGAAUGAGUGUGGCCUUUAAAGCUCAUCAUUUGUAACAUGAUUUAAGAACUUGUUUGAUAGAGGUUUUAAAAAGCGUUUAUAAUCUUUUUAGAACUUAAAAAUAUUUCUUUUGAGAAAAAUUUUUAAAUAUUAAAAAGAUUAAAAAUACAUUCUAAAAUUACUAUCAAACGAAUUUUAAAAAUGUGUUUGUCAAUGUUUUUACCAAACAUGAUUUUUGUGAAAGUAUUUUUUCUAAUAGUUUUUUUCAUAUAAUCAUUUAUUAAGAGUUAUUUUGAUAGUGAUCCUAGAAAGUGUUUUUACUAUAAAAAGGAGUUUAAAAAAAAACAUUGAAUGUUUAACCGAAUUUAAGAAAUACUAUUCAAAAUUCUAAAAAUGCAUCAACAUGAUUUUUGUGAAAGUAUUUUCUCUAAUAGUUUUUUUCAGAGAAUCAUUUAUUAAAAGUUAUCUUGACAAUGAUUCUAAUAAGUAUUUUUAUCCUAAAAAGAUUUUUUUUUUUUAAAUAUUGAAUGUUUAACAGAAUUUAGAAAAUACUAUUCAAAUUUUGAAAAAUCAUUUUUUAGAAAACACUUGAGAUGAUUUUUCGAAAAAUAAUAUUUUAUGAGAAAACAUUGUUAUUAAAGAAACUUUGAAUAUAAAUACUUUCAAGUCCACUCUCACUAUUGUUUUAAGAGUGUGUUUGUAGAAAGUAUUUUUAAUAUCUUUAAUACUUGAAAGAUAAAAAAUUUUAAAUGUUAAAAAUAUUAAAAAUACUUUUUAAAAUCACUAUAAACGUGUAAGAAGAAUUAUAAGUGAUUUUUUAACUUUUUUUAUAACCCUUGUCUAAAUUUUAUCUAGUUUUAUUUUUUUUUUGGUCAAAAAUAUUUUUUUAAGCUAGAAUAAGAAGUAAACUUUAAAGAAUCCUUACCCAGCCGUUAACGUUUUAAACACCGUAGUUACUAGGCCCUACUCUCAUGCUAUUGUUUAUAUAAACAUGAACACUUUUGUUACUUAGUGCUGGAACGCAUUAGAACUAUAGACAAAACAGAAGAUUCCUUGGUUUUAUUUAGGCACCAAACCCACUCAUUCACUCAUUCAAGCAUAUUUAAAUUUAAAUGCAGCCGUCCAUGAAUAAACAACAGACCCAUUACCAAGAAGGUGAUCAUCCUUUUUCAGGGUUGGUUCUUCAAAAUUCAAAAUCAGUUAGCUGAAGAACAGAAAGGAAAAGAACAGAGCUGAAUUUACAGAAAAGUAAUUUUUUUUUCCUUUUCCUUUUCUAAGGAUCUUGGAAUCCUUUUCCUGGUAUAGGCAGAACAUUAGAGAUAUAUAUAUGGUAGUGGGAAGUAAUUCUUCCCCCUAAAACAUUUUCUUUUCUAUUGAGUCAUGGCUUCAGCUUCGAGGGAUCAUCGUUUUUGGCCUUCUGUUUGUGGUUGAUAAAAGCUGAAGGGAACAAGAACAAAGGCAAAAGGGCACCAGAACCAUCCAGGGCAUGACCUUUAAUCGGACACCUUCAUCUUCUAUGAGCAGGCAAGCCCCAACAUCAAUCAUUUGGAGCCAUGGCAGAUAAGUAUGGACCAAUCUUUUGCUUUCAUAUUGGCCUGCGCAAAACUUUUUUGGUUAGCAGCUGGGACGCAGCAAAAGAAUGUUUCACUACCAUGGACAAAGCAUUUGACACUCGACCCAGAUCCUUGGCAGGAAAGCUCAUGGGCUAUGACCAUGCCAUGUUUGGCUUCUCUCCUUACGGGCCAUACUGGCGUGAGGUAAGGAAGCUGGCCUCGGUUGAGCUCCUCUUAAACCGCCAGCUUGAGUUACUCAACCAUGUCCGGGACUCAGAAGUCAAGCUUUUCAUCAAAGAGCUCUACGGGCAAUGGAUACAAAAUGGGGACAGGCCUGUCUUGGUCGAGAUGAAGGAGAAGUGUUGGUUCCUGGCAGCAAAUGUAAUGGUGAGCGAAGUAGCUGGGAAACGGUAUUUUGGCACCGUUACAAAUUGAAGAAUUUGAAGAAAAAUAUGAAGGAAUUUGAAGACAAAAUAUGGAGGAACACCUCAAUUCAUUCUGUGAUUCCUUCCUUUACAAUGAAUGAAAGCAUAAAUAAAUAGCCUACGGAUAUGAGACAAUUCCGGAAUGGAAUUUCCCUUACAUGGAAAGUGAAUAAACUCUUACAUGGGAAUUAAAUAAACUACUCUUACAUGGAAAGUAAAUAAACUACUCUUACAUGGAAAGUGAAUAAACUACUCUUACAUGGAAAGUGAAUAAACUACCUUGCUAGAAUUAUUCCUAAAUCAAUUAUAAUAAAGGCUGUACAUUACACUAAUUAGGGAAGUAAACAGAGGAUGCUGGCUUGAUUUCCAACACUCCCCCUCAAGCCGCGUUGUAGAUGUUGAUCAUUCCAAGUUUUUCUGUCAGAUCUUCGAAGUUAACUCGAGCAAGAGCUUUUGUAAGAAUGUCAGCCGUUUGACAGUUUGUCGGAGUGUAGCUGACUUUGAAAACUCCUUCUUCAAUCUUUUCCUUGAUAAAGUGUCGAUCUAUCUCCACGUGCUUAGUUCGAUCAUGAUGAACCGGAUUCUUAGCGAUACUGAUGGCAGCUUGAUUGUCGCAGUAUAAUACCAUGGGAUGCUUCAAUGGAACCCGUAAUUCUUCUAACAGCCUGUUCAACCAGAUUCCCUCGCAGAUACCUUGUGCCAUAGCACGAAAUUCUGCCUCAACACUGCUACGGGCUACCACUGACUGUUUCUUGCUUCGCCAUGUAACCAAGUUCCCCCAGACAAAUGAACAAUAGCCUGAAGUUGAUCUCCGAUCAGUCACUGAACCUGCCCAAUCUGCAUCUGAAAAAAUUUCAAUCUCUUUCUUUGUUGUUCUUUGAAAGAAGAGGCCCUUUCCCGGUGUCAUCUUGAGGUAUCUCAAUAUUCUGAUCACAGCAGUCAUGUGUUUUUCGAUUGGAUUAUUCAUGAAUUGACUUACCACACUAACGGAGAAGCCGAUGUCUGGCCUUGUAUGAGAAAGAUAGAUGAGUUUCCCCACAAGACGUUGAUAUCUUCCUUUAUCAAUUGGCGCACUUCCAUCACUUUCUUCCAGUUUGACAGUUGUAUCCAUAGGUGUUUCUGCCGGCUUGCAUCCUAGCAUUCCUAUUUCAUUCAAUAAGUCCAGAGCGUAUUUGCGUUGUGAGACUGCUAUACCUUUCUUUGACCUAGCAAUCUCCAUUCCGAGAAAGUACUUGAGGUUUCCAAGAUCCUUGAUCUCAAAUUCCUUUGUCAGUAAUUUUUUAAGUAAGUCAAUUUUCUCUUCAUGAUCACCUGUCAAAAUUAUGUCGUCCACAUAUACAAUGAUAAUUGCCAGUUUCCCUUCUGGGAAGUGUUUCACAAAUAAUGUGUGAUCGGAUUGACAUUGAACGAAUCCGUACCUUUUCACUACCUUAGUGAACCGUUCAAACCAGGCCCUGGGAGAUUGUUUGAGACCAUACAAGGAUUUUCGGAGUCUGCAAACCUUGUUGAAAUUUGAUGUCGUCUCAAGUCCAGCAGGAAUGUCCAUGUAAACUUCUUCCUCUAAGUCACCAUUGAGGAAUGCAUUCUUCACAUCAAGUUGGUGAAGCGACCAAUCGAGAUUAGCUGCCAAGGAUAAAAGUACACGAACAGUAUUGAGCUUGGCAACUGGAGCAAAAGUUUCUUGAUAGUCAAUGCCAUAGGAUUGGGUGAAUCCUUUGGCGACCAACCGAGCCUUAUACCUGUCCACAUUACCAUCUGCCUUGUACUUUACUGUGAAAAUCCACUUNNNNNNNNNNNNNNNNNNNNNNNNNNNNNNNNNNNNNNNNNNNNNNNNNNNNNNNNNNNNNNNNNNNNNNNNNNNNNNNNNNNNNNNNNNNNNNNNNNNNNNNNNNNNNNNNNNNNNNNNNNNNNNNNNNNNNNNNNNNNNNNNNNNNNNNNNNNNNNNNNNNNNNNNNNNNNNNNNNNNNNNNNNNNNNNNNNNNNNNNNNNNNNNNNNNNNNNNNNNNNNNNNNNNNNNNNNNNNNNNNNNNNNNNNNNNNNNNNNNNNNNNNNNNNNNNNNNNNNNNNNNNNNNNNNNNNNNNNNNNNNNNNNNNNNNNNNNNNNNNNNNNNNNNNNNNNNNNNNNNNNNNNNNNNNNNNNNNNNNNNNNNNNNNNNNNNNNNNNNNNNNNNNNNNNNNNNNNNNNNNNNNNNNNNNNNNNNNNNNNNNNNNNNNNNNNNNNNNNNNNNNNNNNNNNNNNNNNNNNNNNNNNNNNNNNNNNNNNNNNNNNNNNNNNNNNNNNNNNNNNNNNNNNNNNNNNNNNNNNNNNNNNNNNNNNNNNNNNNNNNNNNNNNNNNNNNNNNNNNNNNNNNNNNNNNNNNNNNNNNNNNNNNNNNNNNNNNNNNNNNNNNNNNNNNNNNNNNNNNNNNNNNNNNNNNNNNNNNNNNNNNNNNNNNNNNNNNNNNNNNNNNNNNNNNNNNNNNNNNNNNNNNNNNNNNNNNNNNNNNNNNNNNNNNNNNNNNNNNNNNNNNNNNNNNNNNNNNNNNNNNNNNNNNNNNNNNNNNNNNNNNNNNNNNNNNNNNNNNNNNNNNNNNNNNNNNNNNNNNNNNNNNNNNNNNNNNNNNNNNNNNNNNNNNNNNNNNNNNNNNNNNNNNNNNNNNNNNNNNNNNNNNNNNNNNNNNNNNNNNNUGUGGGGUAUCAACACAUGAACUUAAGUGAACUAUCCCUUCUUGUGCUAGAAAUUCUCCUAGAAUGGAGUUGAAAUAAUCCCUAGCAUUAUCAAACUUUAGAAUUUGUAUUUUUGACUGGAAUUGGGUUUGAAUCAUAUUUUUAAAAUUUUUGAAAAUUUGACUCGUUUCAGAUUUUUCUUUCAUGAGGAAUACCCAAGUUAAUCUAGUGUGAUCAUCUAUGAAUGAGACAAACCACCUAGUACCAGUUACAUUUUUUAUUCUUGACGGACCCCAGAUAUCGCUAUGAAUCAUUGAGAAUGGACUAGACUCUUUAUAGGGUUGAAUGGGAAAAUGAGACCGGACUUGCUUUGAUAAUUGACAGAUUUCACACUCAAAGGAUUGUGGAUUUUUAUUAAAUAAUGAAGGAAAUAAAUGCUUGAGAUACAUAACAUUUGGAUGACCUAAGCGAUAGUGCCACAACCUAAUUGCACUAUCGUUAUUUUGACAUGAAACCGAAAAAGAAUUACUACCAACUGUCAUUUGAGGUUGUUCUUGUGGAUCGUGGCGCUCCUUAAGGAUGUAGAGUCCAGAGCAUUCCUCAGCAUUGCCAAUCGUCUUCCCCGAAUCCAAAUCCUUUGUGAGCCAAGGUUCCGGAACCAAUGACCUGGUUGGAAGAUGAGCCAGUUUCCAUCUGAUGAGAGGAUGAAGACGAUGAGAUGAUGAUAUCAGAAGUAGAGGAUGAUGAGUUGGUAGCCAUUCCAAAGGCUGAACCUUAUUUGGGCAUAAAUUAGAAGAAUAGAAUUGAGUAAAAACUGACUAAAGAUGAAGACGAUGAGACAGGAUUAAACCUGCUCUGAUACCAUGAAGAAUUUGAAGAAAAAUAUGAAGGAAUUUGAAGACAAAAUAUGGAGGAACACCUCAAUUCAUUCUGUGAUUCCUUCCUUUACAAUGAAUGAAAGCAUAAAUAAAUAGCCUACGGAUAUGAGACAAUUCCGGAAUGGAAUUUCCCUUACAUGGAAAGUGAAUAAACUCUUACAUGGGAAUUAAAUAAACUACUCUUACAUGGAAAGUAAAUAAACUACUCUUACAUGGAAAGUGAAUAAACUACUCUUACAUGGAAAGUGAAUAAACUACCUUGCUAGAAUUAUUCCUAAAUCAAUUAUAAUAAAGGCUGUACAUUACACUAAUUAGGGAAGUAAACAGAGGAUGCUGGCUUGAUUUCCAACACAAAUGACUAUGAGUCAAGACGGUGCCGGAAGGCCCUUGAAGAUUUGUUAUAUCUGUCGGGGAUAUUUAUGGUUUCUGAUGCAAUUCCCUCCCUUGGCUGGUUGGACACUGUGAGAGGAUAUACGGCAAAAAUGAAGAGAAUAGCUAGGGAGGUGGAUCAGGUGCAGGGAAGCUGGGUGGAGGAGCAUCGCCGGAAGAGGUUCUCUGGAAGCAUGAACGAGGCUGUGCAAGACUUCAUCCAUGUCAUGCUGUCUGUUAUUGAUGAUGGUCAGUUCUCUGAUCAUGACCAUGACACUGUCAUUAAGGCUACUUGCUUGGUAUUUUUCUUCUACUUUCCUUGGUCAAAUUCCAUAAACCUCCACACACUUCUGUAUGGAAACAGCAAACCUCCAUCAUGAUUUGUUUUGUCCAGCUGUUAUACUUGCUAUUUCAGGACUGAUUAUUAACUCUCAACUUUCUUUGACAAAUUUUCUGGGAAUAAUGAAAACUAUUAUAAACUUUUAAAUUGUUCUACUAACAGCUAGACAUACUAUUUUUUAACACACACUGAUCAAAGAAGCCAUAUCACCAGCUCAAAAGACCAACAUGGAUGUAAUGUUGAUGCAGACUCUAAUAAUAGGCGGCUCUGAUUCAACGGUGAUCACACUGACCUGGGCCCUCUGUCCGCUAAUGAACAAUCCCAGCACUCUAAAAAGAGCACAAGAUGAGUUAGACAUCAAAGUGGGAAAGCAUCGCCAAGUGGAUGAGUCAGACAUAAAGAACCUAGUCUACUUGCAAGCCAUCAUCAAGGAAACCUUACGACUGUACCCUGCUGCACCGCUUUCAGUGCCACGUGAGGCCAUGGAGGAUUGCACCAUGGCAGACUUCCACAUCCAAGCUGGGCGCGCCUUUUGGUUAACCUCUGGAAGUUGCACAGGGACCCCAGAAUUUGGUCGGAUCCUUUGGAGUUCCAACCUGAGAGGUUUCUAACAAAGCAUGUGGAUUUGGAUGUUAGGGGUCGAAAUUUUGAAUUUCUGCCAUUUGGGUCAGGCAGAAGUGUUCAAAUUGAUAAAUGAUAGUUUUUUCAUUUAUAUUUUCAUUCGUUCAUGUACAGAGUAUAUAUAGAGGGUAUCGCCAUUCUAAGAAUGGGAAAGAAUGAUACAAGGAAAGAAUGACAUAAGGAAAUAACAAUUAAUAUCUUAAUAUCUCAACUUUCCUAAUAUCUCAAUAUUCCUAAUAUCUCAAUAUUCCUAAUAUCUCAACACUCCCCCUCAAGUUGGUGCAUAGAUGUCACACAUGCCCAACUUGUCUAAAAAUUUUGAGAACACUUGACUUGAGACAGCUUUGGUAAGGAUAUCAGCCAAUUGAUCUUCUGAUCGAAUCUUAGGCAAUUCCACAAUCUUAUCAUCCAACUUUUCCUUAAUGAAGAAUCUAUCCACCUCGACAUGCUUUGUACGAUCAUGUUGUACUAAAUUAUGAGCAAUGUCACACGCGGCUUUAUUGUCACAAAACAAUCGGAUUGGUUGCCUAGAUAGGUAACCUAAAUCCUGUAAGAGGAGUCUUAGUCAUAAUGCCUCACAAAGUCGUAGAGCCAUACCUCUAAAUUCCGCUUCUGCACUUGAACGAGCGACGACAUUUUGCUUCUUACUUUUCCAUGUUACAAGAUUACCACCUACAAAGGUAAAGUAACCAGAUGUNNNNNNNNNNNNNNNNNNNNNNNNNNNNNNNNNNNNNNNNNNNNNNNNNNNNNNNNNNNNNNNNNNNNNNNNNNNNNNNNNNNNNNNNNNNNNNNNNNNNAUUUGCACACCUUCUGACAUUGCUUUUCUGACACCAUGCAUCCUGGUGGAAGAUCCAUAUAUACUUCUUCAGAUAACUCGCCAUGCAGAAAGGCAUUUUUCACAUAGAACUGUUGUAAUGGCCAAUCUAGGUUUGCAGCUAAAGACAGUAAUACUCGAACUGUGUUGAUCUUAGCUACAGGUGCAAAUGUCUCUGUGUAGUCAAUUCCAUAAGUUUGAGUGUACCCUUUUGCUACCAGUCUUGCUUUAAAUCGUUCAAUACUACCAUCUACCUUGUACUUCACAGUAUAGAUCCAACGACACCCAACUGGCUUCUUUCCUGGUGGACAUUCUACGAGUUCCCAUGUUUCAUUCUUCUGCAAUGAUUUCAUCUCUUCAUUCAUGGCUACUUUCCACCUUGGAUCAGCUAAGGCUUCCUGCACACUGUUAGGAAUAGCUAUAGUAGAUAAUUGAUUUACAAAUGACUUGUUUGAUUCAGACAAACGAUGGUUAGACACAUAGUUGCUCAUGGGAUAUUUGACUUUGGUAGACAAUUCAGGUUCAUAUGUGGGUUUAGGAAUACCUAUAUUAUGACGGUGUGGUAACCGUUUCAUGAAUGGAUCAGGUUCCAAAUUAAGAACACCCUCAACAGACGACGAUUGGUUUGGUAUUUCAGUGAAGACAUCUUCGAACCCAAAUUGUUGACCACUCAUAUCCAACUCACCCACUUCCUGGUUCACUAGUUCAGAUUGUCCAGAUUCAUCUUCCUCAGAUAUAUGAUAAUCAUAAUCGAGAGUCUGAAUUNNNNNNNNNNNNNNNNNNNNNNNNNNNNNNNNNNNNNNNNNNNNNNNNNNNNNNNNNNNNNNNNNNNNNNNNNNNNNNNNNNNNNNNNNNNNNNNNNNNNUAAAUGAUAGUUUUUUCAUUUAUAUUUUCAUUCGUUCAUGUACAGAGUAUAUAUAGAGGGUAUCGCCAUUCUAAGAAUGGGAAAGAAUGAUACAAGGAAAGAAUGACAUAAGGAAAUAACAAUUAAUAUCUUAAUAUCUCAACUUUCCUAAUAUCUCAAUAUUCCUAAUAUCUCAAUAUUCCUAAUAUCUCAACACUCCCCCUCAAGUUGGUGCAUAGAUGUCACACAUGCCCAACUUGUCUAAAAAUUUUGAGAACACUUGACUUGAGACAGCUUUGGUAAGGAUAUCAGCCAAUUGAUCUUCUGAUCGAAUCUUAGGCAAUUCCACAAUCUUAUCAUCCAACUUUUCCUUAAUGAAGAAUCUAUCCACCUCGACAUGCUUUGUACGAUCAUGUUGUACUAAAUUAUGAGCAAUGUCACACGCGGCUUUAUUGUCACAAAACAAUCGGAUUGGUUGCCUAGAUAGGUAACCUAAAUCCUGUAAGAGGAGUCUUAGUCAUAAUGCCUCACAAAGUCGUAGAGCCAUACCUCUAAAUUCCGCUUCUGCACUUGAACGAGCGACGACAUUUUGCUUCUUACUUUUCCAUGUUACAAGAUUACCACCUACAAAGGUAAAGUAACCAGAUGUAGAUCACCUAUCAUCCACUGCACCGGCCCAAUCAGCAUCAGUAUAUACUUCUAUACUUUGAUGAUCAACAUUUUUAGAGAACAAAAUUCCCUUCCCAGGAGCAUUCUUCAAAUACCUCAAAAUACGCAUGACUGCAUUCAUAUGUUGCUCUCCAAGAUUAUGCAUGUAUUGACUCACUACACUCAAUGCAUAAGCAAGAUCUGGUCUUGUAUGAGCUAAGUACAUUAAUCUCCCCACAAGUCUCUGAUAUCUUCCCUUAUCGGUUGAUACUUGAUUAGGCUUAACACACAAUUUCAGAUCUUCUUCUAUUGGUGUAUUAACAGGUUGACAUCCCGACAUUCCAGUCUCCUGUAAAAGAUCUAAGGCAUACUUUCUUUGAGACAGAAAAAUUCCUUCACUUGAUCGAGAAACUUCAAUCCCAAGAAAGUAUUUUAGAGGACCUAGAUCUUUCAUUUCGAAUUCUCUAGAUAGAUAAUUUUGCAGAGCUUUUCUUUCUUCAGGAUCAUUUCCUGUAACUACCAUGUCAUCCACAUAUACGAUGAGUGUCGUAAUCUUACCAUGUUGCUUUUUCAGGAACAAAGUGUGAUCUGAAUUACUUUGACAAUAGCCAAAAGCUCUCAUUAACUUUGUGAACCUUCCAAACCAUGCUCUCGGGGAUUGCUUCAACCCAUACAAUGACUUCUUCAAUUUGCACACCUUCUGACAUUGCUUUUCUGACACCAUGCAUCCUGGUGGAAGAUCCAUAUAUACUUCUUCAGAUAACUCGCCAUGCAGAAAGGCAUUUUUCACAUAGAACUGUUGUAAUGGCCAAUCUAGGUUUGCAGCUAAAGACAGUAAUACUCGAACUGUGUUGAUCUUAGCUACAGGUGCAAAUGUNNNNNNNNNNNNNNNNNNNNNNNNNNNNNNNNNNNNNNNNNNNNNNNNNNNNNNNNNNNNNNNNNNNNNNNNNNNNNNNNNNNNNNNNNNNNNNNNNNNNGAUGAAUGAUGUCAUGUCCUUCUAAAUAAUUUUGAAGAUCAUUACUUUGAUAUUCUCCACCAUUAUCACUAUGCAGAACCCGAAUCUUUGCAUUGUACUGAGUUUCAAUCACUUUAUGAAAUUUUUGAAACAACAAGUUCACUUCAUCUUUGGUCUUCAUCAAGCAUAACCAUGUCAUUCUGGUACAAUUAUCAAUAAAAGUAACAAACCAACGUGAGCCACUCAAAGUUGGGACUUUGGAUGGGCCCCAAACAUCAGAAUGUAUAACCAUAAAAGGAAACGGACUUUUAUUUAAAAUUAACAGAAACGAAGCACGAUGGCUUUUAGCCAAUUCACAAAUAUCACAACGGAAACCAGAAAUAUCACUCUUUGCAAACAAACUAGGAAACAAUUUUUUUAAAUAACCAAAGGAACCAUGUCCCAAACGUCGAUGCCACAACCAAAUUUCAGAUUUUUUCUUCUCUCCCUCAGAUUCAUCUGCCAUCAAGGCUUGUUGCAACUUAUUUGAAUCCUUUGACUGCAAGUCCAAGUAAUAGAGUUUUUCCCGCUUAAUACCACAACCAAUCGUCUGUCUUGUUUGGAUGUCCUUAAUCACACAAAAUCCAGGCCAAAAAAUGACAAUACAAGAUAAGGCUGCAGUGAUUUGAGAAACUGACAAAAGAUUGUAAUCUAAAGAUGGAACAACUAAAACAGAAUCCAAAUUCAAAGUAUCAGUAAGAGUUAAGGAUCCUUUCCCAAUGACUGGGGUUGUGUUACCAUUAGCUGUGGAAACAAUUUUUUGUGAGGAAGGUCUAAGGGUUGAAACCUGUCUAAAAUCAAAAGUCAUAUGAUCUGUAGCACCAGAAUAAAUUAUCCAUGCACUAUUAAUAACAGAUGUAAAAGUAUUUAAAAACUUACCACCAUGAUCUGUAGCGGCUACCAAUGCAGAGGCUUUCUCAGCAACAUUAGCCUCUAUUUUUAUUUCGGCAAUAGUUGCAGUCAAGAUUUUCUUGGAAUCCUUCUUCCGUUGAUCACGAUUAUUAUCAUUAAUAACAAAGUGUUGAUAACCUAAACAUGAUUUAAAGGUCCAUGGUUCAAACCCUCGAUUCCUCAUUUUUUUCUUGAUCAUACCAAGAGUCGUUGCUUUGUUGGGAUAUCCAGACUGGUGGGAUCAGUCUUAUUGCAGUGAGUGCAUUUGAAGGUUGACUUAUCAAUAUUAGGGCUUGUCUUAGGAUGGUUGAUCGCUGUCGGACUACCAUAACGACAAAAUAUCCAGGAUUUCAGUUUCAUGGCUCUGAUACCAUGUUCAAAUUGAUAAAUGAUAGUUUUUUCAUUCAUAUUUUCAUUCAUUCAUGUACAGAGUAUAUAUAGAGGGUAUCGUCAUUCUAAGAAUGGGAAAGAAUGAUACAAGGAAAGAAUGGCAUAAGGAAAUAACAAUUAAUAUCCUAAUAUCUCAACGUUCCUAAUAUCUCAAUAUUCUUAAUAUCUCAACAAGAAGGGUAUGCCCAGGAAUCUCAUUUGCGCUUGAGGUCAUGCACCUGACACUAGCCAGACUGCUUCAUAGUUUUCAAUUGGGAGUGGUUGCGGAUUUACCAGUGGAUAGGACUGAAGGUUCAGGGGUGACUCUUCCCAGAGCAACCCCAUUGGAGGUCACCGUUGUCCCAAGGCUACCUUCCGAGCUCUACGGUUAUUAAGCAAGCAUGCAUGAAGACGGAAAAGUCUACUCCAAAUGUUAUCUUCUAAGCUAUAUUGUGAUUAAUUAGGCAUAAGAGGUAACAACCCAAUUCACAAACUCCCCUCACAAGCCCAGGCAGUGUCGUCUACAAAUGUUUGGACUCAGGAGAAUAUGAUUAAAUCUGCUCUUGUUAUGCAUGUGUAGCUCAUUCUGAAUGAUUUGUCAACUCAUAACCUUCAAUAUCUGUCUACUGCUGCUUCAUGCAGAGUCUACUUGGUUGCCUAUACCCUGACUUAUUUAAGAUUAUACAUCAGUUGAUUAUGAUCAUCUUCAUCGAUCAAAUAGAGGUCGUUUGUUGAUGUUUGUGUUGUUAUUUGAUUUGAUAAUUUUUCUUGCUUCUGCUUCAAAGUUUCUUGUUUGGGUUGAGCCUAGCUCAUGUUUUAAGUCGACUCAGCGUGGGGAAAAACACAAAUGGGAUUUGUGUUUUUUAUUUUAUUUUUUUUUUUUCCACCAGCAGAAUGGUCUUAUUUGGAAGCUUGUACAAACUUAGCUUUUUUAUAUAAAUAUUUGUGCGCAGUUUCCUGAUAUGGAUAAGUAUGACACGAAAGAGUGAGGAUUUUUCCACCCAAUCUCAUGCACAUCUCUAAGUGGGAUUAGUCAACCACCCAAUCAAUUGCCCAAGUUAGAGAGCCAAAUAUAGUGAUUUUUCGAUUCUUAAUCGUCGGCUUCCUCCUAACUCCAACUAUCCAUAUAUAUGAUUUCAUUUCAAUUUUGAAAACCCUUUUUGCCUUAAGAGACACUUGGAAACCUCAAUUUUCAUCCUUUUAACCAUUGAAAAAAAAAAUCCAAUUUUAUGUUUUUGAAGUCACUUUCUUAAAUGAUAUUUAAGAUUAUAUUUGGCUCUUAAAAAAACAAAAUUGAUAAAUUUAAAGUUAAUAAAUUAUUUUUAUAACAUAAUAUCUUAAAUAGAUAAAUACAUUAAAGUAAAAGAUAUGGAGAUAUGGUUUGGAUGGGGCAAAUUUCUUAAAAUAAUGCACUAGCCUAGCUUAGAUUAAUUCCUAAAAAUCUGCAUCAUGCUGGACGCUAUGGGUUUAUAACAUGUCAACUCUUCAUCUUUGAGCUUCCGAAAGCAUUUGCAUUUUAUAACAUGCCCAAUCAUGAUUAAACCAAGGAUUAAACAAUAAUCUUUUGUUUUGUUAUUAUCAAAAUAGAUUUUUAAAAAGCUAUAGGCUAACAACUCAUGGUUUCUUAUGCAAUCCCUUCCUUGGCUGGUUAGACACGGUGAAGGGGUAUAAGGCAAAAAUGAAGAGAACAGCUGGGAAGGUGUAUCAUGUGCUUGGAAGAUGAUUGGAGGAGCAUCCUUUCAAGAGGCUUGCUGAGAGUAUAGAAGCUGAACAAGACUUCACCCAUGUCAGACCGUCUGUAAUAGGAGAUGGACGGUUUCCUGGUCAUAACACCGACACAAUCAUUAAGGGCACAUGCUUGGUAUCUUCCUGUUCUUUCUUUUUUUUAUUUUAUGAAAUUAACAGUACACUGAGUUGCACUGCUUUCACUUGCACUACUUUCAGUGUUGCAUUAUCAGGGUUGAAUUGUAAAGUUUGAAUUAGUUUUACGGUAGAUGGUGGGGUUUAACCACUCAUUGAGCUCACAGUGGUCAAGGUGCCCAAUUACCUUUGCAGAGACUGAAGGGCAAGACAUUUAGAUAAUUUUUUAUUUAUUUAUUGAAUGAUGAAUUUAUCCCUAUUGUAUUUAAUCGGUUUAUGAUUUACAGUUUUGUUGAAGGAUUUUGUUUGAGAGAAAGAGAAUUAUUGUAUGUAUAGCUGCGAUUGUGAGGAGCAGGAUAACUUUCACCAUUAUAAUUUUUCUAUCUAUAUUAAUUUGAUUAGUAGAUUCUUGAGUGUUGAUAUAUUUCCUGAACUUGGUGAUCAUAUUGAUUGUAGAAAUAGGAUAAAUUCUUUUAUUUUGUUUUUCUUUAAUUCUACUCGCGUGUGUGUGAUUAAAUUACUUAAAGGACUGCACUAUUGCAGGUCUCCAUAUCCAAAGCAACAAUGGCUACCUUCUCUUUUGAACUCUACUUCUAUUAGCAGCAGCAAAAGUAAUAGCUUAAUGCGUGCAACAAAGUCUUCAGAUUAGUUCAGGCACCGUCUACUCCAGCAUUGAAAGUGGGAAAAAAUGUGUGCCACAAACUUCCCAAUUAGCUCAGGUAGGGUCCAAAUGUUUGGACUUUGAGACCAUGAGAAACCAAUCUGCUCAUUCUCAUUGAUUUGUUUAGCAGGUGGCCUCCUUGCUUCAACUGAAUUUUGAGUUUCUUAAUUCAUAUUUUAUCCUGAAAGUAAUUUAAAUCAUUGAGGUUGUAGCUUGUUUUAUUUUCAGCAAAUAGGAUGAAGCUUUCUCCUCAAACUACAACCUCUUCUCUCUAUCUUCCACAGUUUCCUCUACAAAAAGGUGAGUUGCACAGGCUGUUUGCCUAACAACUCAAGAUCCCUUAAGCCAAUACAAACUAAAACUUCAAAAGCCCAAGAAACCUUGAUAAUAUUAUAACCAUAGUUUGUCAAAAUAUUUUCAUUACAUUCAAAUUAGAAAAACUGCCCAAAUUUGGGUCGAAAUAAUCAAUUGGUGAAUGAGAAGGAACAAUAAGAAAACGUCGGAAUUGGAUUGUUUGGAUUCAAGAGCAGAUGUUUGAUUAGGACCCUCUUUUUUUUUUGGUUUUAACUUUGACACGAUAAAUUUCGUAUCUUCGGUUGUCUGUUCCUUCUUCAAAUUGGAGCCAUAUAUAUAUAUACUAAUUUUUCACGUUGCAUUUAUAUCUAGAUGCCUCUAGAGUCGUCCAGCAUCCAGCAACAGUUGGCUUUGGCUUAUGAUGUAUGUGGCAGAAGAUGUGGCGUUUUGUUUUUAGUCUCCUUAAUUCUGAACCAUUCAGUCCAAACGGGCAUCCACCUUACACUUAGGUAAGGUAAAGCUUCUCAAUAUUAUCUAUGUGAUGUGUGGUGUGUGGUGUGUGGUAUGUGGUAAAGAGCAAGCCAAACUUAAUAGCUAAAUCACCCAUUUCUGUGGGGUACGUUAGAUACACUCCACGUGAUUUUCAAUGAACAAAUAUGCAUCAUAACAACUGGCCAAAGAAAGAUUUUUCAUACUCAGAACUAUCAUAUAUAAGACUUCGAAGGAGCUUUCACAUUUUACAUCAUCCACAGCUGUCUAUAGUUUCUAUGUUAGGAUGGCACAUGUGUGGAACAUGAAUUCGACGUGUCGGUGUUCUAGUGUGUGUAGUUUUGAGCCAUUUUGGAGAAGUGAUUCUUUCCCCUGAUGCAUUCAACAAUGUACUGAGGGUGGUGACUUGCCCCUUUUCUAAAUGUAAUCAUGUUUUAUAUAUUUUUUUUAGAUCUAAGAAGCACUCACAGAAAGUGUGACCUGGGUAUGUAUAAAUAUCCCUGUUCUGAACAGAGAAAACUGUGAUCAUAUUGACUAUAGAAAUAGAGUAAAUUUUUUUAUUUUGUCUUUCUUUAUUUCUAAUUGUGUGUAUAAUUAGGUUAACGAAAGGACUGCACUGUUGUAGGAUUCCAUAUUAUCCAAAGCAACCAUGACGAUAUUAUCUUUUGAACUCUACUUCCAUUAGCAGCAGCAAAAGUAAUAGUGUUAAAAAUAAAUGCAAAUCAUUGUUGUAUGGUCUAAUGUAUGGGUAACAAAGACAACCGCUUUAUAAAAUCAUUGUGAAGCGCACUAUUUACAUCUUGUGAUAUCUUGUGGCUGAAGGGAGAAUCCCAUGACUAGUUAGUACCAGAGCAAAUGUGUCAGUGGAAAGAAUCAACUUUCUCAGGUACCAUAAAUAGGAAAAGGCUUCGAAAAUGGUUCAAAACUACAUUCGCUAGAACACUCACAAGUAGGAAUUCACGCUCUACACAUGUGCCAUCCUAAUUUAGUGUAGACAGCUCUAGAUGAUAAUAAAUAAUAUGAAGCUCCUUUCAAGUCCUAUAUAACACGAUUUGUUCAUUGAAAAUCAAGUGGUGUGUUGAUUUUGGUAUCAAGUUUUACUUCUCUUUACUUACACGCCACACAGCACACGGUACAUAGAUAUUUUAGAGAACCACAUGGUACACAUAUUUUAGAGAAGUGUGCUUUAAAGGUGGAGGUGGAGCCCCCUAUGGAUUCAAUCAUUCAAAAUUAGGAGACUAAAAACAAAAACCUAUAGUUAUCAGCCGAAAAAGUCAAGAGAUUGUCCACUUCCGAAAAAUCCACAUCUUCUUCCUAAUCAUAAGCCAAAGUCAAGCUAUUGGUAAGGCAAUUGCAGGGAGUAUGAGUGUAGCAUCUAGCUAUGAAUGCAAUGUGCAAAAUAUGUCUCCAAUUUGGAGAAGGAACUGGCAGCCAAAGAUACAAAAAUUUUAAGGAUUGAGACAACAGUGAUCACGCCUACAUGGGCCCUUUCUCUUCUGUUGAACAAAAGCUGGCAGGAUUGAGACAACAGUGAUCACGCCUACAUGGGCCCUUUCUCUUCUGUUGAACAAAAGCUGCGUGCUGAAAAAAUAAACACAAGAUGAGUUGGACGUCCAAUUGGGAAAGCAUCGCCUAGUGGAGGAAUCAGCUAUGAAGACAACUUAAUCUACCUACAAGCCAUUGUCAAGUGGAAACAUUACGAGUAUAGCCUGCAAGCUAUUGUCUACUCCAAAUGUUUGGUAGUGUUUAUAGAACCUAAGGAGGUAUGAUCUUCUUAGCUUUUCUGUCAUUAAGCAGAAUGGAAAGUAAGAAAAAAUGUGUGGCACAAACUUCCCCAAUUAGCUCAGGCAGGUUCCCAACGUUUGGACUUGGAGAACGUGGGAAGCAAAUCUGCUCACCUCAUUGGUUUGUUUUGUAGGUGGUCUCCUUGCUUAAAUGAAUUUUGAAUUUCUUAAAUCAUAUCUUAUCUGAUCUGGAAAGUAUUUUAAAUUAUUGAGGUUGUAGUUUAUUUUAUUAUCUACAGAUUAAAAAGAAAGAAAAUUCUCCUCUAACUCCAACUUCCUCUCUAUCUUUUCUACAAGCUAGUUUCUCUACAAUAUAGUGAGUUACACGGGUUCUUUGCCUAACAACUCAAGAUCCUUUAAGCGGAGACAAACUAAAACUUCAAAAGCCCAAGAAACCGGAUAAUAUUAUAACCAUAUAUAAUUUUUCAAAAUGAUUUUCAUUACAUUCUAAUUAAAAAAACUACCCAAAUUUUGGGUCAAGAUAAUCAAUUGGUGAAUGAGACGGAGCAAUUAGCAAAGUGGGAAUUGGAUUGUUUUGAUGCACUUGAUGGUUAAAAAGUUUAGUUAGAAUUUUUUUUUUUUUUUCCUUAAAAUUUGACACAAUAAAUUUUGGAUCUUUGGUUGCCAGUUCCUUCUCCAAAUUGGAGACAUAUUUUGCACAUUGCAUUCAUAGCUAGAUGCUACACUCAUACUCCCUGCAAUUGCCGUACCAAUAGCUUUACUUUGGCUUAUGAUUAGGAAGAAGAUGUGGAUUUUGCAGAAGUGGACAAUCUCGACUUUUUCGGCUGAUAACUAUAGGUUUUUGUUUUUAGUCUCCUAAUUUUGAAUGAUUGAAUCCAUAGGGGGCUCCACCUCCACCUUUAAAGCACACUUCUCUAAAAUAUGUGUACCAUGUGGUUCUCUAAAAUAUCUAUGUACCGUGUACUGUGUGGCGUGUAAGUAAAGAGAAGUAAAACUUGAUACCAAAAUCAACACACCACUUGAUUUUCAAUGAACAAAUCGUGUUAUAUAGGACUUGAAAGGAGCUUCAUAUUAUUUAUUAUCAUCUAGAGCUGUCUACACUAAAUUAGGAUGGCACAUGUGUAGAGCGUGAAUUCCUACUUGUGAGUGUUCUAGCGAAUGUAGUUUUGAACCAUUUUCGAAGCCUUUUCCUAUUUAUGGUACCUGAGAAAGGUGAUUCUUUCCACUGACACAUUUGCUCUGGUACUAACUAGUCAUGGGAUUCUCCCUUCAGCCACAAGAUAUCACAGUUUUUGGGCUUCUUCUUGCUACAAUCUGUUUGUUGUUGGCAACGGUAUUUAAUGCCAAAGGGAACAAGAAGAAAGGCAAAAGGCCACAGGAGCCGUCCGGGCGAUGGCCUAUUAUCGGUCACCUUCAUCUUCUAGGAGCAGACAAGCUGCCACAUCGGACACUUGGAGACAUGGCUGAUAAGUAUGGACCAAUCUUUUGCAUUCAUCUUGGCCUUCGUAAAGCUCUGGUGGUUAGUAGCUGGGAAGUAGCAAAGGAAUGCUACACUACCAAUGACAAGGUAUUCGCCACUCGACCAAGAUCCUUAGCAGUAAAGCUCAUGGGCUAUGAUCAUGCCAUGUUAGGAUUUGCUCCCUAUGGACCAUACUGGCGUGAUGUGCGGAAGCUAGCCAUGGUUGAGCUCCUCUCAAACCGCCAGCUUGAGAUGCUCAAACAUGUCCAGGACUCAGAAGUUGAGUUCUUAAUAAAAGAGCUCUAUGGGCAAUGGGCACGAAACAAGGACAGCCCCGCUUUGGUGGAGAUGAAGGAAAGAUUUGGGAACUUGGUAAUGAAUGUAAUGGUGAGAGCAAUUGCAGGGAAACGGUAUUUUGGGACCCAUGCCUGUGAUGAUGAGCCAAAACGGGGCAAAAAGGCCUUGGACGAUUUUAUGCUUCUAGUGGGGCUGUUCAUGGUCUCGGAUGCCAUCCCUUUUCUCGGCUGGUUGGACACGGUGAAAGGGUAUACCACUGAUAUGAAGAAAAUAGCUAAGGAGUUGGAUUAUUUGCUUGGAAGGUGGGUGGAGGAGCAUCGCCAGCAAAGGCUUUCCGCAAACAACAACAGGGCUGAGGUAGACUUCCUCCAUGUCAUGCUUUCCGUCAUAGAUGAUGGCCAAUUCUCUGGUCGUGAUCCUGAUACCGUCAUUAAGGCCACUUGCUUGGUAUGUCCCUGCUACUUCCAUAACUUGACCAUGAAAUGAAAAGAGAAAAAAAAAAACACCAUCUACUAUCAUAAUUUCUGCAACUUUUUCUGCCCAAUUUCCUAAACCCUCCUCGCAUUUCUACAAGCAUUCAUCAAAUCCAGUAUAGCUUUAUCAUCUGUAUUUAUCAUGACAAACCAGGUGGGGUGAUCGAAUUUCACUUAGAUUCCUUAUUCACGGUUUGUUUUAUCAUUCUGCUAAACAUGGUAUUUCACUACUGAUAAGUAAACUUUUCCUGAUCACAUAUUGAAGUCGACAUCAUUUGUUGAUUGCAGAACCUCAUAUUAGCUGGCUAUGACACAACAUCUAUCACUCUUACAUGGGCCCUCUCUCUUCUACUGAACAACCGCCAUGCGCUAAAAAAGGCACAAGCAGAGCUGGAAAUCCAUGUGGGUAAGCAUCGCCAAGUGGAUGGAUCAGAUAUAAAGAACCUAGUCUACCUGCAAGCCAUCGUCAAGGAAACAUUACGAUUGUACCCUCCUGGGCCACUUUCCGUGCCGCAUGAGGCCAUGGAAGAUUGCACUGUGGCAGGCUUUCACAUCCAAGCUGGGACGCGCCUUUUGGUUAAUCUCUGGAAGUUGCAUCGUGACCCCAGAGUCUGGUUGGACCCUUUGGAGUUCCAACCAGAGAGGUUCCUGACAAACCAUGCAGGUUUGGAUGUUAGGGGUAAAAAUUAUGAACUUCUACCCUUUGGUUCAGGUAGAAGGGUAUGCCCAGGAAUCUCAUUUGCACUGGAGUUGACGCAUCUGGCACUAGCCAGACUGCUUCAUGGUUUUGAAUUGGGAGUAGUUGCAGAUUCACCGGUGGAUAUGACUGAAGGUCCUGGGUUGAGUGCCCCCAAAGCAACCCCGCUGGAGGUCACCAUUGUUCCAAGGCUACCUUUCGAGCUCUAUAGUUAUGAAGCAGCAUAGAAAGUAAAUAAUACUCUGUGAGCCAGAGAGUCCCCUAAUUAGCCCAAUGCUUUAGGGUAUAUUUAUGUUGUGUAACUCACUUUGAAUGGCCUGUGUAGUGGGUGUUCUCCUUUCUUGUCUUCUCGUCUCAAAUUUCAUCCACUUGGAUAGUAAUAAAUUUCCAUCUAUGAGUAAUUCUUUGUGUUACUUAAAAUAUAGACCACAACUGCACCAGCAACAAAAGGCUGUUGCAACAACAGAACUCAACAAAACCAAGAUCACUCAAGAAUUGUGCAAGUAGUUAGCAAUAUGGUAGUGUAGUUUGAAACUGUGCAAAUAGUUAGGAAUCUGAUUGUGUAGUUUGUUAUAGCUGAAACUUUAAAUAGCAGAGUAGAGAACCUCUCCUGAACAUGUAAUUCUUCAUCUCAAUAUACAGAAAUUAAAUUUGCAUUCUCCUGAUACAAACUUACAUGGUAUCAGAGCCACCCCGUAUUUCCUUCUCUUCGCAUCAGUUUCAUGGUUCCACCAUGGCAAUCUCAACUCAGUCUUCUCGGAUACAAGCUAGAGCUGCAAAUUCGUCCUCAGCCAUAACUCAAUCAAUGCAGAUGUUGAAUCAUGCACUGCCCAUUAAACUUGAUAAAGAUAAACUACCUGUGUUGGAAAACACAACUGGAGAAUGUGAACUUUGCAAACGGCUUUGAAGACCACAUUGAAGGUUUGACAGUCUGUCCUUCAAAAACAACAAGCAAUGGUGAAACAAAUCCAGAGUUUAUUCUUUGGAAAAGAUUUGACCGAAUGAUCCUUAGUUGGAUCUACUCCUCACUUACUCCAGAAAUUAUGGGUCAAAUAAAAGUGUAUCAAAUCUCCCAUGAAGCAUGGUCUGCUCUGGAAAAGAUCUUCUCAGCUUCAUCCAAAGCUUGGGUGAUGCAAUUACAACUAGAAUUUCAAACCACGAAGAAAGGAUCCCUUUCAAUGAUGGAUUACAAUCUCAAGCUGAAGAAUCUGACUGACCACUUAGUUGCCAUUGGAGAACUGGUAUACGACAGAGAUCAUAUUCUGCAACUGCUUGGAGGGCUUGGUGUGGAAUACAAUUCCAUUGUGGCCUCUCUUGUAGCAAGAGAAGAUGAAGUUUCACUGCAUACGGUGCACAAUAUUCUGUUAACCUAUCAACAGUGCCUAAAUCUUCAGAAUUCGACAGAAAACAAUGUAAUCUCUACAAAUCUCACUACCACGUCAUCAAAUCACCACAACAACAGAAGGAAUUCCAAUCGAAAUUCCUCAGGAAACAAUAGCAGAAUAGUCAACUCCGAACGCAACUCUCAUGGCAAUAGAAACUUGGUCUCUCAAAAUCACCCACAAAGUAAACUUUGUAGAAAGUCUGGACAUAGUGUGGUCCAAUGCUAUCAUCGUUUUGAUAUAAACUUCCAAAGGGUAAAUACCAACUCUGAAUCUAAGCCCCAUGCAACUAACAGAAAUCGAGAUUAAGCCCAUGUUGUGAUUGCAUCUUCUAUUAACAUAAAGAGUAAGGAAUGGUUCUUUGAUACUCGCGCCACCCAUCAUCUUUCUCAAACUACCACCUCUCUGGACAAUAAACAAUCAUAUAAUGGCAAUGACAAGGUGACAAUCGGGAAUGGUACACAAUUUCCCAUUCUUCAUACGGGUACUAAAAUUUUUCAGUUUCCUUUUAAAGUGUUUCAAUUAAAAAGAGUUCUUCAUGCUCCUCAUCUUGCAACCAAUCUUGUUAGUGUCUCUCAAUUCUGUGCUGACAACAAUACAUUUGCUCUCAGUUCUUUCUUGUCAAAGAACAGGUUACCAAGAAAGUUCUUCUCAAAGGUCAUCUCGAACGAGGAUUGUAUAAAUUUCCUACCAAUUUUAGCUCCACUACAGGCAUGUUCUCUAGCCUCAACAACUUUUCAUCUUCAAAUUCCACGAUUGAGCUUUAGCAUUCUCAACUUGGUCAUCCUGCUGAAGAUAUAUUGAAACACGUUCUGAACAACUGUAAUAUUUCUUAUCAAUGUAAUAAACACCAAAUCUAUUGUGUCUAUCAAUAUGCCAAAAGUCACAAGUUGCCUUUUUCGUUGUCCAUGUCAAGAGCAUCUCAUCCUUUAGUACUUGUUCAUGCUAAUUGUUGGUUGUAGUUUCACCCUUAAAACAGAGAUUGGCUAUAAAAAAAAAUAAAAAAUGGAAGAGUAACACCUAGGAAUAGAGGAGUUAAAAAUAGUCCACCAAAAAACAAAGGACCUUUUUUCUUUUCCUCACUUUGUAUUCUCGGUUAUGUUGUUUUUGUUGUACAGAAUGUAGUUUUCAAACCAAAUGCAAAGAGAUUUAACUUGAGUAAACCUCUCCACAUGGAAGCAUGACAACCACUCAAAACAUAAAAACAAAAAACUUAUUGUGAUGUUCCUCCAUACCCAAAAGCUUUCGGAAGUGAACCCAAAAGUUUCUCAACAAUUCUUUUAUCACUAAUUUCUUCGCCAUAUGACUUCAUCUGAUUAACUAAUCUAAAAGAAAACUCAUUUAGAAUUUCAUUCUCCUUCAUUUUCAUAUUUUCCAACUCUCUUCUUAAAGCUUGAAGCUUUACUGACCGGGUUCUUUUAUCUCCUUGGAACUACUAUUGAAGGAUGUCCCAUGCUUCUUUAGCUUUUGAAGCUCUCAUAAUUCUUGGAAAGAGGUUGUUAACAACACCUUGUUGAAUAAAUAAGAGAGCUUUUGCAUCCGUUUUUUUCAAUUCUUUCAACUUUUUUUUUUUCAACCGAAGUUAGUGUAAUCACAUUUUCAAGUUCAUCAAAACCAUUUUCAACCAAAUCCCAAACACCUUGAUUUAUAAAUAAUGUUUUCAUUUUUAUGCACCAAAAAUCAUAAUUUUCUCAUUCAAAUAAUGGAAUAGAAGAAGGUUGAGAACUCAUACUUGCAACACUUGAGCUAGCCAUUGAUCUACUCUUCAAAUCCUUGGCCGUCUACUUCAAGAUUGAUGGUUUCUAGCUACACAAUCUGAUUGCACAGCAACAACACCAAUUGUUCUUCGUUUUCUCUUUCCUUGUUUGCCUUCAAAUUUUGAUGCUUCAAUGACCACCAAUUCAGUCGUAUUGUAGGUUUGGAUUUGGGCCUUCAGAUUAAAAGAAACCCUAGUAUCCUCCAUCUCUAAAAUAGAGGAAAUUUCUGAAAUUUCCAUACACAAGAGGCAUGUUGUAAGAGAUAAGAGGGCUUGAAAAGAAGAGGUGGAUUAUAUUAAAUUGGAAACAACAAGGUGGAUCGAAGUUAGAUUGAGAGAUGGAUUCGUGAAAUAGGUGGGCUCUGAUACCAGUUCUGUUGGUUGUAGUUUCAGCCUAAAAAUAAAGAUUGGCUAUAGAAAGAAAAAAUGGAAGAGUAACACCUAGGAACGGAGGAGUUAAAAACAGUCGACCAAAAAACAAAGGGUCAUUUUUCUUUUCUUCACUUUGUAUUCUCGAUUCUGUUGUUUUUUGUUGUAUAGUAUGUAGUUUUCAAACUAGAUGCAAAGAGAUUUAACUUGAGUAAAUCUCUCCACAUGGAAGCAUGACAACCACUCAAAACAUAAAAAACAAAAAACUUAAUUUUUACAUAUAUAUAACCUAAACACAGCAUAGGCACAUUAUGUUACACUAAUAUCUAGGCUCCUGCACCCACUUUGUCUACUUCUGAUGCAUGAUUUUUUCUGCUACUCAUAGAUGACUUCUCAAGAUUUUCUUGGCUUUAUCCACUGCACACCAAAGAUUAAGUGCUUACAAUGUUUAUAAAAUUUCUCGCUUUAGUGAAAACAACUUAACUUCAAAAUUAAGAGCCUACAAUCAAAUAACGAUGGUGAAUUCAAAGAAUUUUCUUCCUAUCUUGCUGCCCAUAACAUUGAACACAAGUUCUCCUACCCAUACACACCUGAACAGAAUGGGAGAGUCAAGCAGAAAUUGAGACAUGUUAUAGAAACUAGUCUUGCUUUUCUAGCCAAAGCCUCCUCACCUCUCUCUUUCUGGUUGUAUGUUUUUCAUACUGCCAUAUUCCUCAUCAACCAUCUACCUACCAAGGUACUUAAAUAUCAAUCUCCAUUUCAAACUCUUUUUGGGAAAAUUCCUAAUUAUCAUUAUCUCAAGACAUUCGGUUGUCUUUGCUACCCAUACAUUAGACCAUACAACAAGCAAAAACUGCAAUAUUGUUCUACUCCAUGCAUCUUUCUUGGCUAUAGAAACAAUCACAAAGGAUACUUAUAUUUUGAUCCAAAAACUACCAGACUUUAAAUAACUAGACAUGUUGUUUCUCAUGAAUCAAUCUUUCCAGCUCUAUCACCUUCAACUUCUUCUAAUCCUAGUUCUUCCAUUUACACUCAUGCAUUUCUUCCCAUAAACAUGUCCUAUUCUCUUGCUUUAUCUUCUCCUGACGUUCCACAGCAUAACCCCACACCUUUGUCUUCACCACUUCACUCAUCUUCUGACCACACCCUUCAAACUAUACUUAACAAUGCUCCUCAGCAUCCUCUUAUUAUUACUAAUUAUCAUAUGAUCACGCAUGCCAAGGAUGGCAUUGUAAAAAAAGAAAUCUUUUUUGUCUCACAUGCCUACUAAACCAGCAACAUUUUCUCAAGCUAUCAAAAGUUUCUACUAGUCCAAGGCUAUGUAACAAGAGUAUGAUAUUCUACUCAAAAACAAAACAUGGAAUCUAGUUCUUGCUCCUCCAAAUGCCAAUAUUAUCGAUUGCAAAUGGGUCUGCAAAUUAAAACAUAACCCGAAUGGAACCAUUGCUCGUUACAAGGCUCUCCUAGUUGCCAAAGGUUUUACCCAAACACAUGGUCUUGAUUAAUUUGAAACCUUCAGCCCCGUUGUCAAAGCUUCAAGCAUCAAAAUAGUGUUUGCUCUUAUUCUCUCUUUUGGUUGGACAAUUCGUCAGCUUGAUGUGCAAAACGCCUUCCUCAACAGUGAUCUCUAAGAGCAAGUCUUCAUGAGCCAACCACCUGGUUUUAUCAACUCUCGAUUUCCUACUCAUGUCUGCAAACUUAACAAAACCAUUUAUGUGCUUAAACAAGCUCCUAGAGCAUGGUACACCAAGCUCGGUCAUGCUUUUCUUAGCUAGGGUUUUCAAGCCUCCCAUGCAGACAGCUCCAUGUUAUUUCUUCACACUGCCAAUGAUGUGCUUAUCUUAUUGAUCUAUGUUGAUGACAUCCUCUUAAUAGGUAGUGAUCCUCAUUGUGUUUCUUCAUUUUCUUCUCAUCUUAAUGUUACAUUCGCUCCUCGAGAUCUUAGUCAUCUUCAAUAUUUUCUUGGUCUAAAGACUAUGCAAGAAAAAAACUCAGUUCAUUUGAAUCAACACGAAUAUGUCCAUGAUCUUCUUCAACGUACCAAUAUGCUUGAAUCCAAAUCUGCUUCUGCGCCUGGUAUGGUUGGUCAAAAUUUAUCCAAACAUGAUAGAGAUCUUUCCAUGAUGUCACACUAUAUUGGCACAGUUGGUGCUCUUCAAUAUCUCACAUUAACGAGACCUAAUAUUUCAUUUGUUGUCAACAUAUCAUGCCAGUUUAUGAGUAGUCCCUCCAACACACAUUGGUUUUCUGUAAAGCGCAUCUUACGUUAUCUUAAAGGCACUACAUCUUAUGGUAUUUCCAUGCAACUGUCUCUCUUUGGACAUUUAAGCAUACACUGAUGCAGAUUGGGCUUUUUGUACAAAUGACAAAAGAAGCACCAGUGGCUAUUGUAUUUUCAUUGGGCCAAAAUUGGCAACGAGUAGAAAGUUGUUUCAAGAAGUAGUGUGGAAUCUGAGUAUCGUGGCAUAACUGUUGUCGCUUCCGAAAUUGCUUGGAUUCAAUCUCUACUCACCGAGUUAUGUCUUUCUCCUUCUGUGGUGUGACAACCAAAGUGUUGCACAUCUUGCUGCCAAUCCCAUAUUUCAUGGUCAAGCAAAGCAUAUUGAACUCGACCUUCAUUUUAUUCGUAAUAAAGUCCUUCAAAACCAACUUAGUAUUCGGUAUCUUCUCUCUUUCAACCAAAUCAUUGAUAUCUUCACUAAACAUAUCUCAAGCUCUCGGUUUUUUUAGCUUUCGAACCAAACUCUUUAUUGUUCUCAAACCUUUGUUCCCAAACCUGCGAGCUUGUGGGGGGAUGAUAGGCCACAACUGCACCAGCAACAGAAGGCUGAUGCAACAACAGAACUAAGAUCACUCAAUGCAAGAACUAUGCAAGUAGUUAGGAAUUUGGUAGUGUAGUUUGAAUUGUGAAAAUAGUUAGGAAUUUGGCAGUGUAGUUUGUUACAACUGAAACUAUAAAUAGUAGAGAAGAGAACCUCUCCUGAACAUGUAAUUCUUCCAAUCAAUAUACAUAAACUAAAUUUGCAUUCUCCUUAUACAAACUUAUACUCCUUUCUCAUCUUCUCAUCUCAAAUUUCAUCCACUUGGAUAGUAAUAAAUUUCUAUAUAUGAGUAAUUCUUUUUGUGUUACUUAAAAUAUCUUAAGUUUGUUUUUGAGAAAAACAAAAAUAGAAAAUGGUUUUAUGUUCUACGUCUUUCAACUAUUCUCACUUAUUUUAAAAAAUAAAUAUAAAAAUAUGUAAAAUGAUAAUAAAUAAAUAAAUAAAGUACUGACGUAAAAGUUAUUUUUUAAAAAUAUAUAUAUAUUUAAAAACAUAAAAAAAAUAAGUUAAUAAUAUUUCUAAUUCUAAAAUAAAAUUUUAUUCACAAAACAUGAAAGAACAAUUUUUAGAAACAAUUCUCAAAUAUCAUUUUUCAUAAUUGUUUUUUAAAACACUUCCCAUUUUUUUAUAGUUUUUUUUUUAAAGAAUUAUUUAUUAAGAGUCAUCUUGUCAGUGAUCCUAAGAAGUGUUUUUAGUCAAAAAAAAAGUUUUUGAAAAAACAUUGGAUGUUUGACAGAAUUAAGGAAAUAUCUUUCAAAUUUUGAAAAAUCAUUUUCUAGAAAAAUGUUUAAUAGAUGAUUUUACGAAAAAACAAUUUAUGAGAAAACACUGCCAAUAAAAAAAAAUUAAAUAGAAACACUUUCAAAUACACUUAAAAUGUUUUUCUUAGAAGUAUUAUAAGUGAUUUUUUAACUUUUUAAAACCAUUGUUUAAAUUUUAUCUAAUUUUUUUUUCUCAAAAAUAUUUUUGUACGUAAGCUAGAACUAGAAGUACUUUCUAACUUCAAAGAAUCUUUACCCGGCCGUUAACGUUUUAGACACCGCCGUUACCAGGCCCUUCUCUCAUGCAAUUGCUUAUAUAAAAACAAACACUUUUGUUACUUGGUACUAGAGCGCAUUAGAACUUUAGACAAAACAGAAGAUUCCUUACUUUUAUUUAGGCAUCAAACCCACUCAUUCAAGCAUAUUUAAAUUUAAAUGCAGUCGUCCAUGUAUACACAAAAGACCCAUUACCAAGAAGGUGAUCAUCCUUUUUCAGGGUUGGUUGUUCAAAAUUCAAAAUCAGUUGGCUGAAGAACAGAAAGGAAAAGAACAGAGCUGAAUUUGCAGAAAAGUAUUUUUUUUCUUUUUCCUUUUCUAAGGAUCUUGGAAUCCUUUUCCUAGUAUAGACAGAACAUUAGAGGUAUAUAUAUGGUAGUGGGAAGUGAUUCUUCCCCAUAAAACAUUUUCUUUUCUAUUGAGUCAUGGGAUUCUAUCUUCAGCUUCAAGGGAUCAUAGUUUUUAGCCUUCUGUUUGCUAUCAUCUGUUUGUGAUUGAUUAAGGGCAAAGGGAACAGAAACAGAGGAAAAAGGGCACCAGAACCAUCACGGGCAUGACCUUUAAUCGGACACCUUCAUCUUCUACGAGUAGGCAAGCCCCAACAUCAAGCAUUUGGAGCCAUGGCAGAUAAGUAUGGACCAAUCUUUUGCUUUCAUAUUGGCCUGCGCAAAACUUCGGUGGUUAGCAGCUGGGAAGUAGCAAAAGAAUGUUUCACUACCAUGGACAAAGCAUUUGCCACUCAACCCAGAUCCUUGGCAGGAAAGCUCAUGGGCUAUGACCAUGCCAUGUUUGGCUUCUCUCCUUGCAGGGCAUACUGCGUGAUGUAAGGAAGCUGGCCUCAAUUGUGUUGGAUUGUGAAGCUUGAACUAGUUUUAUUGCGCUUCGCUCAGGAUGUCGGGAGUCGAGCUGCCCGAUCAACUCAUGAGGGUCAAAUGGUUGCAAAGUUUGUUGACAUAGGUGAGAUUCAAACAUGUGAUGAAUGUUCUGUAUAGUGAUAGCCAAAGUGCAAUACAUUUUGCUAAGAAUUCAGCAUUUGACUAGACAUAUAACAAUUCUUUAUCACUUCAUCAGGCCUUUGCUUAAAAGUGGAGUGUUAACACUUGUGAAGAUACACGAUAACAAGAAUCCAACUUACAUGUUGAUCAAAGCACUAAUAGCAGAGAAUCUAGAGCUAUGCUUAGCUUCAGUGGGUCAAGGGUAAGGAUAGGUUGUUUCAGUGCACUAUACCUAUUAAUCAUUGAAGGAGGAGGUUUAUUGUGUUUCAGUCCAAGCAUAAGAUUAUUAGAUUGUCAAGCCUGAAUCAAUUUUGUUGUAUUUCGCUCGGAAUGUUAGAGAUUAAGAUGUUAGGUCAGCUCAAGGUGAUCGAGCUCCCAAUGAGCUCGCAAGGGUUGAGCUCCCUAAUGAGCUCGAUAAAGGGAUCAAGUUGCCCGAUCAACUCAUGGGAGUUGAAAGGGGUAGCGCCCCUUGAAAAAAAAAAAUAUAUAUAUAUAUAUGCAUUGAUUGAUGAGUUUACACCUAUUAUAUAUUUAACUUUUUUACGUUUAGGGUUUUGUUUUUCUUAGAGUGCAGCCACAAUUGAGAGAUUUUUUUUUAGAGCUUCAUCAUUCUAACUCAUUUUUCAUUUUGAUUAGUGAAUUGUUGAGUAUUGGUGCACUCUGUGGACAUAGGGAUCACAUUUAUCGCCGAACCAAGUUAAAAUUCUUGUCUUUUUCUUUAUUUUCUACUCAUGUGUGUGUGAUUUGAUUAACAGGUUGAGCUCUUCUCAAGCCACCAGCUUGAGUUACUCAAUCAUGUCCGGGACUCAGAAGUCAAGCUUUUCAUCAAAGAGCUCUACAGGCAAUGGAUACAAAAUGGGGAUAGACCUCUCUUGGUCGAGAUGAAGGAGAAGUGUUGGCACCUGGCAGCAAAUGUAAUGGUGAGCACAGUAGCUGGGGAACGGUAUUUUGGCACCGUUACAAAUGACUAUGAGUCAAGACAGUGCCGCAAGGCCCUUGGCGAUUUCUUAUAUCUCUCGGGGAUAUUUAUGGUUUCUGAUGCAAUCCCCUUCCUUGGCUGGUUGGACACAGUGAGAGGAUAUACGGCAAAAAUGAAGAGAACAGCUAGGGAGGUGGAUCAGGUGCUGGGAAGCUGGGUGGAGGAGCACGGCUGGAAAAGGGUCUUUGGAAGUAUGAACGAGGCUGAUCAGGACUUUGAGUGCUUUUGGUAAUGAUUAUACGAAGUGUUUUUAGUUUUUUUUUAACAUUUGAAAAUUUCUAUCUUUUAAAUAUUAAAGAUAUUAAAAAUACUUCUUAAAAUCACUAUCAAAUAUACUCUUUAUCCAUAGGAUGUUGUGUCUGUUAUUAAGGAUGGUCAAUUCUCCCAUCAUGACCAUGACACUGUCGUUAAGGCUACUUGCUUGGUAUGUUUCUUCUACUUUCCUUGGUCAAAUUCCAUAAACCUCCACACACUUCUGUACGUAAGGAAACAGCAAACCUCCAUCUUGAUUUGUUUUGUCCAGCUGUUCCACUUACCAUUUCAGGACUGAUGAUUAACUCUCAACUUUCUUUGACAAAAUUUAUGGGAAUAAUGAAAACUAUGAUAAACUUUUAAAUUGUUCUACCGACAGCUAGACUCACUAUUUUUUAACACAUACUGAUCAAAGGAGCCAUAUCACCGGCUCAAAAGACCAACAUGGAUGUAAUGUUGAUGUAGACUCUUAUAUAGGCGGCUUUGAUUCAACAGUGAUCACACUGACCUCAGCCCUCUCUCUGCUAAUGAACAAUCCUAGCACUCUAAAAAGAGCACAAGAUGAGUUAGACAUCAAAGUGGGAAAGCAUCGCAAAGUGGAUGAGUCAGACAUAAAGAACCUAGUCUACUUGCAAGCCAUCAUCAAGGAAACCUUACGACUGUACCCUGCUGCACCGCUUUCAGUGCCACGUGAGGCCAUGGAGGAUUGCAACGUGGCAGGCUUCCACAUCCAAGCUGGGACUCGCCUUCUGGUUAACCUGUGGAAGUUGCCCCGGGACUCCGAAAUUUGGCCGGACCUUUGGAGUUCCAACCUGGGGGGUUCCUAACGAAGCAUGUGGAUUUUGAGGUCGUGCAUCUGACACUAGCCAUCUGACACUUCCUAAAAUAAUAUUUAAGAUUAUAUUUAGUUUUUGGAAAAUAUGAAAGAAAACAUGAGGAAAAAAAAAAAAGGAAAAUAGAAGAAAAUUAAAAAAUUAAAAAAAAAUCAAUAAUUCAUUUUUAUAACAUAAUAACUUAAAUGAAUAAAUACAUUAAAGAUAUGGUUUUCAUGGGACAAAUUUCUUACAAUAAUGCGCCUAACUUGGAUUAACUCCUAAAAACUUGCAUCAUGCUGGAGGCUCUCCUAUUAUAACAAGAAAAGUCUUCAUCUUUGAGCUUUCAAAAGCAUUUGCAUCAUGAUUAAACAAAGGAUUAAACAAUAAUCUUUUGUUUUGUUAUUAUCAAAAUAGUCUUUAAAAAGCUUUAGCCUAACAACUCAUGGUUUCUUAUGUAAUCCCUUCCUUGGUUGGUUACACACGGUGAAGGGGGUAUAAGGCAAAAAAUGAAGAGUACAGCUAGGGAGGUGUAUCAUGUGCUUGAAAGAUGAUUGGAGGAGCAUCCUUUCAAGAGGCUUGCUGGGAGUAUAAAUGAAGCUAAACAAGACUUCAUCCAUGUCAUGCCGUCUGUUAUAGGAGAUGGACAGUUUUCUGGUCAUAACACUGACACAAUCAUUAAGGGUGCUUGCUUGGUAUCUCCCUGUUCUUUCUAUUUUUUGAUGAAAUUAACAGCACCGAGUUGCACUGUUUUCACUUGCACUAUUUUCAGUGUUGCAUUAGUAGUGUUGAAUUGCAAAGCAUGAAUCAGUUUUAUAUAUCACAUAGAAGAUGUUGGGGGUCAAAUCACCCGUUGAGCUCACAAUGGUCAAGGUGCCCAUUUAGCUUUGUAGAGAUUGAAGGGGCAAGGCCUAUAGAUAAUUUUUUUUAUUUAUUAAAUGAUGAGUUUAUCCCUAUUGUAUUUAAUCGGCUUAUGAUUUAGAAUUUCCAUGAAGGGUUUUGUUUGAGAGAGAGAAUUGUAUGUAUGACCAUGAUUGCGAGGAGAAGGAUAACUCUCGCCAUUAUAAUUUUUCUAUCUUUAUUAAUUAGAUUAGUAGAUUCUUAAGUGUUGAUAUGAUUCUUAAGCGUAGUGAUCAUAUUGACCAUAGAAAUAGAGUAAAUUCUUUUAUUUUGUCUUUCUUUAUUUCUAAUUGUGUGUAUAAUUAAGUUAACGAAAGGACUGCACUGUUGCAGGAUUCCAUAUUAUCCAAAGUAACCAUGACGAUAUUAUCUUUUGAACUCUACUUCUAUUAGCAGCAGCAAAAGUAAUAGCCUAAUGUGUGCAACAAAGUCUUCAGGUUAGUUCAGGCACUGUCUACUCCAGCAUAGAAAGUGGGAAAAAAUGUGUGCCACAACCUUCCCAAUUAGUUCAGGCACUGUCUACUCCUUAAUUCUGAACCAUUCAGUCCAAACGGGCAUCCACCUUACACUUAGGUAAGGCAAAGCUUCUCAAUAUUAUCCGUGUAAUGUGUGGUGUGUGGUAAAGAGCAUGCCAAACUUUAUAGCUAAAUCAACCCCAUUUUUAUGGGGCUAGAUACACUCCCACGUGAUUUUCAAUGAAUAAAUAUGCAUCAUAACAACUGGCCAGAGAGAUGGGUUUUUUCAUACUCAGAACUAUCAUAUAUAAGACUUCGAAGGAGCUUUCAUAUUUUGUAUCAUUGACAGCUGUCUAUAGUUUCCAUAUUAGGAUGGCACAUGUGUGGAACAUGAAUUCGACCUGUCGGUGUUCUAGUGUGUGUAGUUUUGAGCCAUUUUGGAGAAGUGAUUCUUUCCCCUGAUGCAUUCGACAAUGUACUGAGGGUGGUGACCUGCCCCUUUUCUCAAUGUAAUCACGUUUUAUAUAUUUUUUUUAGGUAUAAGAAGCACUCACAGAAAGUGUGACCUGGGUAUGUAUAAAUAUCCCUGUUCUGAACAGAGAAAACUGUGAAAACAGAAUAGAAAACCAUUUUUCUCUCUCCAGCCCUCUUUCUCUUCACUCUGGUACUAUCCAGUCAUGGGAUUCUCCCUUCAGCCUCAAGAUAUCACAGUUUUGGGCUUCUUCUUGCUACAAUCUGUCUGUUGUUGGCAACAGCACUUAAUGCCAAAGGGAACAAGAAGAAAGGCAAAAGGCCACCAGAGCCGUCCGGGCAAUGGCCUCUUAUCGGUCACCUUCAUCUUCUAGGAGCAGACAAGCUGCUACAUCGGACACUUGGAGACAUGGCUGAUAAGUAUGGACCCAUCUUUUGCGUUCGUCUUGGCCUCAAAAAGCAUUGGUGGUUAGUAGCUGGGAAGUAGCAAAGAAAUGUUACACUACAAGUGACAAAGUAUUCGCCACUCGACCAAAAUCCUUAGCAAUAAAGCUCAUGGGCUAUGAUCAUGGCUCAUUUGUCUUUGCUCCUUAUGGACCAUACUGGUGUGAUGUGCGGAAGCAAGCCAUAGUUGAGCUGCUGUCAAACCGCCAGCUUGAGAUGCACAAGCAUGUCCAGGACACAGAAGUCAAGAUCUUAAUAAAAGAGUUUUAUGGGCAAUGGGCAAGCAACAAGAGCUUUGGUGGAGAUGAAGGAAAGAUUUGGGAACUUGUCACUGAACGUAGUGGUGAGAGCAAAUUUUGGGAAACGGUAUUUUGGGACCCAUGCCUGUGGUGAUGAGCCAAAACGGGGCAAGAAGGCCUUUGAGGAUUUCAUGAUUCUAGUGGGGCUGUUCAUGGUCUCGGAUGCCAUCCCUUUUCUCGGCUGGUUGGACACAGUGAAAAUGUUUACCGCUCAAAUGAAGAGAGUAGCUGAGGAGGUGGAUUAUAUGUGCUUGGAAGCUGGGUGGAGGAGCAUCGCCAGAAUAGGCUUUCUGCGAACGACAAUGGGGCUGAGCAAGACUUCAUCCAUGCCAUGCUUUCUGUCAUAGAUGAUGGCCAAUUCUCUGGUCGUGAUCCUGACACCAUCAUUAAGGGCACUUGCUCGGUAUGUCCCUGCUACUUCCAUAAGUUGAGCAUGAAACGAAAAGAAAAAAAAAACCACCAUCCACUAUCAUAAUUUCUGCAACUUUUUCUGCCCAAUUUCCUAAACCCUACUCACAUUUCUACAAGGAUUCAUCAAAUCCAGUAUUGCUUUAUCAUCUGUAUUUAUAAUGACAAACCAGGCGGGGUGAUCAAAUUUCACUUUUCACGGUUUGUUUUAUCAUUCUGCUAAACAUGGUAUUUCACUACUGAUAAGCAAACUUUUCCUGAUCACUUAUUGAAGUCGACAUCAUAUGUUGAUUGCAGAACCUUAUAUGAGCUAGCUAUGACACAACAGCUAUCACUCUUACAUGGGCCCUCUCUCUUCUACUGAACAACCGCCAUGUGCUAAAAAAAGCACAAGCAGACCUGAUGACCACCUGGCUAAUGAUGGUUUGAACUCAAUAUUAAGUAUCUUACAUCUACAGAGCAUCUAUUCCACCAACUCUUCUUGCAAGUUCAAACGGUAGAAUCUAAGGUAUAUAUAUAUAUAUCAUUGACAGAAGAUUGAAAUCCGACAUUACUAGCAACAUAAGUGCUCUAAAUGCCCUUUAAAGUGGACAUCAGUUUUUACAUGUUGACACGUUCACAGCAUCUCAUGUCUGAGCUUCCUUGAAGCCAUCAAUGGCUAUUGGGACAUUUGGAACUCCACUGUGAAGUUGCUCAUAUUCAAUGAACCCAGCCUUUGAGCUGCAUUUGCCAACUAAUUUCAGGCAGAGAGAUCCCACAAACAUCAAAAUUCCAGAUAGUAUCCAACUGAACUGCAUGUUGGCCAGUGCUCUUGCCCUCAAAUCUGCAUCAUGCGACCCACAAGCAACUGCGCCAUGCAUGCUAUCACUGCUGGAGGUCAACUGAACUUUGCAACCCUUUGGAACAAACUCAGGAACCCAUAACAUAAACCCCAUGUUCAUAAACCAACAUCCUUGAAAUACAACUGCAGUAGAAAGAACAAGAGCUGCAGGAAAGCUGGUGGGAAAACUAGUUGCUGCCAAAGCUGCUACAAGGGAGACCAACACUAUGAGCUGCAACAGCCAAUGAUAGUGACCUUCAAGUCCAACAUGAUCAGUUGAAUGGAAAUGGAGCAAGAAAAGUUCUUGACCAAAAACAGAGGCUGCAAGGAUACCAGAAACCCCAGAUAGUCCCUCGAGUGAAUGAGUUAAUUCUGCAGAAAGGGUAAAACCAGCAAAUAUGGCAAGGUGAAGGAACAUGGAUGCAUGCUCAAAAUUGUCGAGCUCAAAAGAGAGGCGAAUGAAGGGAAAGUCUAGAACUUGCAUGAAAAUUGCAAAGAUAGAGAAAAACAAUAUGAAGAUGAGCUCCAAGUACUUGAGAUUGGGAAAAGGGCUGUUGAAUGGAUACCAGAACUUCACUGUGAAGUUAGUGGAGCCUUUGAGAGCAUAGGCUCUAAUGGUGUUUAUGGUGUGCCAUAAACCAAGAAGGGUGAGAGCUAAACCAGGAACUAAGUGUCCUACAAAUGUGCCCAUGGUUUUCCAGAGACCAGGGUUUGUUCUCCAUUGCAAUCCCUACUAAAAACUUAAAUACCUAAAGUGCUCGUAGAAACGUUAUGUGAGAGAAUGCUUAAAACAAAAAAGGUAUAGAUAUGGUUGUCUACUCAAACAUUGGUGUAUGCACCUAAAAGCAGCAGGACAUAUAUAGUUGUCCAUUCAAAUAUUUGGUGCAUGGUGCAUAUGUUUCCACAAACAACACUGCAAAAGAGGCACCCCUGUUGAUACAACCUUUCAAAAGUUUGAAGUUGAUGGAGUUCCCAAAAUUAUAGUGUGUCCUUAAGUGAAAAGAUGGGAGAACUUGUAUCCUGACUCAAAGAUCAUGGCAAUCAACCUAUAUUAAGAAUCCAAGUAGCUUCCUACAAGACCAUGAGUGAAUUCAAUUCUUUAAAAAUGUCCAGGUCCCACAAAUCAGUGCUAGAGGAUUCGAUUUAUUAGUUGAUAACCUUGCAUGGCCCAUUUUCUAGUAAUAGGCGGCAAAACCUCUUCAUGCAAGGUACAAAAGCCUUGACUCUUCAAGAUUGUGAGAGCCACACAUGACUAAUCUGAAUGUAGUGGAUGAUGAUAUGUUUCCAACAUAUUGAAGUGUGAUAAAUGAGAUGUUCCCACUUGUUCAAGAAAGCAAAAUCUCCACUAACUCUAUUCAAUAAAUCAAACAUAUAAUGAUGGUAAAGUUGCAAGAAUCUGAGUAUAUUACCCCAUCAUGGUCAAUGGUGGUGUAAGGAAAAUACAUGUUUGUGUGGAUUCAUCCAACUCCACUAGGGAAAAGUUGAGUUUACAGUAACCAUGGAAAAGAGCUUAGAAGUAUCAUACAGAUAAAGAGGUCCUGGUGAGAAGCUGAAAAACAACUUGUUUUUUGUGAGCAAAAAGACAUAGUAUCAUGCAAGUCUCUUCAUCAAGCUUCCUACUGGAAAAAAAAAAUUCCCUAAACCACAUUUAAAUGUUUAAACAUCUCAAGGAAAUGUAUGACUUAACAGAAAGUAUAAAGACUACAUUGAGCAAAAGGGCAAAGUAUGAUACCUAUCGCUAAAGUAUAGACCCUAUGACAUAUAUUAAUAACUUGUAUGUUCAAAUGCUACAGGAAACAAAAUGAGUGAUUCAAUUCACACAGAAUCUUAUGGAGCGUUUAAUGAUUGGGAGUUAGAUUUAGUGGAGCGUUUUUUGCAAAAGAUUUAAGCAAUUAAGGUACACAGGGAUGUGGAUGAUAGAUUGAUUUAGACAGCUUUGAGGUGUGGGAACUUUUUGGUCAAAUCUCUCUAUCUAGUUGGGAGCCCAAUGAUACUCCUUUAUUCCCUAGUGGUAGCAUCUAGAGAUCAUGCGCGCCACCUAAGGUGGCUUUCUUUGCCUGGGAGGCAUCUUGGGGGAAAGUUUUAACUUUGAACCAAAUUCCAAGGAGAGGGUACUAUUUGGAAAAUAAGUGUUUCCUUUGCCUCUUUGAAAUAGAGACAGGUUGAUCACCUUCUUCUUCAUUAUGCAAAGACUUGGGUUUUUUGGAAUCUAUUUUUUUUCCCUCAGUGGUGUGUCUUGGGUUCUCUUGUAUUUGGUGAAAGAAACUCUUCUUGGGUGGCAUGGUUCUUUCAUGGGUAAAGUUCGAAAAAAGCUUGGCAAGCAGCACAUUUAUGUAUAUUUUGGACAGUGUAAAAAGAAAUAAACUUGUUAGUGUUUGACAAUAAAGAGUUAUCAAUCCAAAGAUUGAAAAAAAUAUUUAUAUGUAAUUUGUGGUCUUGGUCUAAGGUUUCUAUAGAUAUGAGCCUAUUUUCUCUUGUUAACUUCAUUGAUUGGUUAGGCUCAAAUUAAGGGCAGGUGAUUUUUUUGCUUCUUUCCCUCCCCUCUAAGUUUGAGCCUUUAGGCUAUUUUUGUAUACUUCCUGUAUACUCUAAGAGCACUACUUUUGGUGUCUCAUCUUUACUAUAUAUACUACUUUUCUUUACUUAUAUAAAAAAAAAGAGUUCUAGCAUUACCAAUGGAGCCUCAUCCACUAUCUCAUUCCUCAAAUCACUAUGGUUGCCCAAAUCUCAACUUCAUUUGGUGUUAAUAGGUCUAUUAUAGGAUAGUUCCCUGUAUGGCCCCAGCCCUCUUUUUCUUUGUUAUGGGCGUGUGUGGAAAGCAUAUUGGUUUGAAGACAAAGAAAAGGAAAAUAGACAUCUAACUUAAUCUAAAAACGCAUCUAACCAUUAGGUAAAACUGAAUUCACAUUUGCUCUUUUGACUCACUUGAGAAAGGUUUAGACGUUUCAAUGAAUUUCUAGAACAUGGUCUUUUCUUUGUUAACUUUUCCUUCCAUCCAUAGAGUCUUCAGAUGACAUAAAUUCCAUGUAACGGUGUUUUAUCUUGUCAGAUUCUAUUUAUCGUUUUGAAUCUUGCCAGUGCUAUGCUAGUUGUUCAGUUUCUUUUCUUGCCUUCUGUACAGCAGCAAACACCAUUCCUUCCUUUCCAGCCCCCUCUUUCUUUUUGUGAAGCACUUGAUAAAUUUCCAUUUGUCUAUUAAGAGCCAGUUCUCAACUUGGUUAGGCUUUAAUUUCUAAUUACAUGCUUGGCCUAAAUCUCAACGAAUAUAAAUAUCUUACAGCUAAUUUAUAGAUUAACCAUGUAGUUUCACAAGUUAAAGUGCAAUGGUACAGAUAGACAAACCAGCAGGUCAUGUAUUGCCCUUUUGCUUAUUUGCAAUGACUUGGAAAAUUUACCAACAAAAAUUAUAUUCUUUUAAUUUUGAAACAUUGGGGAUAUUUUUACUCUGAUUCUCAUUUUUUUUAGUUCUACGAUGAAAAGUCCUACCCCCUCCCUAUACGCAAAGCAGAGAGUAAAAUGAUUUGUGGUAUUACAUGGUCCGAACCCAUCUGUCUAAACAUAUUCAUAAUUACUAAAUAGUCUGGAAAUAACAAAAUCAUCUGUGAUACUUCAGUGUUUAGUAGUGUAGUUAGUGACAAUGUUCAAUAUCAUCCAAAACUAUGUGAGAACGCAAGAACAAUCAUUCAAACAACAAUAUAUGAUCCUGACAGUGUUCAUUUAUCACACAGUACUGGCACCAAGGAAGCCAAGGCGAAAGCUCCCUUCAGAUUGGCAAAUCUACUACAGAACUCCUUGAGUUCUUUCCUACUCCGCCCUCUUCUGCAAGACGGAAAAGGGUUUUUGGCUAAGUAUGGUGUCCCAAAGAUGAAAACUCAAAAAAGUUGCAAAUACAAGCAAGGCAUAAAUCUUCAGAGCUUUGAAAGCAUACUGCUUGUUUCCUUCCUUUGUUUUCAUGAUUCUACUCUAAAAUCAGUGAUCUUAUAAGGGUGAAGGUGGGUUUAGUUGCUGCUGAGCCCAUCCAGCCAAAAUUUGAGAACAGAAUGCAGCAAACUAAGAAAAUAAAAUGAAGUUGGUGGGGUGAUGGUGCCUUAGAGAAUAAACCACACUUGGUGAAUUGGAGUUUGGUUUGUGCUGAUAUGAGACAAGGAAGCUUAGGUAUUCACAGCCUUCUGACCCUAAACAAAGCCUUACUUGGGAAGUGGAGUUGGAGAUUUGCUGUAGAGAGGGAUUCUUUGUGGAAACAAGUCAUCAUAGACAAAUUUGGGGUAGAGGAAGGAGGUUGAUAUUCAAGAGAAGCGAGGGGAGCGAGGGGAGCCUAUAGUGUGGGAGUGUGGAAAACUAUUAGAAAAGAUCGGGAAAGUAUUCGCUCUAGAUCCCACUUUAUCGUAGGGAAUGGGAGGAAGGUCAAAUUUUAGAAGGAUUUAUGGUGUGAGGACCAAACGUUGAAAGAUGUUUUCCUUAAUUUGUUUCAAUUGGCGAUCAACAAGGAUGAGUGGGUGUUUGAUGCUUGGGAGGAGAGCGAGGAGGUGGAUAGCUAGAAUCCUCUGUUUUCAAGACACUUUAAUGAUUGGGAAAUUGAAGAGGUAGAGGGCUUGUUUCGGAAAUUACAUCCUUUGGUUUUGAAUAGAGAUGUGGAAGAUGUCUUGAGCUGGAAGAAUAGCAAGAACGGCUCCUUUUCUGUUAGAUCACUCUACCGCUCCUUCACAAGAGCCUCUAGUGAUCCUUUUCCUUGGAGUAUUAUUUGGAGGUCUUGGGCUCCAAUCAGGGUAAGCUUUUUUGCUUGGGAAUUAUCUUGGAACUGAAUCUUGACCAUUGAUCAGCUCAAAAGAAGGGGUUGGAAUAUGCGGAAUAGGUGUUACUUGUGUAAAGUGGAAGAGGAAACCAGUGACCACUUGAUCCUAUUUUGUAAGAAGACUACAAUGCUAUGGAGCUUGCUUUUCUCUUUAUUUGAUGUGCAAUAGGUCCUGCACUCCUCAAUCAAAAGGAAUUUGAUUGGUUGGCAUGGUGCUUUUGUGAGUAAGAGAAAGAAAAAGGCUUGGAGGGUUGCCUCCCUUUGUUUAAUGUGGACCUUAUGGAAGGAAAGAAAAGAGAGAGUGUUCAAUGACAUGGAACGAUUCGACCAAGCUUUAAAACUCUCUUUUUUGUACACUUUUGUGAAUUGGGGUAGGGUGUAUUUAGAGGAUCAUUAUUUGUCCAUGAUUGAUUUUAUAGAGUGGCUUUUGCCUAAUUAGGUGAAAGGUUUUCGUCUUUCUUUUUGCCUAACUCUUGGGCGUUGUUUGUAUACGUCGUAUGUACUUUUUUCGCUGCUUCUAGGCUUUACUAAUACAAACUCUUAUUUACCUAUCAAAAAAAUAAAAGAAGUCAGGAUCACAGUUACAGACCAAGCCAAGGAGCAGUCUGAGGAUACUAAAACUAUCAGUUCAAAUAUCCCCAUUCAGUUCUAUCUCACUCAGAGCAGGCUGUGGAUGUAAAAACAUCAGUUCGAAUAUCCACAGGCCCCUCAGUAAGAAUAGUUGCAAAAGAAUUGCAGAAACAAAAUCAUCAACAGGACAAGACGCCAGCAUGCUUUUGUAGACACACCGAGUCUAAAUAGAAACCUCCCUCACAAAUCAGAUCAUUUGCAGUUUGAUAUCGACACUGGCUGACUUAUCCUACCGAGAACAACAAAUUUUGAGAGAGGAGAUAUACUAACCAUUCAAAGGGUCAACUUCAUUCUGGAGCAAACUUAAUAAAAGAACAGAUAAAAUUUGGCAGCAGGACACACUCAAACAAUAUCCUGACGAAAACCACAGUAAAUACUAGGAUUAGAUCCACAGCUAUCUGAGAAUGCUCUAAUUCUAGCAACAACAAACCAUGUCAAGAGAGAAUUUUUUGGCAACCUGACAAUGAUUCCAAACUCUCAGCCAACGAGACAAAUAAUGGAAAUGAAUUGAAGACCACGAGAAUAGGUAAAACCAGUUUAUAAUUUCAGGUGAUAGAAGCAAUAACUGGAAACAUACAUACUUCCACUACACUAGGUGAUAGGUUUUUAGUUGUUAUUCUUAAUAUUUUGUGAAAAGAUGUCACAAAAUUAACCCACUAACUACAAGAACAGAGGAAGAUUGUUUUUCCUCAAGCAAAUGAAAAACAGCAACCUUUAUGCAAUUGUGAUAAGGUGUCUCCAAGAUUAUCAGUUUGCUAGAAUCCUAAGCAUAAUUUCAUAAACAAAAAACAAAAACAGUUUCCCAGGUGUGCUCAUCCAAAGCUUUCCUGAUCCCUGCUCCAAAAGAAAUUUGGUACAUUUUUGCCCUCUAUGAGAACUUGUUUUUUUGCUUAGGAGGCUGUGCGGUGAGGAAUCAGCAAACCACAUCCUUAUCCAUUAUAAAAGAACCAGAUAGAGGCGGGACAUGCUAGCAAUAUUUCAGCAGCAGUGGGUGUUUCCAGAUCCUGUUAAAGAGCUCUCCAUUUGGGUUGGAAGGUGAAAAGCAUGGACAAGAGACACAGGGGAGUUUAGAGUAUGGCUCAGCCCUCUUUGCUUGCUUUGGUGUCUGUGGCAUGAAAGAAACAGAAGGAUCUUGAAUGGGAAGAGCUCCAUGACCAAAAGCUGAUAGAGACUCUAAUUAAGACUCUUGUGGAAUGGUCUAGAGUCCUAUUAGAGAGGGAACGUGGUUCUUUGUUGGAUUUUAUUGAUAAAUUGAUCCAUGGAUAGUGAGUUUUGGUUGUUUUUGUCUUGGUCCCACUUCUUUUCUACCUUGGUGGGACCUCUUUUAUAUCCCUUGCGUACAUAGGGUGCACCCCUUUUUAUUUUUUUGGCACUAUUUAAUACAUUUUUUUGUUUGCCUAUAAAAAAUAAAUACAAUCCGUACAACUCCUACAAACCCAAGUUUGCCACAAAAUCACAAACAAUUUACAACUAGCAAAUGCACUUGAAAGCUCUUUCCUAACCUGUAAAGGUUUCAGUUUGUCAAACAUCAUUCUUGUCUAUGUCAAUAAUGGCAAAGCACAAUAGUUCCUAAAUUGAUGUCCAAUGGACUUACCAUCUUAUAUAGAUGAGACUCUCUAUAUCCCCCACCCCCCCACCCCUUUUUUUUAGCUCAACAAAUUAAUAAAGUCUAUCAUGGACAAUGAGUAAUCCCCUAUUUACACUCUAAUCUACACCAAAAAAAAUUAUACAUAAUUCAUUGCUUGAUUGUUUGAUCCGCUUUUUGGUUUUUCAAACAUUCAAUUGUACUUCAAAGAUAUCAUAACUUAACUACCAUAGCAUGACUGGUUUGGAACAAUGAGGGAGGAUGUAAUCCAUCCUGUCCUUUUUUCGUCACAUAGGUGGCAUCUAUUUGGCAUCCUCCAACCCCUUCCUUUGUACUAAUCCAACUUCAAUAUUCUACUCCAUGUCGCUUUCCAAGUAAACAAACUUACCCUCAUUGAAACCCACAAAUUCCAAACAAUAUAGAAGGGGAACACCUCCAUUCUUUCAUUUGAUAAGGAGGAAUUUUUAUAUUUUAACUAUGAAUUUACCACGCUUAAAAUUCAACCAAAUCAUAGUACCCUCUAUAUCCCUACUGAGCAUCUACACUAGCAAUCUCCUAAGAAAAACCCCACCUCUCUGAACUCCCAAUCAUGAAUGUAUCUUGUGAACUUACUGUUCCAACAACCUCCCCUCCCUCCCUCCCCAUUUUGCUCCCACAACUCGGCUACCCAUGCAUCUUUGACGGUGGCUAUUAAGAACAAUGUAGGAAAUGCCUCUCCUAAGGGUUCAUCACUGUACCACCUAUCUUUGCAAAAUUUCACUCUUCGACUAUUUCCCAACCUAAAUCCAAUUUCACUGUUAAACCACUCCCUCCCACUCCUAAAUACCCUUGCCCCAAUCCUUUAGAGCAUCAUACCCCUCUUCCUCCCCAUACUUCCCUGCACCUGCUUCUAAAGAUAUUCAUUCUCAAUUGUGAAUCUCCAACACCAUUUAUCAAGAAGAGCCUUGUUUAGAAAUUUAGGACUUCCUAUAUCACAGUCAAUUGAAAGCUUUUUAUGAAAAAAAUGAUAUCUUGCAACUGAUAUCCAUCACGAAAAGGGGCAGUAUGUCAAGCCCCCAUUUUUAUCCACCAAAAUCAUAAUCUAGUGUAUCCCAUAAACAGACAGCUUUCUUCAGUCCUUCCUUAGUAUCUCAUCCCCAAAUACUUUUUCUAUUUGCCACACUAAUUGGGUGGAAUCCCUUGUGCUAGAGUUCAUCCCUUUUGGUGCUUUAAUAUGCAUCAUUUACUACUUACCCAUCUCCCCCACCCCACAAAAAGAAUUCUCCCCCUACACCCCAAAAAAAAAAAAAAUCCCUCCCCACACCAAAAAUAGAAAAAAGAAAUAAAUUAUCUUCCCACACUCUCUGCUCUAUAUCUACAUCUUUCUACUUCUUGAUUACCUCCAUGCAUUUUGUUCAACUUCUCAAAACUCCCAGGAUCAUUCUUCAGCUUCUUUUAAAGAUAUAGGAUGAGGUUAGGGUGCAAAACUAUUGAAUGUGCUUGCAUUUCUAGAUACUUAAAGAUAUUUAAAAUAUACUUAAUAGUUUUAAGAACAAACCUACCUACAAAAGGUCCGACUCUCCCACUCAAAUCAACCAACCCCUGCAAUUUUGCUGAAAAUUCCGUUUCUCUCUGAAACUCUCCCGUAACCGCCAGAAAAACUCCCUUCUCAUAUUUUUUUUAAAAUGUUGUAAAAUAUAAUUGCUCUAGGUAUGAUCAAAGAUUGAUUAACUUGAAAAAACAAAAAAAAAACAAAAAAAACCCAAGGCAACAUCACAAAAGAACACUCAGAGAUUUAUCAGAGGCUUUUCCGUAUAAGGACAGUGACCAGCCAAUCAAACAUCGCAACUACCAUAAAUAGUUGAAUUCCGACUAAUUCACCUCUUAAUUCCACAAAAUUGCGGCGAUUACAAGCCGAUUAAACAAAGCAAAGACAGUCGCAUAACCCCUCAAACCAAAAUCUAAUGCGAUUCGCAUAAUUCCUCAAAACCACAAUUUAAGAUGAUUAAAAAAAACCCUCAAAAAAUAUAACUCAUCAAAACGAUAUACAUAGAUAUAAAUCGGCACCAGAAUUCUUAGGCAACAGCAACCGGCUGCUGUUUCGAAGGCUCGAGACCCUUCUUCGUAUUGGGAUCCGAACCGCCAGCGAAGUCUUCCAUGUUGUAGAUGACGGUGAUGAAGAGAGAACAGCUAGGGCAACGAGCGAUCUCUUCGCCCAUUCUGAGCUCAUCCUUGGUAAUCUGAAAGAGGUCUCCGCACGGGCAUGGGUAGGUGAAGGCUUGAAGCUCCUCGUUCCACUCCAUGUCUUCGAUCUCCACAUCGUCGUACGACAUCGUUUUGAAAUUGCCUGGGGUUACAGGCGAUUCGCGCUAGAGAACUUCAGGUUUUUGGGCGUCUGCGUUAGGGUUUUCUUCAAGGAGAACCAGUUAGGGUUUAUUUGUUGAGAAUGGCGACUGUUGAUAAAAUCACGAAGUUUGAUUUUGAUUUCAAUUAGGAAAAAACUGGGAUUCGUGGGAAUAAAAAUUCAGAAUUCUAAUAGCCACCGCUCAAAAUCAUAUCAUAAGUAGUUAUUUUUGGGAAGAAUAACUUUAUUUUUAUUUUUAUUUUUAUUUUAUUUAUUUAUUUAUUUGAUAAAAAAAAAUAGCUUUUAUCAAAUUUUUUAUCCUCAAAUUCACCUUCAAAUAGUGAAAAUAUUAAUUGAGUUCAUAUUUAAAACUUUUAAUAAAAAUAAUAUUAUUUUUUUAAAUAUGAGACAAAAAUUUGUUAGACUAUUUAAUAUAGAUUUGGUUCGGAAUAAUUCGAAGGAAAAGAAAAUUUUAAAUUUUAAAAAAAAUUAUAUAAUAAUUUCAAGUUUUCUAUGUAAAGGUUAAAUAAUUUAAAUUAAAAAAACACUUAAUUUUUCGUCUAAAUAUGUUUUUUCAUCUCAAUAUACCAUGAAUUUUUUUAAAUAUAAUACAUCAUUUUAAAAUGCUAAAGGAACUUAUUCAAUAUUAUUUUGUUAGGCUAUGUUUGAUUGGAAAAUUUUUGAUGGAAAAUGCAAGGGGAAGAAAUUAAAGAGAAAAGAUAAAAGGAAAGAAAAUAAUAAAAAUAAAUUUAAAAUUAAUAAAUUAUUUUUAUAUAUUAUUUAAAACUUAUUUUACUUAUUUUAAUUAUUCUUUAUAAAAAUUAAAUAAUUUAAGUUUAAAAAUACAUCAUUUUGUAACUAAUUUUAAUUAUAUUUAUAUUUUUACAUUUUUCAUAAUACAACCAAAUAUAAAAAAUAAAUCAUUUUCUUUAAUAUUUUCAACACCUACUUUCAAACUCUUUUCUUCAAAUGAAUUUGAAAUUCUCUCCAAUUUCUUUGAUUUAGGGCAAGUUUGGGAAGUGUCUCCUAGAAUUAUAUUUUGUUCUCUAUAAUAAAAAAACACUAAUAAGCGUAUUUGGUGAUCAAGUGUCUUUUUGUUUUUCGUAUUUUAAAGUGCCUCCACUCUUUGUCUAUAUUGUGAACAUCUCAACCACUAACAAAUUCACUGUAAAGAAAAACAACUAAGUGUCUCGUUUUUAUUACUGUUAAAUUAGAAUAAUACAACUAAAAUAGAGAAAAAUCUUUGAAAAAAAAUGAGAGAAGUGCCUAGAAAAAAUAGAAAAAUCUUUAUAAAAAAAUUGAAAAAAAAUCAAGGAUUCUCUUAAAAGGAAAAACUUUCAAGACCAAUGAAAUGAAAAUGAAGAAGGAAAUCCAAAUGAUCAAUGAAUCGAACACAAUUCCUUAGUUCCAAAGGUGUCACUAUAGUGAGAGACAUUUGAUUCCUAACAUUCGAUCCCUCUCAUUUGUUAAGGAUCAAUUCAUUUUGUGAAACCAAAGUUUGGUUAAUCAUGAUUUUGAUGAUAACAAAACAAAGUUUAGAACUAAUGAUCAUAUUUCAAGUGUGAUUAGGCAAGACAACUUCCAAAGUGGCAAUCCAAAGACAAAUCAAGCCAAGGAGAAAUCAUGAAGAAGAAGAUCACCUCAAAGAGAAAAGUUUUUUAAGACCAAAGCUUCUUAGGAUCUCUUUAUAAGGUUGUUGGUGCACUAAGACUUUCAUGCAUUUCAUUCUUUAUUUAUGCACCAAAAUCAUCUAAGAGUAAUAUUGUUUUAAAUAUCUUAAGAAUUGGAUGAUUUCAUGUUUUCAACUAAAACCUUGUGUUAAAUGAUUUUCAAACUUGUGUUAAAAAGUUUUAAGUUGAAAAAGGUUAAGUGUUGAGCCAAAAAAAUGGCUCAACCAGUCAACCGGUUGUGCUCGUCCGGUCGAGGACCGGUUGAGGGAGGCCAAAAACUUUCUCUCUCUCCCAAUGGCCUUCUCUUCCCGGUCAAGAUUGAACCUCAACCGAUUGAGGUCCAGUUGAGGUCCGAUUGAGAUCCGGUUGAGGCCCAACGGUCACUUUUCCUAACGGCUAGUCAACCGGUAGACCCCUAUCUCGACCGGUCGAACCCCCAAUGGCUAGUAUGACUUUUUUCUUCUAUAAAAAGACUCCAAACUUCAUUGUUUAAUAAGCAAAACCUUCCCAAAUCAUUCUUGAUUAUAUUUGAACCUUGGAAGAGUAUUUUUGAGUGCACCAUUAUUCCAAAACUUGCAUAUCUUUAGUGCAUCAUUCAAUCCUAGUUUCUCUUGUAUCAUUUAAGCUUAAAGUUCUAUUACUAGGAUUUUUGUGAGAUCAAUCUUUGUAUAUCUUUGAGAGGAAUUUUCUCAAGUGAGGGGUAUCACUUGAGAGGUUGUUCAAGAGUGGGCUAAUUCUUGAGAAGUGUAAAGGGUGCUUGGAGCCAAAAGUCCAAGAGGGUGAAUUGAAACCAUAAUCCAAUUGUAAAGAGAUUGGAAGCUUGGUUGAAGCUUCAAGAUAGUGGAACCCUCACUCGAUUAGGAGGUUGAGAAGAGUGGACGUAGGCAAGGAAGUGCCGAACCACUAUAAACUCUCGUGUUUGCACUCUCUCUUCCCUAACUCUUUUAAAUUAUAUGCAAUUGUGUUUAUUUUGUUUAUUAUAUAUUUGCAUACACUUGUCUCUUAUUUUUGCAUGGUNNNNNNNNNNNNNNNNNNNNNNNNNNNNNNNNNNNNNNNNNNNNNNNNNNNNNNNNNNNNNNNNNNNNNNNNNNNNNNNNNNNNNNNNNNNNNNNNNNNNAAAUUUUUUUUAUUAGAUUUUUGGGGGGACCAAUUUUUUUUUUUUUUGGGGGGGAAUUUUCUAAAGGGGGGGGUUUCCCUGGGGGGGUUUUUCAAGGGGGGGUAAUUUUUUGAAAAGUGAAAGGGGGGUUGGGGCCCAAAAUCCCAAGGGGGGAAAUGAAACCCUUAUCCCAUUUUAAAAGGGUUGGGAGGUUGGGUGAAAGUUCCAAAAUGGGGGACCCCCCCCUCGUUUGGGGGGUUGAAAAGGGGGGACUUGGCCAAGAAAGGCCCAACCCCCUAAAAACUUUGGGUUUGCCCCUCUUUUUCCCCAAAUUUUUUAAAAUUAUAGCAAAUGGUUUUUUUUUUUUUUUUUAUAUUUUGCCAAAAAAUUUUUUUUUUUUUUGCCAGGGUUAAAAUUGGGAAAAAAGGGCCCCCCCCCUUUUUUUCCCCCCCCCCCCCCCCCCCUCCCCCCACUCUAGGGUGAUUACGAUAGUUUGGAUUAGCCUCAAAUUCCUAACACAUUUUACUCUCUCAUUUCUCUCUUUGCAUUUAUAUGUGUAAUAUGAAUAUCAAAUUACAUCAUACAAUGUAUUAUUUAUAUGGCAAUGGUAAGUGAGAAAAUAAAGGUUAUGCUUAAUUAGGAAAAACACCCAAAAAGGGGGGUGAAUUGGGUUUUUUAAAAACUUUUCAAAUACAACAAGUUCAAGCACAAUAUAAAUAAAAAUAAAGAGAUAGAGUUAGAGAAUUCAAACUCGGGUUUUAUAGUGGUUUGACACUUCCUUGCCUACAUCCACUCUCAUCAAUCUCUUAACCGAGUGAGGGUUCCACUAACUUGAAGCUUCAACCAAGCUUCCAAUCUUCUUAUACUUGGAUUUCGGCUCCAAUGGGUUCUUACACAAUCUCUUUAAGAUUCAAACAUCUUGAAGGCUUUAACACUCAGUUUUUACAAAAAUGAAUCCUUCAACCUAACUUAAUGAUAGCUCAAAUAUAAAACAAAGCUAGGAUGACACACAAGAGUGCACUAAAGGAUAUGCAAGUGAUGAUUUAAUGCACUAAGAAAGAAAUGAGAGUUUUUUGGUCAAGAAUAGGUAGGUAGACAAUUGAUUGCAAGUAUUCUCUUAUUCAUAAAUAAAGGGGAGAUCUCAAUUUAUAGGUUUCUAAGCUCGGAAACCAAAAACAGCAAAAGGGAGCCUCGACUGGUCAAGGUAGGGGUCGACCGGUUCACUAGCCGUUAGAGCAUUUAAUGUUUGGCAGGUUACCGUUGUCUCGAUCGAACAUCGACCGGAGGUCGACCGGGAAGGGGUGAACCUCAACCGGGAAGAGGAAGCUAUUGGAUGAGAGAGAGUGUUUUUGGCACUCCUCAACCGGAUCUCGACUGGACAAGGGCAACCGGUCAACCAGUUCUCCAACCGGUUGAGCCGGUUGGCCAAAGCCUCGACCGGUUGAGCCAAUUGGCCAGAGUCUCAUCGAUUCAGCUUUUUGGCUCCGAAAAUCUAUCUUUUUCAAUUCUUUUCUUUUCUAACACUUAGACAAGGUCUUUAAGUGAAAUAAUAUGUCAAUUUUAAAACGUCUUUCCUAAAGUACAUUUGCUAAAACUCGAGUUUUAAUGAAAUCGAAGUUUUAAAGGAUAAACCGAGUUUUCUAAGAUGCAUGAAACGGUAUGAAAUCUUAAGUGCACCUAUGCAUUCAUUUUACAUUCAUUUCAUAUGAUCAAAAGUCUUCCUAAAGUCUCGAUCUUUUAUCCAUUUGGUCAUUUGAUGAAUUUUCGAAUUUAUACCUGAGAUUCUUUACCAUUUAAAACAAUUGGUCAUUUAACAUAGUUUGUUAUCAUCAAAACCUGAUUAGGAGAACUCUUGGGCUAAAAGUAAGGUAUCACAUAAAUUCCAAAUGGUGUUGUAUGACUUGAAUAUAUUUGGUAAUAUAUUAUUUUAUAUGGUAAUGAUGUAUUAUUUUAUAAAAUAACGUGGAUUUAAUGAUAUGACCUAGAUUUAAUAAUAUGAUAUAAAUUUAAUAAUUUAAACUUAUUUAAUUGUAAUUAUUUUUUUAAAUAAUUUUUUGAACUUUCCAAUUAUCAUAUUUUUGCGUUUCACUCUAUACAAGUCAAGAAAUGGAAAUCGAUGUAUCUCAAAACCCUACGAGCGAACGUGAAGAUCGUGACUUUGAAUAAUGUGUUACACUUUGAGAAUGUCCAAUCAACACAUCUCUAUCAAGGCAUCUAAUAUACCUUUUAAUGUAUUUCCAUCAUUUAUGAUUAUCUAAAAAUUUUUGAAAACAAUGCAAAUAAUUUGAAAAUUUGAUACAAUUGUUUUAAAUUUUAAUAAGUCUAACUCUAAAAUUAUUUAUAUUUAUAAAAUCAAGUUAGUUGAAGAAAAUACUUUAAAAAAAAAAAAAAAAAACAACUUCCAAACAAGUUUUUUGUUUUACUUAUUUUAUAAACUUGGUUUUAUUAACCCCACAAAACUUUUUUUUAAAUAAAAAACUAUUUUUUAGAAUUUAGUAUCCAAGCACAAUUUUUUUUCUAAAAACAUUAAAAAUAUUUUUAAAAGUUGUUCUCAAAAAUUGGUAUUCAAAACUAUCAUUGAAAACAUUUCCCAAACAUAACUUAAGUUCCAAAAUCAAACUUUCUCCUACACCUAAAUGACCACUUUUAUCUACUUAUGCUCAAACUUCAUCUUAUCAAAGUUAAUAUAAUAGAAAAAGAUUUCGGUCUAAUUAGUCAUUCACCUCCUCUACAAGACUUGCAAUUUUAAAAAACAAAUUUUAAACAAGUUUUUUUUUUUUUACUUAUUUUAUAAAACUUUUUUUAUUAACUUAACCAAACAUUUUUUUAUUUUUUAUUUUUUAGAAUAGAAAAUUGAAUGCAAUAUCUAAACAAAAUUUUAUUUUUCAAAAACACUAAAAAAUAUUUUUAAAAACCAUCUUCAAAAAUUGUUUUUCAAAACUAUUAUUAAACACACUUCAAACAUACUCGUGUUGGAAAAUGGGUCAAUACAUUGAAUGGAUGAAUGGGUUUAACCCUUUUCAGAAACCUACAAGCCUCAAGAAACCAAAACGCUUCUUGAAGUUGAACAAUCUAUUUGCCCCGUUUUCGAAGCAUAUAUAAAAAGAGAUUCUGACUCUCUUUCAAAGACUGGUUCCUGAAUUCUUACGUUAAAAUCAUGAAGAACCUUCCUUCCAUUGUGAUACAGAGUUAGUUCAGUUUGUAGGAAGUGACUGUAAAGUGUUGUUAUUGCCACUUGAAGACCAUUUUAUAUUGGGAGACAAAUGUUUUACAAUUCUCAAAGCACCAAUGGAUAAGAUGAAUAUGUUUUAAGGAAAUUAUGAUUUCACAAUACUAGGUUUUGCCACUUCUUCCAUUCCCUGUUCAUUUAUUUAUUUAUUAUUAUUUUGUAUUUUCUUCUUCUUUUUUUUCUUUUCUAACAAAUUAACCAGGUUUGGCUUACAACUUAUAAGUCCCAAAAUUAAACUUUCUCUUAAGCCAAAUCACCACUUAUUUGUACUUAUGCUCAAGCUCUUCAAAAUUCAUCAUUUCAAAGUCAAUAUAUAUAAAAAAAAAAGACUUUGGUGGUGUUUGUUUUUUUACUUAAUUCUAAAUAGAACCUUAAUGUUUAAUAGUAUUAAAUAUUAGGUUGUUUAUUUUUGUAGUAUUUUAUUUAUAUUAAGUAUUAGAAAGUAAAAAAAAAAAAACCAAUAUAUUAUUUUUUAUAUUUAGAAAAAGUUACAUAUUUUGACUUUUUCUAUUUAGUAAAAAGUUUAUAAUAAGUCAUAAAAAAGUAGAAAAAAACAACUUAAAUUCUGAAAAUAAAGUGCUUUCAAUAAAAAGCCAAAAAAACAAGCACCACCUUUGUCCUAAUUAUUAGUCAAUCACCUCCUCUACAAAACUUACAAUUGAAUUCAUAUAAGCAACCUAACAUGUCUAAAAUCCAUGAGAAAUUAUUCAAUUUUUUUCCAAAAUCCUUAGUAGACAAUAGCUAAAAAUUUUAUGAAAAUGUUUUAGUAUACAUGAGAUUUAUUAAACCCAAACACAAACUAGAUGGAAAAUAUACCUUCCAAAGUCUUGAAUCCAUUUUUUUUUUUUACUUUCAAAGGGUUUACUCGAAAUUGACAUAGAAAACAUGGAUGUCUAGUAUAACAUUUUUCAAAUUAGAAAGGUUUUUGUCAUUCUUUGAUUUUUUCCAUUAUCUCGGUAAUUUCAAAAAUCUUAUUUUCUAAAUUGGUUUUUGGGGCUGUCAAGAAGAAUUGUUUGACAACAUUUGACUCUUUCAAAUAGACAUCAAAACUGCCCUCUAACAUUCAAAAUCAAUGUCGUUUAUGGCCCAAUCUACAAUAUCUUCUCGUUGCUUCUCAUCUUUUCACGGAAUUUAAGAUCAAUUGGUGGAAAACAUAUGAUAAAAUUGAUCAUAGUCAUAUUUAAUGAAGUUCAAAAUUUGCUUGCUCUACUAUCAAGACUUACUUUAUUGUCUCUUAUUCUUUUGUGUUUCUUUCACCAUAAUCUUCAUGUUUCUUUAUGUUCUCCCUUUGUAUUUCUUUUUCUAUGUACUGUUUGUAUUACAAACUUCCCAUUUCACAUCCAUGAGAAGAUAAAGUCCCCAUCAACCCUAAUAUUAAUGCCAUCUUUAUAUUAUUUGUAUUAUUUGACGUUAAUUAUUAUGAUUCUCGUUACUGAUAAUGACAUAUUUCAUACUCAAAUCAAAGAUUGGAUAUCUUUAUUUCCCGAUAAGUAAUACAUAAUCUUCGUGCAAAUGUAAUGAAAUUUUUUUUUCCUUCAUUCCACUUAUGUGUAUUAUCAAAAACUUUGUUUAAAUAAAAAUGGAGCAUUUGCAGAUCAAAAUUUUUUAAAGAUGUUAUAAAAUUUGGAUUUGAAGAUUACUAUAACUUAUCUUUCAAUAUAAUUUAUAUAUACUUUGUUACUAUUGAAGAAUAGGUAAGAAAAAAUUUGAUAGUAUGUCAUUUCUAUAGGAUUUUGAAUGUAUAUAUAUAUAUUUUAAAAUUUUUAUAAAAAAAAGAUAAAAUUAGGGUUACAACUUGGGGGUUGGUUUGGCCCAACUUUGGCCUAACCCAAAUCCAACUCAAUGUGUUAGACAAGAUUGAAUAAUAAUUUUCAAUACUUAGAUUGGGUUUAAGUUAGGGUUAGGUUUUUUCAAUUGAAACUCAAUUUAUGUUGGACUUAGACUAAUGUUCAAACAAUCAAAGUCUAACUACAACUUGAUUUAGAGUUCGAGUUUUUUCAAUCAAAACUCAAUUUAUGUUGGACUUAGACUAAUGUUUAAACAAUCAAAGUCUAACCACAACCUGAUUUAGAGUGCAUUUGAGAGUGAUUUUAGAAAAUAUUUUUAACAUUUCUUUAUUAUUUAAGUGUUAGAAAUAUUAAAAAUAUUUUUUUAGAAACAUUAUCAAACGAGUUUUUAUAAUGCGUUUUGGAGUGAUUAUAGAAAAUGUUUUAUAUAAUUUAUAACACUUAAAUGAUAAAAAACUUCAAGCGUUAGAAAAAUUAAAAGUGUUUUCUAAAAUCAUUAUCAAACAAAUUCUUAAUGUUUUUAUAAUGCAUAUUAUGUUAUAAAAUAAUACAUAUAUAUAUUUUAAUUUUUAAGGAAAAUUGUCAAAAUAUAUUAUAUUAUAUACUUUUCCAUUUUUUUAGAAGAUAUAUGAAUUUAUUUUCACUUUUUGUUGCUAUUUUAAAAUUUUUCUUAUUUGUUAUUUAAAUAUAUAUAAAAAGUUUUCUUCAAUAUUAAAAAAAGGAAAAUUGUUUAUGAUUAAAAAAAAAAAAAAAAAAGGGAGCGGGGGGGAGAGAGAGAGAGGAAGGAAAGGCCACGGACAUGUAACAUUGAAGAAAUCAUGAAUCAGUUAGGCCCUAUUGCAGAAAACAAGGAUGCAGAAAGGAAUAGAAUAGAAAUGGGGUUAUGUGAAAAAGAAGAAGAAGGAUAGAGAGAUAUGCAUGAUGAUGCAGGGACUCCAUCACCAGCAACAACAGUUAGCAGCCCUCAUCGCCGUUGCUCUUCCCAAAGACGACGCCGCUUCCUCUUCCUCCUCUUCUCCUUCCCCAUCCGAAGACGACGUCUCCUCUCGCCUUGCCGCCAUUAACUCACUCCACCGUGGCAUUCUCUACCCUCCCAACUCUGUCCUCGUCACUCACUCUGCUUCUUUCCUUUCCCAGGGCUUCUCUCAGCUCCUCUCCGACAAGUAAGCCCUCUCUCUCUCUGUGGAACUGGAAUUUGAGUUUGAUUGCUUGAUUUUAGAUUUAUGUUUGUUGCUUGUUGGGUUGCUGGGAAAGGACAUGGAAGUGAAAUUUUGUGGUUUGGGGUAUUUUUUGUUUGGGGGCCUGAGUAAACUUAGCAUUCAAGCAACUGGGUCUGGUAGAAUUAUUUGCAUUAGUUGAGUUGAUGUCUUUUGUUAUUUUCGUUUCAUUGGGGCCAAAGCAGCAUAAUAUAUCAGAUUUGAAAUUAUAUAUAUAUUUUCCUUAGGUUUUCCAGUUGGUAAAUGGAAUUAAGAUUUAAUAAUUUGUUGUUUUGAGCGGUUGUUCGUUAUAAUGGUAGAAUUAGGAGAGUAUUGGGUUAUUUUUAUUUUUAUUUCAUUUUUUUUUGUCAUUUGUUGGGGCUUUUGAUUCAGAAAGAAUCUUCAUAGUACUAUCUCUGUUUGAGUGAUUUAUGUGAAGAUUAAAUGUAACUUUUCAAGUAACUGCGGCUCAGAUCCUACUCGGUGCGGCAGGCAGCAGCCACAGCAUAUGGGGCUUUGUGUUCUGUUAUGUGCUCAAUCUCUUUAGCAUCAAAUGGAAGGCAAAAUCAUGUUCUACUUAGUAGUUUAGUUGAUCGGUUCAUUAGUUGGGCAUUGCCAUUGCUUAGCAAUGGGAAUGCUGGAGAUGGCACGACAGAGCUGGCACUGGAAGGCCUCCGUGAGUUUCUUAACAUUGGGGAUGUGGGGGGGAUUGAAAGAUAUGCCUUGCCAAUACUCAAAGCGUGCCAAGAACUUCUUGAGGAUGAGAGAACCUCCUUGAAUUUAUUGCACCAGCUUCUGGGUGUGUUAACUUUGAUCUCAUUGAAGUUUGUUAGAUGCUUUCAACCCCAUUUUGUUGACAUCGUAGAUUUGCUUCUUGGGUGGGCUUUGGUUCCAGACCUUGCUGACACAGAUAGAUGUGUCAUUAUGGACAGUUUUUUGCAGUUUCAGAAACACUGGGUGGGCAAUCUGCAGUUCUCACUGGGAUUGCUGUCCAAAUUCUUGGGUGACAUGGAUGUCUUGCUUCAGGAUGGGAGUCCUGGAACCCCAAAACAGUUUCGUAGGCUGCUUGCGCUGCUUUCUUGUUUUUCUACUGUUUUGCAGUCCACUGCUUCUGGAAUGCUAGAAAUGAACCUACUGGAACAAAUAAGUGAACCCCUUACCACCAUGCUUCCUCAGUUGCUGUGGUGUUUAUCAAUGGUGGGAAGGAAAUUUGGAUGGUCAAAAUGGAUUGGUGAUUCAUGGAAAUGCUUGACUCUCUUGGCAGAAAUUCUAUGUGAAAGGUUUUCCACCUUUUAUCCAAUGGCAGUUGAUACCUUGUUUCAAAGCUUGGAAUUGGACAACAUUACUCACCUUGUAGGAUCUGGGAAGAUCACCUCCUUUCAGGUUCAUGGGGUUUUAAAAACUAAUCUUCAAUUAUUGUCUCUACAAAAGCUUGGUCUGCUCCCAUCAUCCGUGCAGAAAAUAUUGCAAUUUGAUUUGCCUAUAUCCCAGAUGCGUUUGCAUCCAAAUCACUUAGUGACAGGAAGUUCUGCUGCCACUUACAUUUUCUUGCUUCAACAUGGGAAUAAUGAAGUUGUUGAAAAAGCAGUCACCUCUUUGACUGAAGAGCUGGAAUUGUUGAAGGGCAUGCUUGGAAAAAUGAUGGGGCAUGGAAAUGAGGUUCAUGGCAUUAAAUCUCCUAAUUUGUAUUCAAAACUUGAGUUGUUUGCGUUGAUUAAAUUUGAUUUGAAAGUUUUACUAAGUUGUGUUUCUUUGGGUGGGGUUAGCAGUUUGAUUGGCCAACCAGAGAUUGCUGCUUUGUAUCUUAAGAGGUCGGAAAAGCUGAUAUCUUUUAUUAUUGAGAAACUGAAUCCUUUCAAUGUACCCAUUCUGGGCUGUGCCGACUUGGAAGUAAAUGUUAUCAGGACAUUGGAUCAGUUAACCGCAGUCGAAUUCUCAAGCAAGUGCUCUCUACGGAAACAGAUUAGCAAGAAUGAUUCUGUUGAUAUUGCCACAGGAGAAGUUCUGGACAGAAAUGAUUUCAGGGAUGGUCAUUCAAUUUUAGUUAUUGAGCAUCUGAGGAAAUACAGUAUGCUUCUUGUGCAAGCUCUUCAUGUUUCUACUCCUCUUUCUGUUAAAGUAGUAGCCCUUGAAUGGAUCCAAAGAUUUUGUGAGGGUGUUAUUGCUACUUACGAGAAUUCAAAUAUGAAAACUCAUCUUUCUGAGGCAUUCGAGUACAUUGGUGUUUUUGGGAAGUUGGUUUUCUCAGUUUUGGAAGCUGCAUUGGACAGGGAACCAAAAGUGAGAUCUCAUGUUGCAUUAGUUUUGGGCCUGCUCUUGCAAGCAAGACUUAUUCAUCCCAUGCACUUCUAUCCCAUGACUGAAGUGGUCCUUGAAAAACUUGGCGAUCCAGAUGUUGAUAUAAAAAAUGCCUUUGUUAGGCUGCUUACCCAGGUCUUGCCUGUUACAAUGUAUAUUUGUGGUCUACUUGACUGCGGAACAGUUACUGCAUGUAGCCCUAGGUCCAUUGGGCUAGGCAGUAUAUCUAACUUGCACUGGAAGCAAAUUUUUGCCCUGAAGCAGCUACAUCAGCAACUUCACUCACAGCAACUUGUUUCCAUUUUGAGUUUCAUUUCACAAAGAUGGAAAGUGCCCCUUUCUUCUUGGGUUCAACGGCUCAUUCAUAGCCGUCGGAUUUCAAAGGACUUUGUUGGUCAACUGGAAGAAACAGGAAAUUUUGGUGUUAAUGGUCUGUGGUUGGACAUAAAAGUGGAUGAAGAUACUCUUGAAAGAAUUUGCUCAGUAAAUAAUUUAGCAGGUGCAUGGUGGGCUAUACAUGAAGCGGCUAGAUAUUGCAUUGCUACACGCCUUAGGACCAACCUUGGUGGCCCCACCCAAACUUUUGCAGCAUUGGAGCGCAUGCUUUUGGACAUCUCACAUGUACUACGGCUUGAUACUGAGCAAAAUGAUGGAAACUUAAAUAUAAUUGGUUCAUCUGGUGCUCACUUCUUACCAAUGAGAUUAUUAUUCGAUUUUGUUGAGGCACUGAAAAAAAAUGUAUAUAAUGCUUAUGAAGGAUCUGCAUUUUUACCAUGUGCUCCUCGGCAGAGUUCCUUGUUCUUUCGGGCAAAUAAGAAAGUCUGCGAAGAAUGGUUUUCUCGCAUAUGUGAGCCAAUGAUGAAUGCUGGAUUAGCACUUCAAUGUCAUGAUGCUACAAUUCAUUACUGUACUUUGCGUUUGCAGGAGCUGAGGAAUCUUGUGCUUUCAACUACAAAGGAUAAGUCUCGGGCACAGGUAGCUGAAUUCCUCCAUAAUAUCAGGGGUAGAUUUUCUGGAGACAUCUUAAGAGUUCUACGCCACAUGGCUUUGGCUCUGUGUAAGAGUCAUGAAUCAGAGGCUUUGUUUGGCCUACAAAAAUGGGCUUCAAUGACAUUUUCUUCAUUGUUUGUUGAGGAAAACCAGAGUUUGAAUCAUAGUGAGAUCUUGGGACCUUUUUCAUGGAUCACAGGGCUUGUAUAUCAAGCAGAAGGCCAGUAUGAAAAAGCUGCCGCUCAUUUUACUCACUCACUGCAGACUGAGGAGUCACUCAAUUCUAUGGGGUCUGAUGGUGUGCAGUUUGCUAUUGCACGCUUUAUUGAGAGUUUUACGGCUGUGUCUGAUUGGAAGUCUCUUGAAUCCUGGCUGUUAGAGCUGCAAAAUCUUCGUGCUAAGCAUGCUGGAAAGAGUUAUUCCGGAGCCCUUACUACAGCUGGCAAUGAAAUAAAUGCAAUUCAUGCCUUGGCCUGCUUUGAUGAGGGUGAUUUUCAGGCAGCAUGGGCAUUCCUUGAUUUGACACCUAAAAGUAGCAGUGAACUCACACUUGAUCCCAAAUUGGCCUUGCAAAGGAGUGAGCAGAUGCUUUUGCAGGCAAUGCUGCUUCAAAAUGAGGGUAAGGUGGAUAAUGUCUCACAAGAAAUACAGAAGGCCAGGUCAAUGCUUGAGGAAACAUUGUCUGUUCUGCCACUUGAUGGGGUAGCAGAGGCAGCUGCACAUGCCGCUCAGUUGCAUUGCAUCUUUGCAUUUGAAGAAGGUUAUAAGCAUAAAGACAGCCAAGACAACCCAAAACAGCUUCAGUCAAUUUUAAGUUCAUAUGUCCAAUCAGUGCAGUCUCCAAUUAAUAGAAUUCAUCAGGAUUGUAACCCAUGGUUAAAGAUUCUCCGGGUAUAUCGAACCAUUCUCCCAACUUCUCCAGUUACUCUACAGCUCUGUAUGAAUUUAUUCAGUUUAGCCCGUAAACAAGGAAACUUAUUGUUGGCAAACCGUCUACAUAAGUAUCUUAGAGAUCAUGUAUUUAGCUGUUCUGAAGGGAGGUACCGUGAUUUCUUAAUCUUGAAUAUGCAAUAUGAGGGCAUCCUGCUGAAGCAUGCUGAAAGCAACUUUGAAGAUGCUUUUACAAAUCUUUGGUCAUUUAUACGCCCUUGCAUGGUUAAUUUAAAAAGUACAGUUUCUGAUGUUGAUGAUUGCAUUCUGAAAGCCAAGGCAUGCUUGAAACUCUCAGAUUGGUUGAGACAGGAUUUUUCAGAUUUUAGUUUAGAAAACAUUGUUUUCAGGAUGCAAGCAGAUUUCAACGUAAGUGAUGCUUCUUCUCUUGGUGGAAGUAUGUGCUCCUGCAAUGAUGAGAACCUAAAAUCUAAGCCAAGGUUGAGCCUUGUUAUUGAGGAAAUGGUUGGNNNNNNNNNNNNNNNNNNNNNNNNNNNNNNNNNNNNNNNNNNNNNNNNNNNNNNNNNNNNNNNNUUCUCGUCUCUGCCCCACUAUGGGAAAAUCAUGGAUUUCUUAUGCCUCUUGGUGUUAUAAUCAAGCCAGAAAUUCCCUCUACAACUCAAAUGGAACUGUCCUUCAGUCCCUCUCUUUUUCUCAUGUUCUUUUUCCAGAAAUUCCACCUGAAAGAUUUCGAUUAACUGAAGAAGAGAUCUCAAGAGUGGAAUCUGUGAUUUCCAAGCUCCUUCAGGAAAAGAAUGAUGCAGAAAAUCCAAUUGAUGAUGGGGAAGAGUGGAAAUUUUGGCUUGAAUCUGCAGAACAUUUGAGGAAUGAGAACCCUAUGAAGGCUCUGGUGCAGCAAGUAGUAAAUAUAUUAGAAGCUGCAGCAGGAGCGCCAGGAGUGGAAAAUUCUGGUGGUGAAUGCCUUUCUGCCAAACUAGCUUCUCAAUUGCAGAUAUCCUUGCUACGCGCAAAUGCUGGCCUGGAAGAAAGUGAUUUGUCAUCUACAGUUGAUGAUCUAGUUCAUGUUUGGUGGUCCUUGAGGAAGAGAAGAGUCUCUCUUUUUGGGCAUGCAGCUCAUGGAUUUAUACAAUACCUUUCAUACUCAUCUGUGAAACUUUGUGAUGGCCAGUUAGCUGGCUCUGAUUGUGAAUCUUUGAAACAGAAGACAGGAAGCUACACCUUGAGGGCAACCUUGUAUGUCCUACACAUCCUUCUGAACUAUGGAUUGGAGUUAAAAGAUACACUAGAACCGGCUCUUUCAACAGUUCCUUUGUUGCCAUGGCAGGUGAGAUACUCUCUUUUAAACCCCCGACCCCCUACCCACCCCAUAAAAAAACGAUGAAAUUAAUUCUAAUGUCUUCUUCUGUAGGAAAUAACGCCACAAUUGUUUGCUCGAUUAAGUUCUCAUCCUGAACAAGUUGUUAGGAAGCAAUUGGAGGGCUUACUGAUGAUGCUGGCAAAGCUAUCUCCUUGGUCCAUAGUGUACCCAACUCUAGUUGAUGUGAAUGCUUAUGAAGAAGAGCCUUCGGAGGAGCUUCAGCAUGUAGUGGGUUGUUUGGUAAUGGAAAUGUCUUUUAUUUAUUUGUUUGACUUUUUUGUGUUUUUAAACUUUUCUAACAUUUCUAAUAAAAAAGUUUUCAUUCCUGUCAAGUCAGAUAUAACAUUGUUUCAGACUUUAGCUUUGUUUAUAUUUCAAAUACACUUUCUACUCCAACCUUUUCAAAUCCAACCCUCUUUGGCUAAUCUGUUUGACACUGGUAGUCUGCCUUCUGUAUGUCCUGGAAGUUCUGAUUGAGAAUCCCACUGCUUGUCAUUAGGAUAGGAGAUUGGAAAGGCUUGUUCAAAAAUUAAUUUAUUGAUACUUCGAUUUCUAUCAUGACUAUUUUGAUUGGUCUAUUUCCAUUAUCAUAUUUUUGUUUCUAAAGUUGCAAUGGAGCUCAUUGGAAUUCAUAGUUGAUGUGAGGUAGGGCUGAGAUCAUGGCUCAGUGAUGGUUCCAUGCUUCACUGCAUCAUAUGGUGUUCUUGUUCUUUGUGCUAUUUUUUUUUUUUUUUGAUAAGUAAACAAGAUAUGCAUUAAAAAAGAGGCUAAGAGCCACAAAGCUUACAGGGAGUAUACAAGGCGGCUAAGGCCUCAAAAAAGAUCAACAAGACCAGAAAAUAAUCACCUCCCCUUAAGUGGAUGCUAUCCACUCCAAAAAGUCUAUAAGGGAGAGAGACUCCUCGCCAAAAUACAAUUUGGCCCAGCUCCAUAAAUUACAAACAAAAAAAUUCUUUAAUUUCUGGAUAUUCGACCCCCCCCAAAAGCUAGUCUAUUCCUCUCAUGGACACAAUGGUAUGAAUUUUCAAACCUUUUUCCUUUUUUUCCCCACAAAGGGGCCCCUCCAGGUAGUUAAGACCUCCUUUACAGUUUUUGGAAAGACCCAUUUAACAUCUACUAACCCAAGAAUAAUGUCCCAUAAAGUUCUAACCACUAUAUAGUGUAUAAGAAUAUGAUUUACAUUUUCUUCUUCACAACCACAUAAAAAGCAACAAUUAGGAAGUUGCACCCCUCUUAUUUGGAGCCUGUCAUCCAACUCCCAAUCAUUAAAGUCUCUCCAAAAGUUUAGGUUCCAGCCUCUUUGACCAGAAUUUUGAUCCCACAUCUCCUCAAUCGUUGCAUCCCUAUGCACAGCCAUGACAAAGAGGUGAGUGAAGCAAUGGGACAGCGGAGUAUCAGUGCACCAAAUAUCUUUCCAAAAUAUGAUUUUGGUGCCCUUCCCAGCUAGAAACAGCAUGUUAUCCCAGCACCAAUCAGAUUCUUUCAAGAUCUCCUUCCAAACCCUUACUCCAACCACCCCAUUAGCCUUCUUUGACCUCCAACCACGAUCCUCUUGCCCAUACUUCGUUGUGAUCACUUGUUUCCAAAUAUUAUCUUUUUCGCAAGUAUACCUCCAAAUCCACUUACCAAGCAAGACUCUAUUCAACAUGACUAUUUUCCUUAGGCUUAGUUCACCUUUGUUCUUGUUUGUACAAACCACAUCCCAUUUAACUAGAUGAAUUUUCCCCUCCAAGUUUCCUCCCCCCCAUAGAAAAUCCCUUUGAACUUUCUCUAUCCUUUUAGCAACAAUCUUAGGCAUUCGGAAAAUAGACAUUUGGUAGAUUGGCAUGCUUGCCAAAGUGCUUUUUAUGAGAGUGAUCUUCCCUCCUUUGGAAAUGUACUGCCUUUUCCAAAGCGCAAGUCUCCUCCUUACUCUCUCUUCCACCCCAUCCCACAUAGAAGGAGUCCUAUUAGGAGCCCCUAGUGGGAGUCCCAAAUAUUGAGAGGGCAAGGAUCCCACUCUGCAACCUAACUCGACUGCCAACUCUUCAAUCUCCUCCACAUCUCCAACUGGGAUGAUUUCACUUUUGGCUAAAUUAAUCCUUAGGCUUGAAGCCACUUCAAACCAGAGUAGAAUUCAACUUGAAUGAGUUAAGUGCUCCUUGCUUGCCUCACAGAACACUAUUGUGUCAUCAACAAAAAAUAAAUGGGAUAUGUUCAAAGUGGGUCUACUACCACCCCGAAUGGUACACCCUGAUAAGUAUCCCCCCUGCACAGCUCUCCUAAUGAGGACAUCCAGAACUUCCAUUCCCAUAACAAAGAGAUAGGGAGAUAGGGGAUCUCCUUGUCUAAGCCCCUUAGUACUAGGGAAAAAACCAAUUGGCACCCCAUUAACCAGAACUGAGAAUUUGGUUGAGGACAAGCAACUCCACAUCCACCCUAACCACUUAGACCCAAAGCCCAUUUUUUGCAGGACCUUCAACAAAAACUUCCAAUUGAUGCUAUCAUAAGCUUUUUUUAUGUCUAAUUUGCAGAUAAGUCCCUUCCCUUUUCUUUUCUGCCACGAAUCUAUCACCUCAUUAGCAAUUAAUGACACAUCAAGAAUUUGUCUUCCCGUUAUAAAGGCAUUCUGGGCAGUGGAGACCACCUUUCCAAUCACUUUCUUGAGCCUGUUAGCUAGAAAUUUAGCCAAAAGUUUAUAGAGCCCCCCCAAAAGGAUGAUAAGUCUAAAAUCUCCAAUAUCCUCAGCCCCACUUUUCUUAGGAAUCAAGACCAGAAAAGUAUUAUUGAGGCUCUUAAGGAAAGAGCUAUGCUCAUGGAACUCUUUAAACAUAUCCAUAAUCUCCUCUUUAGUAAAAUCCCAAGCGUUUUGCCAAAAUGCUACAGUAAAGCCAUCCGGACUAGGGGCUUUGUCCCUAUUCAUUUCCAUCAAAGUCGUAUGAAUCUCAGCCUCUGUGAAGGGGACCUCUAGAUUCUCCGCUUCUUGCUGGUUGAUGUGAUCAAAUUGAAGUCUUCCAAUAUCCGCCUUCCUCCCCAUAUCUUCAGAAAGCAGCUGCUGAAAAGUGUUAACAAUUCCUUCCCUCACCUCCUGCUCCUCUGAAAGCCACUUCCCAUUAAUCUUUACUCUGUCCAAUGCGUUGUUUCUACGAUGGGCACUUGCCAUUCGAUGGAAGAAACCCGUGUUUUUGUCCCCCUCCCUUAGCCAAAUCUCCCUUGAGAGUUGUCUCCAAUGGACUUCCUCUAAAAGCACCCACUUUUUAUAACUUUCUUUUGUUUCUUUUUUUAAAUCUGUCUCCUCCACAAUCAGGCUUCUCUCACUUUCCACCCGGUCUUAGAAAUCUACUUGCUGAUUUAUUGCAUUCCAGCCUCCCAAAAACCUCUCUAUUCCAUACUUUCAACUUCUUUUUGAUUUCCUUCAUCUUAGCAGCCAAUCUAAAACUAGCACUACCCCUGACUUCGAUCCCCCACCACCAGUUUCGAACAAGGUCUUUGAAUCCCUCAACCUUAAGCCACAUGUUUUCGAAUCUAAAUGGAGUAGGGCCUCUUCUUAUUCCACCCCCUGCUAGAACAAUUGGGAAAUGAUCAGAAAUUGGCCGAGACAUUCUGCUUUGAGUAACCCCACUAAACUGGUCUAACCAACUAGGGGACACAAGAAAUCUAUCCAAUCUAGCCCAUGCCUGGUUAUUGAGACCCCCAUUCCAGGUGAACUCUCCUCCAUGUAGUGGAAGAUCCACUAGCCCUAGAUCAUCAACAAUCUCAGCAAAUUUCCUCAUUGCUGAAUUUAUUUUCCUCUGACUGCUCCUUUCCCUUUGGAAGAAGGUGAUGUUAAAAUCCCCUCCUAGGCACUAGGGGUCUUCCCAAAGGCCUCUAAUCGCCCCAAAUUCUUCCCACAUGCCAUCCCUUUCCACUUUGGUAAACAGACCAUAAACUCUCGUGAACACCCAAACAACCCCAUUUUCUACAAUCUUGAAUCUGCAAGACAGAGUGAAUUGGCCCUCCUCCCAAUCCAGGAUAUCCAGAGACCUCUUGUCCCAGCAAAUCAAAAUACCGCCCGCAGCCCCCUCCGCAUUCAGAGCUCUCCAAUCUAAAAAUCUCCCAGAGCCUAAACUUCUCACAAUGCCUUCCGACAUAGAUUGAAUUUUUAUCUCCUGUAUACAUAGUAAAUCCACCAUCUGAUUCCUUCUAAAAGACUUAAUAAUUUUCCUUUUGGAGCUAUCGUUUGCUCCUCUCACAUUCCAAAUCAGAACUUUUAGCUUCAUUGGACAACUACAAUCUGAUUCCCUUUGCCCUGUGAUGGGCCUUUCUGCUUAUUCUCCCCCUCAUAGUUUACAGAACAUUCCAACCUCUUUAAUUCCCUUUCGAACUUUGACUUCUCCAGAAGGUCUUUGUUAUGAAUCUUCUCCCGUCUCUUUCUGAUUUUAAUCAGAAAGCUCAAGAUUUCCUUUUCCAAACCCUCUGCUGAAAAUCCCAAAAAUUGGCUGAAUUUUGCCAAACUACUUUCCUCCCAUUUUUCCUCUUUCUCCUUUCCCAUAGCUUGGUUCUCAGGCGUGCUAGAAUCCCUCUUCGUACCCCUGACUUUAUCACUGAUUCUAUUGGCUUCUCCCAAGUCCCAACAAACAUUAUCAUUCUCAGCAGGCCCCUCAUACACUGCUAACCAUGUUGUUUUAUCACCCCAUGAUUCCUCCUCUAUAUCUCCUGAACGAUCGAAAGACUCCCCCUCUGAAGCCCAAUCAGAAUAAAGAGAAAUAAGAUGAGACGUCCCCAAUAUCCGUUUUCCCCUUGAAUAGAAAGUCGAAUCAUACCUCAAAGCUUCCUCUUCAAGCGCCCGGUCUGUCAUUGAGAAGCAAGCGUUCAUUUGCUGCUUCCUGAGAUCCUCUGAAUCCCAGGCCACAAAAGGCUCCAUCUUUGAACUGGACCCAUUUCUAGAAAUGAGGCAGUCCAGAAGGCAGACUUUCUCCUGAGAGCCCUUACUUGGGGCUUGGGGGAUUGGGCCAGCCCUUUCCAUACCUUCAAAACCACUCAGCCUUUGGCAGCCCAUUUCUGUAGCCCAUCUCCUUGACGAUGGGCCUAUUUUUGAUCCAUCAUCAUCCGUUGCCGCUUCUUUUGAUUUUGAGCCCAAGUAUCCAUUAGCCACAACAGGCCCAUUAGCCCUCCUCGCCUCUUUAAGGCCCACGAUUAGGCCUAAUGAGGACGACCAAGACGCUAGCCCAUCUAUGAGGGCCCAAUCCCGGGUCACCGGGCCUUGAACCCGGUUUCCCAACUCCCGGCCCGACCCAUUCUCCCGGGCACCCCUCACAUCAGCUGGUAGGUUCAAUGUCUCGAGCCUUGCGCUUACCAGCUCCUUCUCCACGCGCUGCUCCGUGCGUGAAAUCACAUCACCCCUAACCUCAUCACUCUUUCGACCAGACGCUUCAUUGUGUUUCAUCCUCACCACCGGUCUGACCUCCCACCAUAACGACAAGACAUAGACAUCCUCCUCUACUUCAAUUUCCAGCACACUCGGCCUAAAGUCUCCUCUCGUUUUAACCAAAAGCCUAGACCAUUGAAUCUCCCCCAUCGUCUUUGUCCGAUCAUCAACUGCUACAAAGCCCCCGCAUUCUUCCCCUACUCUUUUCAAAAUCAUCGGACUCCACAGCGAGAUUGGAAGCCCAAUGAUUUUGACCCAGACUUCGCUUUCUACCUCCUCUUCUGUCCAGCAGCCCGUCCUAGGAUUCCAUUGUUCCAGCCCUAACUGGAGCCCUCCCAACUCUCUACUCCCUGAGGAUAUGACGCGUCUUGCUUCUUUCAGCUCUUCAAAUUCUAGCAAGACCCUAUCCUUCUCCAAUUUAGCCAGCCCUAAUUUUCCUUUUAGGCGCUAAGAAUUUGCCCAUAAACUUCCCAAUCUCUCUAGGUCCUCUUCUCUCUCCGUUCUGGAUUUCCAACUCGCAACAAUGCAGUGCUCCAAUUUCUGCAAAUUUCCUAGAGUUUCCUCGCUUCUAACCUUCACUUUGAUUGAGUUUGAAUCUCUCCAGCUUGGUCUCUUAACUACCGUCACAUACGAACUCUCCAAGGCAGAUUUUCCCACGGCCCUUACUUCCUGCAUGUUUGCUUUUCUGUCAAUAGAUCCUUCCAUUUGAUGGAUUUUCUCCGCCAUAGUCACCCAACCCCUUUUGUCUUCUCUGCCUCUCGGUAUAAAGAUACAGAAUCUCUUCCUUUCCAAAUCAACAACCCCCAGCCUUAGAAACCAUCCCACUCUGUUAAACCCUCGUGUUAGGGAAUACGAUUUCCCCUUAUCCUUCCAUUCCUUUCCCCAUCUCCCUUCUUUCUCGCCCUUGAUGCAGUGGAUUAGGCCCUCCAUGAAAAACCUUAGACUUUCCAAUCCUAAUCGGACCCAUGACGAAACCCCUCUCUUCUUCUCCAAGAUAAGAAACUGAGGUUUUCCUUUUCUUUCAUCGAAGACGAUCUCGAACAUCUUGGAGUCCACCAUAAAACUGCUCUCUUUCCUUCUUUUUCGAAUCGCCGCGCUAAUCUCUCCUUCUUCUCCAUCGCACGCUCUCUCACUCUCUCCCAUAGCUCUCUUCUUUGUGCUAUUUUAAAGUUUUAUUUUAUUUUAUUGUAAGACAAAAACCAUUUUUUAAGGGCAUUGUAAGUGUGUCUCUUUCCGGGACAAUAAUUCAUUACAUGCAUUCUCCUUGAUGUUUUGUGAUUCUUGUAUUACACCAAGGAAGAUGAGAAUGACCAGAUGUAUUGAAGGUAACUAUUAGAUUGCCGCAUGUUAGUAAUGGGUCGUAAGCUUGGUGUAUGGGUGGCUUCUCAUAUGAUAUGCUUGACUUACAAUGCUAAUGCAUGAAUAAUGAUUAAGAAAGCCAGUGUUGGUUACAUUAGGUGUCAGGCCUGGAUCCAAAUCCAUGUUGCUCUAAAUAACUUGUUGAAAUAUCUUUUAUUGGACAUGGUUUUUGGAACCUCAUAGUUGUAUAUAUUUACUUAGUUUGGAGGUUCUGACUUUCUUUUUGUGAUCUUUUGGAGGAUUUCACAUCCUUCUAUUGUAAUUAUUUUUACUAUACUGUUGUUUCUCAUAAAUAAAAAAUAAAAAUUAACGGAAAACAAAUUGGAUAGAGUGUUAUUAUGGACUGUUGCUUGGGCACCCUAGCUUGGUGACUGAAAUAUUCUUCUAGGUUGUGCUGUAACCUUCUUGACAGGUUUAAUUUGAGGAUAAUUCUAAGUUCAUAUGAUAUAGAGGCAUCCUUGGACAGUUGACCAUGCUUUUCCUGAAAUCGAUGUUGGAGCAGGAAUAUAUAUUGUUUUGUUGUGACAGUCAAAAUGUCUUUCACUUGGCCUAGAAUUGGUGGUCCAUGCUAGAGCUUGGCCUUUAUUUUGUUUCCUUAGUUUUUUUCUUUCUUUUAAGGUAUUUGCUUUGUAUACUUUUCUGCACAGGGUUCAGGCCCCUUAUUUUGGCAUUUUAGGGUACUUAUUGUUAGGCUAGUAGACAUUAUGGGCCCAAAUCCUAAUAUCUUAAGAAGGCUUUCAUUAACAAAAGAAUUUUCAAUGAAGAAGAGCUUUUAGAGGUUAGGUUGAAGGAGGUUUUCAUUAAAUCCCCUUAGGAGUGCUCCCAAGCUUCUUUGCAAAUGGAGGGUUUUUCUUUGGUGGAGUUCUUAGAUUCUCUGUUCUGUGGUUAGGUUGACUUGUUAGGUCUCUUGUUGUAUUGGUUUUGGCACUUUUUCAUAGGGUGCUUGGUGUAUGCUGCCUGUGUACAUAGGGUGUGCCCCCUCUUUUCAUGCUUUUAAUAGAUGUUGUUUUGUCUAUCAGGAAAAAAAAAUUAAAAAAAAUCCUAAUAUCUUGAUCUUUAAGGGAAGUUGGUAGCUUAACAUGAUAUUAAAGCUUGGGGUCUUGAGUUCAAGUCUCUCCUACUGCUACUGGCCCAUUUAUUUAUACAUUGCUGCUGAUUUGUCUUUCCACAUGCAGAUGUGGGGCCACACCUGAGAAUGGGUGUUGACCUGGUGUAUAUUGGCAGCCCAAAUCCUAAGAGCUUAAGGUUUUAGGAAAUUUGGUAGCUUAGAACCUAACAUUUCUUAUUAAAUAAGGUACAGAUUGCUGUAGCUUUCCUAUGGGUUUGCCUUGAGUUCUCAGCCCUGGGGUUAGUUCCCUUACCAGAGGACUGUGAUUUAUUCCUAUUAGAGAGUGGGGUUGGGCUGGAUGCAGCCAUAACAUGAAAAGGAGAGGUGAGAGUUAGUGAAGAGAGAAAGAUUGAGAAAAAGGAUGUUAAAGAGCUUUGGGAAAGCAGCAGUAGACCCCUUGCUGAAUUCAUUUCUUUCAUCUGUUGGAAUAGUCUCCGGAAAUCUCCCCUGAUGUAGACCAUGAUGUUGAAUCAAGUAGAACCAUUCUCUCUUUCUUGUGCCCACUUUUAUUUUAUGUUCUUUAUUGCUUCUUAAUGCAUGAUUUAAAUUUUGAUCUACUUGGCCAUGUUUUUUAUUGUAACCUUUUGUGAGGUACAACCAAAAAAUUUCUUCAGAGCAUAUGAAGGUAAUGGGAAAAUUUUGUUUUGUGCAGAGUAAGCUUUACCCAAGACUAAUUCAGGAUGUUCAGCUCAUGAUCAAUGAACUAGAAAAUGUAACUGUUCUUUGGGAGGAGCUAUGGCUCAGCACACUUCAAGAUCUUCACUCAGGUAGCCUUUGCUCCCUUAAACGAGGCUUUUAUUGUUCUGGGCACCUUUUUGUUCAAAGAUGUUUCUCAUGAUAUUCUGGUAUAUUUUAAAAAAUUAUACAAGUUUCACUUUCUCUUAUAUGGUCCUAGUAACAAAGAAAUAAACAUAGAUGCUAGUAUCUAAAUGUAACAACCUCAAAUCUGCAAAUCUCUAAAAAGAGGGGGUGGGGAGAAGAACAGAAGAGAAGAGGGAAAAAAAUAUGCUGCAUCUGUACUUGAAUCCAAAUUUUUCACAAUAGAAAUGUUGGUGUGUUUGACACCAGAUGAUUGCUAAAUCAAGAGUUUACUUGUUACAAAGUGUAUCCUUAAAUAACAAUGACAUAUCUUUACUAGACAAUGAAUUCAUGAUGAAUCUUUAACUGGUACUAGCAUACAAGAUUUUGGGUUGACACAUUUUUUUUUGCUCCUUUGCCAAUUUAUUUUUCUCUAAACACUGUAUAUAUGAGCUUUGACUGAUUUUCUUUCAGAUGUGAUGAGGCGCAUAAAUUUGCUGAAAGAGGAAGCUGCACGAAUUGCAGAAAAUGUCACUCUUAGCCAGGGUGAGAAGAACAAAAUAAAUGCUGCAAAAUACUCUGCCAUGAUGGCUCCAGUUGUUGUGGCCUUGGAACGUCGUCUAGCUUCAACUUCUCGGAAACCUGAAACCCCUCAUGAGAUAUGGUUCCAUGAGGAGUACAGAGAACAACUCAAAUCAGCCAUCUUAACCUUUAAAACUCCUCCAGCAUCUAGUGCUGCACUUGGAGAUGUGUGGCGACCAUUUGAUAAUAUUGCUGCAUCCUUGUCAUCUUACCAAAGGAAGUCAUCAAUUUCCUUGGGAGAAGUUGCACCACAAUUGGCUCUGUUAUCAUCUUCUGAUGUUCCAAUGCCUGGUCUUGAGAGGCAAAUCAUAGCAUCUGAAUCUGAUCGAGGCCUCACUGCUACUCUCCAGGGAAUUGUCACAAUUGCUUCUUUCUCUGAGCAGGUGGCUAUCUUAUCCACCAAAACAAAGCCUAAAAAAAUUGUUAUACUGGGCUCAGAUGGUCACAAGUACACAUAUCUCUUGAAAGGGCGAGAAGAUCUGCGUCUUGAUGCCAGAAUCAUGCAGCUGCUGCAAGCGUUUAAUGGUUUUCUGCGUUCAUCUCCUGAAACUCGUAGUCAUUCUCUUGUCAUUCGCUACUAUUCCGUGACACCAAUUAGUGGUCGGGCUGGACUUAUCCAGUGGGUGGACAAUGUGAUAAGUAUUUAUAGUAUCUUUAAGUCUUGGCAGAAUCGUGCCCAGCUGGCACAUCUCUCUUCUUUAGGUGCUGGUAAUACAAAAAAUUCAGUUCCCCCACCUGUUCCCCGGCCAAGUGACAUGUUCUAUGGUAAAAUUAUACCAGCACUGAAAGAGAAAGGUAUAAGAAGAGUAAUUUCACGAAGAGACUGGCCUCACGAAGUGAAGAGAAAGGUUCUUCUGGAUCUCAUGAAGGAGGCUCCUAGGCAGCUUCUUCAUCAAGAACUUUGGUGCGCUAGUGAAGGAUUCAAAGCUUUCAGCUUAAAAUUGAAGAGGUACUUUAUCAGGAACUUGAAAAGGCUCUUCAACUUCUUUGUUCUCGUGCAAAUUGCAUUCUGUGCUGAAGUUUUUCUUGCUCCCAUGCUGUAGAAUGCCAAUAUUUUAUGGUUUUGUGCUGUUGAAGCUAUGAAGUUUGAAAUAUUUCAUGCUAAAUGUGCUUGAAUAUAAUGUAAAAAAAUUUGAUGACAUGUUGGAAACACGUAUAGGUACAUUUUAAAGUUAAUUUGUUGCUAAAUGAUGAUGAGGGUGUGAUUAACAAGGUUUGUCAUUUACCUUUAACAAGCAAUAUUAUAUGCAUACCCAGUUAGAAAUAAGCCUCAUUUUAAUGUUCAUAGAAUGUAAUGAAAAUUUAGAUGGAACCACUUUUAAGCAGGUAGAACAAUGGUUUUGGCCAAAAAUGGAUUGGAUGGAUAUAUUGGUGUAUUUCCACAACAAUGUUUUCAGUGCUAGUGAAUGGAACACCUUCAAGUUUUUUCCAGAUUUUAAGGGGGUUGAGACAAGAGGAUCCUCUUUCCCCUUGUUUGUUCUAGCCAUGGAGGUGUUGAAUUGCCUAUGGGAGAGGGUUAGCGAGGGGGGUUACUUGUUAGGUUUUCGGGUGAGAGGGGGUGGAAGUCUCUCAUCUUUUGUUUGUAGAUGAUAUGUUGGUCUUUAGUGAAGAUUCCCAAAAUUAAUUGGUUCAUCUAAGUUGGAUACUCAUAUGGUUUGAAGCAUUAUUAAAGCUUAAAAUUUAUCUUGAAAAAAACGAACCGAUCCCAAUUGGGAGGGAAUUGAUCCGAAUUGGGAGGCUACAGAUGUAGAAGUUUUGGCAAUGGAAAUGGGUUGCAAGGUGGGGAAAAUUCCUUUUUUUUUUACCUAGUAGGAGCCCCUUGCAGAUCUAAAGCAGUUUGGGACAAAGUGGAGGAGAAGUUUUGUAGAAGACUAUUGAUGUAGAAAAGACAAUACAUCUCAAAACAGGGGCAAAAUUACUUUGAUUAGAGGUACUUUGUCGAGCUUGACAAUCUACUUCAUGUCCUUGUUUGUAAUCCCUAGAAAGGUAACAAUGAGAUUAAAAAAGAUUCAAAGGGACUUCCUUUGGGGUGGUGGAAAUUUGGAAAAGAAACCUCAUUUGGUUUAGGGGUAGGAUCUCUUCUUCAGUUACUGAAAUGACUGAAGAAUUAUUAAAAAUGAAGUAUGUAAAUAUUAUGGGAUUGAUGUUUGGAAAACUAUAAGAAAGGGAUUGGGUAGAAUUAUUAAAAAUGAUGUAACUAUUAUGUCUGGAAAAUAAAUUGUCUUAAAAUAAUAACAAAAUCUUCUAAUGAAACUACAUUAGCUAUGUUGGUGUCUAUGUGAAUAAAUAUGUGAAGAUCAAUGAAUGCAGGAGUGUAAAAAUCUCAGUCUUUUAGAAGUUUCCUUUGUUGUAUAACGAGAUGAGAGAUCAAAGAUGACAACAAAAAGAGGAAUCCUUGGCAAUCACAUCAAGGCUCCUAGGCUAUCACACCCUCAGAAGAAGCAUGAAAGAUGCUGAAAUCCUUUUUUUAAAAUUCUGGUUAUCCACUUAAAAGACUAGAUAGGUAUAUACAUAUAGAUUCUUAUGUUUCUCUUCUUUAACAGGACAAGUUUCCUAAUUCCUCAUCUUUUCUUACAAGGAUAGAAAUAUAUAAAGGCCCUUUUCUAGUUAAUUUUUUUGCACUAGGGCGCUCAUCCGUUGCUUGUUGGAUUCACUUACCGAAUUUGAAUGGCUCCAAUCCAAGUACAAUAAGGAAGAUCGAAUAGUAUAAUCAACUGCUCAUUAGACUAUCCUUUAUCUUGAAAUUCGUCCUCUAUUCAUCUUCAGUGUUCCAUCUGAAGUAGUUGAUAACCUGUCUUCAAAUAGAUCUUCAAGAGGAUUGUAGAAUCUGUUAUAAUGUCUAAUAUAGCAUCAAUUUGAUACAUUCUUACGCUAACAACCAUCCCUUUUAGGUUUGAGCAAAGAUGUUGCAACCCAUGUCUAAAACUUCAACUGCUUUUAAGUUGUCACAGUAGUGUUGUCCUUAGGUUCUGAUGCCAAAUAUGGUGCCGGAUUGUUAGAUUUCUAACAGUAUACGAGCUUCUUGGGUCAGAAUUGGGAUGAAUAGGUUAAAGAUUGUUGCAAGGAAGAAAAAAUCCUUGGUGACCACUGACCACACCAGGGUUCCUAGGUAAUCACAGGUAACAUUUUUUAAAUAAUCACACUUAAUAAAAAGACAAUCACACCCACUCAUCAAAAGAGAAAAAAAGAAAAGAAAAGAAAAAGACAAUCACACCUUUAAGGGAAGCAUAAUAGAUGCUGAAAUAUUUUAUUAAACUUCUAGUCCUCCACUUUAAGACUACAUAGGUAUAUACUGUAUGCAUAGACUCUUAUAACUCUCUUCCUUGACAUGGUAACUUUCCUAAUUCCUUCUUUCUUUACAGGAAUAGAAAUGGAUACAAGAAAUAAGUAUAUUUAGAAAUUAAAAGAAAUAAAAAUUUUCCUAAUGUAACAAGAAGACAAAAAGAAAUAGAAACUUUUGGAAGACAAAAAGAAAUUGAAACUUAAGUAAGGAGUACCUAAAAUAGAAACUUAACAAAAAACUCAACUUAACCUAAGCUGACUAGAAGUCUAGAACAAGCCCCAAGUAGAACUUACAUCAUCAUUGUUGCUCUAGUCUAGAUUAAGGCUUGGGCAUUAGAAGUGACCUUUGCCUUCAUGAUUUAAAAAAAAAAAAAAAAAAAGAACCAACCUUUCCCUUCUUUUGUAAGUCUUUAAAGGAUUUUUCUAGCAAUGUCAAUGUUUUCCAUCACAAAUGUUUUGGUAGUUUCUGAAAUAACCUAUUGGACAGUUGAAACUAAAGACUAAUGGAGUUUAAAUAUGUAAAUGCAGAAGUCCAUGAUGUUGCUGACCUGGUUUUAGAUACAUCUUUAGACUCAUAACCUUUAUGCUACCUUGUUUCUUUAUUGUUCUUCUUUGGGAAUUUCAACUGCUUAUUAAUACAUAAAAGAAUAGGAAAAGUUGAUUGAACAUGAACGUCUUGGGAAGCAUACGUGGCAAAAAAUGAUCUGAAAGUACACAAUGGCUUGUGUUACAGGCAGAUUCCACAGACCAUGUGCUAGAAUUCUUUACUCUGUUUAGUAGGCUAAUUAUUAGACAUGAUCAUUGUUGCAAUUUGACAGUUGGGAUAAGGUGCCAUGAAAUCUUUGUUGCUUCUAUGUUAUAGGGAUGAUAGUGGUGUUGGAUCUGUUCUUUAACAACAUGGUAUAAUCAUGACUGCUGAUAUGAUCUUAUGACCAUAUUAGUUGAGAAUUUGGAAAAUGUUUAGUUCCUUAAACUGGAUAUAUGUUCUCUCCACUUGUAGGUAUUCUGGAAGUGUAGCAGCCAUGAGUAUGGUUGGCCACAUUCUGGGCCUGGGUGAUAGACAUUUGGAUAACAUUCUUAUGGAUUUCUUUACUGGGGAUAUUGUACAUAUUGAUUACAAUGUGUGCUUCGAUAAGGGGCAAAGGUUAAAGAUUCCAGAGAUUGUUCCCUUCCGUCUUACCCAGAUGAUUGAAACAGCUUUAGGGCUGACUGGAAUUGAAGGCACCUUCAGAGCAAACUGUGAAGCAGUUGUUGGUGUUCUGAGGAAGAAUAAAGAUAUACUCUUAAUGUUAUUAGAGGUAUUUGUUUGGGAUCCACUUGUAGAAUGGACACGGGGAGAUUUUCAUGAUGAUGCAGCAAUUGGUGGUGAGGAAAGAAAGGGAAUGGAGUUGGCGGUUAGUUUAAGUUUAUUUGCAUCUCGAGUGCAAGAAAUCCGGGUUCCUUUACAGGUACUUAUUCAUCUUAAAUCCUAAUAUAUGUCUUCUUUUGGGGGGAAUAGUGGGAUUUAUCUGGUUCUUGUCUUUUGGUGUAACAACCACAAAAUACUCCUUUUUAGUUACUAUUAACCCUUAACCUUCAGUUAUCUUUCUUAUAUCAUUAUAUUCCUUAUUGUUCCAUUCCUAGUGGUACCUUGUGUAACAUCCACAUGCUUAAAUUACCUUUUAUCUGGUGCAAUGCACUGUGAUAGUUUUUACUGAAGCUUUACAUUUUUCAUGCAAUAUCAAUAUCCUGAGGUUUUAAAUCCUUGCAUUUAUUUGGCAUUGUGGCAAGGUUGGUCUUUUUAAACUUUUAUUUAUUUAUUGAUAGGCUAUAGUUUUCCUAUUUUGUUGUUUUGUUUUUUUUCCAUGUUUCUAUUUUGGCUCCUUGGUUGUUUUUUAGGGGUUCAUGGUACUUUAAUGAUGAGGAUGAAUCUCCAAGAUCUACUUUAGAGAGGAAUAAAAGAAAAUAAAGAAAUUCUAAAUUAUUCUAUUAAGGGUAUUUAGAUAAUUUUACAGUUUUUUAGAGUCUCUAGUGUCUUGAUUAAUUAGUAGUUGAUUUGAUUUUAUAUAGAAUUUGAAAAUUUUUAGGAAUCUCCUUAAUUUUUUUUUUUAAAUUUCUAUUUUCUUAAUUAAUCUCUCUCUCUCUCUCUCUCUCUCUCUCUCUCUCUCUCUCUAUCCAAGUUUUUAAUUUCUUAAAAAUUAGAAGUUUUCUUUAUUAAAAACUUAGUACAAGAAGUUUUUAUAAUUCUAAAGCCUAAACCAGUAAUUCAAUCUCUAGAAUUACUCCAUGAUCUAUUCCCAACCAAGUAUACACAAAACAUUGACUAAACCAGAUUCAUAAUCAGGACAGGUUCUAUCCAUGUGGACUGAUUCUAUAUUACUCCUACUAACACUUGCAAUUUUCAAUGGUGAGUCUCCAUUGAUUUUUUUUAGAUGAGAUUCCUAGAAGGCCUUAGUGAGAUUCUAAGGUUUUUAUCUCUUCUUCUUUAUUUAUUUUUUCCUAUGGUUUUAAUCUUUCUUUAUCUUUUUUAUCCUAGAAGUUAUUUAUUUAUUUUCCUUGCUAUCAUAAUUUGUAUUCCUUGUUCCUGUUCUUAAGCACUAAAAGAUUGAAGCCUUAGCCCACCUAUUUGAUUAAAACCGUCUUAGGGUUGCCCUACUUUGAGUUGCACUUCUUUUGUCACCCUUUAAUAUGCUAUUUUAUUCUUGAUUCAGCUACCAAUUUGAUCCAACAACUCAAACUAUUAAGAAAUAGACUAGCAAUAUAUAUUAAGCCAACUUGGCUAUAGCCCUAAUACCCCAUCCACGGGCAACAUUCUUUGAACUUGCACAUAAGCUCACUAAAAAAGGAAAAUAACAUUAGUGAGGUCCGAACUCAUGACUUCCUGUGAACCAAGGUUCUAAUAGCUUGUUAAAUUAUUGAUUUGACCCAAAAGCUUAAGUUGUUAGGUAAUGGACCAACCAUAUAUAUAUCAAGUUACUUUAGGUUAAAGCUCUAAUUAUUCUUGCCUAUUGGAAAAAAAAUAUAUAAAGGAAAAACAAAAACACAGAACAGUUUCAGCUGGACUGCAUUUGAAUAAAUGAUUUAUGGUGGAAAGGGUUCAUCUCCCCUCUACAGACCCUAGUUCACAUUCCUUCAUGUAGAUUAAUGAAGUGUUUUGAAAAGUGAUUUUGUAAAAUCAUACAGAUGAAUUGAGCUGUGAAUUUAUAUCCCCAGAUGUCAUUUCAUAUGUCUUAAUUGUGAGGAAUUAAUAUAUAGACACCACUAUAGCACAUGACCAUUUCAGUGCAACUGUCCUGGGGCUAUCAGCAUCCCAUCACCUCCAUUAUCAUUAUAACCCCUAUCACCAUUGUCCCAUCACUACAAUUGAUGUCAUUUAUACUUCUACAGUCAUCACCAUGGUCAUCUCAGUUGUUAUUAUCUUUAUACUUGGGGAACGAAUGGUUUGAUUCUGGUUCAUCUCAUUACGCAGAACUAGACCCUAUAGUAAACUUAAGUUUUGGCUCCAGCUCUGGCUUUGGAAACAUGAGAGAACCAGUUCUGAAAUGACAAAUGUCUGAUAUUUAUUGAGUACUGUGAUAGUGGAUUAAGAUGAAAGAAAUUACCAUGUUGGUGUCAGGGAAAAUAUGGUUGCCACUCACCAUCUGUUGGGUCCUAUACAGUAACAUCUUGGUUUCAAGUUUGAAGAGCUCAUGGAAAAUGAAUCUUCCUCUUAUAGAUAGGAAAUUUUGAUAAUUGGGAAAAGUGGGUUUGACUCAGUAAUUUGAAAAAAAAUGAAAAAAGGAAUCCCAAAUUUUUUAAAUCAAUAUUAUCUUCAUCUAUUAAAAAAUAAUUUAAAAUACAUACACUUUUUAAUGAAUCAGAUAAUUAUUCCCUAAAAUGGCCCUCUUACUUGUCAUGUCAACAAUACCGAUUGACAAGUAGACUCUUGCUUCCCUUCCUUAUAGAUCUGUUCUUUAUUAUUAUUAUUAUUAUUAAUAUGCUUCCCUUCCUUGUAGAUUUGUUCUUUAUUAUUAUUAUUAUUUGGAAUUUUUUUUCUUUAUAAACAAACAUCCCAUAGGAAAAGUUGAAGAUUUUUUUCCUCCAUAAACAAAAAUCUUGUAGGAAAAAAAUCUGAAUUUUUAGGAAUUUGUUCUAAGAGCAUUUUAGGAAUUUAUUCUAAGAGCAUUUUUUUUGGCUAUAGGAUGUUUGUUUAUGGAGGAAAAAAAGAAAGUUCAAACUUUUCCUUGGGAUGCUUAUUUUUUGAAGGAAAAAAACCUAAUAAUAAUAAUAAUAAUAAAGAGAUCUAAAAGGAAAGGAAGCAUCUAUGUGGAGGAGUCUACUUGUCAAUUGGUUUUGUUGACAUGACAAGCAAAAGGGUCAUUUAAUGGAAUAAUUAUCUAACUUAUUAAAAAGUGUAUGUAUUUUUAAAUGGAUGAAGAUAAUAUUGAUUUAAAAAAUUUGGGUCCUUUUUUUCAUAUUUUUUCAGAUUAGUGAGUCAAAACCCACUUUUCCCUUGAUACUUUUUAUUUUUAAUCCAAGCUAACCCCAAGAACUGAUCAUGUUUACUUUCUUUUUAUUAGUUCUUUUUCAAUUGAAGAGUUUCUAUUCAAAGUUUCUAAUGAUGUUGCAAAAAGUAAAUGACUGCAUUACCAGUUGUAUUGAUGGACACCCGAUUUUUAUGGUCAUUGUUUUAAUUAAACCCAUCAUGUCAUACCCAGAACCAGCUAAUUACUUGUGGAUAACUUAGAUAAUCAAGUAAAUGGGUUUCAAUUGAUUGCAGAAUCUCUGCCGUCACCAAUUUGUUGUAAGUUCCUGCUUUUCCAAACAGUUGAUUUUUAAUUCAAUGGAAUUUCAAUUCUAUUGAUUUCAAAUCCACUGAUUCUUCAACUCUUUUAAAUUCAUUCUAAAUCCUUCUUUCAAAGAGCAUCUUGACAUCCUUAUGUACAUGACCUGGAAGCCAUCCUUAUGUACAUGACCAGGAAGCCAUAUGGGUAUGUAGAUGAUGCUUGAUUUGUUUCAUUUUGUUCAGGAACAUCAUGAUCUUUUAUUGGCUACCUUACCAGCUGUUGAAUCUGCUCUUGAGGUAGGGAAAAAAUUGUCUCAUUUUUAUUUCACUACUUCUGAGUUUUGAGUUUGUUUUUGAAUUGGAACUCAUUUUAACAUGAUAAUUUAUGUACCAGAGGUUUUCAGACAUUCUAAACAAAUACGAGCUUGUUUCUGCUCUUUUUUAUCGUGCUGACCAAGAGAGAUCAAACCUUAUUCUGCAUGAGACAUCUGCAAAGUCAAUUGUUGCUGAGGCAACUUGUAAUUCAGAGAAAACUCGUGCAUCAUUUGAAAUACAGGCACGUGAGUUUGCUCAAGCAAAGGCUGUGGUAGCUGAGAUGGCUCAAGAAGCAACUACUUGGAUGGAGCAACAUGGAAGGAUUCUUGAGGCUUUACGAAGCAGUUUGAUACCAGAAAUCAAAGCAUGCAUAAACCUGAGUAGUAUGCAAGAUGCUUUAUCUCUUACAUCUGCUGUAUUAGUGGCAGGGGUUCCAUUGACCAUUGUUCCUGAGCCCACUCAAGCACAAUGCCAUGAUAUAGAUAGGGAAGUUUCUCAGCUCAUAGCUGAGUUGGAUCAUGGACUCUCUUGUUCUGUGACAGCCCUCCAAGCAUAUUCUUUGGCUUUGCAAAGAAUCCUACCAUUAAAUUACCUCACGACAAGCCCACUACAUGGCUGGGCACAGGUUCUGCAACUGUCUUCAAGUACCCUUUCUUCUGAUAUCCUCUCCAUUACUAUAAGACAGGCUGCUGAACUUGUUGCGAAGGUAAAUGGGGAUGAUUUUGAUUCUAUUAAAUGCGAUCAUGAUGACCUUUGUCUUAAGGUGGAGAAAUAUGCUGUAGAGAUAGAGAAAGUUGAAGAAGAGUGUGCUGAACUGGUAAACUCCAUUGGUUCAGAGACUGAAUCAAAAGCCAAGGAUCGCCUUCUAUCUGCCUUCAUGAAAUACAUGCAGUCUGCUGGUCUUGCAAGGAAGGAAGAUACCAUCUCUUCUGUGCAAUUAGGACAAUUUAAACAUGAUGGUACAAAGGAGGCCAGAUUUCAAGGAGCACUUGAAGAGAAGAAGGACAAGGUGUUAUAUAUUUUGAGUAUAGCUGUAAGCUCUCUGUAUGAUGAGGUUAAGCAUAGGGUUCUGGGCAUUUUUACUAAUUUGGCUGAAAGAAGCAGUGCAGAUAACUGGUUGCAGUCUGAUUUUGGAACUAUUUUCUGCAAAUUUGAAGAGCAAGUAGAGAAAUGCAUACUUGUAGCAGGAUUUGCUAAUGAAUUGCAGCAAGUAAUCAAUGGGGAUAUGCCUACUGUUCGUACAGAUAUAGAACAUUCAAGAUAUUAUUCAGAAAGGAACUGGGCUUCCAUUUUUAGAACAAGUUUACUUUCCUGUAAGGGCUUGGUGGGGAAAAUGACUGAAGAUAUUUUACCAGAUGUAAUUAAAUCCAUUGUUUCAUUUAACUCGGAAGUAAUGGAUGCAUUUGGAUCCCUCUCACAAAUCCGGGGUUCUAUUGAUAUGGCACUGGAACAGCUUGUUGAGGUUGAAAUCGAGAGAGCUUCUUUAGUAGAACUGGAGCAGAAUUACUUUCUCAAGGUUGGUGUCAUUACUGAGCAACAAUUGGCUCUUGAAGAGGCUGCUUUGAAGGGUAGGGAUCAUCUUUCUUGGGAAGAGGCAGAAGAGCUAGCUUCCCAAGAAGAAGCUUGUAGGGCACAGCUGGACCAACUCCAUCAAACAUGGAAUCAGAAGGACAAGAGGACUUCUUCUCUGAUUAAGAAGGAAGCUGUUAUUAAAAAUGCCUUGGUUUCUUCAAAACGCCUAUUUCAAUCUCUUAUUAUUGAUGGUGAGGAAAGGGAGCCUCAAGGUAGGGGUGGCAAAGGUCUAUUGGCAAAACUAGUUAAGCCCUUCUCUGAGUUAGAAUCAAUUGAUAAAGCGCUCUCUUCAUUUGGUGGUUCUGUUGCUUUCUACUCAAGGGCAAUUCCUAAUCCUGCAGAUUUGAUGAGUUCUGCAUAUCCAAUGUCUGAAUAUAUCUGGAAGUUUGACAGCUUGCUGAACAGCCAUACUUUCUUUGUUUGGGAAAUUGGUGUUAUGGAUUCUUUUCUUGAUUCAUGCAUACAUGAUGUAACUUCAUCUGUAGAUCAAAGUUUAGGAUUCGACCAGCUCUUCAAUGUUAUCAAGAAAAAACUUGAAAUCCAACUUCAAGAACAUAUUGUUCAGUACCUUAAAGAGCGUGUAGCUCCUAUUCUAUUGGCUUUGUUAGAUAAAGAAAAGGAGCAUUUGAAGCAAUUGACAGAGGCAACAAAGGAACUUGCUUUUGAUCAAGGGAAAAAAGAUCUUGGGGCUGUGAAAAAGGUGCAACUCAUGCUUGAGGAAUACUGCAAUGCACAUGAAACUGCCAGUGCAGCAAGAUCAGCAGCUUCUCUUAUGAAAAGGCAGGUGAAUGAGCUUCGGGAGGCUGUUCUCAAGACUAGCCUAGAGAUUGUUCAGAUGGAGUGGAUGCACGAUGUUUCGUUGACCUCAUCACAUAAUAACAGGGUCAUAUGGCAGAAGUUUAUUGCAAAUGAUGAUAGCUUGUAUCCCAUUAUCCUGAACCUAAACAGACCCAAAUUAUUGGAAAGUAUGCAAUCUGCUGUAUCAAAAAUAGCUAGGUCAGUGGAAUUCCUGCAAGCCUGUGAAAGAACUUCCAUAACAGCAGAAGGACAGCUUGAGAGAGCCAUGGGAUGGGCCUGUGGUGGCCCAAAUUCAAGUGCAACUGGAAACACCUCAACUAAGAGUUCUGGAAUUCCUCCUGAAUUCAAUGAUCACCUUACGAGGCGAAGACAAUUAUUAUGGGAAGUUCGAGAAAAGGCAUCCGAUAUGAUCAAAAUUUGUGUAUCAGUAUUGGAGUUUGAAGCAUCAAGAGAUGGCAUCUUUCGGAUUCCUGGUGGUGAUGGCAGGACAUGGCAGCAAGCUUACUUCAAUGCACUAACAAGACUAGAUGUCACUUAUCAUUCAUUUACACGUGAGUAAUGUUAACCAGUCUUUAAUGACUUGGGCAUGGCUGAAUUUUUUGUUAUUGAUUACAAUAUUUUAUGGGUGCUGGAUGUAUGGUUUUAUGUUUCUUGUAUUAGGUACUGAGCAAGAAUGGAAACUUGCACAAAGCAGUGUGGAAGCUGCUUCAAAUGGCUUGUAUACUGCAACUAAUGAACUCUGCAUUGCUUCUGUUAAAGCAAAGUCGGCAUCAGGUUCUGUCACCUUUCUUUACUUAUAUUCAUGACCACAUCCUUAGACAUGCAUUUAUAUGUGAUCCAUGGGGUGCGGACAUACAAACAUGAAUAUUAGGCAUCAUUCUUGAUAUAUCUGUGGUAUGUCCAUCACUGCAAGAUGAGGUGUUGAUUUGUCUUCUGCAGCUGAUUUACAAAGCACUGUUCUUGCAAUGAGGGAUUGUGCCUAUGAAGCCAGUGUUGCUCUCUCUGCUUUUAGUCGUGUUACGAGGGGCCAUACUGCUUUGACUUCUGAAUGCGGUUCCAUGCUUGAAGAGGUAUUAGUCUAUAAUAUAGACACAAACAGUGAUUCCUGAGAUUUUGGGAGUAAAUGAGUGAAUUUUAUUGUAUGCUGAGUAAUGGAGAAAUUAUUUUUCUAAAUUUUACUGGUGAAAUUGUAAAAUUUCAAAUACUCUACCAUCUAAUAAAUAAUUAUAUUCAGUAACCUACUGAGCCAAAGAGGAUACUCAACCCCAAGAGCAGAGUUUCCAUCCUUGCUUCACCAACAGGGGGUUACUAGGAGCUUUAUGUGGUUAGGCUUUUAUUCAUACAUAUACAAAAAAGAAAGAAAGGAAAAAAAAAGAGACAUCACAAGCCUUCGGCACAUAAUAUAACCUUAAAUAUGCAUGUGCACAUAAAUAUCCCAUGACAACUUUCAAGGCAGAAAAAGGAGAAUAUUAUUGACUUUCCCCUGUUGGGUCCAUUUAUUUGGAAGCCUUAGUCUCUUUCUUUCUUUCUUUCCAUUUUUUUCCUUCUCUCUCUAUUUGUGCUUCAACUGGGUAUCAUAUGAAAUGUAGUUUGAGGAAAUCCUAACACUUCUUUGUUUUUAAUUUGUGGCUACUGUCCUUAUACUUCUCUGUAGGUUCUGGUAAUUACUGAAGGUCUCCAUGAUGUUCAUAGUUUAGGAAAGGAGGCUGCUGCAGUACACCAUUCUCUCAUGGAAGAUCUUUCAAAGGUUUUCUUUCUUUCUCAUUCAUAUUUUCUAAUUUGUUUGGUUGCAUAAUUUUUAAAGUUAGCUAAUUCCAUAUAUAUAUCUUUAGUGACCCACUCUGCAACUUUCACUAACUUGAAUUUUCUUCAGAAAUUUGGUGAUUUUGGUCUACUUUCGGGUCACAAAUCCAUGUUUUGAUUGUUUUAAUUUUUGUGCAGGCAAAUAUGGUCCUUCUUCCACUUGAAUCAGUGUUGUCUAAGGAUGUAGCAGCUAUGACUGAUGCUAUGACUCGAGAAAGAGAGACCAAGUUGGAAAUAUCCCCCAUUCAUGGUCAAGCCAUUUACCAGUCCUAUUGUUUAAGGAUUAGAGAGGCUUGUCCGGCCUUUAAGCCCUUGGUACCAUCACUUACAUUCUCUGUGAAGGGACUCUAUUCCAUGUUAACCAGGCUGGCACGAACUGCAAGUCUACAUGCUGGGAAUCUUCAUAAAGUAAUUUUGAGCUGCAAGACUAUCAUGCUGAUUAUAUGCUUCCAGUUUUUAUUUUUGAGAAUGUGAGAUUAGUAAUUAAUAUUUUCCUUUUUCUUAAUAGGCGCUUGAAGGACUAGGAGAAAGCCAAGAAGUUAGGUCCCAAGAAAUUAAUUUGUCAAGGACAAACCUCGCAAGUGAUGCCUCUCAAUCCGGUAACAAAGACAGAGAGAUCUUCUCCAGAUCUGAUGAGGGAAAUGCUGAGGAUUUGCUUGGUGUAGCUGGAUUGUCCUUGCAAGAUAAAGGCUGGAUAUCCCCACCAGAUAGUGUCUAUAGUAGCAGCUCAGAAUCUGUCAUCAUCUCAGAUGAAGCAAGUCUUCCAGAUAGCCACACUGCUCCAGCAGAAAUGAUGGCACGGCUCUCAUAUGGGUCUAAUAGCAGAGAGGGCACAGAUUACUUGAACUCUGUUUCAUCUUCUGGGACUGAUUUCCAAGAAAUCUCAUUGAAUUGUGGGCAGUCAGAGUCUAAGUACACGGAGUACAAUAACAGCGAUGCUAGUUCUGUCAAAUCUCCAACUAAUGAGCCAAGUGAACAUCUGAAAGCUGCGGCAUCACCAAAGAAUGAAUCCAUAACUGUCAUUGACACUUCCAAGUCUUUGAAUGAGGAAGACUUUGAGGGUAAAGAUGAAACAUCCUCAUCAAAUCAAGUUAAGAUUGAAGAUGAAAAUCGGGAGGCCCGACUUCCUAAUACAGAUGCUGGCAGCCGAAUAGCCCGAGGUAAGAAUCAUAUUAUCCCAUUUGUUACCAUUUUAGGAGCUCACGUCUUCUUUUGCUCUUUUGGUUGAUUUCUGAAGCAAGUUUUGUGGUUGAAAUUUUUUAACUCAUAUUCCUGUCUUCAGUGGUUAAAUUAGCAAAUGUGGAGGGUUUAAACUUUUGAACUUUUAAUCAACCUACAUCAUGUCCAGAAAUGGAAAUAAUUCUUGAAAGUUAGAAGUUUGGUACCACCCAUAAUUAUGAGUUUAUCAAUAAUGAUUUUAAGAUUUGACUUAGAAUCAAUCACUUGUUAAUCUGGAAGUGAAACUAAUUAGCAGUAAUUAAAGAUAAAAGACCCAGAACCAAUCCCCUUACUAGGCCUGUUCACUUAUUGGCUAGUGCUAUAAACACUGGCAAAAAGUAGACAAAACCCUCCCACCCGAUGUUUUAGUUUUAAAAACUGAAACUCAUGCACACAGGUUUGUUCUUUUACAUAGAUUUUGGGAUUGCUCCAUUUUGUACCCUCAGUUUUGAAGUGUGAGUUUUUUUUCCCUUUUUUAUUUUAUUUAUGUUUUGGUGUGUGUGAAUUCAGCCAUGUUGUUUCAGUCUUGAAGGCAUAUACUUCAGUCAAAGCAUGGGGUUUGAUCCAUUCUUGCCAAUAUUGUCUGAAGCGUUGUUGUGUGGAUCAAUGACUUCUAAAUAGGAUCCUAGUGCUGACAUUUAUUAUCAAUAUAUGCUCCAUUCUUGCCAAUAUCGUCUAAAGCAUUGUUAUGUGGAUCAAUGACUUCAAAAUAGGAUCCUAGUGCUGACAUUUACUUACCAAUAUGCAUAUAUUGUAAGAAUGUUGGAAUACAUGGAAAGUUGGAAAAUUGUGGGUUUUAAAAUAUACUAAUUUUAAAUUAAAGAUACACUAUGCUAAUAAAGUGAAUAGAAAACUUAAGAUUGAUGCACAUGUAUUCAUGUUUUCUAAUCGUACAUCUAUUCAUAGAAAUACUAUAGAAACUUCAUUUUUUUUUCCCUUUUAUAGGCAAAUAAGCAUAUAUUAAAAGUGCCAAAAAGGGUGUUCCCCUAGUGCAUAGGAAUCAUACAAAGGAAUUGAAAGACUAAAAGUUGCACAAAGAAAAUCAGCAUUGACAUUCUCACUAUUUAGAGCACAACCACUCAAUGGAGUGUAGCAUGGACAGAAAACCAGCUUGAAAAUCAUCUUGGUGUAGUCCUCCAAGUUUGUCCAAAAUAUUCUCUUUGGUACCUCCUAUGAUGAAAGAGUUGCUAAUGGAUGAGGACAAAAAGUGCCAUAGCCCCUUAUCUGUCCCAUAAUGGAUGAGGAGGUUGACGACUGAUUCUUCUGCACUUUUAUACAUAUAACUAUAACUCACCAAAAGCCGCUCUUUUUUUCUUUUUAAGUUAAUCAGAGGUUAGGGUUCUUCCCCAUUUAUCUUCCCAUGCAAAGAAACCCACGUUUUUUAGGAGCCUAGAGCUGCAGCAACACACUUCCUUUGAGGGGAAAGAUACUCCUCCAUCCAACUCCAAGACUGAAACAGGAUUUCAUUGAGAACUUUUCACUUUUAUUAGCCUCCCAAACCAGACUAUCCUUCUGCACAAUACACCUCCCUAACACUUUGAAGCUUUUAGAACAACUUUGCAAUGUUGUCCACCUCCCAAUCAUGGAAGUGCCUUAAGAAAUAUGGAUCCCAAAUGACUUCCCAUCCUCUACCACCCAACCCUCCUUAUAAGUUGCAAAAGAGGAAAGGGAAAAGAGUCUUUUAAAAGGAGAAUUGUCACACUAAGCAUCUUACCAAAACUUGAUUCUUCUCCAAUUGCAUACGACAAAUCUUCUUCUCCAAUUCCUCUUCUUAUGGCCUUCCACAAGCCAACAACAUACUAUUUCCUUCUAAUUGAGAGCACAACCUCCUGGUUCUUCCUCAAACUUUCCCAUUAUGACCUUUCUCCGAAGGACUUCCUUAUCCACUGCAAAUCUCUAACACAAUUUUCCAAGUUAGGGGUUAUCAUGAGCGGAUAACAACCCCUCUUUCUUAUCUUUGUGAUUGACGACCACUUCACUAGAUGUGGUUUUGUCUUAGGAACCCCUCCCCCUCACAAGAUAUCUUGUUGAAUUUUUUCCAUUCUCAAUGUUACUCCUGUUGAGAGAGAGAGAGAGAGAAAGGAGAAAAACCUUAUUUUCAUUCAUCUAAUCUCUACUUACAAUUGAGAGAUAUAUAUAUACAAGGCUAGGAGUCCUAACUACCAUACAUGUGACCUAUAUUAACAAGGAAAGAUAGUAUACUAUACAUACAUUAUAUUCAACACUCCCCCUCAAGCUGGAGCAUAUACGUCAUAUGCACCAAGCUUGUUACAAAUAUAUUUAAUCCUAGGACCUCUGAGAGAUUUAGUGAAGAUGUCUGCUAGUUGAUCAUUUGAAUUGAUAAAACUUGUAGCAACACAUCCUGAUGCGAUCUUCUCUCUAAUGAAAUGACAGUCAACUUCAAUAUGCUUGGUCCUUUCAUGAAAGACUGGAUUGGAUGCAAUAUGUAAUGCGGCCUGGUUAUCACAGAUGAGUUUCAUCUGUUCAUCCUUUCCAAAUCGCAACUCCUGAAGAAGAUGUCUCAACCAUAUGAGUUCACAUGUUGCCAAAGCCAUAGCUCGAUACUCGGCUUCAGCGCUAGAUCUGGCCACUACAUCUUGUUUCUUACUCUUCCAAGAUAUUAGAUUACCUCCAAUAAAAACACAGUACCCUGAAGUAGAACGUCUAUCUGUGGGUGAGCCAGCCCAAUCUGCAUCUGUGUAACCAACAACUUGAGUAUGACCUCUGUUCUCGUACAAUACACCUUGGCCUGGUGUACUUUUGAUAUAUCGAAGAAUAUGGAUUACGGCAUCCCAAUGGCUAUCACAUGGUGACUGUAGGAAUUGACUAACAACACUCACAGGAAAAGAAAUGUCUGGACGAGUAAUGGUGAGAUAGUUCAAUUUACCUACGAGCCGUCGAUAUCUCCCAGGGUCUCCUAAAGGCUCCCCCUGUCCUGGUACAAGUUUGACAUUCGGAUCCAUAGGUGUGUCUACCGGUUUACAGUCUAACAUACCGGUUUCUUCCAGGAUGUCUAAAGCAUACUUCCUUUGAGAAAGGACCACACCAGAACUGGAUUGAGCUAUCUCAAUUCCCAAGAAAUACUUGAGUUUCCCCAAGUCUUUGGUCUGAAAGUGGGUAAAAAGAUGUUGCUUUAGUUUCUGUAUACCAUCCUGAUCACUGCCUGUAAUGACGAUGUCGUCCACAUAAACAACCAGAUAAAUACAUUGCCCCAAGGAGUUAUGAUGAUAAAAAACUGAAUGGUCUGCUGUACUGCGAAGCAUGCCAAACUCUUGAACAACAGAACUAAAACGGCUAAACCAUGCUCGAGGAGAUUGUUUCAAGCCAUAUAGAGAACGGCGUAACCUGCACACUAAACCAGACUCCCCCUGAGCAACAAAACCAGGAGGUUGCUCCAUAUAAACUUCCUCGGCAAGAUCACCAUGAAGGAAGGCAUUUUUAAUAUCCAGCUGAUAAAGAGGCCAAGAGCACAUAGCAGCCAUGGAGAGAAGCAAGCGGACAGAAGCAAUCUUGGCAACAGGGGAGAAUGUGUCACCAUAAUCAGAACCAUAAACUUGAGUAUAGCCUUUAGCAACUAAGCGGGCCUUAAGGCGAUCAACCUGACCAUCAGGACCAACCUUAACUGCGUAGACCCAACGACAACCAACUGUAGAUUUACCAGGGGGUAAAACAACAAGAUCCCAAGUGCCAUUAGAGUGCAGAACAGCCAUUUCAUCCACCAUUGCCUGUCGCCAGCCUGGAUGGGAAAGAGCUUCAUGGGUGCUCUUGGGAAGAGAAACAGAGGAUAUAGCAGAAACAAAAGCAGAAUAGGGUGAAGAUAAUCGAUGAUAACUCAAAAAAUUGUAAAUAGGAUGAGGGUUACGAGUAGAGCGAGUACCUUUCCGAAUAGCAAUGGGUAAGUCAUUAGGAGAAGGCAGAGUCGGGGCAGGUGAAGCCGAAGGGAUAGGAAGUGAGUCAACAGGUGCCUCAGGAAAAGGGAGAGGAGCAACGAGACGCGGGCGACGAUGAUAAACCUGAAGUGGUCGAGGGGGCAUAGCUUCAGGUGGGGAGACAAUGGGAAUGGGCAAGACUUCAGAAACGGGAAGAGACUCAGAAGUGGUGGAAAAGAAUGGUGAGUCCUCAAAGAAGGUGACAUCAGCGGAGAUAAAGUACCGAUGAGUCUCAAGGGAAUAACAACGAUAACCCUUCUGAAGUCUGGAAUAUCCCAAGAAGAGGCACUUCAUGGCUUUGGCGGAAAGCUUGUCCUGUCCAGGAGUGAGAAUAUGAACAAAGCAAGUACAACCAAAGACACGAGGAGGAAGGAAAUAAAGUGGUUGGUCAGGGAAAAGAAGGGAGUGAGGAAUCUGAUCGUGUAAGAUAGAGGAGGGCAUACGAUUAAUCAAAUAACAAGCGGUAAGAACAGCGUCCCCCCAAAAACGAAAAGGAACGUGACUAUGGAGGAGGAGAGUACGAGCUGUCUCAACAAGAUGUCGAUUCUUGCGUUCAGCUACCCCAUUUUGUUGAGGAGUAUGAGCACAAGAAGACUGAUGAAGAAUCCCAUGAUGAGACAUAAACGAAGUAAAUUGGGCUGAAAAAUAUUCCCUGGCAUUGUCACUGCGUAACACACGAAUAGAAAUAUUGAACUGGGUUUGGAUUUCAGUAUAAAAUUUCUGGAAAAUAGAGAAUAACUCAGCUCGAUUUUUCAUUAAAAAUAACCAAGUACAUCGAGAAUAGUCAUCAAUGAAAGUGACAAAAUACUGAAAUCCUAAAGUAGACGCAGUCCGACAAGGACCCCAAACAUCAGUGUGGACAAGCUCAAAAGGAGACUUUGCCCGAUUAUUCAAACGCUUUGGGAACGAGACACGAGUAUGUUUCCCAAGCUGACAUGACUCACACGGAAGCGACGACAAAGUGGAAAAACGAGGAACCAUCUUCUGGAACUUGGAGAGACUAGGGUGGCCCAGACGAUUGUGAAUGAGGAGAGGAGCAUCAGUGGAAAUGCAAACUGCAGGAGAUGAAUCUGAGGUGAGGUGAUAGAGGCCUUGAGACUCACGUCCUAUGCCAAUCGUCUUCCCCGUACUCCGGUCCUGCAAGGUCACAAAUUUAUCAGAAAAGGUAAUAGAGCAAUUAAGAGUACGAGUGAUUUUGCUGAUGGAAAUAAGAUUAAAAGGACAUUCAGGAGUAUAAAGGACAGAAGUGAGAGGUAGAGAAGGCAGAGGAAGGGCCAAACCAAUACCUUUAGCCACAGUUUGAGAACCAUUAGCUAAGGUAACAGUAGGUAAAUCAGAGGUAGUAGUGAUAGAGGAGAAAAGAUCCUUAUUACCAGAUAGGUGAUCAGAUGCUCCAGAAUCUAGAAUCCAGGGUCCAAGAGAAGAUGUGUGGGUAAGGCAAGUAGAGGCAUUACCAGGCUGGGCAACAGAGGCAAUAGAAGCCUGAGAUGUCUGAGAUGCGGAGGAGCUCGGAAGCUGAGGCAGCGGAGAAUCAGAGGACUGGGCCAUAUGGGCAGUGCGAGGAGGUCUUCCAUGUAACUGAUAGCAACGAUCGCGAGUGUGGCCAAGUUUAUUGCAAUAGGUGCAAUGAGGACGUUGGCCUCGACCUCGGGUACCACUACGUCCUCCUCGAGAGGUAGUUUGAGAAACUAACACAGAAGAAUCUGAAGCGCUAUCAGAUGGCAAAGUCUGAGUGGACGAGAGACGGAGGAGGCGAGCAAACACGUCAUCCAAGGACGGAACUGAUGAACUACCAAGAAUCUGAUCAUGAAUAGGCUCAAGAUCCUGACGGAGGCCAAUAAGAGUAAGGACGAUGAAGAACUUGUCAAGCUGCGUUUGUUGAGCCCCAACAUCAGGAGUAAGAGGCAUCACAGUCAAGAACUGCUCCUUAAGAAAGGCAAUCUGACCAAUAUAAGUAGAUAGAUCCAAGUCCUGUUGGCUGAGAUGGACAAUAGCAGAAGCCACCUUAUAGAGACGCUGGAUAUCAUUCGUGUAUAAUCCUUUGGCCUGAGUCCAAAAUUUAAAACAAGUUUUAUAGGCCUGAAGAUGAAGAAGAAUCCGGGGAUCAACCGAUUGCCAUAAUACACUACAUAACUGGGCAUCUAUCUUCCUCCACUGUACGCGGUCAACCUCAGGGAUAUCUGCCUCCUGGGUAACCAAGUGAUCUUCAUAUCCUUGACCCAUAAACCAAAGUUCAACAAAGGCAGACCAGGAGAGAUAAUUCUCACUGCCAACCAAUUUCUCUGAGGUAAUCAGAGGAGAUCCAGAGAGAACAGAGGUAAAGAUCUGAUUUUUGGUGGUCAUAUUCACGUAUUUGGAUCGAAGAGAGCCCUAGAGAGGAAGAGAAGCAGCACCCAAGCCUCGGAGAUGGAGAGGAAGCCCUGUCAGAUGUGGUCGGAAUGGCAAGAAAGCCAAAAAUAGGAAAAAAAGUGGAGAUGCAGGGCUCGUGGAGGACUGCCGGAGGGCUAGAAGGCCAAGACGGCGUCGGACGAGCCUGGAGAGGUGUCGGACGUGGCCGGAAAGUGAGCCACGCGCCGGCGCGUGGGUGACAGUCCGACGGGGAAGAUCGGCGUGUGGGGGCGCGUGAGACUCCGGUUGCCGGUGGGGUUUCCACUGGCGUGUAGAUCAGCGCCUCCGGCGGUUCGGAAUAUGUGGUCGGUGCCCGGAAAAGAGGUCGCCGGAAAGGGUUGCCGGCGUGGUAGAGAUCCGACGGCAAUGAGGUUGUCCGGGGUGAUUCGGGAAGGGAAUGAGGGGACCGGAGUGAAACACGGUCACUGGACGGUUCGCCGGAAUUGAGUACACGGCUAAACCGAAAAAAAUUAGGUUUUCUCCUUUGGCUCUGAUAUCAUGUUGAGAGAGAGAGAGAGAGAAAGGAGAAAAACCUUAUUUUCAUUCAUCUAAUCUCUACUUACAAUUGAGAGAUAUAUAUAUACAAGGCUAGGAGUCCUAACUACCAUACAUGUGACCUAUAUUAACAAGGAAAGAUAGUAUACUAUACAUACAUUAUAUUCAACAACUCCCUUAGGAUAACAAAAAGGGACAUGAAGUAAAUAAGCAAAGCUACUAAGAGUACUUUUUAGCAGAUUCAAUCUCCCACCUUUCGAGGGGUAUUGUCUUUUCCAAAGAAUUAUUCUUUUUUAAAACCUCUCCUCAAGAUUUGCUAAUGAGAAUGAGCCUCUAUGGAAGCAAAUUAUCUUUAGCAAGUAUGACCUUCAAGAGGGGGGAUGGUGCUCCAAAGGAGUAAGAGACCGGCAUGGGGUGGGGGUUUGGAAGGCCAUCAAAAAUGGUUGGGAGAACUUUCGCUCUCACUCUCGCUUCAUCGUAGGGGAUGGCACUAGAGUGAAGUUUUGGAAGGACUUGUGGUGUGAAAACCAAUCUUUAGAAGAAGCUUUCCCCUUCUUGUUUAAUCUCUCCGUCAACAAAGAAGGAUGGGUUGCUGAGGCUUGGGAGGAAAAUGAAAUUAGGGGUAGUUGGGGGCUUCGUUUCACUAGACAUCUUAAUGAUUGGGAGGUGGGAGAAGUAGAAAGCUUAUUAAGCAAGCUUCAUCCUUUGACCAUUAGAAGAGGUGUGAAUGACUCGCUUCGGUGGAAAGAAAACAAGAAUGGAACCUUUUCUGUCAAGUCUUUCUAUAGUUCCUUCUCAAGGGACAUCAAGCCCCCCUUCCCGGCUAGAACUAUUUGGACGCCUUGGGUUCCAAUUAGGACUAGCUUCUUUGGAUGGGAGGCAGCCUGGUGCAGGUUGCUCACCAUUGACCGCCUAAAGAGAUUUGGUUGGAGCAUCCCCAACAGGUGUUUUUUGUGCAAAUAUGAGAAGGAAAGCACAGAUCACCUUCUCUUGUUUUGUGAGAAGGCCAGAAUGUUAUGACUUUUGAUCUUCUCCCUUUUUGGAGUGCAAUGGGUGAUGCACUCCUCUGUGAAAAGGAACCUCCUCGGAUGGCAUGGAUCUUUCGUGGGCAAGAAAAGGGAGAAAACUUAGAGAGCUGCCCCCCUUUGCCUAAUGUGGACCAUUUGGAAAGAAAGGAAUAGGAGGGCCUUUGAUGAUAUUGAGAGGAACGACCAAGAUAUUAAAUCCAUUUUUUUGUACACUUUUGUGAAUUGGGCUAGGGUGUAUAUAGAGGAACACACUCUCUCUUUGAUAGAUUUUGUAGACUAGCUAGCUACCAAGUAAGGGUCAACUUGUUUAUCUUUUUGUUUUUUUGCCUCUUUGUAUCUUGGUAUACUCCGUGUAUACCCUUUCUCUAGCCUUUUGGCUCUUAAUGAAUUAUCUUUACCUAUCAAAAAAAAAAAAAAACAUCUCAAACAUCUGAAGACUUGAAAGAAGUUCCUAUAGGCAAACCUAAAUAAGUGGCUGUAAGCUUCCUCACAACCCAAUGCCAAAGCAAGCUCCUCCAUACUAGGGACCUUCCUUACUAGAAUUAAUAAAAGCCUCAAACCAUAGUAAAACCCAACUCAUAUAAGUCCAUUGAUAUGGACAAGGAUCACAGAACAGUAAGGUGCUGUCAGCAAAAAGGAGGUAAGAAACCUCCACUAUCACUCCUCACCACCUCUCACCUUAAAG
rnacentral:lncRNA from 1 species